rnacentral:lncRNA from 1 species
AGGAACCGUGAGUGCAAACAUGCUCUUCAUCAGGGUGCUGUAGAGUAACAUGAGUGCCUUCAUCCUCGUCAUUAUCAAAAAUACAAACAUGGACCAAAAACUCUUCAUCAUCGUCCCAUGUAGGUAUAGGGAUAACCACCAAAUUACGACUCAAGGGAAUGGAGCCAUCAUCUCCGACUAAUAUCCCGCUGCAACUCAUUGCCCUACCAUCAUAUAGAAUAAUAUGGGUCUCGGCAUUUCUAGUCCCAGAAGAUACUUUGCCAACGAAAGGGGCAUAGGGCGGACCGUUCAGAAUGUUGAUUUGGAGGCUAGCCGCCACCGGAUGUUUAACAGGUGCAAAUACUAAUUCCACUGUACUGAGCCAACUAGGUAGCAUCAUAGUUAUGGGUCCAGAGUCAAGGGUGCGGGACUCAAUUACGCCUUUGCUAAAGUCUUCAUCAUCAGGAUCACCCUUUACCUUCAGGUUGAACUCAAAAUGUAUAUUAUCAAAUGCUACUAAUCCUCGACGUGGACCUGUCAAUGCUAACAUAUCCUCCUGCAAGUAAUUUAUAAAGAAGGUCACAACAUGUCUACGUAGUUGAACAAGCUAUGUAGCUAGCUGGACAUGAAAAGCAAAGCACACUUGACAAGUUGGACAGAUUCAAACAGUCUGAAAACAGUCUGGGGAUCUUCUCUCUCGCGUCCGAACAGAUAGACGCAUCUGUAGUCGAUGCUACGGUACCGAACACACUGACCGGGUAGCCCCUAUCGGAUUCGAUUACCUUGACGGAAACGACAUUGUACGACGUCCCCGCCCGGAGCUCCCACAGCUGCGGCGUUACAUCCUCAAGCAGCGGCCCGAGGCCAACCUUGGCUGCAAGCAAAGCAAAAUCAGGGGCAAAAGACAUACACCCCAGAUCAGGAGAACCAUUUCAGGAGAAAUUUAUACUAAAAUGGUUGUAAAUUGAUAAAUAGAGGAGAUACUGACACUCUCUGUCGAGGUCGAAGCCGGCGAGGUUGACGCCGCAGAAGCGGGUGAGAACGCGGGCUCUCUUCUUGGGGUCGUACUCGGUGAUGCGGUCGCGGCACGCGGCGUGGAGGGCUACGAUCUCCGACGGCGACUUCAGAUCGAUCUCCUCGUCGUCGUCGCUGUAACAGAUUGUCAUGGGGAACCUGGCAGCAUCGAUCUCGUCGGCGCGGGGAAUCCGGCGGUGGUGCCUGACGUCGUCGUCGACAUCGCCGCGCCGCAUCGAUCGACCGAUCCAACCUUUUUUUUUCUAGAAGAGGAAGAGGAUGGCCAGCGCUACAAGAGCCUGCACUGACGCACCGCGAGCCCAAUACCAGCGUAGUGGGCCUUCAAACCUAUUUAUUCCGGUCACGCCGGAACGCCUAGUCUUGGUGAUGAUGAUGUGUAAUUUCUAACCAUGAGAUCUAUAUCUAAUGGUUGUGAGGUUAGUUUGGCUUUUUUGCAACAAUACCCCACUUCUCUGCUCCAAUCUAUAGAAAGCCCUUUAGUAUCUUGAAACUAAUCACAUUCCUUCCUCACCUCAUCAAAACAGCCCGAGAAAUAUAUUUUGAGUGAGACAUAAUUGAAAGUGCUAGUUAUCGACUAGAGGGGGAGGUGAGUAAACGAUUUUUAUGAAAGUCUUUAAAACAAGGGGGCUUUGAAGACAAACGAUAGAAAUGAACCUAUUGAUAUGUAGCGGAAGGUAGACUACACUAGACAAGCCAUAGUCAAGUAAGCAAUGAAGUGAAAACACGAAAACUAUCAGCAGCUAGGUAGUAUGGUAAAGAGUCUUCACUUAGUGAAGUCAAUCAGAUCAUAUAGGCAUGCAAUGACUUCACGAAGACAAAGUGUAAAAGUAAAGGGAAGUUAAGAAUAGAACCAGUAGCUUGAUGAAGACAAGGAUUUGGUAGACCAGUUCCAGUUGUUGUGACAACUGUACGUCUGGUUAGGGAGGCUGAGAUUCAACUCAGAAGACUGCGUCUUCACCUUAUUCCCCUUGAGUUAAGGACAUACAGUCCUCGCCCAAUCACUCUGGUAAGUCUUCAAGGUAGACUUCCAAACCUUCACAGACUUCGUUCACCGGCGAUCCAGAAUGACUCUUGGACGCUCAGAACGCGACGCCUAACUGGCUGGAGGAUUCACAGUCCUCAAGUUAACAAGUCUUCGGGUCACGCAGACAGAAAGACUUCAGUGAUGCUUAACACCCUUUGGCUCUGGGUGUUUUGGGCUUUGUCCUCGCAAGGAUCUCUCUCUUUCAAAAGCUUCGGAGGUGGGUUGCUCUUAAACGACAAAAGUCGUGCACUAACUCUAAGCAGCCACCAAUUUAUGGUGUAGGGGGUGGGCUAUUUAUAGCCAGGAGACAACCCGACCUGAUUUGUCCAAAAUGACCCUGGGUCACAAAGGAACUGACACGUGUCCAACGGUCAAAUUUCAAACACACGUGGCAGCUUGACUUGGGCUACAAGUUAAGCUGACUUAUCCAGCUCUGGAUAAGAUUUGCUCUCAUUGUCUUCGCUCGAAGACAUAGGAUCUGGUUGAGCAUCACAUCAGUCACUCUAACUUUGUUCACUUGGACCCCACUUAACAGUGUGGUGGUUCCUAUGACUCAAGAAAGAAGAAAAGAAAACUACGAAACAACUAUGUCUUCGCACUCCAUAGUCUUCAUGCCAUGUCUUCUCAUGUCAUAGUCUUCAAUGUGAAUAUCUUCACAGAACACCAUUGAGGGAGUCCUGGAUUAGGGGGUCUCCGGACAGCCGGACUAUAUCCUUUGGCCAGACUGUUAGACUAUGAAGAUACAAGAUUGAAGAUUUCGUCUCGUGUCCGAAUAGGACUCUACUUGGCGUGGAAGGCAAGCUAGGCAAUACGGAUAUGGAUAUCUCCUCCUUUGUAACCGACCUUGUGUAACCCUAAUCCUCUCCGGUGUCUGUAUAAACCGGAGGGUUUUAGUCCGUAGGACAACAUACAACCAUACCACAGGCUAGCUUCCAGGGUUUAGCCUCUUUGAUCUCGUGGUAGAUCUAUUCUUGUACUACCCAUAUCAUCAAUAUUAAUCAAGCAGGACGUAGGGUUUUACCUCCAUCAAGAGGGCCCGAACCUGGGUAAAACAUUGUGUCCCCUGUCUCCAGUUACCAUCCGGCCUAGACGCACAGUUCGGGACCCCCUACCCGAGAUCCGCCGGUUUUGACACCGACAUUGGUGCUUUCAUUGAGAGUUCCUCUGUGUCGUCGCCGUUAGGCUUGAUGGCUCCUACUAUCAUCGAUAGCGAUGCGGUCCAGGGUGAGACUUUUCUCCCCGGACAGAUCUUCGUGCUCGGCGACUUUGCACUGCGGGCCAAUUCGCUUGGCCAUCUAGAGCAGAUGGAAAGUUACGCCCCUGGCCACCAGGUCAGGUUUGGAAGCUUAAACUACACGGCCGAUAUCCGUGGAGAUUCUAUCUUCGACGGAUUCGAGCCUCUGCCUUGUGCGCCACGCGGUCACGAUGAGCAUGACUUAGCUCUCCCAUCAGGCAGUUUUAAGGAGAUCGCACGCCGCUACGACCCUCAAUUCGGAGCCAGUUGCGCCUUUCGCGGAUGGGUGGAUGGACCCCGCCACGGAGGCCUUACCCUCAGCGGCGAUCGAGCCGAACAUCGACCUUGCCUUGCACGAGAGCCGUGUUGUUAAACUGUCGAAUCCUUCUCCGGCCACGGACUCCGAACCGCCUGCGCCUGUUCCUAUCGAAUCCGAUUGGGCGCCGAUCAUGGAGUUUACCUCCGCAGAUAUUUUUCAGCACUCGCCCUUUGGCGACAUACUGAACUCAUUAAGGUCUCUCUCCUUGUCAGGAGAAUCCUGGCCGAAUUAUGUCCGGCAGGACUGGGAUGCGGACGACGAAGAAAUUCGAGGCCCACCCACCACCCACUUGGUAGCCACUGUCGAUGACUCAACCGACAUGCUCGACUUCGACUCCGAAGACAUCGGCGGUAUGGACGACGAUGCAGGAGGCGAAGAGGAACCACCGCCCACAGGGCGCUGGACGUCCACCUCAUCAUAUGACGUAUACAUGGUGGACACACCAAAAGAAGACGACGACGAGGAACGGAAGGACGCAACGAAGGCUUGUCCCCUCGAGAAGCAGUCAAAGCGGCGGCGUAAGCGCCGCCCCAAAUCCUGCCUCGGCAGAAAUAACGAUCAUACAGACCCAACGUUGGAGCAGGGCGAACCACUGUCGGACCACGGCAACACAGAGAAUCAAACUGUACAAACCAAUUCUGUCAAAGAUAAUAGUCCGGAUGACAUAACGCCGGACAGGCACCCGGAGCAGCAGAAUGCCAGUUAAAGGCUUGUUGCCACCGCGAGGAGUCUGAAAAAGCAGAAGCAAAGGCUCAAGGCUGCGCAGGACACACUCCAAAUCAGAUGGAGUAAAGUACUCAACACAGCAGCGAAGUAUGGUGGUAAUCGCCCCACCAAGAGCUACCCGAAGCGGAAGUUGCUACCCGAAUUCGAUGAGGAGGCCCUAGAUCCCCCACAACCAAAAAUCAAAACGGCCACCUGGCCGGAUAGACGACCUCACGGCCAACAUGGAGCGGCAAACAACGCCACUCACAAGCCAAUACGCGAUCCACACGAGGGCUCGCACCAAAAGGACGGCGCAACCAGAUCCAUCUAUGGACCACGCAAGCGCGCCCCAGCAUAUGAUGUAACACAACAAAUAUCAGAACAACGCGGUACACACAGAUACAGGGGUGUCGCACACCCCCUAUGUUUCACCGAUGAGGUGCUGGACCAUGAAUUUCCAGAGGGAUUCAAACCCGUAAACAUAGAGGCAUACGACGGAACAACAGACCCUGGGGUCUGGAUUUAGGACUAUAUCCUCCGUAUCCAUAUGGCUCGAGGAGAUGAUCUCCACACCAUCAAGUACUUACCCCUCAAGCUCAAAGGGCCAGCUCGGCACUGGCUUAAAAGCCUCCCCGAAAACUCCAUUGGAAGCUGGGAAGAGCUCGAAGACGCUUUUCGGGCAAAUUUUCAAGGGACUUAUGUCUGACCCCCGGAUGCAGACGAUUUGAGUCAUAUAACUCAACAGCCCGGAGAGUCAGCCCGAAAGCUUUGGAACAUGUUUCUUACUAAGAAGAACCAAAUAGUUGACUGCCCGGACGCCGAAGCCUUGGCAGCUUUUAAGCAUAGCGUCCGCGACGAAUGGCUUGCCAGACACCUCGGCCAGGAAAAGCCAAGAACAAUGGCAGCAUUAACAAGCCUCAUGACCCGCUUUUGCGCGGGUGAGGACAGCUGGCUAGCCAGAUGCAGCACCAGCGACCCAAGCACAUCCGAAGUUAGAGAUGAAAACGGGAAAUCAUGACGCAGCAAAAAUAAUAAGUGUCGGAAUAAAGAAGACAGCCCGAAGAGCACGGCGGUAAAUGCCGGAUUCCGAAGCUCUCGGCCAGGUCAACAAAAGCCGCCCUCUAAAGGCGCCAGAGAUGAACUGUCCAGCCUGAACAAAAUUCUGGACCAGGUAUGUCAGAUCCAUAGCACCCCUGGUAAACCCACUAAUCAUACCCACAGAGAAUGUUGGGUCUUCAAGCAGUCCGGCAAGCUCAACGCCGUACACAAGGGGGAGGAUACACCAAGCGAAGAUGAGGAUGAGCCUCUCAAGCAAGACACUAGGGAACAAAAGAAGUUUCCAUCAGAAGUCAAAACAGUCAACGUAUUACACGUGAUCAAGGGAAGCAAAGCGGCCCUCCCAGAUAAAUAUGCCCAAGGGCCUAUCACCGUGAAACCCUGCCACUGGUCGUCUCAACCGGUCACUUUCGACCAUCGUGAUUACUCAGCAAGUAUCCGGCGGGCAGGAUGGGCUCCCCUGGUAUUAGACCCAAUAAUUGACGGAUACCACUUUGCACGAGUCCUGAUGGACGGUGGCAUCAGCUUAAACCUAAUAUACCAGGAUACAAUCCGCGAAAUGGGGAUAGACCCAACAAAAAUUUACCAUAGCAACACUACCUUUAAAGGAGUAACGCCAGGCCCAGGGGCUCACUGCACGGGCUCCCUGCUACUAAAGGUUAUAUUCGGCUUCCCCGAUAACUCCCGUAGCGAACAUUUAACCUUCCACAUUGCUCCGUUCCAAUGCGGUUAUCAAGCACUACUUGGACGCGAAGCUUUUGCUCGCUUUAAUGCAAUACCGCAUUACGCUUCCCUCACGCUCAAGAUGCCUGGUCCACGUGGCAUCAUUACAGUGAAUGGAAGUAUUAAGAGAUAUUUGUGCGCUGAAGAGAAUGCGACUGCCUUGGCAGCCGCACACUAAAAACGUCCUCACCAACUAAAGCAUUUGAUAGGUCGUCAAGACCACGGACGCGGUUAGACGAGUCUGGCGCUGCUAUAUGUAAUUUGUACCGGAUUGAUGGCCACACCCCUAUUACAAAUACAAGGGGCUCAACGCGCGCAGACAAGUGGCAAUUUCUACUCAUUUCUAGUUAUACAUGGUUUCUUUAAAAACCAUCUUUUUGCACGACAACUUUUUCACCUAAGUUCCUCUCUUUUACAGAUGAUCAUCGUGCUACACCCGUCCAGGAUACGGCACAAUGGAGACACAGGCGCAGACGUGCAGUAGGGACCCGCUCCAAGGAUUCUUUUUAGAUUAAGACCCUGCGUAAACCUUUUUUACUGUCUCUUGUUGAUACACAUCCCUCGAAUUCUCAGUACAAUUGAAAAGGAUGCUGCCGUCUUGGCAUGUGGCCACGUUAGAGUAAUGCAUGUACCUAGACACAAGGAGCUUCUUACAAAGGGCACUAUUUAGGCCCGGUCUAUACCAUAAAUACCGAAUACCUUAGGGAGUGUUUGGCGUCGCGAGUUUGGCCUUAUAUGCAUCAGCUCCGAAUCAUUGUCUUUGGUCAAAUGUUGGGUUUGCCCGGCUCCUGUGUUUUGGUGCCUUACGUUCCACUUUAUCGGCUAAGGCAGCACCAGGAGAACUACUGCGAUUGUGCCCUGGUUCAUCCGGACGAGCACCUCAGUAGAGAAAGCUGAAAACUAACUAUCAUGAUAUAGCGUGAGACUGGUCAACCACUCGAUGACCUAUCGGAAUGUUAGAAUUCCUCCGCCUUAAUGAAGGGCCGUUUUCGGGCCAGGCAUGUACGCACCCCGAGAUCGGGAGAGUGCGGAGCCACCAGGGGCUAUCUAGUAGCCCCACUAUCAAACUCCUAUGGCUAAGUGAAAGUGUUAAAGCAUUAUAGUCCGGUUGCCUCGUUCGCUGCGCUAUCACCUCCUUAAUAGGACCAAGACAUUGGGUUAAGUGUGAACACGCAUUUUUCAUGAGAACCUCCGCAUUAUAUGCGUGGGGGUUGAAGCCAAUGACUGCAAUCUUUCAGGUUAUAUACAUAUAUACAUAAACGGCCACACAAGAGGAAUCACGUUACUUUCCGGCAAAAGUAUAAAUACAGCCUUACUAUAUUUCAUAAAAACAUUGUGUUUACAAUGGGAAUACAUGUCAUUCAAACAUAAUAUUCUUCGAGCACUGGGACUCUAUCAAACGAGCACCCUCAAGAACCUCUUCAAAAUAGUGCUCGACAGAUACUCGGCCCAUGGCCGAACCUUGCGCUGCAACAGUGGUAGCAUCCAUCUCUGCCCAGUAUGCCUUGACACGGGCAAAGGCCAUCCGCGAGCCUUCUAUGCACGCCGACCUCUUCAUCACAUUGAUGCGCGGCACCGCACCAAGGAACUGCUGCACUAAGCUGAAAUAGCUGUUCGGCUUCGGCUUCUCCGGCCACAACUGAUCUACAACAGACCUCAUGGCGAUUCCGGACAACCUAUUAAGUUCGGCCCAUUCGGCUAGCUGAUCAGUCAAGGGAAGCGGACUCUCUGGAACGUUGAAUUGCGACCAGAAUAGCUUGUCCACUUCACGACCUGAUUGAUCUUGGAAGUAUUCGACCGCAUCGACAGCGCUCGCCACCAAGUCCAUAUAUGCGUCUGCCGAACUCCACAGCCGAUCAAGAGGGGCAUACCGCGGAUCUCCGAACUUCCUCCACAGCAGAAAGGGCUUCCCAGCCGCAAUAUCCCCGGCUUCGCGCAGCUCCUCCUUCUUCGCCCUCAUAGCAGAGCAUCUGUCUUUGGUCGCCAUAGUGGCCUUCUCCAGGUCCGCUGCCUUCACUCGGUUCUCCUCUUUAAGGAACUGGCAACGUUCGGCAGUGCCUUUUAAUUCUACGGCCAUCUUGGCCAUCUUUUCUUUGCUUUUGCAAUGGAUGGCCUUCUCGGCUCUUAACUCCCCGGCCGCCUUCAAAGCAGCUGCAAUACUAACCCUCGCUUGUUCCUUGGCUCGGGCGAGCUCCGCCCGAAGGGUAUCCACGGUGGCAGCUCCGUCUGCAGUCACAACAUAUUAAAGAUACUAGCAUCAUGCUGCUCUUAUUGUGUGACAUUCACCAGAAAACAUUACUUCCCCUGUGAUUCAUCAAGCCGCUUGUUAACAAACUCGAUGUCGGCGUCUGCCGCAUCCAGUUGCCGUUUUAAUUCGGCAAACUCACUAGUCCGGCUAGCCACCGGAGCUUCCACCACCUGCACAUAAAGGCAGUCUGGUUAUUGCUUGGGACUAUGAUCCUCUGUUCGCCGCCAUUCUCGACGACAUCCAGAGUCUCAGGGGCUACUAUCUACACAGGGCACACCUAACAUGUGCGGUACUAUCACAUAUUAUCUCACAUCCCUCAAAGCCUGUCAGUAGACUCAUAAAGGCUUCAUGUAAUCCGCUUUCGGCAGACGAAAUUCUCUCCAUCACCGUACCCAUUAGCGUACUGUGUUCUUCUGAGAUGGCCACUCGCCCCACCAGCUCCCUCAGAACGUCCGACCACAGACCAGACGGUGCCAGACUCUUUUGUUUGCUCUCUUCGAGAGCCGGACGCUGGGGACUUUGGGGGUCUAUGGGAUUAUCUUCUGGCCUCACCGGGUCCGGAGAGGCCCUCCGUGAUGACACUUUGGGGUCGCCCGCUUCUUGAGCGGAGGAGUCCGGGGGAGGCGUUUCGCUCUCCAUCAUCUCCGGAAGAAGAUCCCCCGAAGACGAGCUCAGCUGAGAGGGGCUAAGACCCGAACUGCAAGAUAUAUGCGGCGGUUAUUUUCUCAGAAGAAAGAUGGUAUACCUUCACUAUUAAAGUAUUUUUGGGAUCACUUACGACUCGUUGGAGGGCUGAUCCCCCCGCAGACUUUGUGCGGCAAGAGCACCCCUCGAGGCAGGACCCUCUGUUGGAGACUUCUUCUCCCGUUUGGAGGCCUCGGCUUCCGGAUCCUCGGAAGCAGUCCUCUUCCUCCCUCGGUUAUCCUCCUUUAUGGAGGUGCUCAUUCCCUCGGUUGGAACUGGCAGCGAUGGGGGCCCGCUUCCGCCCAUAUUAUUCCCCCAUGUAUCUUCCUUAGAGGGCUCCGGGCAAGGUGCGAGCUCAAGCAUCUUUUCCAAAACCGGAUUUUCCAAACCCUCAGGGAGGGGGGCCGAACACCGAAUCAUCUUCGCCUUUGUUAGUCAGUCCUGGUCAAAGAGCGAUCUCUCAGAAAUAACUUCAUGAGUAAAAUACGGUGUGUUCAGCUAAGAGGAUUUCUUACUUGUUCGGCGGCGCGGUUACUGCUCAAGCCCACGUCCUCGGUAGUAUCCGAACACUCUAUUUGAGGUCCGAAGAAUGACUUGUACAUCUCCUCGUGCGUCAGGCCGAGGAAACUUUGAAUGGCACGCGGUCCUUCUGGGUUGAACUCCCACAAGCGAAGGGGGCGGCGUUUGCAAGGCUGGACUCGACGAACCAGCAUAACUUGCAUUACCACAACCAAAUUAAAAUCUCCCUCGAAGAGAUCUUGAAUGCGGCUUUGCAGUAUAGGCACGUCCUUGGCUGGACCCUAGCUAAGACCUCUGCUAAUCCAUGACACCAGUUGUGGUGGGGGGCCCGAGUGGAAAGCGGGGGCAGCCGCCCACUUGGCACUUCUGGGAGCCGUGACGUAAAACCACUCCCGUUGCCAUAAUUCGGACACCUCUGGAAAGGAACCUUUCAGCCAUGAAGCUCCUGCCAUCUUGCCUAUUGACGCGCCUUCGCACGCUGCAUGUUGCCCCUCGAUCAUCUUUGGCUUCACUUCAAAGGUCUUGAGCCACAGGCCAAAGUGAGGGGUAAUGCGGAGGAAGGCCUCACACAUGACAAUAAAUGUCAAGAUGUGGAGAAACGAGUCCGGAGCUAGAUCAUGGAAAUCUAGCCCGUAAUAGAACAUCAAACCCCUGACGAAGGGAUCCAGAGUGAGGCCUAGGCCUCGGAGGAAGUGGGAGAUGAACACGACAUUCUUGUCUGGUUCGGGAGUGGGGACAACCUGCCCUUGAGCAGGCAGCCGAUGCGAAACCUCGGCGGUCAGGUAUCUGGCCUCCCUCAACUUCUUGAUAUCCUCUUCUGUGACGGAGGAGGGCAUGCACCAGCCUUGAAGGCUGGAUCCGGACAUGAUUGAAGAUUCGGAGCACCUGACCUGGGCUUUGGGUGUUAGAACUCGAGGUGGGGGAGGGGUUCGAUUGAGCAUGAGAGUGAAAAAGCGAAAACCUUGUCCCUUUAUAAAGAGGGUGAAUAUCAAGCGUCCUCUCCGUAGCCGUUUGGGACUUGCCUAUAAUCUAGGAGUCCUAGACACUGUUGGGUUACCCACGACCGUAUUAAUGAGAAUCCCGUAAUUGGGGGAACACGAUCUCUUCUUUGACAAGACGUGUCAAGAAACCGCCUCGCGUUAUGUGUGGAGCUAGUUGAAGAAAAACAGUUCGAAUAAUCACCGGGCCAUGGCAUAACGUCGUGCUGCCAAAACAAGUCAGCAAAUUAGAUUUGCGAAAAUAUUAUUCUCUCUACGGUGGUAUGUGGAACUUAUCUUGCAGGGUCGGACACUAUACUUGUAUUCAAAUUCUUCCGUGGUGUAUUCGGAGGAGGAACCCGCCUUGCAAUGCCGAAGACAAUACUGCGCGUGUGACUCAUCGUCAUUGAAGCCUGGUUCAGGGGCUACUGAGUGAGUCCUGGAUUAGGGGGUCUCCGGACAGCCGGACUAUAUCCUUUGGCCGGACUGUUAGACUAUGAAGAUACAAGAUUGAAGACUUCGUCUCGUGUCCGAAUAGGACUCUACUUGGUGUGGAAGGCAAGCUAGGCAAUACGGAUAUGGAUAUCUCCUCCUUUGUAACUGACCUUGUGUAAACCUAACCCUCUCCGGUGUCUAUAUAAACCGGAGGGUUUUAGUCCGUAGGACAACAUACAAUCAUACCACAGGCUAGCUUCUAGGGUUUAGCCUCUUUGAUCUCGUGGUAGAUCUACUCUUGUACAACCCAUAUCAUCAAUAUUAAUCAAGCAGGACGUAGGGUUUUACCUCCAUCAAGAGGGCUCGAACCUGGGUAAAACAUUGUGUCCCCUGUCUCCUGUUACCAUCCGGCCUAGACGCACAAUUCGGGACCCCCUACCCAAGAUCCGCCGGUUUUGACACCGAUAACCAUUAUCUUUAAUGUAUUCACACAUUUUUAGGGGUCAUCUCUGGUAGGUAAACCGAAUCAGUAUGGGACUACUACCUGUGUUAUCCUGCAAUUCUCACAAACACAUUAGUCCCUCAACCAAGUUUGUCGUCAAUACUCCAAAACCAACUAGGGGUGGCAUGAUACGUCCAUGUUGCACCAUGCUUUUAUAUCGACAUUUAUUGCAUUAUGGGCUGUUAUUACACAUUAUGUCACAAUACUUAUGCCUAUUCUCUCUUAUUUUAUAAGGUUUACAUAAAGAGGGAGAAUGCCGGCAGCUGGGAUUCUGGGCUGGAAAAGGAGCAAAUAUUAGAGACCUAUUCUGCACAGCUCUAAAAGUCCUGAAACUUCACGGAAGACGUUUUUAGAAUAUAUAAAAAAUACUGAGUGCAAGAAGUUCGCCAGGGGGCCACACCCUGCCCACGAGGGUAAGGGGCGCGCCCUACCCCCUGGGCGCGCCCCCUACCUCGUGGCCCCCCUGGUGGCCCUCCGAUGGCCAUCUUCUGCUAUAUGGAGUCUUUUGAUGAGGAAAAAAUCAUAAGCCAUCUCGUCGGACGAAACUCCGCCGCCACGAGGCGAAACCUUGGCAGAUCCGAUCUAGGGCUCCGGUAGAGCUGUUCUGCUAGGGAAACUUCCCUCCGGGAGGGGGAAAUCAUCGCCAUCGUCAUCACCAACGCUCCUCUCAUCGGGAGAGGGCAAUCUCCAUCAACAACUUCACCAACACCAUCUCCUCUCAAAACCCUAGUUCAUCUCUUGUAUCCAACUCUUGUCUCCAAGUCCGGGAUUGGUACUAGUAGGUUGCUAGUAGUGUUAAUUACUCCUUGUAGUUGAUGCUAGGUUGUUUAUUUGGUGGAAGAUCAUAUAUUUAGAUCCUAUAUGCAUAUUAAAACCCCUCUAAUUAUGAACAUGAUUAUGCUUUGUGAGUAGUUAUGUUUGUUCCUGAGGACAUGGGAGAAGUCUUGCUAUUAGUAGUCAUGUGAAUUUGGUAUUCGUUCGAUAUUUUGAUGAGAUGUAUGUUGUCUCUCCUCUAGUGGUGUUAUGUGAAUGUCGACUACAUAACACUUCACCAUUAUUUGGGCCUAAAGGAAGUCAUUGGGAAGUAAUAAGUAGAUUAUGGGUUGCUAGAGUGACAGAAGCUUAAACCCUAGUUUAUGCGUUGCUUCGUAAGGGGCUGAUUUGGAUCCAUAUGUUUCAUGCUAUGGUUAGGUUUACCUUAAUACUUUUGUUGUAGUUGCGGAUGCUUGCAGUAGAGGUUAAUCAUGAGAGGGAUGCUUGUCCAAGUAAGGACAGUACCCAAGCACCGGUCCACCCACAUACCAAAUUAUCAAUGUACCGAACGCGGAUCAUAUGAACGUGAUGAAAACUAGCUUGACGAUAUUCCCAUGUGUCCUUGGGAGCGCUUUUCUCUAUAUAAGAGUUUGUCCAGGCUUGUCCUUUGCUACAAAAAGGAUAGGGCCCCCUUGCUGCACUUUAUUUACUUUUGUUACUUGUUGCUCGUUACAAAUUAUCCUAUCACAAAACUAUUUGUUACUACUUAUUUUAGUACUUGCAGAGAAUACCUUGCUGGAAACCGCUUAUCAUUUCCUUCUGCUCCUCAUUGGGUUCGACACUCUUACUUAUCAAAAGGACCAUGAUAGAUCCGCUAUACUUGUGGGUCAUCAAGACUCUUUUCUGGCGCCUUUGCCAGGGAGUGAAGCGCCUUUGGUAGGUGGAAUUUGGUAAGGAAAAUUUAUAUAGUGUGCUGAAAUUUACUGUCGCUUGUUACUAUGGAAAGUAAUCCUCUGAGGGGCUUGUUCGGGGUAUCUUCACCCCAAACAGUAGAGCAAAGAGUUGCUCCUCAACCUACUAAACCUACUAAAAAUGAAAAUGUCUGCUUUGAAAUUCCUUCGGGUAUGAUAGAAAAACCGCUAGCUGCUCCUUUUGCACGAGACGGAACAACUCAUCCUGAUGAGCACCUAAUAUAUGUGGAUGAAGUUUGUGGAUUAUUUAAGCUUGCAGGUGUACUCGGAGAUGUUAUUAAGAAGAAGGUCUUCCCUUUAUCUUUGAAGGAAGAUGCAUUGACAUGGUAUAGGCUAUGUGAUAAUACGGGGUCAUGGAACUACAAAUGAUUGAAAUUGGAAUUUCAUCAGAAGUUUUAUCCUAUGCAUCUUGUUCAUCGUGAUCGCAAUUAUAUAUAUAAUUUUUGGCCUCGUGAAGGAGAAAGCAUCGCUCAAGCUUGGGGGAGGCUUAAAUCAAUGUUAUAUUCAUGCCCCAAUCAUGAGCUCUCAAGAGAAAUGAUUAUUCAAAAUUUUUAUGCUCAGCUUUCUGAUAACAAUCGCACCAUGCUCGAUACUUCUUGUGCUGGCUCUAUGAUGACGAAGACUAUUGAAUUCAAAUGGGAUUUAUUGGAAAGAAUUAAAUGCAACUCUGAAGAUUGGGAUCUCGACGAAGGUAAGGAGUCAGGUAUGACACCUAAGUUUGAUUGUGUUUAAUCUUUUAUGGAUACCGAUGUUUUCCAUAAAUUUAGCACUAAAUAUGGACUUGACUCUGAGAUAGUAGCUUCUUUCUGUGAAUCUUUUGCUACUUAUGUUGAUCUCCCUAGGGAGAAGUGAUUUAAAUAUCAUCCUCCCAUAGAAGUAAAAGUAGCUGCACCUAUUAAAGUUGAAGAAAAGACUAUCACUUAUAAUGAUCCUAUCAUUCAUACUGCUUAUGUUGAGAAACCACCUUUUCCUGUUAGGAUAAAAGAUCAUGCUAAAGCAUCAACUGUGGUUCGUAAAAGCAAUAUUAAAACUUAUACACCUCCUGAGCAAGUUAAAGUUGAACCUAAUAUUGCUAUUGUUAAAGAUCUCUUGUCUGAUAAUAUUGAUGGGCAUGUUAUUCAUUUCUUUGAUGAGACCGCUAGAAUUGCUAAACCUUGUGCUAAAGAUAAAAACAGACCUGUGGUAGGCAUGCCUUUUAUUUCUGUUAAAAUAGGAGAUCAUUGUUAUCAUGGCUUAUGUGAUAUGGGUGCUAGUGCUAGUGCAAUACCUUACGACUUAUACAAAGAAAUUAUGCAUGAUAUUGCACCUGCUGAGAUAGAAGAUAUUGAUGCCACAAUUAAACUUGCCAAUAGAGAUACUAUUUCACCAAUGGGAAUUGUUAGAGAUGUUGAAGUCUUGUGUGGGAAACUCAAUAUCCUGCUGAUUUUCUUGUUCUUGGUUCCCCAAAAGAUAGCUUUUGUCCCAUUAUAUUUGGUAGACCCUUCUUAAACACUGUUAAUGCUAAGAUAGAUUGCAAAAAGGAUGUUGUUACUAUCGGUUUAGAUGAUAUGUCUCAUGAAUUUAAUUUCUCUAAAUUUAGUAGACAAUACCGUGAAGAAGAAUUACCUAGUAAGGAUGAAAUUAUUGGUCUUGCUUCUAUUGCUGUACCUCCUAGUGAUCCAUUAGAACAAUAUUUGCUAGUCCAUGAAAAUGAUAUGUUUAUGAAUGAAAGAAGGGAAAUAGAUGAAGUAUUCUUUAAACAGGAACCUAUUCUGAAAUACAAUUUGCCUGUUGAAAUCCUAGGGGAUCCUCCUCCACCCAAGGGUGAUCUCAUGUUUGAGCUUAAACCGUUGUGUGAUACUCUUAAAUAUGCUUAUCUUGAUGAGAAAAAGAUAUAUCAUGUUAUUAUUAGUGCUAACCUUUCAGAGCAUGAGGAAGAGAGAUUAUUGAAAACUCUGAAGAAGCACCGUGCUGCUAUUGGGUAUACUCUUGAUGAUCUUAAGGGAAUUAUUCCCACUCUAUGUCAACAUAAAAUAAAUUUGGACGAAGAUGCUAAACCAGUUCGUGAUCAUCAACGACGGCUGAAUCCUAAAAUGAAAGAAGUGGUGAGAAAGGAAAUACUAAAGCUCCUUGAGGCAGGUAUAAUCUAUCCCGUUGCUGAUAGUUAGUGGGUAAGUCCUGUCCAUUGUGUCCCUAAGAAGGGAGGUAUUACUGUCGUUCCUAAUGAUAAAGAUGAAUUGAUUCCUCAAAGAAUUAUUACAGGUUAUAGGAUGGUAAUUGAUUUCCACAAAUUAAAUAAGGCCACUAAAAAGGAUCAUUACCCCUUACCUUUUAUCAAUCAAAUGCUAGAAAGAUUAUCCAAACAUACACAUUUUUGCUUUCUAGAUGGUUAUUCUGGUUUCUCUCAAAUACAUGUGUCAGCCAAGGAUCAAUCAAAGACUACUUUUACUUGCCCUUUUGGUACUUUUGCUUAUAGACGUAUGCCUUUUGGUUUAUGUAAUGCACCUGCUACCUUUCAAAGAUGCAUGAUGGCUAUAUUCUGUGACUUUUGUGAAAAGAUUUGUGAGGUUUUCAUGGACGAUUUCUCCGUCUAUGGAUCUUCUUUUGAUGAUUGCUUGAGCAACCUUGAUCGAGGUUUGCAGAGAUGUGAAGAAACUAAUCUUGUCUUGAGUUGGGAAAAGUGCCACUUUAUGGUUAAUGAAGGUAUUGUCUUGGGGCAUAAAGUUUCUGAAAGAGGUAUUGAAGUUGAUAAAGCCAAGGUUGAUGCUAUUGAAAAGAUGCCAUGCCCCAAGGACAUCAAAGGUAUAAGAAGUUUCCUUGGUCACGCCGGAUUUAAUAGGAGGUUCAUUAAGGACUUCUCAAAAAUUUCUCGGCCUCUGACUAAUUUAUUACAAAAAUAUAUACCAUUUGUCUUUGAUGAUGAUCAUGUAGAAGCAUUUGAAAUACUUAAGAAAGCAUUGAUCUCUGCACCUAUUGUUCAGCCACCUAAUUGGAAUUUACCCUUUGAAAUUAUGUGUGAUGCUAGUGAUUAUGAUGUAGGUGCUGUUCUGAGGCAAAGAGUUGAUAAGAAAUUAAACGUUAUUCAAUACGCUAGUAAAACCCUAGACAAUGCUCAAAGAAAUUAUGCUACUACUAAAAAAUAAUUCUUAGCAUUUGUAUUUGCUUGUGAUAAGUUUAGACCUUAUAUUGUUGAUUCUAAAGUAACUAUUCACACUGAUCAUGCUGCUAUUAAAUAUCUUAUGGAAAAGAAAGAUGCUAAACCUAGACUUAUUAGAUGGGUUCUCUUGCUACAAGAAUUUGAUUUACAUAUUGUUGAUAGAAAGGGAUCUGAGAACCCCGUUGUAGACAACUUGUCUAGGUUAGAAAAUGUGCUUGAUGACCCAUUACCUAUUGAUGAUAGCUUUCCUGAUGAGCAAUUAAAUGUCAUAAAUGCUUCUCAUACUACUCCAUGGUAUGCUGAUUAUGCUAAUUACAUUGUUGCCAAAUUCAUACCACCUAGUUUCACAUACGAGCAAAAGAAAAAGUUCUUCUAUGAUUUGAGGCAUUACUUUUGUGAUGACCCACAUCUUUAUAAAGAAGGAGUAGAUGGUGUUAUUAGACGUUGUGUACCUGAGCAUGAACAGGAACAGGUCCUACGUAAGUGUCACUCUGAAGCUUAUGGAGGACACCAUGCUGGAGAUAGAACUGCACAUAAGGGUAUUGCAAUCUGGUUUUAUUGGCCUACUCUCUUCAAAGAUGCCCGUAAGUUUGUCUUAUCUUGUGAUGAAUGUCAAAGAAUUGGUAAUAUUAGUAGACGUCAAGAAAUGCCUAUGAACUAUUCACUCAUUAUUGAACCAUUUGAUGUUUGGGGCUUUGACUAUAUGGGACCUUUUCCUGCCUCUAAUGGAUAUACACAUAUUUUAGUUGCUGUUGAUUACGUUACUAAGUGGGUAGAAGCUAUUCCAACUAGUAGUGCUGAUCAUAACACUUCUAUUAAAAUGCUUAAAGAAGUUAUUUUUCCAAGAUUUGGAGUCCCUAGAUAUUUAAUGACUGAUGGUGGUUCACAUUUUAUUCAUGGUGCUUUUCGUAAAAUGCUUGCUAAGUAUGAUGUUAAUCAUAAAAUUGCAUCCCCUUAUCACCCACAGUCUAGUGGUCAAGUAGAAUUGAGUAAUAGAGAACUCAAAUUAAUUCUACAAAAGACUGUUAAUAGAUCUAGAAAGAAUUGGUCCAAGAAACUUGAUGAUGCAUUAUGGGCCUAUAGAACUGCAUAUAAAAAUCCUAUGGGUAUGUCUUCAUAUAAAAUGGUUUAUGGAAAAGCAUGUCACUUACCUCUCGAACUAGAACACAAGGCAUAUUGGGCUAUUAAAGAGCUCAAUUAUGAUUUUAAACUUGCCGGUGAGAAGAGGUUAUUUGAUAUUAGCUCACUUGAUGAAUGGAGAACCCAAGCGUACGAAAAUGCCAAGUUGUUUAAAGAAAAAGUUAAAAGAUGGCAUGUUAAAAGGAUACAAAAGCGUGAGUUUCAUGUAGGUGAUUAUGUAUUGCUAUACAACUCUCAUUUAAGAUAUUUUGCAGGAAAACUUCUCUCUAAAUGGGAAGGUCCUUACGUUAUCGAGGAGGUCUAUUGUUCUAGUGCCAUAAAAAUCAACAACUUCAAAGGCACAAAUCCGAAGGUGGUGAACAGUCAAAGAAUCAAACAUUAUAUCUCAGGUAAUCCCAUAAAUGUUGAAACCAAUGUUAUUGAAACCGUAACCCCGGAGGAAUACAUAAGGGACACUUUUCGAAACAUUUCAGACUCCGAAAAGGAAUAGGUAUGUGGUACGGCAAGUAAACCGACUCCAAAAUAGUUUUUAAGGCAAUAUUUCUCCGUUUUGGAAUAUUUAGAAAAAUAGAAAAAUAAGAAGCAGUCCGGGAAGGACACGAGGGCUCCACGAGGGUGGAGGGCGCGCCCUACCCUCCUGGGCGCGCCCCCUACCUCGUGGGCACCUCGUGCGCUUUCCGGACUCUGUUUUCUUACACGACACAUAUUUUGGUCGAUAAAAAUUCAUUAUAUCAUUUCCCAAAGGUUUUGACUCCUGUAUCACGCAAAUAUCCUUUGUUCUUGUUUCGAGCUGUUUCCUGUCAGGGUCAUCAAGGCCAGUCAUCAUGUCGUCCCCCUCCUCCAACAAUGGUGACAACAAUGCUUGGCUACCGAAGAUAGAGUUGAAGAGGGAAGAACCCAUGGAGAUCAACAAGGAUGAAGGGAUCAAGAAGGCCAUGGAGGAUCACACUCCGGCAUCAGAAGACAUCCUUCAACUUGAUCACAAUAUUCUUACCCCAACUAAGAUCGAAGCUUUCAAGAUGAUUGAGUUAGCUCAUAUACAGAACAAGUAUCUCACACGUGAAAAUAUUUUGUUGAAGGAGCAUAUUGUUGCACUCAAGGGCAUUAUCGCAAGAUGGAGGACCUCUUACGCUCGAUGUGUGACUAUCCAUCAUCAUCUCCAUCUUCUCCACCAACAAAUAAGAACUGAGCAUCGGGUAUGGGCACUCCCCUUGGCAACUGCCAAGAUUGGGGGAGUGCCCCGGUAUCGUAUCACCAUCACUUUUAUCUUUACCAUUUUUCUUAGUUCGAUCCUUUUGUUAAUAUCUUGAUCUAGUAGAAUAAAGUUUAUGGCCUGAUCUAGUUUUGAGUUUUGCUUUAUGAUCCCUCUAUGUAAUCGAGUCUGUGAGCUAUAUAUAAUAAAGAUGAGUGUUGAGUCAAGGGCUUGAUUAUUUUGCCAUGAUCCUAAGUGAAUAAAAGAAAAGAGAAAUAAAUAAAAAGGAAACAAAGAGAUCAUAUGGAUCUUAUGGAGAGUAAUGAGCUCACAUAGAAAAGGUAUGAUGAAUAAAAGUUGUUGAGAGUUGACAAGCAUAGUUUUGGUCAUCGUUGCAAUUAAUAGGAAGUAAUAAAGAAAGAGAGGUCUUCACAUAUAAAUAUACUAUCUUGGACAUCUUUUAUGAUUGUGAGCACUCAUUAAAAUAUGACAUGCUAAAGAGUUGAUGUUGGACAAGGAAGACAACGUAAUGGGUUAUGUUUUCUUACAUAUGAGAUAAAUUAUAUUGUCAUGGAUCAUCCAACAUGGUUGAGCUUGCUUUCCCCCUCAUGCUAGCCAAAUUCAUCGCACCAAGUAGAGAUACUACUUGUGCUUCCAAAUACCCUUAAACCAGUUUUGCCAUGAGAGUCCACCAUACCUACCUAUGGAUUGAGUAAGAUCCUCCAAGUAAGUUGUCAUCGGUGCAAGCAAUAAAAAUUGCUCUCUAAAUAUGUAUGACUUAUUAGUGUGUGAUAAAAUAAGCUUUAUACGAUCGUGUGAUAUGGAAGAAAUAAAAGUGAUAGACUGCAUAAUAAAGGUCCAUAUCAGAAGUGGCAAUAUAAAGUGACGUUCUUUCGCAUUAAGAUUUUGUGCAUCCAACUAUAAAAGCGCAUGACAACCUCUGCUUCCCUCUGUGAAGGGCCUAUCUUUUACUUUUAUCUCCUACCUUGCAUAAGAGUCAUGGCGAUCUUCACCCUUCCUUUUUAAAUUUCAUCCUUUGGCAAGCACAGUAUGUUGGAAAGAUCCUGGUAUAUAUGGCUAAUUGGAUGUGAGUUUUCAUGAACUAUUAUUGUUGACAUUACCCUCAGGUGUUCAAGGAGAGGGUAUUUAAGGAAGGCCCUUGGGAGGAAGGAGGGGAUGCGGACAAUGUGUGGAUGAAGAUGGCGACUUGCAUUCGUAAGGUGGCCUCGGAGGAGUUUGGAGUGUCCAGGGGAAGGAGAAGCAAAGAUAAGGAUACCUGGUGGUGGAAUGAUGAUGUCCAGAAGGCGCUUAAAGAGAAGAAAGAUUGCUUCAGACGCCUAUACCUGGAUAGGAGUGCAGACAACAUAGAGAAGUACAAGAUGGCGAAGAAGGCCGCAAAGCGAGCUGUUGGUGAAGAAAGGGGUCGGGUAUAUGAGGACCUCUACCAACGGUUAGGCACGAAGGAAGGUGAAAGGGACAUCUAUAAGAUGGCUAAGAUCCGGGAGAGGAAGACGAGGGAUAUUGGCCAAGUCAAAUGCAUCAAGGACGGAGCAGGCCAACUCUUGGUGAAGGACGAAGAGAUUAAGCAUAGAUGGCGGGAGUACUUCGACAAGCUGUUCAAUGGGGAGAAUGAGAGUUCUACCAUUGAACUGAAUGACUCCUUUGAUGAGACCAGCAUGUGUUUUGUGUGGCGCGUCCAGGAGUCUGAGGUGAAGGAGGCUUUAAAAAGGAUGAAAGGAGGCAAGGCGAUGGGCCCUGAUUGUAUCCCCAUUGAGGUGUGGAAAGGUCUCGGGGACAUAGCGAUAGUAUGGCUAACCAAGCUUUUCAACCUCAUUUUUCAGGCAAACAAGAUGCCAGAAGAAUGGAGACGGAGUAUAUUAGUACCAAUCUUCAAGAACAAGGGGGAUGUUCAGAGUUGUACUAAUUACCAUGGAAUUAAGCUGAUGAGCCAUACAAUGAAGCUAUGGGAGAGAGUCAUUGAGCACCGCUUAAGAAGAAUGACAAGCGUGACCAAAAAUCAGUUUGGUUUCAUGCCUGGGAGGUCGACCAUGGAAGCCAUUUUCUUGGUACGACAACUUAUGGAGAGAUAUAGGGAGCAUAAGAAGGACUUGCAUAUGGUGUUCAUUGACUUGGACAAGGCCUAUGAUAAGAUACCGCGGAAUGUCAUGUGGUGGGCCUUGGAGAAACACAAAGUCCCAGCAAAGUACAUUACCCUCAUCAAGGACAUGUACAAUAAUGUUGUGACAAGUGUUCGAACAAGUGAUGUCGACACCGAUGACUUCCCGAUUAAGAUAGGACUGCAUCAGGGGUCAGCUUUGAGCCCUUAUCUUUUUGCAUUGGUGAUGGAUGAGGUCACAAGGGGUAUACAAGGAGAUAUCCCAUGGUGUAUGCUCUUUGCGGAUGAUGUGGUGCUAGUUGACGAUAGUCGGACGGGGGUAAAUAGGAAGUUAGAGUUAUGGAGACAAACCUUGGAAUCGAAAGGGUUUAGGCUUAGUAGAACUAAAACCGAGUACAUGAUGUGCGGUUUCAGUACUACUAGCUGUGAGGAGGACGAGGUUAGCCUUGAUGGCCAGGUGGUACCUCGGAAGGACACCUUUCGGUAUUUGGGGUCAAUGUUGCAGGAGGAUGGGGGUAUUGAUGAAGAUGUGAACCAUCGAAUCAAAGCCGGAUGGAUGAAGUGGCGCCAAGCUUCUGGCAUUCUCUGUGACAAGAGAGUGCCACAAAAGCUAAAAGGCAAGUUCUACAGGACGGCGGUUCGACCCACAAUGUUGUAUGGCGCGGAGUGUUGGCCGACUAAAAGGCGACAUGUUCAACAGUUAGGUGUGGCGGAGAUGCGUAUGUUGAGAUGGAUGUGUGGCCACACGAGGAAGGAUCGAGUCCGGAAUGAUGAUAUACGAGAUAGAGUUGGGGUAGCACCAAUUGAGGAGAAGCUUGUCCAACAUCGUUUGAGAUGGUUUGGGCAUAUUCAGCGCAGGCCUCCAGAAGCUCCAGUGCAUAGCGGACGGCUAAAGCGUGCGGAGAAUGUCAAGAGAGGGCGGGGUCGACCGAUUUUGACAUGGGAGGAGUCCGUUAAGAGAGACCUGAAGGAUUGGAGUAUCGACAAAGAGCUAGCUAUGGACAGGGGUGCGUGGAAGCUUGCUAUCCAUGUGCCAGAGCCAUGAGUUGGUUGCGAGAUCUUAUGGGUUUCACCUCUAGCCUACCCCAACUUGUUUGGGACUAAAGGCUUUGUUGUUGUUGUUUUGUUGUUUACCCUUGAGGUAAUACAUUGGGAGGCAAAACUAUAAGCCCCUAUCUUUCUCGGUGUCCGAUUAAAACUCCAUAUCCAUAAGUAUUGCGUGAGUGUCAGCAAUUGUGAAAGACUAUAUGAUAGUUGAGUAUGUGGACUUGCUGAAACGCUCUUAUAUAUUGACUCUUUCGUAUGUUAUGAUAAAUUGGAAUUGCUCCAAUGACUGAGAUUAUAGUUUGUUAGUUUUCAAUGAAGUUUACGAUUCAUACUUGAAAUUGUGAUUGAAUUAUUACUCUAGCAUAAGAAAUCAUAUGACAAGAGUUAUGUAAGUUGCUGUUCUAAGAAUGAUCAUGAUGCCCUCAUGUCCGUAUUUUACUUUUAUCGACACCUCUAUCUCUAAACAUGUGGACAUAUUUUCGAUUUCGACUUUCGCUUGAGGACAAGCGAGGUCUAAGCUUGGGGGAGUUGAUACGUCCAUUUUGCAUCAUGCUUUUAUAUCGACAUUUAUUGCAUUAUGGGCUAUUAUUACACAUUAUGUCACAAUACUUAUGCCUAUUCUCUCUUAUUUUACAAGGUUUACAUAAAGAGGGAGAAUUCCGGCAGCUGGGAUUCUGGGCUGGAAAAGGAGCAAAUAUUAGAGACCUAUUCUGCACAGCUCCAAAAGUCCUGAAACUUCACGGAAGACGUUUUCAAAAUAUAUAAAAAAUACGGAGCGCAAGAAGUUCACCAGGGGGGCCACACCCUGCCCACGAGGGUGGGGGGCGCCCCCUACCCCCCUGGGCGCGCCCCCUACCUCGUGGGCCCCUGGUGGCCCUCCGAUGGCCAUCUUCUGCUAUAUGGAGUCUUUCGAUGAGGAAAAAAUCAUAAGCCAUCUCCUUGGAUGAAACUCCGCCGCCACGAGGCGGAACCUUGGCGGAUCCAAUCUAGGGCUCCAGCAGAGCUGUUCUACCGAGGAAACUUCCCUCCGGGAGGGGGAAAUCAUCGCCAUCGUCAUCACCAACGCUCCUCUCAUCAGGAGAGGGCAAUCUCCAUCAACAUCUUCACCAGCACCAUCUCCUCUCAAAACCCUAGUUCAUCUCUUGUAUCCAAUUCUUGUCUCCAAGUCCGGGAUUGGUACUAGUAGGUUGCUAGUAGUGUUAAUUACUCCUUGUAGUUGAUGCUAGUUGGUUUAUUUGGUGGAAGAUCAUAUGUUCAGAUCCUAUAUGCAUAUUAAUACCCCUCUGAUUAUGAACAUGAUUAUGCUUUGUGAGUAGUUACGUUUAUUCCUGAGGACAUGGGAGAAGUCUUGCUAUUAGUAGUCAUGUGAAUUUGGUAUUUGUUCGAUAUUUUGAUGAGAUGUAUGUUGUCUCUCCUCUAGUGGUGUUAUGUGAACGUCGACUACAUAACACUUCACCAUUAUUUGGGCCUAGAGGAAGGCAUUGGGAAGUAAUAAGUAGAUGAUGGGUUGCUAAGUGACAGAAGCUUAAACCCUAGUUUAUGCGUUGCUUCGUAAGGGGCUGAUUUGGAUCCAUAUGUUUCAUGCUAUGGUUAGGUUUACCUUAAUACUUUUGUUGUAGUUGCGGAUGCUUGCAAUAGAGGUUAAUCAUAAGAGGGAUGCUUGUCCAAGUAAGGACAGUACCCAAGAACCGGUCCACCCACAUACCAAAUUAUCAAAGUACCGAAUGCGAAUCAUAUGAACUUAUGAAAACUAGCUUGACGAUAUUCCCAUGUGUCCUCGGGAGCGCUUUUCUCUAUAUAAGAGUUUGUCCAGGCUUGUCCUUUGCUACAAAAAGGAUUGGGCCACCUUGCUGCACUUUAUUUACUUUUGUUACUUGUUGCUCGUUACAAAUUAUCCUAUCACAAAACUAUUUGUUACUACUUAUUUCUGUACUUGCAGAUAAUACCUUGCUGGAAACCGCUUAUCAUUUCCUUCUGCUCCUCGUUGGGUUCGACACUCUUACUUAUUGAAAGGACUAUGAUAGAUCCCCUAUACUUGUGGGUCAUCAUGGCACUAGAGGCACUUAAUCUCCCCUUUUUGGUGAUUGAUGACAAACUGGUUGAAGUUUUCAACGGGGAUAAAAGUAUGUGAAAGUUGAGAAUUACAACAUUGUCUUCAUAAGUAGCAAAAGGCUCCCCCUAAAUAUGUGCAUAUAAGUAGUUUGCUUUUGAAUGCAAAUGCACAUGGCAGGUUUUACUUUGUGGAGAUCCUCUUCAACUUGAAGACAAUUCCUCAGCCAUAUAAAGAUAUAACGAAGAUAAUGAUAUGCAUAAUGAAAAAUGGACAUCUGCGGUAUGACUUCAUGCGGAAUUUAUCAUCGCAUCACAGAGUAGAAGAAAAAGUAGCAGGCGACCAUCGAGUUUAAGUGUUACAACCCAAAGAACCAAAUGUAUCAAAAACGAGAGUUGUAAACACCUGGCAAAAAUAGUGCAACCACCCAUAAGGACCCACUUGAAGACUAUCAACUCAUAUGCUUCUCCCCCUUUUGUCAGUAAUGACCAAAAAGGUUUGAAGACAUAGAUUAUCUACUCGUUCCCAUCAGGAGUAGAUGUAGGUGCAGGGUCGAUGUUGGAGUUCGUUGGUGCAGAAGGGCCUGGUGCAGUGUCGAGAUGCAGUGAAGCCAUGGUUGGUUGUAAGUGCAUCUAGUGCCACCCCUAGUUGGUUUUGGAGUAUUUAUGACAAACCUGGUUGAGGGACUAAUGAGUUUGUGAGAAUUGCAGGAUAACACAGGUAGAAGUCCCUCAUUGAUUCGGUUUUCCUACCAGAGAUGACCCCUAAAAAUGUAUGAAGACAUUGAAGUCAAAGGUGGGAUGUGAAGAAAUUCACAUUGAAGACUAUGACAAGAGAAGACAUCGUGUGAAUACUAUGGAGGGCGAAGACUUAGUUGUUUCGUCGUUCUUUUUCUUCUUCAUUGAGUCAUAGGAACCACCAUACUGUUAAGUGGGGUCCAAGUGAACCAGUCAGAAUGACUGAAGUGAUGCUUAACCAAAAUCCUAUGUCUUCGAGCGAAGACUAUGGGAGCAAAUCUUAUCCAGAGUUGGAUAAGUCAGCUUUUCUUGUAGCCCAAGUAAAGUUGUCGUGUGUGUUUGAAAUCUGACCGUUGGAACACGUGUCAGUUCCUUAGUGACCCAGGGUCAUUUCAGACAAAUCAGGUCGGGUUGUCUAGUGGCUAUAAAUAGCCCACCCCCUACAACCAUAAACGGUUGGCUGCUCAGAGUUAGUGUACGACUUUUGUCGUUUGAGAGCAACCCACCUCGAAGCCUUUGAGAGGGAAUUCUUUGCGAGGAUAAAGCCCUAAACACCCAAAGCCAAAGAGUGUUAGGCAUCACUUAAGUCUUCUUGUCUAUGUGAUCUGAAGACUUACUACACUUGAGGACUGUGAAUCCUCUAGCCAGUUAGGCGUCAUGUUCUAAGCAUCCAAGAGUCAUUGUGGAUUGCCGGUGAACGAAGUCUGUGAAGGUUUGGAAGUCUGCCUUGAAGACUUGCCCGAGUGAUUGGGCGAGGACUGGGUGUCCUUAGCUCAAGGGGAAUAAGGUGAAGACACGGUCUUCCGAGUUGAAUCUGAGCCUCCCUAACUAGACGUACAGUUGUCACAUCAACUGGAACUGGUCCAACAAAUCAUUAUCUUCAACGAGUCACUGGUUCUACCCUUCCCAUCUCUUUAUUUACAGUUGGUCCUUGUGAAGUCAUUGUCUGUUUGCAUUAUCUUCUGUCUUCACUGAGUGACUGCUUGUUCUAAUUGGCUUCAUACUAUCUUCCUACCUGAUCCAUACUGCCUAGCUGCCAUUAGUCAUUGUGCUUUCACUUCAUUGAAUAUUUGACUAUGGUUUGCUUAGUGUAGUCUACCUUCCACUGCAUGGUAAUAGGUUUAUUUCUAUCGUUUGUCUUGGAAACUCCCAUGUUUUGAAGAAUUUCUUCAAAAUCGCCUAUUCACCCCCUCUAGUCAAUCACUAGCACUUUCAAUUGGUAUCAGAGCAAGGUACUCCCUUGUUUUGUGUGAUUCGGUUUAACCACCUGGAGUUUUAGCUAUGUCGACUGCAGGGAUAAUCAAAGUCUCCGCUGCGUGCCCAGUCUUCGAUGGAACUGAAUAUCCCUACUGGAAGAAUAAGAUGCGCAUGCAUCUUGAGGCCAUUGAUGUCGACCUCUGGUAUGUCGUCAAGAAUGGCGUUCCCAAGGCUGGUGAAGGUGUCACCGCUGCUGAUGUCAAGAAGUUCGUUCAACUGGACUCCACUACCAAGAACAUCAUCUGUGGUCAUCUGACCAAAGGACAGUAUGGCCAUGUGAGUGCUUUGGAAACAUUAAGCUAGUCUGGGACUGGCUCUCCAAGGUCAACGGAGGCGUCUCAACCCAGAGAGAUCAAAGAAUCAGUGUCCUUCGCAACCUCUUCAACCGCUUCAAGAGAAACGACAAUGAGAAUGUUCAGCUCACGUUUGAUCGACUCACUGACAUCACAAAUGAACUUCAAGCCCUUGGCGCUACUGAGAUCACCAAGCAUGAAGUCGUCAAGACACUCCUGAGAUCACUUGACAGCUCGUUUGACACCCUAGCCCUGAUGAUUCAAGAACGUCGUGACUUCAAGACACUCGAUCCAUCUGACAUACUUGAAAGGCUCAACACACAUGAGUUUCAGCUUUCUGAGAAAAGAGACAUCUACGGUCCCAACUAUGGGCGAACUUGUGCCCUGAAGGCAAAAGCUGUCUCCUCAUCUGAAGAAGAAUCUGGCAGCAGUUCUGAUGAUCCUGAAGACAUUGGAAAGGAGCUUGCUAUGCUUGUGAAGAAGUUCCAAAAAUUCACCAAGAAGAAAGGCUUCAGAAAGUCUUCACGAUCAAGCUCAAGGAAUGAUGAAACUUCUGCUCAUGACUACAAGAAGAGAACAUGCCACAAGUGCAAGAAACCUGGCCACUACAUCUCUGAGUGUCCGCAGUGGGACAAUGAGAACAACAAGAAGAAGAAGAGCAAGGAGUAUGAUUCUGACGACAAGAAGAAGAAGAAGAAGAAAUACUCAAAGUCUUCUUCCAAGUAUUCCUCAAAGUCUUCAUCACACAAGAAGAGCUCAUCUGGCAAGGCUCAUGCGUUCGUUGGCAAGGAAAUGGAUUCAUAGGAGGAGUCCGCUUUUGAGGAGGCGGAGGUGGAGUCUGAGGAGGAGUCCGAUUCUGGCGUUGCAAGUCUGGCUACAACAUACGUUGCCAAGUCCAUCUUCAACACUGAAGACAAUGGCCUCAUCGCCGACGCCAAUGCAAAUGACAAGGACUGCUCUGCUCCCACCUAUUGCUUCAUGGCACGUGGUGCCAAGGUAAACACACGCACUACUUACUAUCAAACAUCCAGUGAAGAUGACUCUGACUGUGGUUCCAAACCCAGCUACAAAACACUUGCUAAAAUUGCAACUGAACAACAGAAAGCUAUGGAACAUAUUCAAAAACUGUUAGACAAAAGCGAUGACCUGUUAGACACUGAAAUGACUCGAUCUCAGUCCUUAAUUGAAGACAUAAAAAAUCUUCAAGUUAAGUAUGAGGAACUUGAAAGUCGUCAUGAAACGCUCUCAACAACUCAUGAAAAGAUUUCCUAUGAUUAUCUUCAAAGGAAGCAAGAUCUUGAGAAACUGAGAGCGGCUCAUGAAGAUCUUCAAAAGGAAAACGAGUCACUUCGCGCCAAACAGAUCAGUUCCGCCCAGGAAGGAUUUGAACCACCAUGUCUUAAAUGCAUUGAGCGUGACAAUGCUACUUCUGUUGCUGGAUGUUCUACUGCUGCUACUAUUGCGAUAUCUUCAACUGUUGAUGUGGUAACUAACCCCUCUGCCGAGGAUACCACUGCUAUUGCUGAUGAAAAUGCUAGGUUGAAGACAUUGCUUGAAACAGGGAUGUACAAAAGUCUCAAAGGGCAUCAGAAACUAUGUAACAUCCUCAAAAGGCAGAUCCUGAACCGAAACCCUAGGAAAGAGGGUCUUGGGUUCAAAAGGAAAAUGAAUGCUGAUGGCUCUUACUAGAAACCUGAGCAGUACCCCAAAAACCACAUGGGUUGCUUUAAAGGAACCUUCAGUGGAUCCCUCCACCCUGUCUGGCUUCACUUGUGCUAAUCCCAUUGUUAUUGAUGAAUCCUUUAAUGCAAACUAUAAACUGUUUAAGAAUCAGAAUGGUAAAGUGUUUACCAAGUAUAUUGGUACUAAUUGCAGGAAUGGGCCACCUAUGAAGAAAGUCUGGGUGCCGAAAAAGUGGUUGGAGAAUCUUCCUAUGAAUGUCGUCAUGACACCACAAGUGAAGAAGACAAACCCCAGACCACAGGCUUCAUAUGGUCUAAAGGCUUCAUACAGACAAAGGACUCACCUGAGUCGCACUAACGGAAAUGUUUUGCAGGGAAACCAUACUCAGGCCUAUGAAUAUGAGCGCGUUUCAUCAAACCGCCAUGUUCAUAUGACCAAGAACUACUCUGCUUAUUCUUAUGAGUACUAUUGUCCACCUGCAAGACUAUUUGCUAGGGCUCCAAAGCCAAAGUUCUCAGAUGCUGCACUUAGACUCAUUGCUUCGAAGCCACCCUUGAAGAUGUGGGUGGCUAAGAAAGCUUAACUCUCUUUUGCAGGGAAGGGUCUCCAGCCGAAAAUCAAAUUCGUCUGAAGCUAUUGUUGGGGACCUUAAACAUAUUGUAGUGCACAAGAUCAAAUGCCCAAAUGGUCUUAUUAUGUAUUUUGUUCCUGAAUCGCUUGCUACUUGCCCUAUCAGUCCUAAACUCGAUCUAAGCUUUCAUAAUCCACUUGCUCGUCAAAUGUUUAUGCUUCACAAUUCUCUUCGUGAAGCCUAUCCCCUAACUGCACUAUAGGGUAUGACACCAGCUGCUUCAGAAUGGAUUAUUGAUAGUGGGUGUACUAAUCACAUGACUGGUAAGCGAAGUCUUCUCAUGGACUCAACUUUACGUCCAUCUGACAAGAGUCACAUCACAUUUGCUGAUACUGGUAAAAGCAAGUAUUGGGUCUAGGUAGAGUUGCAAUCUCAAGGGAUCAACACAUGGAUAAAGUGAUGCUUGUUGAAUCUCUUGGUUUCAACUUAAUGUCUGUCUCAAUGCUUUGCGAUUUAAACAUGAUUGUGAUAUUUGGAAAAUAUCGUUGCCUUGUUCUAAUGGAAUCUGACAAGUCUCUAGUCUUUGAAGGGUAUCGGAAAGAUGAUUUGUAUGUGGUAGAUUUCUCAGCAGGACCACAACUUGCCGUAUGUCUUCUAGCAAAAGCUUCAGAAUGCUGGCUCUGGCAUCGGAGGGUAGGGCAUGCUGGCAUGAGGAACUUGCACACUCUUGCUAAGAAGAAGCAUAUCAUAGGCAUCGAAGGCGUCAAGUUCAAGAAGGAUCACUUAUGCAGUUCCUGUGAAGCUGGAAAGAUGACGAGGGCCAAGCAUCCCUCGAAGACAAUCAUGACAACGACUCAACCCUUCUAACUGCUUGUCAGGACCCCGAUUCCAAGUCACAUCGAUCUAGCCGGUAACACCUCAUAUCACUUUGUGGCCUCACACACGGUAUUCCACAGGUGUCGCCUUACCAUGGCCCGGGACCGUUUGCGCCUUUUGGCUCACGUAUAUGAUAGUGUCGCUAGCUUCCAUAUGACAGAGAACCCGGGCCGACAUGGCUAGUCGUUAACCCAAAGCGGCACUAACGGGGACAGGCAUACAUGAAUCACAUCGAGCAUGUCGGUCAGCAGCGUGUGAAUCCGGGCUGUACCACUAGGCUAACAGGACUCCGGGAACCCGAGCUGUAGCAUAUGAUGAAGGUCCAAAUUGGUAGGCAACAAUCCCACACUUAGAUGAGAUGGUGAGUGAGUGUUCAAGCAGCGAGGAGAUAAGUUGCCAUGAUUACCUAACGAGGCACCUCAGGGAAGGUGACUCAUGGAAUUAUUCCCUCAAGUGGCAAAAAGAAUUACUUUUGAUACAAAGAUCAUUGAAACUCUUUAUGCUAGCCUAAGGCAAUCACAAAUGAUCGUUUAAAGGAGUUCGGAGGAAUGGCAUACUCAAAUUAGGAUGGAUGAUGUGGACUACCUUGUUGAAGACAACGCAAGGGAUGAUUUUGCUUGCGCGUGUUCUCAAGAACUUGAGCAUUUCCAUAUUCAUCAAGGUUCUACCAACAUCCGUGGCAAGGAUCCUGGCAACACGGCAUACUACCAUGAUGACUAGUGAUGGAUGAUGCGGAUACAAAGGAAGAUAACACCUUCUCAGAUCUUCCCUUAGUGAGGCUAAGGGAACAGAAUCUGGACGAUCGACCGAGAGACAUUUAGCACUCCGCUUCUAAUGUUCCCCUUGAUGUGCUAGCGUAAUCCAUUCAUAGAUAUGGUUGGAUAUCUAGAAAUCAAGUAAAAGGUCGGACUUCGGAAGCUCAAGAAUCCGUAAGGAUUAACUACGGAGGUAAAUCCUACAAAAUCCUCAUGGGAAGGUGGCCAACUUUCUUCAAUCGAGAUACUACAAUAAUAGGUCUUCCGGCUGGAUGUGUUGGCCACGACAUCCACUUUACCGGUUAUCGAGAGAUCAAUAUUAUAGUUCUUGGAAAAUGCUUCAACCAUCAUAUCUGCCUGAGAUUUAGAUCUGGUUGGUGUCAGGAUAUUCCAGACUCAUCGAGUCUAGAAAGGAAAAUGAAGGUUUGCAACACAAUUUGACGAGAUGACGUUGCGAGAUUCUUAGGGAAUGAACUGCGAUAGCAAGCUUCAAAACAUGAGCUGGUUCUGCUACAAACCUGUGAACACGCUAUCCAAGACGAGCAUGACCACGUAGUAGUCUUAUAGUAAAACACUAUCAAGUUCAGGUGGGGAACCAUCAUCAAGGAUUUCAAAGUCUUUACGCAAGUCCAUGGAUUAGAUCCCAAGCGUAGACUUCUUUGCCUUGAACAAUUCAAUCAGUGGCUUGGUGUGCUAGGGAAUACAUAUGGAGUGGAGGUAAUUAAUCUACCAAACCAUAGAAUACAUUCACACAUGCAUAACUAACUUGGAAUGGUACCAGGGAAAACAAAAACAAUCUUUCUCGAACUCACGGCGGUAACUUGCCCUAAAUUCACAUGAAUUCGAGGAAGUCACUUCUUCCAUCCAAGCUUAAGCUUCAUGAAUGGAAUACGAAGGCAUUGCUUAUAAAGUUUCCAACACUAGGUUGAUAUUCAACAUGAAUCAUGGGGGAGACAAAAUGCUGUUGAUGGGCUCAACAACAACUCACCGGAAUUUCCAUAUCACUGGACUUCCACCAUCAUGUGAACAUGAUGAUAGUAUUGGUCAGACCAAAAGAUGUAAUGGUGUAUGCUCGAGGGAUCAACCAUGGGUAAGACAACAUUACGAGCAUCGUUGGUUCUGACUUGACUUGACGAUAGACCAUACUCAAGUCAAAGUUUUGACAAGGCAAUAGAUCCAACAACUGAUCACGAGGACCAAUUGAUGGAGAUAUCAUCUUUCUUCAACAGACACACACACAGAAGAUAUCCCUUAACAUGAACUAAGUCAGACAAGCUUUUAUCUUCCAAUUCUCCAAGUUGUUGUCUAGCUCAACCAACUAGCUCAGGGAUAUCCAACACAGAUUCUUGGAGAAGGGGUGAUUUAUAAGAAACCCAACUUCAUCACGAACUCAACAUAGCGGUCAGGUGACAGCCAGGUAAUACUUCCAAGAAGAUCUUCGGAAAAUCACGAACCACCGAUAUGUUACUAAGCUCGAGAACAAUCUUGCUUUUCAGAGCAGGAAGAUAUGAUAAAAAGAGCAAGGGUUUGGCAAAAUCCUAACCCGUCGAUUGAAGAGUGCACCAAGAAAAAUGGACUAGGUAGCACGAUCAAUCUUAGGAUGAUGAUUCAAUAACCAACACGCUAAGAAAGAAAUUAUUGUCCAUUAGCUACCUAGCAACUAGUUGCUAGGAGUAUUGAUUUCACACAUCAUGGUUCACUUGUCGGCAUUCCGGUUGCGACAACACGAGACCGAGGAAUGAAAAAUGAUGGUAAGAAGUAUCACUGCGUCAAGAAUUCAUGAGAGAAUGCUGCAAUUCCUAUGACAAUCCUGACAUAAAGGGGGUAAUACUCCAAGGUAGAACAGAACAAAAGCUGGAUUGGCAUUUUGAUCUAUGGAAUACAACUACUUUGACCAGUCCAAGAAAUGGAUGAGGUGCUGGAGUUUGUUUCUCCUAGUCAUUCCGGAAUAGAAUGGCUCGAUGGACCACAAGAAUAAUAGGCAUCGAUAACACAAAUGCACAACUAAAGAGGGAUAACUCAAAGGAACAUAUAACUUUCUGAGUUGUGGAUGCAUAGAUUAGUAUGUCGAAUCAAGUUCAACAGGUUUCUUCCGGAUAACCCAUGCAGAAAAGCAGAACUGACAGAAUCACAAUUAUGAAUGGAGAACUCCUCAAGAGUACUCUGAUUGUGAUAUUUUGGUUCAAAGAACUUCUGCCUUAACGGUUCAUGGUAUUUGGAAGGAAGAAAUACCACGGACCUCGAGGGCUGUCGCAAGGUUACUAAUAUCCUAAAGGAAACUAUCAAACACUAUCAACAUGAGGUAAGUAGGGUCAAUCUUGGGUUCAGAACCCAUGAAUAGAAUACCUACCACUACAUGGCAUCACGGGAUGCUUUCAAGAAUGGUGGCCAGAAUCAUCACACCAGGAACACAAAACAUGGAUAGAUUACUAGAUGGUUUCAUAAGACACCUAGAGUCACAAUAGUAGCUCCAACAUAUACGCUGAGGCAACAGAGUACCUCACAGACCAUGUAGUGUGCUUAAUCUGGCCCGAAGGAACAUCGAGGACGGGAAGAAGGGAUUUACAAAUGCAUCAGACUAUUUAGAAACCUGGGAUGACUCGGACAGCAUAACGACUGUAAAUGCUCAAAAUGAUUUGAGACAUCCUGCAAAAUGGUGGCAUAACCACUCAACAACACAAAAUCAAGGUUCUGAGAUCAACUGUCAACAUACGGAAGUAGUAGGAACAGAACUGAAGCUUGAAACUAUCAAUUCUAUAAAUCUAUGGAUUAGUAGCACGUCAUCCUGAUAGAUAGAAGAGAAGGCCUAAUUCUUAAUCCCCGUAGAAAAGAAGAGGUUGACUCAGAUCAGAAGGGCAUAGGGUAAAGGAGUAAAAAGAGCCUUCCGUUCCCUUCCACAAUCAAUUCCCCUACAUAACUAAAGCAUUUCUAGACACAACUUCGACCAUUUUGGCUUGGUAAUCCUACAGGCAGUUAGGCUCUGAUAACAAAGCUGUCAGGACCCCGAUUCCAAGUCACAUCGAUCUAGCCGGUAACACCUCAUAUCACUUUGUGGCCUCACGCACGGUAUUCCACGGGUGUCGCCUUACCAUGGACCGGGACCGUUUGCACCUUUUGGCUCACGUAUAUGAUAGUGUCGCUAGCUUUCAUAUGACAGAGAACCCGGGCCGACAUGGCUAGUCGUUAACCCAAAGCGGCACUAACCUAUGGGGACAGGCAUACAUGAAUCACAUCGAGCAUGUCGGUCAGCAGCGUGUGAAUCCGGGCUGUAGCGCUGGGCUAACAGGACUCCGGGAACUCCGGGACUCCGGGAACCCGGGCUGUAGCACUGGGCUAACUGCACUAUAGGGUAUGACACCAGCUGCUUCAGAAUGGAUUAUUGAUAGUGGGUGUACUAAUCACAUGACUGGUAAGCGAAGUCUUCUCAUGGACUCAACUUUACGUCCAUCUGACAAGGGUCACAUCACAUUUGCUGAUACUGGUAAAAGCAAGUAUUGGGUCUAGGUAGAGUUGCAAUCUCAAGGGAUCAACACAUGGAUAAAGUGAUGCUUGUUGAAUCUCUUGGUUUCAACUUAAUGUCUGUCUCAAUGCUUUGCGAUUUAAACAUGAUUGUGAUAUUUGGAAAAUAUCAUUGCCUUGUUCUAAUGGAAUCUGACAAGUCUCUAGUCUUUGAAGGGUAUCGGAAAGAUGAUUUGUAUGUGGUAGAUUUCUCAGCAGGACCACAACUUGCCGUAUGUCUUCUAGCAAAAGCUUCAGAAUGCUGGCUCUGGCAUCGGAGGGUAGGGCAUGCUGGCAUGAGGAACUUGCACACUCUUGCUAAGAAGAAGCAUAUCAUAGGCAUCGAAGGCGUCAAGUUCAAGAAGGAUCACUUAUGCAGUUCCUGUGAAGCUGGAAAGAUGACGAGGGCCAAGCAUCCCUCGAAGACAAUCAUGACAACGACUCAACCCUUCUAACUGCUUGUCAGGACCCCGAUUCCAAGUCACAUCGAUCUAGCCGGUAACACCUCAUAUCACUUUGUGGCCUCACGCACGGUAUUCCACAGGUGUCGCCUUACCAUGGCCCGGGACCGUUUGCGCCUUUUGGCUCACGUAUAUGGUAGUGUCGCUAGCUUCCAUAUGACAGAGAACCCGGGCCACCAUGGCUAGUCGUUAACCCAAAGCGGCACUAACGGGGACAGGCAUACAUGAAUCACAUCAAGCAUGUCGGUCAGCAGCGUGUGAAUCCGGGCUGUAGCACUGGGCUAACAGGACUCCGGGAACCCGGGCUAUAGCAGGCUAGGCAGGACUCCGGAUGUCACCGCGUGACAUUUCCCCGAAGGGACAGACACAUGAACGAAGUGAAACACAUGCCGACCAGUCAAGUGUCCUGAGCAGUAGUGCUGGGCUAACAGGACUCCGGUGAACCGAGCUGUAGCGGACUACUAUGGCUCAUGGAAGCACUAGACUACAUUGCCCCAUAAGAGAGGCUGCCAAGGAUAAACAUCUAGAUUGUCGGAUCCCACACAUACCAAGAAUUUCAAUCAUACACACAAUAUGCUCGAUAUGUGUAAAUACAACAUGGCAUCACAACAUAACUCUACAACUCAAGUAUUUAUUCAUUAGGCUCCGAGGAGCGAGAUAUUACAAACAUGGGUCUCUUGACCCAACAUCCAGAGCAUACAAGUCAAAGCACAUGCGGAAGCUUAACUUGUCUGAGUACAGACAACUAAAAAUGAAGAAGGCUGAGGAGCCUGACUAUAUACCAGACCCUUCCAAGGGUACAAGAUCGUAGCUGGGGUAUCAAGCUAAACGUCGAAGUCCACGCGGAACUACUAGCGAGACGGAAGUCUCUCUGCAAAACAUAAAUUAAACAAACGUGAGUACAAAGGUACUCAGCAAGACUUACAUCAGAACUAAACUACAUAUGCAUCGGUAUCAACAAGGGGGGGUGGUGGAGUUUAACUGCAGCAAGCUAGCUUUGACUCAGUGGCUAUCCUAAACUGCGACUGCAAGCAACUCUUUUGUGGUGGCGCACACGAGUCCACAUAUUCACCAUUCAAUACACCACUAUGGAUCCGCUCCCGUCUCCCUACGAGAAGGACAUCCAUAGCACUCACGCUUAUCUUGCGAGUUUUAGGGUAUCCACUUUCACUUGUCUAUGAACUAUGCAAGGGGUCCAAGUUUCCAUAUCCGAGGAAUCCAGCUAUUCGAAUAGAUAAUGAUAACCCUGCAGGGGUGUACUUCUUCACACACGCUCCCACCACUUACCGUUUUACACGACAUGUACUCGGCAACCUUCAAGCGGAAGCCCAACGAGGGUGUCGGCCACGGCCUACCUAAACACUCAAGUCUCUAGUCCAGGUUUAUCGCCUAUCCAGGUUCCAUCCGUAGGGAGUCCGGCCGAGGUUUCCACAUACGGCCCCGAACGAUGUGUACAGGGUUCUGAGACACCAAACGGGAGCCCGGCAUGCCCGGCCACGGUGUAUCUACCGCAACAUAGCCCACCCCUGGGGUCAGCGCUACGCACGGCCACCAACACAUAUCCUACAAACACCAGAAACUAGUUCCAACUCCUGGACAGAGGACUAGGGUGAUUAAGAAGCCGAGAGGGUCAAUUAAGGAUCCCAAUGAGUGGUAGUAGCUGUUCAUGGAUCACAGACACAGAACUCAGUUCCUAAGAACGGUUUCAAUGAGACAACACACCAUGUACUCCUACAUGGCCUCUCACCGCUACCUUUACCAAAUCGUGUUCACGCACUUAGCUCACACCCAGUAGGACAUAUUCAUCACCAUUCCAAUUCAUUCCCGAUGAAUCAGACCCGACACAACUCUAUGCAACAGCAGGCAUGACAAACAAGCAUGAAUGAGUAGGCACAUCAGGGCUCAAACAAGUCCUACUCAUGCUAGUGGGUUUCAUCUAUUUACUGUGGCAAUGACAGGUCAUGCAGAGGAAAGGGGUUCAACUACCGCAGCAUGUAACAGUUGAAUCGUUGUUGUCCUAAUGCAGUAAAAGAGAGCAGGAGCGAGAGAGUGGGAUUGUAUCGGAAUGAACAAGGGGGUUUUUCUUGCCUGGCACUUCUGAAGAUAUCAUUGGGUCUUCAUCAGUGUCAACGAUCACAGUGUCGGUACAACGUCUAUUGAGAGGGGACAACCACCGGCAACAGAGAAUGAGCACAAUCAAUGCAAUGCACAAAAUGAUGCAUGAUCAUGACAUGUCAAUAUGCUGUGUUUUGAGCUAAUGCAACUAGCAACAUGUUAAAUGGAGUUGGUUUGAACCCUAGGUUCAAAUUCAAACUCCAUAUGUGAGAGUUUAAAUUCCAUUUAUGUGAAUUGGCCUAAACAGCAGCCAUAAGUUGCUCUAACAUGCAUGAAAAUGCCAUAAACAGAUUCCUUGAAUUUUUCUGAUAAUUUUUCAUAUAUAAAUUAUUUCUUUCUGAGUUACGGUUGAAUUUCUAUGAAUUUUAGAAGUUUAUACUAAUUUCUGGAAUUUUCUGAAUAAGGAUAAUUCCAGAAAAAGAGUUAUUGUGUCAGCAUGACAUCACCCUGAUGUCAGCAGGUCAACUGGGCGCCUCCAGGUCAAACCUGACCAGUGGGGUCCACUGGUCAGUGACUGGGGCUGGUUAGUGACACUGUCAGGUGGGUCCGGUCAACGCCCACGUCAGCAAAGCCAACAUGACAUGUGGGGACAGUCAACGUGUGACAUGGCCAGGUCAACCCGACCUGUGGGGCCCCUGUGGUUAGUUAAACAUAACAGGAAAUAAACUAAGUUUACUUAUGGGCAUGGGGCCCAUCCGUCAGUGAGCUAUGGGGUUAGUUAGUGGCGUCAUUAGUGGCUAAUGACAGGGCCACGUCGGAUGCGCCGGCGGUUAGACGACGGCGACGACCUAGGGCGGCGGUGGAUCGCCGGAGUUGCUCUUGGGGCUGCCGCUUGCUGUGAUGAGGGCAUCAAAAAGGAGCCCUUGCUCGCCCGCAUCCAGGGGAGCACGCGGCUGGGCGUGGGGUGGCCUGGUUCACUGGCGAUGAGCUCAUCCGCGGCGGCCGGAGCACGGGGAUGAGGCAGGCAAGGCUGCGAGCCACGGGGACGCUGGAUGAAGUUCUCUACGGGCUCCUGGGAACUCCAGGAGUUCGAGUACGCACCCAGAUGCGACGGAAACGAGCUCUCGCCAUGUCGGCGACAUCGCCGGUGGCAAGGAGCUUACGGGUGCGACGGGGAGGUAAGUUAGGGGUUGAGUGUGAGGAGGAGAACAGGGGGGAAACGUAGAGAGGCUCACAGCGAGGAGGAUGGUGCAGACAGCGGGGCCGGGGAUGCGUUGGUUGCCGCGAAUCGACGGUGAGGUAGCCGGCGGCUGAAGGUUGAAGAUGAGGUCGGGGACGAUGCUGCAGGGCUCCCGCGGUUGCGUGCGUCGGCGUGUAGCUCCAAGGCGUCGUGGCGGAGGUCGUGGUCAUGCUGGUUUAGCGAGUGAUGGCCUGUAGCCAUGGCUACGGCGAUGGCGCGCUCUCGGUGCUCACAGCGAAGGGAGGAAGAGAGAGCCAGGGAGGGGGGAGCUCGAGGGAGGGUGAGAGAAGGGUCACGGGGUCGCGUGGCAUCGCGGGAGACAUCCAGGCGACGAGGGAAUAGCCAGGCAGGCAGCUUCCGGCGUGGCACGCUGCGGAGCCGUGGCUAGCUUCUCCUCUACCUUCUGGCGAGAGGAGGAAGACAACUGGCAGGGGGUGGCUGGGCUGGGCCGGCUUCAACAGCAGGCCGCGCAGGUAGGUGGGCCGAGGUAAGUGCCAGGUUAGUCCUUCUCUCUCUCUCUCUUUUAUUUAGUUUCUGUUUUCUAUUUUCUUUUCUACAAUUUGUUUUGGUUUUAGUUUUAACACCAAACCAUUUUAUAAAAUCCUGAAAAUAAUUAUGUGGCUAGAACUAAUAUAUACAAAACCACAUAAAAUGUUCCAGAAUUAUUGGACAUAUAUUAAUUAUAUAAAUAAUUUAUAUCCAAUGCAAAUAGUUAUUGAAUUAAUUCAAAGGCCCAAAAUAAAUAUUUCUGAGACUCCAAAAAUAUUGGUUUGAGUUUUUCCUCUUGCCAAUAUUUUUAUAGCUUGACAGGAACAUUUUCUGGGGUUUAUUUGAAUUUUUUUUUAAUGUUGAUCAUUUUUGUAAAAGACUUCUGAGGCUUCCCACUUUCCCCAAUUCAACUUUCAUAAAUAUAUACAUGAUGCAUGAAUGCUUGUGCAACUGGUUACAACCAAAUGUAGGGCUAUGACACUGCUCCACAUGGACCUCUUCGGUCCCACUCACUACUCAACUCUUACUACUACUGCUGGUCUCUAUGGCUUUGUCAUUGUUGAUGAUUAUUCAAGAUAUACUUGGGUGCAUAUAAUCCUCUACAAGACUGAAGUGCGGGAUGUCUUCAGACGCUUCGCCAAUCGAGCCAUGAACAACUAUGGCAUUAAGAUCAAGUACAUCAGAAGUGACAAUGGCACUGGAUUCAAGAACACUGGCGUCGACACUUAUCUUGAUACUUUGGGCAUCAGUCAUGAAUUCUCAUCUCCGUACACGCCACAGCAGAAUGGCGUCGUGGAACGCAAGAACAGAACAAUUAUUGAGAUGGCCCGGACGAUGGUCGAUGAAUACAAGACUCCAAGAAAGUUCUGGCAUGAAGCCAUUGAUACUGCAUACCAUAUCAUCAACCGUGUUUAUCUUCACAAGCCAAAUGUCAGUUACUUCAGAGUAUUUGGUGCCAGGUUGUCAGGACCCCGAUUCCAAGUCACAUCGAUCUAGCUAGUAACACCUCAUAUCACUUUGCGGCCUCACGCACGGUAUUCUCACGGGUGUCGCCUUACCAUGGCCCGGGACCGUUUGCGCCUUUUGGCUCACGUAUAUGAUAGUGUCGCUAGCAUCCAUAUGACAGAGAACCCGGGCCGACAUGGAUAGUCGUGAACCCAAAGCGGCACUAACCCAUGGGGACAGGCAUACAUGAAUCAACUUCGAGCAUGUUGGUCAGCAGCGUGUGAAUCCGGGCUGUAGCACUGGGCUAAUAGGACUCCGGUAACCCGGGCUGUAGUAGGCUAGGCAGGACUCCGAAUGUCACCGCGUGACAUUUCCCCGAAGGGACAGACACAGGAACAAAGUGAAACACAUGCCGGCCAGUCAAGUGUCCUGAGCAGUAGUGUUGGGCUAGCAGGUGUAACGCCCGGAUAAUCUUGCUACAGUAAUCCCAUGCUAAUCAUGCCAUGUCAUCCCGAUUACUGUUGCUAAACGUCCGUUAGUUCAAACCGCAUCAAAUUCAAAUUUAAAAUUAAUGUCGGCAAUAAAAGUUUUCAAAAAUUGAAACAAAAAUGUUCGGUGGUUGCCAAAUAUUACAAAGGUAAUUAUGGUUCAGCAAACACAUUUUUAUAAAAUGUCUAAAUAAUUUAAAAUGUUUUAAAACAGAAAAGCAAAUAGAUAAAAACAAAACAGAAAAAAGAGAACCCCCCCGGGCCGUGGCCCAACUGGGCCAACCCACCAGGCCCAGCCGGCCACCCACCCCACCCACUCCUUAUCCACUACGCCACCCCCACCCACUCCACCGACACCCCACAACCCCCCGAGAAUAUCUCCUCCCCCUCCUCUCUACUGAUCUGGAUCGGGAUCGAGAGGAGGCCACCGCCGCCUGGAACCUCCCUCGCCGCACGACGACCACGCCGGCGCCCGGAGCUCCCUCGCCGGACCAGCUCAACGGCCUACUCCCUCCCCGUCACCCGAUCGUCCCCGUCGACCUCCUCAACCCCGCUGCCUCGUACCCUACAACCACCUCGUGAGGCCCCCUCCUUCUCUGCCUCGCGCCCGCCGCUUACCGGGCGCGCCCAUGGCCGCACACACACGCGCAUGCCACCCGCCCCCCACGCCGGCCCGGACCUCCCUCGCCUGCCUCCACUUGCCUGCCCGCACCUGCCGCGCCAUGGCUUCGCUUGGCCGUCGCCCCCGCUGCACGCUGCUGCUGCUCGGCUUCGCCACUGCCGCGAAUGCGCGCCCGAGCCCCACGCACUCACCGCCCCAUCUGGCUCCGGCGAGCGCGUCCGCCACCGAGCUCGCGCUCCCAGCACUGGCCGCUCGCUGUGUCCAGCUCCGCCCAUUUUAGUUGCUGCGCCGGCUCGCCUCGCCCGCGCUACGGCCAUCGCCAUGCGCGCAUACCCCGCUGCUCCCGCAACCACUAUCGCCGCCCGCUUGGCCUCGCCCUCGCCGUGGCCACGCCUGGGUGCGCCCCACCGCAUGCCCCUGCUCCCGUCGCCCUGCUCGCCGGCCCCGCAGUCGCCGUCCACACCAUGCUCGCGCCGUCCGCCGUCCCGCUCCGCCCCUGCCCCUUGCCCUGGCCGGCUCCCUCCUCCUCCCUAGCCGGCGCCAGGGACCAGUCGGGCUACGCGCGCCCUAUCGCCACGGUGGCCUCGCCCUGCUGCGCCGCAUGGAGGCCCCCGCGCCCUGCCUAUCUCGCCGUGGCCACCGGCCUCUCCCUGCUCCGGCGCCCUGCCGGGCUUGCCCGCCCACUCGGGCUACGCCCCACGCCCGUGCCCGCUAAGGCCACAAGGGCCUUUUGACAGCUGGGCCCCAAAACCCCCUCUGUGUCUAUGACGAAGGGGGCCCCCACCCCCCAGAACGGAUUUAAAAAAAAUAAAUAGAUAAUAUUAUUAAUUAAUUAAUUAAUUAACCUAAUUAAUCUUAAUUAAUUAAUUAACUUAAUUAAUUAAUUAAAGAAUUAAUUAAACUAAUUAAUCCUGAUUAGAUUAGCCUAAGCAGAUAACUAAACCCUAUUUAAACUAACAGAGUAUGAUAGGUGGGUCCCACUGGACCCACGCAUCAGUUGACCCAGGCAACCCCUGUUAACUGGUGACGUCAGCAUGACAUCAUGCUGAUGUCAUAAAUCCAAAUUGCGAAUUAAAUUAAAUAAUUAAUUAAAUUCCAGAAAUUAGUAAAAUCUUUAGAAAAUCAUAUCUUUUAAUCCGUAACUCGGAUUAAAUUAUUUUCAACAUGAAAGUUGCUCAUAACGACAAGACGAAUCCGGAUACGCAGCCCGUUCGCCCGCCACAUAUCCCUAGCAUAGCGAACACGCAACUUUCCCCCUCUGGUUCAUCUGUCCGAAAACACGAAACACCGGGAAUACUUUUCCGGAUGUUUUCCCCCUUCACCAGUACCACCUCGUACCGCGUUAGGGCACACCUAGCAUCACGUUUUGUCAUGUCAUGCAUCAUUAUGCAUCUAUUUGCAUUAUAUUUGUUGUUUCUUCCCCCUCUUCUCUCGCUAGACACCGAGACCGACGCCGCUGCUACCCAGUACGACUACGGUGUUGACGACCCCUCUCUCUUGCCAGAGCAACCAGGCAAGCCCCCCCCCCCCCUUGAUCACCAGAUAUCGCCUACUCUACUCUCUAUACUGCUUGCAUUAGAUUAGUAUAGCAUGUUACUGCUUUCCGUUAAUCCUAUCCUGAUGCAUAGCCUGUCCUUGCUACUACUGUUGUUACCUUUACCUGCAAUUCUAAUGCUUAGUAUAGGAUGCUAGUUUAUCAUCAGUGGCCCUACAUCCUUGUCCGUCUGCCAUGCUAUACUAUCGGGCCGUGAUCACUUGGGAGGUGAUCACGGGUAUAUACUAUAUACUUUUUACAUGAUACAUGUGAUGACUAAAAGACGGGUUGGCUCGUAGGAGUACCCGCGAGUGGAUCUUUGUGGCGAAGCGACAGGGCAGGUUGAGACCACCUAGGAGAGAGGUGGGCCUGGCCCUGGUCGGCAUUCGCGGUUAUUUCAAGAUAACACGUUUAACGAGAUCUUGGUAUUUGAUCUGAGUCUGGCUACUGGCCUAUACGCACUAACCAUCUACGCGGGGAUAGUUAUGGGCACUCGACGUCGUGGUAUCAGCCGAAGCCUUCGUGACGUCAGCGACUGAGUGGCGCGCGCCGGAUUGGACCGUAAGCCUGCUCUUGUAUUAAGGGGGCUAGUUCUGCUUCCGGCCGCGUUCGCAACGUGCAGGUGUGCAAAGGGCGAUGGGCCCAGACCCCUGCGCCUUAGGAUUUAGACCGGCGUGCUGACCUCUCUAUUGUGCCUAGGUAGGGCUGCGACGUGUUGAUCUUUCGAGGCCGGGCAUGACCCGGGAAAGUGUGUCCGGCCAAAUGGGAUCGAGCGUGUUGGGUUAUGUGGUGCACCCCUGCAGGGAAGUUAAUCUAUUCGAAUAGCCGUGAUCUUCGGUAACAGGACGACUUGGAGUUGUACCUUGACCUUAUGACAACUAGAACCAGAUACUUAAUAAAACACACCCUUCCAAGUGCCAGAUACAACCGGUGGUCGCUCUAUCACAAUGCGACGAGGGGAGGAUCAUCGGUUAGGGUUAUGCUAUGUGAUGCUACUUGGAGGACUUCAGUCUACUCUCUUCUACAUGCUGUAAGACGGAGGCUGCCCGAAGCGUAGUCUUCGACAGGAUUAGCUAUCCCCCUCUUAUUCUGGCAUUCUGCAGUUCAGUCCACCGAUAUGGCCUUUACACAUAUACCCAUGCAUAUGUAGUGUAGCUCCUUGCUUGCGAGUACUUUGGAUGAGUACUCACGGUUGCUUCUCCUUCUUUUCCCUCUAUCCCUUCUACCUGGUUGUCGCAACCAGAUGUUGGAGCCCAGGAUCCAGACGCCACCGUCGACGACGACUCCUACUACACUGGAGGUGCCUACUACUACGUGCUGCCCGCUGACGACGACCAGGAGUAGUUAGGAGGAUCCCAGGCAGGAGGCCUGCGCCUCUUUCGAUCUGUAUCCCAGUUUGUGCUAGCCUUCUUAAGGCAAACUUGUUUAACUUAGGUCUGUAGUCAGAUAUUGUUGCUUCCAUUGACUCGUCUAUGAUCGAGCUCUUGUAUUCGAGCCCUCGAGGCCCCUGGCUUGUAAUAUGAUGCUUGUAUGACUUAUUUUAUUUGUAGAGUUGUGUUGUGAUAUCUUCCCGUGAGUCCCUGAUCUUGAUCGUGCACGUUUGCGUGUAUGAUUAGUGUACGAUUGAAUCGGGGGCGUCACAAGUUGGUAUCAGAGCCGACUGCCUGUAGGAAUCCCCCUUCCACACUCCUUGGCCGAAGUUGAGUCUAGACAUUACAAAACUUUUACUAACAUGGUUGUGUGCCUUACGGGCCCACGUCGCCAUCUGGGUGGUAUUAGGAUCUUUUACUUCUCGAUCCUUACUCUGGGACUCUGAACUCUCUCCUACUCGGGUUAAACGAUUUUACUAACUCUAACACUAGGAUCCCGUGACCAUGUUCACCCCAAAGUUGGAUAAGCCCUGGUUAUUCUUUAGAGUAGUAUUUGAACAUUAUCCACAUUGUCAUUUGACUCCUGUGAAAACAUCUUUGUUUUCAGAUGGAACCCAUGAGGCAGGUCGUGCGCCACACGACGGCCAUUGGUGCCUCAGGAUCACCUGCUGUGUUGGUUGAGAUGGUGACCUAUCUGGGUUAUCACUGGCACCCUGAGUACACCGUCUAUGAGGAGUAUCUGUUGGAAAUAUGCCCUAGAGGCAAUAAUAAAAGUAUUAUUAUUAUAUUUCCUUGUUCAUGAUAAUUGUCUUUUAUUCAUGCUAUAACUGUAUUAUCCGGAAAUCGUAAUACACGUGUGAAUACAUAGACCACAAUAUGUCCCUAGUGAGCCUCUAGUUGACUAGCUCGUUGUGAUCAACAGAUAGUCAUGGUUUCCUGGCUAUGGACAUUGGAUGUCGUUGAUAACGGGAUCACAUCAUUAGGAGAAUGAUGUAAUGGACAAGACCCAAUCCUAAGCAUAGCACAAAGAUCGUGUAGUUCGUUUGCUAGAGCUUUGCCAAUGUCAAGUAUCUCUUCCUUUGACCAUGAGAUCGUGUAACUCCUGGAUACCGUAGGAGUGCUUUGGGUGUAUCAAACAUCACAACGUAACUGGGUGACUAUAAAGGUGCACUACAGGUAUCUCCGAAAGUAUCUAUUGUUUUAUGCGGAUCGAGACUGGGAUUUGUCACUCCGUGUAAACGGAGAGGUAUCUCUGGGCCCACUCGGUAGGACAUCAUCAUAUGCGCAAUGUGACCAAGGAGUUGAUCACGGGAUGAUGUGUUACGGAACGAGUAAAGUGACUUGCCGGUAACGAGAUUGAACAAGGUAUCGGUAUACCGACGAUCAAAUCUCGGGCAAGUAAAAUACCGCUAGACAAAGGGAAUUGUAUACGGGAUCGAUUGAGUCCUUGACAUCGUGGUUCAUCCGAUGAGAUCAUCGUGGAACAUGUGGGAGCCAACAUGGGUAUCCAGAUCCCGCUGUUGGUUAUUGACCGGAGAACGUCUCGGUCAUGUCUGCAUGUCUCCCGAACCCGUAGGGUCUACACACUUAAGGUUCGAUGACGCUAGGGUUAUAAAGGAAGCUUGUAUGUGGUUACCGAAUGUUGUUCGGAGUCCCGGAUGAGAUCCCGGACGUCAUGAGGAGUUCCGGAAUGGUCCGGAGGUAAAGAUUUAUAUAUAGGAAGUCCUGUUUCGGCCACAGGGACAAGUUUCGGGGUCAUCGGUAUUGGACCGGGACCACCGGAAGGGUCCCGGGGGCCCACCGGGUGGGGCCACCUGCCCCGGGGGGCCACAUGGGCUGUAGGGGGUGCGCCUUGGCCUACAUGGGCCAAGGGCACCAGCCCCAAGAGGCCCAUGCACCUAGGGAACCCUAGAGGGAAGAGUCCUCAAGGGGGAAGGCACCUCCGAGGUGCCUUGGGGAGGAUGGACUCCUCCCCCCCUCUUGGCCGCACCCCUUUCUUGGAGUAAGGGGCAAGGCUGCGCCUUCCCCCUCUCCCUUGCCCCUAUAUAUAGUGGAGGGGAGGGAGGGCAUCCAUACCUGAGCCCUUGGCGCCUCCCUCCCUCCCGUGACACCUCCUCCUCUCCCGUAGGUGCUUGGCGAAGCCCUGCAGGAUUGCCACGCUCCUCCAUCACCACCACGCCGUUGUGCUGCUGCUGGAUGGAGUCUUCCUCGACCUCUCCCUCUCUCCUUGCUGGAUCUAGGCGUGGGAGACAUCGUCGAGCUGUACGUGUGUUGAACGCGGAGGUGCCGUCCGUUCGGCACUAGGAUCAUCGGUGAUCUGAAUCACGACGAGUACGACUCCAUCAACCCCGUUCACUUGAACGCUUCCGCUUAGCGAUCUACAAGGGUAUGUAGAUGCACUCUCCUUCUACUCGUAGCUGGUUUCUCCAUAGAUAGAUCUUGGUGACGCGUAGGAAAAUUUUGAAUUUCUGCUACGUUACCCAACAGUGGCAUCAUGAGCUAGGUCUAUUGCGUAGAUUCUUUGCACGAGUAUAACACAAAGUAGUUGUGGGCUUUGAUGUUGUUCAAUAUGCUUACCGUUACUAGUCCAAUCUUGUUUCGACGGUAUUGUGGGAUGAAGCGGCCCGGACCGACCUUACACGUACUCUUACGUGAGACAGGUUCCACCGAUUGACAUGCACUUGGUGCAUAAGGUGGCUAGCGGGUGCCAGUCUCUCCCACUUUAGUCAGAACGGAUUCGAUGAAAAGGGUCCUUAUGAAGGGUAAAUAGCAAUUGGCAUAUCACGUUGUGGUCUUGCGUAGGUAAGAAACGUUCUUGCUAGAAACCCAUAGCAGCCACGUAAAACAUGCAACAACAAUUAGAGGACGUCUAACUUGUUUUUGCAGGGUAUGCUAUGUGAUGUGAUAUGGCCAAAAGGAUGUGAUGAAUGAUAUAUGUGAUGUAUGAGAUUGAUCAUGUUCUUGUAAUAGGAUUCACGACUUGCAUGUCGAUGAGUAUGACAACCGGCAGGAGCCAUAGGAGUUGUCUUUAUUUUUUGUAUGACCUGCGUGUCAUUGAAGAACGCCAUGUAAACUACUUUACUUUAUUGCUAAACAUGUUAGUCAUAGAAGUAGAAGUAGUCGUUGGCAUGACAACUUCAUGAAGACACGAUGAUGGAGAUCAUGAUGAUGGAGAUCAUGGUGUCAUGCCGGUGACAAGAUGAUCAUGGAGCCCCGAAGAUGGAGAUCAAUGGAGCUAUAUGAUAUUGGCCAUAUCAUGUCACAACUAUAUAAUUGCAUGUGAUGUUUAUUAUGUUUAUGCAUCUUGUUUGCUUAGAACGACGGUAGUAAAUAAGAUGAUCCCUUACAAAAUUUCAAGAAGUGUUCUCCCCUAACUGUGCACCGUUGCUACAGUUCGUCGCUUCUAAGCACCAUGUGAUGAUCGGGUGUGAUGGAUUCUUACGUUCACAUACAACGGGUGUAAGACAGUUUUACACAGCGAAAACACUUAGGGUUAACUUGACGAGCCUAGCAUGUACAGACAUGGCCUCAAAACAGGGAGACCGAAAGGUCGAGCAUGAGUCGUAUGGUAGAUACGAUCAACAUAAAGAUGUUCACCGAUGAUGACUUGUCCGUCUCACAUGAUGAUCGGACACGGCCUAGUUGACUCGGAUCAUGUGAUCACUUAGAUGACCAGAGGGAUGUCUAUCUAAGUGGGAGUUCAUAAGAUGAACUUAAUUAUCUUGAACAUAGUCAAAAGACCUUUUUGCAAAUUAUGUCGUAGCUCGCGCUUUAGUUCUACUGUUUUAGAUAUGUUCCUAGAGAAAAUAUAGUUGAAAGUUGAUAGUAGCAAUUAUGCGAAUAGUAGAAAGCUUAUGUCCUUAAUGCACCGCUUAGUGUGCUGAACCCCGAACGUUGUUUGUGGAUGUUGCGAACAUCGGACAUACACGUUUUGAUAACUACGUGAUAGUUCAGUUAAACGAUUUGGAAUUAAGGCACCAAAGACGUUUUUCGAAACGUCGCGGAACAUAUGAGAUGUUUCGAGGGCUGAAAUUGGGAUUUCAGGUUCGUGCCCACGUCAAGAGGUAUGAGACCUCCGACGAUUUUCUUAGCCUGCAAACUAAGGAGAGAAGCUCAAUUGUUGAGCUUGUGCUCAGAUUGUCUGAGUACAACAAUCACUUGAAUCAAGUGGGAGUUGAUCUCCCAGAUGAAAUAGUGAUAGUUUCUCCGAAGUCAUUACCACCAAGCUGCUAGAGCUUCGUGAUGAACUAUAACAUAUCAGGGAUAGAUAUGAUGAUCCUUGAAAUAUUCGCGUUGUUUGACACCGCGAAAGUAGAAAUCAAGAAGGAGCAUCAAUUGUUGAUGGUUGGUGAAACCACUAGUUUCAAGAAGGGCAAGGGAACAAAGGGAUACUUCAUGAAACGGCAAUUCAGCUGCUGCUCUAGUGAAGAAACCCAAGGUUGAACCCAAACCUGAGACUAAGUGCUUCUGUAAUAAGGGGAACAACCACUGGAGCAGCAUUACCCUAGAUACUUGGUAGAUGAGAAGGCUGGCAAGGUCGAUAGAAGUAUAUUGGAUAUACAUUAUGUUAAUGUGUACUUUACUAGUACUCCUAGUAGCACCAGGGUAUUGGAUACCGGUUCGGUUGCUAAGUGUUAGUAACUCGAAAUAAAAGCUACGGAAUAAACGGAGACUAGCUAAAGGUGAGCUGACGAUAUAUGUUGGAAGUGUUUCCAAGGUUGAUAUGAUCAACAUCGCACGCUCCCUCUACCACCGAGAUUGGUGUUUGCGUUGAGCAUAGACAUGAUUGGAUUAUGUCUAUCACAAUACGGUUAUUCAUUUAAGGAGAAUAAUGGUUACUCUAUUUUUGAAUAAUACCUUCAAUGGUCUUGCACCUAAAGGAAUGGUUUAUUGAAUCUCGGUCGUAGUAAUACACAUUUUCAUGCCAAAAGAUAUAAGAUAGUAAUGAUAGUACCACUUACUUGUGGCACUGCCAUGUAAGUCAUAAUGGUAUAAAACGCAUGAAGAAGCUCCAUGUUGAUGGAUCUUUGGACUCACUCAUUUUUGAAAAGUUUGAGACAUGCGAACCAUGUCUAUUGGUGUAUAUGCAUGAAGAAACUCCAUGCAAAUGGAUCGUUCGGACUCACUUGAUUUUGAAUCACUUGAGAUAUGCAAAUCAUACCACAUGGGCAAGAUGACUGAAAAGCCUCAUUUUCAGUAAGAUGGAACAAGAUAGCAACUUGUUGGAAGUAACACAUUUUGAUGUGUGCAGUCGAAUGAGUGCUGAGGCAUGCAGUGAAUAUCAUUAUGUUCUUACUUCACAAAUGAUUCGAGUAAAUGUUGAGUAUAUUUACUUGAUGAAACACAAGUCUGAAUUAUUGAAUGGUUCAAGUAAUUUCAGAGUGAAGUAGCAGAUCAUUGUGACAAGAGGAUAAAAUGUCUAUGAUAUGAUCAUAGAGAUGAAUAUCUGAGUUACGAGUUUUGGCACACAAUUAAGACAUUGUGGAAAUUGUUUCGCAAUUAAUACCGCCUGGAACACCAUAGUGUGAUGGUGUGUCCGAACAUCAUAGUUGCACCCUAUUGGAUAUGGUGCGUACGAUGAUGUCUCUUAUCGAAUUACCACUAUCGUUCAUGGGUUAGGCAUUAGAGACAACCACAUUCACUUUAAAUAGGGCACCACGUAAUUCCGAUGAGAUGACACCGUAUGAAUUAUGGUUUAGAGAAACCUAAGUUGUCGUUUCUUAAAAGUUUGGGGCUGCGACGCUUAUAUGAAAAAGUUUCUGGUUGAUAAGCUCGAACCCAAAGCGGAUAAAAUGCAUCUUCAUAGGAAACCCAAAACAGUCGGGUAUACCUCCUAAUUCAGAUCCGAAAGCAAUAUGGAUUGUUUCUAGAAUUGGGUCCUUUCUCGAGGAAAAGUUUCUCUCGAAAGAAUUGAGUGGGAGGAUGGUGGAGACUUGAUGAGGUUAUUGAACCAUCUCUUCAACUAGUGUGUGGCAGGGCACAGGAAGUUGUUCCUGUGGCACCUACACGAAUUGAAGUGGAAGCUUAUGAUAGUGAUCAUGAAGCUUCGGAUAAAGUCACUACCGAACCUCGUAGGACGACAAGGACACGUACUACUUCGGAGUGGUACGGUGAUCCUGUCUUGAAGGUCAUGUUGCUAGACAACAAUGAACCUACGAGCUAUGGAGAAGCGAUGGUGGGCCCAAAUUCCGACAAAUGGUUAGGAGCCAUGAAAUCCGAGAUAGGAUCCAUGUAUCAGAACAAAGCAUGGACUUUGGUGGACUUGCCCGAUGAUCGGCAAGCCAUUGAGAUAAAUGGAUUUUAAGAAGAAGAUGGACGUGGAUGGUAAUGUCACCGUCCAUGAAGCUCGACUUGUGGCGAAGAGUUUUUCACAAGUUCAAGGAGUUGACUACGAUGAGAUUUUCUCAUCCGUAGCGAUGCUUAAGUCCGUCGGAAUCAUGUUAGCAUUAGCUGCAUUUAUGAAAUCUGGCAGACGGAUGUCAAAACGAGUUUCCUUACCAGUUUUCGUAAGGAAAGGUUGUAUGUAAUACAAUCAGAAAGUUUUUGUCGAUCCUAAGGAUGCUAAAAGGUAUGCUAGCUCCAGCAAUCCUUCUAAGGACUGGAGUAAGCAUCUCGGAGUUGGAAUGUACGCUUUGAUAAGAUGAUCAAAGAUUUUGGGUUUAUACAAAGUUCAUGAGAAACUUGUAUUUCCAAAGAAGUGAGUGGGAGUACUAUAGAAUUUCUGAUGAGUAUAUGUUGUUGACAUAUUGAUGAUCAGAGAUGAUGUAGAAUUUCUAGAAAGCAUAUAGGGUUAUUUGAAAGGUGUUUUUCAAUGGAAAGCCUGGAUUAAGCUACUUGAACAUUGAGCAUCAAGAUCUAUAAGGAUAGAUCAAAAUGCUUAAUAAUACUUUCAAAUGAGCACAUACCUUGACAUGAUCUUGAAGGUGUUCAAGAUGGACCAGUCAAAGAAGGAGUUCUUGCCUGAGUUGUAAGGUACGAAGUUAAGACUUAAAGCUCGACCACGGCAGAAUAGAGAGAAAGGAUGAAGGUCGUCCCCUAUGCUUAAGACGUAGGCUCUUCAGUAUGCUAUGCUGUGUACCGCACCUGAAGUGUGCCUUGCCAUGAGUCAGUCAAGGGGUACAAGAGUGAUCCAAGAAUGGCUCACAGGACAGUGGUCAAAGUUAUCCUUAGUAACUAGCGAACUAAGGAAUUUUCUCGAUUAUGGAGGUGGUAAAAGAGUUCGUCGUAAAGGUUACGACGAUGCAAGCUUGACACCUAUCCGGAUAGCUCUGAAUAGAGAGACCGGAUACAUAUAAUGGAGCAAUAAUUUAGAAUAGCUCCAAGUAGAACAGUUGUUUGGAAUAGCUCCAAGUAGAACAGUUGUUUGGAAUAGCUCCAAAUAGAGCGUGGUAGCUGCAUCUAGGAGAUGACAUAGAGAUUUGUAAAGCACACACGGAUCUGAAAGGUUCAGACCUGUUGACUAAAACCUCUCUCACAAGCAACAUGAUCAAACAUAAAACUCAUUGAGUGUUAAUCACAUAGUGAUGUGAACUAGACUACUGACUCUAGUAAACUCUUGGGUAUUAGUCACAUGGCGAUGUGACCUGUGAGUGUUAAUCACAUGGCGAUGUGAACUAGAUUAUUGACUCUAGUGCAAGUGGGAGACUGUUGGAAAUAUGCCCUAGAGGCAAUAAUAAAAGUAUUAUUAUUAUAUUUCCUUGUUCAUGAUAAUUGUCUUUUAUUCAUGCUAUAACUGUAUUAUCCGGAAAUCGUAAUACACGUGUGAAUACAUAGACCACAAUAUGUCCCUAGUGAGCCUCUAGUUGACUAGCUCGUUGUGAUCAACAGAUAAUCAUGGUUUCCUGGCUAUGGACAUUGGAUGUCGUUGAUAACGGGAUCACAUCAUUAGGAGAAUGAUGUGAUGGACAAGACCCAAUCCUAAGACUAGCACAAAGAUCGUGUAGUUCGUUUGCUAGAACUUUGCCAAUGUCAAGUAUCUCUUCCUUUGACCAUGAGAUCGUGUAACUCCUGGAUACCGUAGGAGUGCUUUGGGUGUAUCAAACGUCACAACGUAACUGGGUGACUAUAAAGGUGCACUACAGGUAUCUCCGAAAGUAUCUAUUGUUUUAUGCGGAUCGAGACUGGGAUUUGUCACUCCGUGUAAACGGAGAGGUAUCUCUGGGCCCACUCGGUAGGACAUCAUCAUAUGCGCAAUGUGACCAAGGAGUUGAUCACGGGAUGAUGUGUUACGGAACGAGUAAAGUGACUUGCCGGUAACGAGAUUGAACAAGGUAUCGGUAUACCGACGAUCAAAUCUCGGGCAAGUAAAAUACCGCUAGACAAAGGGAAUUGUAUACGGGAUCGAUUGAGUCCUUGACAUCGUGGUUCAUCCGAUGAGAUCAUCGUGGAACAUGUGGGAGCCAACAUGGGUAUCCAGAUCCCGCUGUUGGUUAUUGACCGGAGAACGUCUCGGUCAUGUCUGCAUGUCUCCCGAACCCGUAGGGUCUACACACUUAAGGUUCGAUGACGCUAGGGUUAUAAAGGAAGCUUGUAUGUGGUUACCGAAUGUUGUUCGGAGUCCCGGAUGAGAUCCCGGACGUCAUGAGGAGUUCCGGAAUGGUCCGGAGGUAAAGAUUUAUAUAUAGGAAGUCCUGUUUCGGCCACAGGGACAAGUUUCGGGGUCAUCGGUAUUGGACCGGGACCACCGGAAGGGUCCCGGGGGCCCACCGGGUGGGGCCACCUGCCCCGGGGGGCCACAUGGGCUGUAGGGGGUGCGCCUUGGCCUACAUGGGCCAAGGGCACCAGCCCCAAGAGGCCCAUGCACCUAGGGAACCCUAGAGGGAAGAGUCCUCAAGGGGGAAGGCACCUCCGAGGUGCCUUGGGGAGGAUGGACUCCUCCCCCCCUCUUGGCCGCACCCCUUUCUUGGAGUAAGGGGCAAGGCUGCGCCUUCCCCCUCUCCCUUGCCCCUAUAUAUAGUGGAGGGGAGGGAGGGCAUCCAUACCUGAGCCCUUGGCGCCUCCCUCCCUCCCGUGACACCUCCUCCUCUCCCGUAGGUGCUUGGCGAAGCCCUGCAGGAUUGCCACGCUCCUCCAUCACCACCACGCCGUUGUGCUGCUGCUGGAUGGAGUCUUCCUCGACCUCUCCCUCUCUCCUUGCUGGAUCAAGGCGUGGGAGACAUCGUCGAGCUGUACGUGUGUUGAACGCGGAGGUGCCGUCCGUUCGGCACUAGGAUCAUCGGUGAUCUGAAUCACGACGAGUACGACUCCAUCAACCCCGUUCACUUGAACGCUUCCGCUUAGCGAUCUACAAGGGUAUGUAGAUGCACUCUCCUUCUACUCGUAGCUGGUUUCUCCAUAGAUAGAUCUUGGUGACGCGUAGGAAAAUUUUGAAUUUCUGCUACGUUACCCAACAAUAUCAGGAAUUCAACCAGGAGCAGUACCGUGCCAUCGUCCACCUCUACUCUCGGGAGUAUGACUCCACUACUGUGCUGCACACUGCUCAUGGUGUUGGAGUGACUAUCGAUAUGGCGGUCCACGAUGCUGCUUAUGCUGCUCUAACAUGUCUUCGUGGAGAGUAUCAGGAGUUGGACACCUCCCCCUUCAGGCACAUUGCUAUCGCAUCCGAUGUUGGUGCGGAGGGUUACUACACUGCUGUGUAGGAUCGAAAGUAUGUCUAGAGGGGGGGUGAUUAGACUACUUGACCAAAUAAAAACUUAACCUUUUCCCAAUUUUAGUUCAUGGCAGAUUUUAGCUAUCUUAGGACAAGUCAAGCAAUCAUCACACAAUUCAAGCAAGCAUGCAAAGAGUAUAUUAGCAGCGGAAAGUAAAGCAUGCAACUUGCAAGAAUAUAAGGGGAAGGGUUUGGAGAAUUCAAACGCAAUUGGAGACACGGAUGUUUUUCCCGUGGUUCGGAUAGGUGAUGCUAUCCUACAUCCACGUUGAUGGAGACUUCAACCCACGAAGGGUAACGGUCGCGCGAGUCCACGGAGGGCUCAACCCACGAAGGGUCCACGAAGAAGCAACCUUGUCUAUCCCACCAUGGCCAUCGCCCACGAAGGACUUGCCUCACUAGCGGUAGAUCUUCACGAAGUAGGCGAUCUCCUUGCCCUUACAAACUCCUUGGUUCAACUCCACAAUCUUGUCGGAGGCUCCCAAGUGACACCUAGCCAAUCUAGGAGACACCACUCUCCAAGAAAUAACAAAUGGUGUGUUGAUGAUGAACUCCUUGCUCUUGUGCUUCAAAUGAUAGUCUCCCCAACACUCAACUCUCUCUCAUAGGAUUUGGAUCUGGUGGAAAGAAGGUUUGAGUGGAAAGCAACUUGGGGAAGGCUAGAGAUCAAGAUUCAUAUGGUAGGAAUGGAAUAUCUUGGUCUCAACACAUGAGUAGGUGGUUCUCUCUCAGAACAUAUGAGUAGGAAUGAUGUAUGUGUUCCGAUGGCUCUCUCUUCGAAUGAAGAGGAGGUGGAGGGGUAUUUAUAGCCUCCACACGAAAUCCAACCGUUACACACAAUUUACCAAUCUCGGUGGGACCGAAUCAGAAAACUCGAUCGGACCGAAAUAGUAAACCUAGUGACCGUUAGUGAUUUUCGGUGGGACUGACAUGCAACUCGGUAGGACCGAUUCUGUUAGGGUUUGGGCAUAACGUAAUUUCGGUGAGACCGAUUACACAAACUCGGUGAGACCAAUUUUGGUAAUAGGCUAACCAGAGAGUUGGUCAGGAAAACUCGGUGGGACCGAUUUGCUCUUUCGGUGAGACCAAAAAGUUACAAAAAGGAAACAGAGAGUUUACAUUGCAAUCUCGAUGGGACCGAUUCGCUCUUUCGGUGAGACCAAAAAGUUACGAAAGGGAAACAGAGAGUUUGCAAUCCCAUCUCGGUGAGACCGAGAUCCCUAUCGGUAGGACCGAAUUGCUAGGGUUUGGCAGUGGCUAAUGACAAGUGAAACUCGGUGGCGCCGGAUAGAAAGAAUCGGUAUGACCGAGUUUGGCUUAGGGUUUAGGUCAUUUGUGGAUAUGGGAAAGUAGCUGAGGAUUUUGGAGCAUAUCAUUAAGCACAUGAAGCAAGAUGCUCAUUAAGCAACACCUCAUCCCUCCUUGAUAGUAUUGGCUUUUCCUAUGGACUCAAUGUGAUCUUGGAUCACUAAAAUAUAAAAUGAAGAGUCUUGAGCUUUUUGAGCUUGAGCCAAUCCUUUGUCCUUAGCAUUUUGAGGGUUCCACUUUCACCAUCCAUGCCAUGCCAAUCAUUGAGCUUUCCUGAAGUAAUCACCUUGGAAUAGCAUUAGCUCAAUGAGCUAUAUGUUGUUAUGAAUUACCAAAACCACCUAGGGAUAGUUGCACUUUCAUGCUGCCUACUCCACUGUCACCCGAGAGCCCUUCUACCAUCAGAACCUGGUUCUGCAUGCUGAUGGGCUGGAUAGAGCUAACCGAGCUCUUUGCCACGAGUUGUACACCACCCGUCAGCACCUGUACCGUGCUCUGACGCUGUUGCACCCCUCUGUCCGAUCUGGUGAUUUGUCGCGUUCUGCGAUCUACCCUACCAGGACCGUGAUGCCCCAGGGCAUCGGCUGGCCAGAUGUGGGAGGCUACUCUCCUACACUUGGUCCUCUCCUGCCACCUGCGCAUCGGGUUCCGCACCAGAGUAUCCGUGGACCCCAGGCUACUCACGUGGAGGUCUUCCCUUCACGUCACUACCAGCUGUCUGGCUACACCUACCUCCACAGUUCCUCCUGGGACUGAUGUAGGCUUGCUUGUUAGAGUUAGAUGCAUUCCGUCGCGAGCCUGCGUGCCGCCUAUGAUGUCUUAGUCUAUGUACCGAACUCUAUGUAUGAUCUCUUUUGUAAGAUAUGCCGGCUACUAUGUAGUAUCUAUCGUGCUGCUUUCAUUGUGCAUGUUUCAUCAUGAAUGAUUCUUAUUUUUGCAAAUUUCUCAAUGAUGAACUACCCCUGUUAAAUAUUAGCAGGAUGGUUAGACCAGGUGGUCGUGGUCGUGGUGGCAACGCCCCACCACCGCCUGAGUACAUGGCUGGGAUGAUGCAAUAGAUUGAGCUGAAUCGUCAGUUCAUGGAGAAUAUUAUGGCUCAGUUUCCUCGCCCCAAUAUGAACCAGCGGCCAACCCAAGUGACUCUGCAGGAUUUCAUGCGCCUCAACCCAACCGUGUACCGCAGCUCAACUCAGCCUCUGGAUGCUGAUGACUGGCUCCGUGACAUCACCUAUGAGAUGGAGUCUGCUGAUGUAGCCCCUGCCAGCUAUGUCACCUUUGCUUCUUUCUUCCUGAAAGGACCCGCAGCUCAAUGGUGGGACAGCCACAGGCGUACUCUGCCAGCUGGAACAAUCAUCACCUGGCCAGACUUCCAAGCUGCCUUCCGUGCUCGCUUCAUUCCUCAGGGAGUCAUGGACCGUAAGAAGCGCGAGUUUCGCAACCUCACCCAAGGCAACAAGAUUGUUGAAGCUUAUCAACGGGAGUUUCUUGACUUGUCCUGCUAUGCUGAAGAAGACAUUGCAACUGAUGCACGCAGACAGGAGAAGUUCCGUGAUGGCCUUCAAGCUGACAUCAAGCUCGCACUUCUAGUGCAUGACUUUGCUGAUUUCGCCACCCUGGUGAACAAGGCCAUCAAUGUCGAAACUGGUCUGCAGGAAUACCAAGGCUCUCACAGGUGCAACCAUGACACGGGCUCAUCUUCGGGCCCGUCUUCACAGAAGCGUAAGAUAUGGAUUCCCAACAGUAUGUACCAGCCAAAUGCACCUGCCCCAAGGCAGACCUAUGCUGCACCUCGUCUGCCUGCUCCUCCAACUAGGCAGCCAAGACUUCCAGCUCCACCACCACAAGCUCCUGUUCCCACUCCCAAUAAUGGUCUCUACUACAAGUGUGGUCAGCCAGGUCACCGUGCUAGGGAUUGCAAUCAGAACCAGAAUCAACUGGCCCUCCCAGCAACUUGCCGUGGAAGCAACCAGCCUCGCAACAACAGUGCCAAGUCUUAUGGUCGUGUUCAUGCCAACCAUGUUGAUGUCAAUGAAGUUCUAGACCAGUCUGCUACCGUGAUGGGUACAAUCCUCGUAAAUUCAGUACCAGCAUCUGUUUUAUUUGAUAUGGGAGCAUCACAUUCGUUCAUAUCAGCUGAGUUUGCAUUCAUGCAUGGCAUUAAAUACGAAGAGAUGAACACUGCGAUUGUGGUACACACUCCUACGGGCCAAUGUCAAACCUCUAUGGUUAGUCAUGAUGUUCCCGUUGAAAUUGAAGGACUGGAAUUCCUUGCCUCUCCCAUCGUACUGAAGUCCUGUAGCAUCGACCUCAUUCUGGGAAUGGAUUGGUUGAAAGCGCAUACUGCUUCUAUAGUUUGCGCCACUAAGGUCGUCCAUCUGCUACACCCUUCUGAUGAAAUAAUUGCUUACCAAGCUCAUCUAGUUCAGAACACCGAGGCACGUCUUUAUGCCUUGAAUGCGUUGAACACUGCACCACUCGAGGGCAUUGGAAACAUUCCCGUCGUUCGUGAAUUCCAAGAUGUCUUCCCAGAAGAACUUCCAGGGAUUCCCCCUGCUAGAGCUGUCGAAUUCAUCAUCGACUUGAAACCCGGCACUACCCCUAUAGCUAAACGACCCUACAAGAUGCCGCCGCAUGAACUCAUUGAGCUUAAGGAGGAAAUCGACAAAUCUCUUGUCAAAGGUUUCAUUCGCCCAAGUUGCUCUCCUUGGGGAGCACCUUCUCUCUUUGUUAAGGAGAAGGAUGGGACAAACCGAUUAGUCCAAGACUACCGUCCUAUAAACCAAGCUACCAUUCAGAAUAAAUAUCCUCUUCCUCGGAUCAAUGAUAUUUAUGAUCAACUGGCUGGCUCGUCAGUGUUCUCCAAACUCGACUUGAGGUUGGGUUACCACCAGAUCCGUGUUCGUGAGGAGGACAUCCCAAAAACCGCCUUCGUGACUCGGUAUGGAUCAUACGAGUACACCGUCAUGUCAUUCGGCUUAAGGAAUGCUCCCGCCACCUUCUCUCUUCUGAUGAACUAUAUAUUCAUGGAUUACCUCGACAAGUUUGUUGUGGUCUAUCUAGACGAUAUCCUUGUAUUUUCCAAGAACGAAGAAGAACAUGCUGCACAUCUUCGUCUUGUGCUGGAAAAGCUUCGAGAGCAUCAACUGUAUGCUAAGUAUUCCAAGUGUGAAUUCUGGCUCUCCGAAGUAACCUAUCUUGGGCAUGUCAUCUCCAAGGAUGGUAUUGCCGUCAACCCUGAACGAGUUCAGGCUAUUCUCGAUUGGACUCCUCCAAAGAAUGUGAAGCAAGUCCGAAGUUUUCUCGGCCUCGCCAGCUAUUGCUGUCGAUUCAUCGAGAACUUCUCCAAGAUUGCCAGGCCUCUGACUAAUCUGUUGCAUAAGGGUGUUAAGUUCGAAUGGACAGACAAGUGUCAGGAAAGUUUCCAGGCACUCAAAGACAAGUUGACUUCUGCCCCCGUGCUUGCUCCACCUGAUACUAAGAAGGACUUCGUCAUUUACUGCGACGCUUCCCGUCAAGGAUUAGGCUGUGUCCUAAUGCAAGAGCGUAGAGUGAUUGCUUAUGCCUCUCGUCAACUGUGCCCUCACGAAGAAAACUACCCAGUUCACGACCUCGAGCUUGCUGCUGUCAUUCAUGCACUCAAGCAGUGGCGACAUUACCUUCUCGGUAAUCGUUGCGAGAUCUUCACCGACCACCAAAGUCUGAAGUAUCUGUUUACUCAGCCAGAUCUGAACCUCCGUCAGCAAAGAUGGAUGGAGACUGUUGCAGACUUUGACGUGGGUAUAUCCUAUACCCCCGACAAGGCUAAUGUAAUGGUUGAUGCCUUGAGCCACAAGUCUUACUGCAACCACCUCCAGGUUCACAAAGUUCAACCCUCGCUUGUAGAAGAAUUUAGAAAGCUGAACCUUCAUAUUGUUCCUCCUGGAGCACUCGCUCCCCCUCACCCGGAGUUCCGCAAGAUGAACCUCCGUGUUGUUUCCCAGGGUUCCCUCAAUACCCUAGCCGUCGAACCAGAUCUCUUGGAAUCCAUCAAGAGAAUUCAAGGAUAUAACUCUCAAGCCCACAAGAUUAAACAGCAUCUAAAAGAAGGAAAGCCCUCAUUCUUCACUAUCACCAACGAUGGUGCCUUGUACUUCAAAGGCUGCCUAGUGGUGCCAUGUUCAGAGAUAAACAAUGAUAUGACACAAGAGGUUAUGAAAGAAGCUCACGAUACGCCUCUAUCUAUCCAUCCGGGUAGUACCAAGAUGUAUCAGGAUAUUCGCCAGAGAUUCUGGUGGUCUAAUAUGAAGCAGGACAUUGCUUGUUAUGUUGCUGAGUGUGACGUUUGUCGCCGUAUCAAAGUAGAGCAUCAAAGGCCUGCUGGAACUCUGCAACCUAUCUCUAUUCCUGAAUGGAAAUGGGACCAUGUUGAAAUGGACUUCAUCACUGGAUUUCCCAAAUCGUAGAAAGGUAAUGAACGGCUUUCCAAAGUUGCCCAUUUUCUCGCGGUCAAAGAGACAAUCAUUGCUAGUCAGCUUGCUACUCUCUACAUGGCCAGAAUUGUUUCACUUCACGGUAUUCCACUGGUUAUCAGUUCAGACCGUGGCAGCUUAUUCACUUCAAGAUUCUGGGCAAGUUUCCAAGAAGCUAUGGGGACUCAUCUGUUGUUCAGUACUGCGUUUCAUCCCCAGUCGCAAGGACAGGUUGAACGUGUCAACCAAGUUCUCGAAGACAUGCUUCGAGCUUGUGUAAUUUCCUUCGGCAAGAAAUGGGAGGAAUCUCUUCCAUAUGCCGAGUUCUCUUAUAAUAAUAGCUAUCAAGCUAGUCUGAAGAUGUCCCCCUUCGAAGUACUAUAUGGACGGAAGUGUCGAACCCCUCUGAACUGGUCAGAAACUAGGGAACGUCCACUCUUUGGUCCGGAUAUUAUCCAACAGGCCGAAGAACAAGUUCGCAUUAUUCGCGAGAAUCUCAAGACUGCUCAGUCACGUCAGAAAAGUCAGUAUGACCGUCAUCACCAAGACAUGGUCUAUCAACCUGGCGAAAAGGCUUAUCUUCGAGUUACACCAAUGAAGGGUGCACACCGCUUCGGGAUCAAAGGAAAGCUAGCUCCCCGCUAUAUCGGCCCCUUCACUAUUCUCGAAAGGCGUGGAAAAGUGGCAUAUCAACUGGAGCUUCCGCCGAACCUUUCUCAGGUUCACGAUGUGUUCCACGUGUCACAACUCCGACGCUGCUUCAAGGACCCAAUCCGAGAAGUGGAUCAUGAAGCGCUUGAAUUGCAACAGGACCUCUCCUAUAAAGAGCAUCCGGUCCGCAUUCUCGACCAAGCCGAACACCGCACACGUCAGAAGGCGAUCAAGUUCCUCAAGGUCCAGUGGUCGAAUCACUCUGAAGACGAAGCCACCUGGGAACGCGAGGAUCGUCUUCGUGAUGAAUACCCCUCACUGUUACCUUCUACCUCCUAAAUCUCGGGACGAGAUUUCUUGUAGUGGAGGAGAUUUGUAACGCUCGGAUAAUCUUGCAACAGUAAUCCCACGCUAAUCAUGCCACGUCAUCCCGAUUACUGUUGCUAAACGUCCGUUAGUUCAAACCGCGUCAAAUUCAAAUUUAAAAUUAAUGUCGGCAAUAAAUGUUUUCAAAAAUUGAAACAAAAAUGUUUGGUGGUUGCCAAAUAUUACAAAGGUAAUUAUGGUGCAGCAAACACAUUUUUAUAAAAAUGUCUAAAUAAUUUAAAAUGUUUUAAAACAGAAAUGCAAAUAGAUAAAAACAAAACAGAAAACAAAAAAAAAGAGAAACCCCCCUGGGCCGUGGCCCAACUGGGCCAACCCAGCAGGCCCAGUGAUGGGGUCAUGUACCUAGGGUAGGGUCAUGGACCUGAUCUAAGUACCUUACCCAAGGACACCCUUAGAAGAGGUCGCCUUCCAGUCGACCAACGAGGGACUCACUCGACUGACUUGAAGGACUCGACCACGAAGACUCGCUCGACCACCAGAAGGUCAAGAGGCACUCUACACUGCAACGGCCUGUAAUUAAGUAGACUUUAUGGUAGUAAAGACACUUUAUGUGGGGCGUUAUCAGUAACGCCCCGGACUUAACUCACCUUAAACCCUCUCCUACGUGGGCUGACUGGGGUCCCGGCGCACUCUAUAUAAGCCGCCCCCCUCCACAGGUAGAGGGGUUCGGCACCUUGUAACUCAUAUACUCAUAAUCCACUCGACCGCCUCCGGGCUCCGAGACGUAGGGCUAUUACUUCUUCUGAGAAGGGCCUGAACUCGUACAUCCCUUGUGUUUACAACCUCUCCAUAGCUAGGACCUUGCCUCUCCAUACCUACCCCCCACUCUACUGUCAGGCUUAGAACCACGACAGUUGGUGCCCACCGUGGGGCAGGUGUUUUAGCGAUUUUGUGAAGAAGUUGCGAUUCUUCCGAGUACUUUCAUCAUGGUGUCUGCUGGAGUUUUGGUCGAAGGUCGAGAGAUCUUUCUCGGCACUCUCACCUUCAUCGCCGACGACUCCGCCUGGCUCCAGGAGGCUCCACUCGACGUUGAUGCGCUCCCCGUCCGCGGUGCGACGCAUUUUCGUGCAUGUGUCUGCGGCGUUCUGCUGCGGCAACCGUCGACCCCGUAUCGGACGACUCCUCCAUCGUCCACCCUCCCGGUCUCCCGCCAGUGCAAGCGCUCGGGCCGGUCGAGGCUUCAGCGAUGGGUGAGGCACGCGGUGGCUCGCCAAUCGGCCACCACCCAAGUUGCGGCAAUCGAGCCCGACGAAUCUCUCUACGGCUUGUUCGAUCUGUCGACUGGCUCCGUAGAGACUGCAUCCGAGUGCGGUAGCAGUGAUCCAGCGGCGGAAAUCUUGAUGGUCGACGGGCCCCGCAGUCCCCCUGGCUUCGCCCGUGAUGGUGGAGCAGGUGACGGAGGCGACCCCGCACGAGGCCACGAAGAGUACCAGACCGAGCCGCUCGACUCUCUGCAAAGAGAGGAACUUCGCCGCAGGAACGUGGAUGCUCUGCGUACUCCCAUCGCAGGAGAAACCCCCGAGGCUCGUGCCUUGGAGGAGGCACGUCUGGCCAAUUUGGCUGAACGCACUCGACUGGAGAAUCUUCAGCGAGCACUCGACGAGCGCGCGUGGCAACGAGUUCCCGACACCAGUCGACGUCAACUCUUCCCACCGACUCAGGUAUAUCGAACCCCAAUCCAGAAUUUAGCAGCUGCGACCCGUAUAGCAGAGUCCAUCCAGCCUUCUCAGUCGGAAGCUGGCAGAGGUUUGAUGCAGAUCAGGGAUCUGCUCCGGGCAGCAGGAGAUCAGAAUUCAGCCGUGUCUCAGUCGCGCAACAGAAUUCACAGUCGAUCCGUCACUGCGAAUACGGUUCAGUCGGCUCACAGCCCCAGAUCGCCUCCGCGGCGUGAAGGGCGCGAGAAUCGGCGAGAUCAAUAUGGCGACCGACUCGACCGAGAUGAUAGGCGUCGAGUGCCCAAUUCCCCUCCGAGGGGUGGGUCUUACGCUCCUCGGCAGCAAGAUGACAUGCGUCAGUACAGUAUAGGGCGAAGGGUUCCAGUCGACCCCAGAGAACCAGGCUUCGACGCGCGAUCCAUUAUCGUGCAAGGUUUGGUCGACCGGAACAGAGCCCAUCGAGGCGGACUCGACAGAGAUGCACCCACAAGCAGUCGAGUGCAUGUUUCUGGUCCUGAAUGUUUCAGCAGAGCUAUCAGAGCUGCAGUUAUCCCUCCCAAUUUCAGGUUGGCAACAGGAGUCAGCAAGUUCACUGGUGAGUCUAAGCCUGAAACUUGGCUUGAAGACUACCGAGUGGCAGUUCAGAUUGGUGGUGGGAACGACGAGGUGGCCAUGAAGCAUUUGCCCCUCAUGCUGGAAGGUUCUGCCAGGGCAUGGUUGACUCAAUUACCUCCUAGCAGCAUUUACACUUGGGAAGAUCUGUCCCGAGUGUUCAUCAGAACGUUUGAAGGAACUUGCAAGCGACCAGCUGGAUUGACAGAGUUGCAAGUCUGCGUGCAGAAGGCUAAUGAGACUCUCAGAGAGUAUAUUCAGAGGUGGAUCACUUUGCACCACACUAUGGAGAAUGUGUCUGAUCAUCAGGCAGUCUGCGCCUUCAAAGAUGGCGUCAAGAACAGAGAACUGAGUUUGAAGUUUGGUCGAACCGGUGACAUGACCUUGAGUCGGAUGAUGGAGAUUGCUACCAAGUACGCCAACGGCGAAGAAGAAGACCGACUCCGAAGCGGCAAGCACAAGCCGAGUCAGUCGGAAAAAGGAAACACCAGUCGGAAACAGAAGCGGAAGGCUGAACCGGCAGCUCCUGGAGAGGCUCUGGCCGUGACUCAGGGAAAGUUUAAGGGGAAACCAAAAGGAUCCUGGAACCCCAAGAAGGUAAAGGAUAAAGAAGGGAACGACGUAAUGGAUAUGCCAUGCCACAUCCACACGAAGAAAGACGAAGAGGGGAAUAUCAUCUACCCGAAGCACACCACUCGCCAAUGUCGACUCCUGAUCCAGCAGUUUCAGGGAAAACAGUCUAAGGACAAGGAGAAGGAGUCGGACAAGGCCGAAGACAAGGAGGACAGUGAGGAAGGAUAUCCGCAUAUCAACUCCACUCUGAUGAUCUUUGCAGAUGUGGAAAGCAGGAGUCGACUGAAAGUCAUUAACCGAGAGGUGAACAUGGUUGCCCCAGCAAAAGCAAAUUAUCUGAAAUGGUCUCAAAUACCCAUCACAUUCGACCAAUCUGAUCACCCGACUCAUAUUGCCACCCCUGGGAGGCAAGCUUUGGUGGUCGAUCCAGUUGUCGAAGGCACUCGACUGACAAAAGUGCUGAUGGACGGUGGAAGCGGGCUGAAUUUGUUGUAUGCAGACACACUGAAAGGAAUGGGCAUUCCGAUGUCCCGACUGAGCACUAGUAACAUGAGCUUUCAUGGAGUUAUACCAGGGAAGAAAGCCGAGUCACUCGGCCAAAUAGCUUUGGACGUGGUGUUUGGUGAUUCGAAACAUUUUCGCAAAGAAAAGUUGACGUUUGAGGUCGUGGAUUUCCAGAGUGCAUAUCAUGCCAUUUUGGGGAGGCCAGCUUACGCACGGUUCAUGGCUCGACCAUGUUACGUGUACCUCAAAUUGAAGAUGCCUGGCCCCAAAGGAGUGAUCACUGUCACCGGUGAUCGGAAAAAGGCAGAAGAGUGCUUUCAGAAGGGCUCAAAGAUUGCCGAUUCCCAGGUGACAGCGGUCGAGUUCGAGGAAUACAAGCAAAACGCAGAUCCGAGUGACUUGCUGCGAUCAAAGAAACCCGCCACAGAGUCUGCAUUUCAGUCGUCCGAUGAGACGAAGCCUGUUCACAUUCACCCGACCGACCCCGAUGCAGCUCCGACCCGCAUCUCCACAACACUCGACCCAAAAUAGGAAGAAGCGCUCAUCCAGUUCCUCCGUGAGAACUGGGACAUUUUUGCAUGGAAGCCCGCUGACAUGCCACGUGUUCCCAGGGGACUGGCUGAGCAUCGCCUAAGAGUCGACUCGUCUGCAAAACCAGUCAAAGAGCAUCUUCAGCGGUCCGCCGUCCAGAAGAGAAAAGCCAUUGGUGAGGAAGUGGCUCGACUGUUGGCGGCAGGAUUUAUCCGAGAGAUAUACCACUCCGAGUGGCUCGCUAAUGUCGUCAUGGUUCCUAAGAAGGACAAGUCGCUCCGAAUGUGCAUUGAUUUCAAGCACAUCAACCGGACCUGCCCGAAAGAUCAUUUUCCUCUCCCUCGCAUAGAUCAAAUUGUUGACUCGACCGCGGGAUGCGAGAGGCUGUCUUUUCUAGAUGCCUACUCCGGGUACCACCAGAUCCGUCUGUACGGACCCGACGAGGUAAAAACAGCUUUCAUCACUCCAUUCGGGUGCUUCUGCUAUAUCACCAUGCCAUUCGGCCUCAAGAAUGCCGGAGCCACAUUUAUGCGAAUGAUUCAGAAGUGUUUACUCACUCAAAUCAGUCGGAAUGUGGAAGCAUAUAUGGAUGAUAUCGUUGUCAAGUCACGAAAAGGUUCCGACCUGCUCGCUGAUCUCGCCGAAACAUUUGCCAACCUCAGAAGAUAUGAUAUCAAGCUCAAUCCAUCAAAGUGCACAUUUGGAGUUCCUGGUGGCAAGUUACUCGGUUUUCUCGUUUCCGAACGGGGAAUCGACGCUAACCCAGAGAAGAUUGGCACUAUUCUCCGAAUGAAACGCCCUGUGCGAGUGCACGAUGUCCAGAAGCUUACUGGAUGCUUGGCCGCAUUAAGUCGAUUCAUCUCACGACUCGGUGAAAAGGCAUUGCCUCUUUACCGACUGAUGAAGAAGACAGACAAGUUCGAGUGGACUCCAGAAGCUGAUGCAGCGUUUGCCGAGCUAAAAGCUCUGCUCUCCACCCAGCCGGUGCUUGCUGCUCCAAUCAGCAAAGAGCCUCUGUUGCUCUAUAUCGCAGCCACAGGACAAGUCGUCAGUACUGUGCUUACGGUCGAGCGGGAAGAAGAAGGAAAAGCUCUCAAAGUUCAGCGCCCAGUGUAUUAUUUGUCUGAAGUCUUGACUCCAUCCAAGCAGAGAUAUCCUCAUUAUCAGAAGCUUGUGUAUGGAAUAUACAUGACCACAAAGAAGGUUGCUCAUUAUUUUUCUGACCAUUCCAUCACAGUCGUCAGCGACGCUCCACUAUCAGAGAUUUUGCACAACAGAGAUGCAACUGGUCGAGUGGCCAAAUGGGCGAUUGAACUUCUUCCCCUUGAUAUCAAGUUUGAGGCAAAGAAAGCCAUUAAGUCCCAGGCAAUAGCAGAUUUCCUCGCCGAGUGGAUUGAAUAACAGCAGCCGACUGAAGUUCACUCGGAGCAUUGGACCAUGUUCUUUGAUGGCUCUAAGAUGUUGAAUGGUUCCGGUGCUGGGGUUUUCCUGGUUUCCCCCAGAGGACAUAAGCUCAGAUAUGUGCUCCAGAUUCACUUUGAUUCCUCCGACAAUGAGGCAGAAUAUGAGGCCCUCUUAUACGGGUUGCGCAUGGCCAUUUCACUCGGCGUCCGUCGCCUGAUGGUCUAUGGCGACUCGGAUUUAGUGGUCAACCAGGUGAUGAAAGAGUGGGACGUGAGAAGUCCAGCCAUGACUGGAUACUGCAGUGCAGUGAGGAAGCUGGAAAAGAAGUUCGAGGGGUUGGAGCUCCAUCAUAUACCCCGACUAAAAAAUCAAGCAGCUGAUGAUCUAGCAAAGAUAGGUUCCAAGAGAGAAGCCAUUCCGAGUGGUGUGUUCUUGGAGCAUAUACACACUCCGUCAGUCAAAGAAGAUCCUUUCACCGAAGAAACUCCACAGCCCAAGAGUGCCACAGAUCCGACUGAGAUUGAGGUCCCAGCGGUGGUCGACUUGAUCAUGGAGGUCUUGGUGAUCAUUCCCGACUGGACAGUUCCGUAUGUCGCGUAUAUCCUGAGAAAAGAGCUUCCGGAGGAUGAGGAAGAGGCUCGACAGAUCGUCCGUCGAUCUAAGGCCUUUACCGUAAUCAAAGGACAAUUAUACAGAGAAAGCGCGACUGGAGUUGGUCAGAAGUGCAUAACACCAGAAGAAGGUCGACUCAUCCUCAAUGAUAUCCACUCGGGGACCUGUGGUCAUCAUGCGUCCUCUCGGACCAUCGUGGCCAAAGCAUACCGAGCCGGAUUUUACUGGCCAAAGGCGAAUGAGAUGGCAAAAGAGAUAGUGGAUAAGUGCGAGGGAUGUCAGUUCUACUCGAAUAUGUCGCACAAGCCUGCGUCGGCUCUAAAGACCAUCCCACUCGUCUGGCCUUUCGCAGUAUGGGGACUGGACAUGGUCGGUCCUUUGAGAACAAGACGAAGUGGCUUCACGCAUGUACUGGUGGCAGUCGACAAGUUCACCAAUUGGAUCGAGGCUAAACCAAUCAAGAACCUUGACACCGGUACUGCUGUUAGCUUCAUCAGGGAACUAAUAUUCAGAUAUGGAGUCCCGCACAGCAUCAUUACGGAUAAUAGGUCGAACUUUGACUCGGAGGAAUUCAGAGAUUUCUGCAACUCCCAAGGCACACGGGUCGACUACGCUUCAGUCGCCCAUCCGCAGUCGAAUGGACAAGCGGAGCGAGCUAAUGGACUGAUUCUUAAGGGAUUGAAGCCCCGACUGAUGCGUGAUCUCAAACACGCGGCUGGAGCUUGGGUCGACGAACUUCCCUCAGUGCUUUGGGGGCUGCGGACCACACCUAAUCGGUCGACCGGAAGAACUCCAUUCUUCUUGGUCUACGGAGCUGAAGCAGUCUUGCCGAGUGAUCUUCUCCACAAUGCUCCUCGAGUUGAAAUCUACAACGAAGCAGAGGCUGAACAAGCGCGGCAGGACGCAGUCGACCUUUUAGAGGAAGAAAGGGAGAUGGCUCUGAUCCGUUCGACCAUCUACCAACAAGAUUUGCAUCGUUUCCACGCCAGAAAUGUGAGAGGUCGAGCCUUCCAGGAAGGAGAUUUAGUUCUCCGAGUGGAUCAGCACAAACCACACAAGCUUGCUCCUUCUUGGGAAGGUCCCUUCAUCGUCACCAAGGUUCUCCACAAUGGGGCGUACCGUCUUUACAACGUCGAGCAUAAUAUCGACGAGCCCCGAGCUUGGAACGCGGAACUACUCCGCCCAUUUUAUACUUAAGUUUUAUCACUCGGAUGAGUUGCAAUAAAGUACUUCUGUAGUUCAUGGACCUCAAAAUAAUAGUGUCAUGGUUCCUCCAUAAUUUCUGUCACUUUUUAUUUUUGUCCAAUAAAAUCCCCCCUCAGUGGGUGACUUAGCCGCGAAUCCGUUUCGCCUAAGUUUGUAAAAAUCCUACCGAGUGGUGAGCCAGACUCCCACUCGGAGGCUUAGCUGCGAAUCCGUUUCGCCUAAGCUAUCAAAAUCCUACCGAGCGGUAAGCCAGACUUCCACUCGGAGGCUUAGCUGCAGUCCAAGGACUCGCCUAAGUUUGUAAAAAUCCUACCGAGUGAAGAGCAAACCUCUCACUCGGGGGCUUAGCUGCAGUCCAAGCACUCGCCUAAGUUACAAAAAUCCUACCGAGUGAAGAGCAACCCUCUCACUCGGAGGCUUAGCUGCAGUCCAAGCACUCGCCUAAGUUAUCAAAAUCCUACCGAGUGGUAAGCCAGACUUUCACUCGGGGGCNNNNNNNNNNNNNNNNNNNNNNNNNNNNNNNNNNNNNNNNNNNNNNNNNNNNNNNNNNNNNNNNNNNNNNNNNNNNNNNNNNNNNNNNNNNNNNNNNNNNNNNNNNNNNNNNNNNNNNNNNNNNNNNNNNNNNNNNNNNNNNNNNNNNNNNNNNNNNNNNNNNNNNNNNNNNNNNNNNNNNNNNNNNNNNNNNNNNNNNNNNNNNNNNNNNNNNNNNNNNNNNNNNNNNNNNNNNNNNNNNNNNNNNNNNNNNNNNNNNNNNNNNNNNNNNNNNNNNNNNNNNNNNNNNNNNNNNNNNNNNNNNNNNNNNNNNNNNNNNNNNNNNNNNNNNNNNNNNNNNNNNNNNNNNNNNNNNNNNNNNNNNNNNNNNNNNNNNNNNNNNNNNNNNNNNNNNNNNNNNNNNNNNNNNNNNNNNNNNNNNNNNNNNNNNNNNNNNNNNNNNNNNNNNNNNNNNNNNNNNNNNNNNNNNNNNNNNNNNNNNNNNNNNNNNNNNNNNNNNNNNNNNNNNNNNNNNNNNNNNNNNNNNNNNNNNNNNNNNNNNNNNNNNNNNNNNNNNNNNNNNNNNNNNNNNNNNNNNNNNNNNNNNNNNNNNNNNNNNNNNNNNNNNNNNNNNNNNNNNNNNNNNNNNNNNNNNNNNNNNNNNNNNNNNNNNNNNNNNNNNNNNNNNNNNNNNNNNNNNNNNNNNNNNNNNNNNAGCCAGACUUUCACUCAGGGGCUUAGCUGCAGCCUUGUGCUCGCCUAAGUUGUAAAAAAAUCCUACCGAGUGAAGAGCAAGCCUCUCGCUCGGGGGCUUAGCUGCAGCCCUGUGCUCGCCUAAGUUGUAAAAAAUCCUACCGAGUGGAGAGCAACCCUCUCACUCGGAGGCUUAGCUGCAGUCCAAGCACUCGCCUAAGUUAUAAAAAUCCUACCGAGUGAAGAGCAAACCUCUCACUCGGAGGCUUAGCUGCAGCCCAGUGCUAGCCUAAGUUAUCAAAAUCCUACCGAGUGAAGAGUAAACCUCUCACUCGGGGGCUUAGCUGCAGCCCAGUGCUCGCCUAAGUUACAGAAAUCCUACCGAGUGGUAAGCCGGGCUUCCACUCGGAGGCUUAGCCGCAGCCCAGUGCUCGCCUAAGUGGACUAAAGAAUAAGUCGAUUGCAGUAAAGGCGCCUUGCUUUGAACCUGCAAAAGACAUUUCGAGCCAAAGGCAAUCGUAUUCAAGCACCAAAUUCAAGUUUGAAUCGAUAUCUAAAGGAACCGAAAGUGCUCAGGCGUUAAGCCUGUUAAGGUUUAUCGGUUACAAUUCCACUCGGCAUACCGAGGCAAAUUUAAAGCGUCGAGCCAGAAGAAGUUUUUUACCCCUCCUGUGGAGGGCUGGAAGGUGCAACGAAUUCAUCAAGGUCAAUUCCGUCGGCGAUCCGAGUGGCAGCCGCAAGGAAAGUUUCCAUAAAGGACCUGAAGUCGUGUUUCUUGGUGUUGGCCACCCGAAGGGCCGCCAGCUUCUCUUCUCGUGCAUCUUUACAGUGGACUCGGGCCAGACAUAGAGCAACAUCUGCACCACACCGAGCCGAGGACUUCUUCCAUUCCUGCACUCGACCAGGGAUCGUGUUCAAGCGGGCCAUCAGCGACUCAAGGUCAUUCUGAAGUGUCUCCUCAGGCCAGAGCGUCGAGUCGAUGCGAGAUGUGGCGGCCUUCAGCCUUGCGAGAUAGUCCACGACAGCUGCAACAUGAGACUCCAGUCGGAAAACAUCCAUGGCAACUUCGUCGUUCACCAGAGAAUUGACGGGGUCGAGGUUUGGCUCCAGCCGGCUAGUUUCUUCUUCAAAGUUUUGACAAAAUUCUGCAAGGAUGAUCACUAAGUCAAGGGGAUGGUCGAAUGGAAAAACCACGAUUGGAAAUGUUUGCCGAGCAUAGAGGUUUACCUUCAAGCAUAAGAAACAGCUUCUUGGCAAGACCACUCAGGAAGACCUCCAGAUCAUUUUUCUUCCCAGUCAACUUACUGACUUGGUUGGUCAGGGCAGCUUUAUCAGUUUUUAGUCGACUGACCUCCUUGUUGGCGAUUCCAAGAGCAGCUUUCAGAUUGGUAUUGUCUUGUUCAAGCUUGGUGACUGAAGCUAACUUCUCGUCAGCAAGCUUGAUCUUCUCAGCUAGUUCGAGGUCUUUCUUCUGUUGGGCCUCCCUUACCUUACCUGCAAGUUACAGCAAGAUCAGAUUUUGAAACAAGCAAGGGGAAAAGCAGUCGUCAGGGUCUCACCAAACAUACCUUCGGUCUCCUCCUUUGCCUUCAUCAGCUUCUCCUGAACCAGCUUCAAGCUCAGCUCGAGUUGAGUGUGCUUGUUUUCCAGCUCAGAGUAGCGAGCCACAAGAUCACAGGAGUUCUGCGAAGAACCAAUCGACUAAAUGUCAAAUAUAAUUCACUUCCGAGUGAAAAAGGAAAAAACACACGUUUCUAAGACUACAGCCGAAUACAAGCAUUCGACCGUAGUCUCGGGGACUACACCCUGUGGGUGCACUCAGCGUGCCCCCACUAAUCCUGUUGAAGAUAAAGUCGACCAGUCGACCUCAAAAAAAAGAGAGAUGUAUUCUUUAAGACUGUGAUCAACUGCAAGCAGUCGACCACAGUCUCGGGGACUACACCCAGUGGGUGCACUCAGCGUUCCCCCACCGGUUUGUGAAAUCCAGUCGACAUAGUCGACUGACAGAAAGAUUGACAUCAUAAAGCCUAAGGCCGACUGCCAGCAGUCGACCUUAGCCUUGGGGACUACACCCAGCGGGUGCACUCAGCGUGCCCCCGCUAACAUGGAGUUUAAUCGACACACCCACUGGGUGACUACUAUAAAUUCCGGAAAGGAAAAGUUUUUGGUAGCAUAUCCAACAGAACAAACGGUGGUCGACUGACCUGAACAUUGCUUUGAAGGGCAGAACUGGCGUCAUAAGCUGCCUGGCUCGCAUCCCGGAUGGUCUUCAACUGCUCCAUCAUGAUUCUCGCCUGGCGUAUCGCCUCCUUCGCCGCGCCAGCUUGGUCCUCUGGGACGUGGUGCAUCGUGAAGAGGGAGGGCUGCUGAGCACUCGUCAAUGGAUCUGCGAAGGACACCAUGUGUCGAGUGGUGUUCUCUUCCUCCGCAAUCAGAAUCUCAGGCGCCGUCACAUCCUGGGGCACCUUGCUGGCGGACGCUUUUCUACUCCUUCUGCGCUUCAGCGGUUCCUCAUCCUCCUCAUCAUCAGGGAGAUUGAUAACAGCAUUGGGUGGAGCUACGGAGAAGAAUCAGGAUCAGGGAUCGCGAGUCAAUCGACUAAAAACGGCGUUAAGAAUAUAGUACCUGGUUUUGAAGUUGCUGCGUCCUCCAUCUCAUGGUCAUCAGCCCGGGCUGAGGUCUCAGAAGUAGCAGCACUGCAACUCCAAAGAAUCAGUCGACUAACUUCAGCGUCAACCAGGGACAAAGUUCACACAAAAUAAGAAGACUUAAGCAGCACGAUUACCCUGAUAUGGUGGGGAUGGACACCUUCAUCUUCGGCAGGAGCUUGAUCGGCUUCGACGAGGCCGCCCUGGGCUGCUUCGGCGCCUUUUCAGUCGGCACUGGAGAGGUGGUCCGAGGGCGUUUGGUCGACUGAGCAGCGGUCGCAACCCCCUUACCACGUUCAGUCGAAGGGUUGUGGACAAGCUUCGACCGCCUUUCCGAGCGCGGUGGUACGACCUCCUCCUCCUCUUCUUCCUCGUCUUCAACGUCAUCUUCAUCACCGUCAUCAUCGUCAUCGUCAUCAUCAUCCUCAGCAACGUCCGAGUCCCAUUCCUCCUCUUCCUGGCUCUCGCCUCCACUCGCCUCACCCUCCUCAGUCGGAGCUUGUGCCCCAUUGGGCAUCGAGUACAGCUCGGUGAGGGCCUAGCAGAUAUCAAGACAAGGAUCAAUCGACCAGUCGACAGGAUAAACAGAAAUGAAUGUGACAAGAACACAGUGGAGAGCAGAGCAAACGUACCUUGUUUGGAUCGCUGUUGUGGUCGAGUGGAGGAAUCCUUCUGGCUCCGCGUGGGUUAUCCUUGUUUCCGGUAACGGCUACCAUCCAUCUUUCCAGAGUGACAUCGUCGACUGCUUCUGGAUGGACUCGAGUCUCGUCUUCAGUCCCACAGUACAACCACAUGCAGUGGCUCCGGAACUGAAGGGGCUGGAUGCGACGCCUAAGGAAGACCUCCAGGAGAUCCAUGCCCAUCACUCCCUCCCGAACCAACUGCACCACGCGCUCCAUCAUCAUCUUCACGUCAGCUUUCUCCUCCGGAAUCAACUUCAGAGAGGAGGGCUUGUUCACUCGGUCCAUGGUAAACUGAGGGAGUCCACUCGACUGCCCCGGCAUCGACUGGUCCUGGCAGUAGAACAAGGUCGACUGCCAGCCUCUGACUGACUCGGGAAAGGUCAUGGGCGGGAAGGUGCUCUUAUUCCUCACCUGGAUCCCCAGACCCCCACACAUUUGGACGACUCGGGUUCUUUCAUCGCCUGGGCUCACCUUCUUCACGGUCUGAGAGCGACACGUGAAUAUAUGCUUGAACAAACCCCAGUGCGGUCGACAGCCCAGGAAACCCUCACACAUGGACACGAACGCGGCAAGAUAGGCGAUAGAAUUUGGGGUAAAGUGGUGGAGCUGCGCUCCAAAGAAGUUCAAAAAGCCACGGAAGAAAAUACUCGGCGGAAAAGAAAAUCCACGAUCAACAUGGGUGGCCAAGAGCACACACUCACCCUCUUCUGGCUGGGGCUGCCACUCCUUCCCCGGAAGCCUCGCAGCUCCAUGAGGGAUCAAGCCCUUGUUGGCCAUGUCGAGGAGAUCUUUUUCUGUGAUGGUCGACUGGAUCCAGUCUCCUUGGACCCAGCCCUUCGGCAGGCGGGAUCUGGACGAAGACCCGCCGCGGCUGGUAGAUCUCCCCUUCGCCUUCUCCGACGCCGAUGCCUUCUUCACACGUUCCAGCGCCGCCGUCUUCUCCUUGGCCAUGGUUGCCGGCGAGAUGCGCGAGGGGAAGUUGUGCGGGGGCGAGAGCGAGCGCGCUGGACGGGGACGAAGGGAGCAGAGAGAGAGAGAAUGCUGAGGCACAGUACAGAAAUCCUCGCCGGGCGCAUUUAUAAGGUCCCUUCCGAGUGGAUGACAGGUGGGCCCGGUCGAUCUAAUCAUAUCCAGGAACAGUUAUGCAGACGGGAUACGUGGCGAAGAAAGCGGCGCGGAGAUCGAGGCGUCUAUGUCCCGUCCCAUCUGAACGCCGCGGUCCACUCCGCUUCGCGCGCGUCCCCAAAUUUCGCAUCCCGCAGAAUCCACGAACAGCAGAUCAGUCUGUCAGACGCGGGAUUUCCCGCGAUCCAUCGCUCGGGGAUCGUCAAAGCCCGAAAGAUCACUCGACGAAAGAAGAGAAUGGAUCGAGUCGACUGAAGACAAGUUGCUCACUAUCGAUGAAGAGAUUCUUUGGUCCAGAACAACGCACAACCAGAGCGCAAAGGUUAAUCGGAAACGACAUCAACUCCUUCCUCACUCGAAGACUCAAUCCAUUCGGGGGCUAAUGAUGGGGUCAUGUACCUAGGGUAGGGUCAUGGACCUGAUCUAAGUACCUUACCCAAGGACACCCUUAGAAGAGGUCGCCUUCCAGUCGACCAACGAGGGACUCACUCGACUGACUUGAAGGACUCGACCACGAAGACUCACUCGACCACCAGAAGGUCAAGAGGCACUCUACACUGCAACGGCCUGUAAUUAAGUAGACUUUAUGGUAGUAAAGACACUUUAUGUGGGGCGUUAUCAGUAACGCCCCGGACUUAACUCACCUUAAACCCUCUCCUAUGUGGGCUGACUGGGGUCCCGGCGCACUCUAUAUAAGCCGCCCCCCUCCACAGGUAGAGGGGUUCGGCACCUUGUAACUCAUAUACUCAUAAUCCACUCGACCGCCUCCGGGCUCCGAGACGUAGGGCUAUUACUUCUUCCGAGAAGGGCCUGAACUCGUACAUCCCUUGUGUUUACAACCUCUCCAUAGCUAGGACCUUGCCUCUCCAUACCUACCCCCCACUCUACUGUCAGGCUUAGAACCACGACACCCAGCCGGCCACCCACCCCACCAACUCCUUAUCCACUACGCCACCCCCACCCGCUCCACCGACACCCCACAACAGCCCCGAGAAUAUCUCCUCCCCCUCCUCUCUCCCGAUCUGGAUCGGGAUCGAGAGGAGGCCACCGCCUCCUGGAACCGCCCUCACCGCACGACGACCACGCCGGGGCCCGGAGCUCCCUCGCCGGACCACCUCAACGGCCUGCUCCCUCCCCGUCGCCCGAUCGUCCCCAUCGACCUCCUCAACCCCCGCUGCCUCGUACCCUACAACCACCUCAUGAGGCCCCCUCCUUCUCUGCCUCGCGCCUGCCGCGCACUGGGCGCGCCCACGGCCGCACACGCACGCGCAUGCCACCCGCCCCCCACGCCGGCCUGGACCUCCCUCGCCCGCCUCCACUUGCCUGCCCGCACCUGCCGCGCCGUGGCUUCGCUUGGCCGUCGCCCCCGCUGCAUGCUGCUGGUGCUCGGCUUCGCCACUACCGUGAAUGCGCGCCCGAGCCCCACGCACUCACCGCCCCAUCUGGCUCCGGCGAGCGCGUCCGCCACCAAGCUCGCGCUCCCAGCACUGGCCGCUCGCCGUGUCCAGCUCCGCCCAUUUCAGUUGCUACGCCGCCUCGCCUCACCCGCGCUACGGCCAUCGCUGUGCGUGCAUACCCCGCUGCUCCCGCAACCACUGUCGCCGCCCACUUGGCCUCGCCCUCGCUGCGGCCAUGCCUGGGUGCGCCCCACCGCAUGCCCCUGCUCCCCUCGCCCUGCUCGACGGCCCCGCAGUCGCCGUCCACGCCAUGCUCGCACCGUUCGCCGUCCCGCUCCGCCCCUGGUCGGCGCCCUCCUCCGCCCUAGACGGUGCCAGGGACUAGUCGGGCUGCGCGCGCCCUAUCGCCAUGGUGGCCUCGCCCUGCUGCGCCGCAUGGAGGCCCCCGCGCCCUGCCUAGCUCGCCGUGGCCACCGGCCUCUCCCUGCUCCGGCGCCCUACCGGGCUUGCCCGCUCGCUCGGGCUGCGCCCCACGCCCGUGCCCGCUAAGGCCACAAGGGCCUUUUGACAGCUGGGCCCCAAACCCCCUCUAUGUCUAUGACGAAGGGGGCCCCCACCCCCAGAACGGAUUUAAAAUAAAAUAAAAUUAUUAAUUAAUUAAUUAAUUAACCUAAUUAAUAUUAAUUAAUUAAUUAUUAAUUAACUAACUUAAUUAACUAAUUAAAGAAUUAAUUAAACUAAUUAAUCCUGAUUAGAUUAGCCUAAGCAGAUAACUAAACCCUAUUCAAACUAACAAAGUAUGACAGGUGGGUCCCACUGGACCCACGCAUCAGUUGACCCAGUCAACCCCUGUUGACUGGUGACGUCAGCACGACAUCAUGCUGAUGUCAUAAAUCCAAAUUUCGAAUUAAAUUAAAUAAUUAAUUAAAUUCCAGAAAUUAGUAAAAUCUUUAGAAAAUCAUAUCUUUUAAUCCGUAACUCGGAUUAAAUUAUUUUCAACAUGAAAGUUGCUCAGAACGACGAGACGAAUCCGGAUACGCAGCCCGUUCGCCCGCCACGCAUCCCUAGCAUAGCGAACACGCACCUUUCCCCCUCCGGUUCGUCUGUCCAAAAACGCGAAACACCAGGAAUACUUUUUCGGAUGUUUUCCCCCUUCACCGGUACCACCUCGUACCGUGUUAGGGCACACCUAGCAUCACAUUUUGUCAUGUCAUGCAUCAUUAUGCAUCUAUUUUCAUUAUAUUUAUUGUUUCUUCCCCCUCUUCUCUCGCUAGACACCGAGACCGACGCCGCUGCUACCCAGUACGACUACGGUGUUGACGACCCCUCUCUCUUGCCAGAGCAACCAGGCAAGCCCCCCCCCCCUUGAUCACCAGAUAUCGCCUACUCUACUCUCUAUACUGCUUGCAUUAGAUUAGUAUAGCAUGUUACUGCUUUCCGUUAAUCCUAUCCUGAUGCAUAGCCGGUCCUUGCUACUACUGUUGUUACCUUUACCUGCAAUUCUAAUGCUUAGUAUAGGAUGCUAGUUUAUCAUCAGUGGCCCUACAUCCUUGUCCGUCUGCCAUGCUAUACUAUCGGGCCAUGAUCACUCGGGAGGUGAUCAUGGGUAUAUACUAUAUACUUUUUACAUGAUACAUGUGAUGACUAAAAGACGGGUUGGCUCGUAGGAGUACCCGCGAGUGGAUCUUUGUGGCGAAGCGACAGGGCAGGUUGAGACCACCUAGGAGAGAGGUGGGCCUGGCCCUGGUCGGCGUUCGCGGUUAUUUCAAGAUAACACGUUUAAUGAGAUCUUGGUAUUUGAUCUGAGUCUGGCUACUGGCCUAUACGCACUAACCAUCUACGCGGGGAUAGUUAUGGGCACUCGACGUCGUGGUAUCAGCCGAAGCCUUCGUGACGUCAGCGACUGAGUGGCGCGCGCCGGAUUGGACCGUAAGCCUCCUCUUGUAUUAAGGGGGCUAGUUCUGCUUCCGGCCGCGUUCGCAACGUGCAGGUGUGCAAAGGGCGAUGGGCCCAGACCCCUGCGCCUUAGGAUUUAGACCGACGUGCUGACCUCUCUGUUGUGCCUAGGUAGGGCUGCGACGUGUUGAUCUUCCGAGGCCGGGCAUGACCCAGGAAAGUGUGUCCGGCCAAAUGGGAUCGAGCGUGUUGGGUUAUGUGGUGCACCCCUGCAGGGAAGUUGUACCUUGACCUUCGGUAAUAGCUGUGAUCUUCGGUAAUAGGACGACUUGGAGUUGUACCUUGACCUUAUGAAAACUAGAAUCGGAUACUUAAUAAAACACACCCUUCCAAGUGCCAGAUACAACCGGUGGUCGCUCUCUCACAGGGUGGCGAGGGGAGGAUCAUCGGUUAGGGUUAUGCUAUGCGAUGCUACUUGGAGGACUUCAGUCUACUCUCUUCUACAUGCUGCAAGACGGAGGCUGCCAGAAGCGUAGUCUUUGACAUGAUUAGCUAUCCCCCUCUUAUUCUGGCAUUCUGCAGUUCAGUCCACCGAUAUGGCCUUUACACAUAUACCCAUGCAUAUGUAGUGUAGCUCCUUGCUUGCGAGUACUUUGGAUGAGUACUCACGGUUGCUUCUCCUUCUUUUCCCUCUAUCCCUUCUACCUGGUUGUCGCAACCAGAUGUUGGAGCCCAGGAUCCAGACGCCAUCGUCGACGACGACUCCUACUACACCGGAGGUGCCUACUACUAUGUUCUGCCUGCUGACGACGACCAGGAGUAGUUAGGAGGAUCCCAGGCAGGAGGCCUGCGCCUCUUUCGAUCUGUAUCCCAGUUUGUGCUAGCCUUCUUAAGGCAAACUUGUUUAACUUAGGUCUGUAGUCAGAUAUUGUUGCUUCCGCUGACUUGUCUAUGAUCGAGCUCUUGUAUUCGAACCCUCGAGGCCCCUGGCUUGUAAUAUGAUGCUUGUAUGACUUAUUUUAUUUGUAGAGUUGUGUUGUGAUAUCUUCCCAUGAGUCCCUGAUCUUGAUCGUACAUGUUUGCGAGUAUGAUUAGUGUACGAUUGAAUCGGGGGCGUCACAGCAGGACUUCGGCGAACCGGGCUGUAGCGGACUACUAUGGCUCAUGGAAGCACAAGACUACAUUUCCCCAUAAGAGAGGCUACCAAGGAUAAACAACUAGGUUGUCAGAUCUCACACAUACCAAGCAUUUCAAUCAUACACACAAUAUGCUCGAUAUGUGUAAAUACAACAUGGCAUCACAACAUAACUCUACGACUCAAGGUAUUUAUUCAUUAGGCUCCGAGGAGCGAGAUAUUACAAACAUGGGUCUCAUGACCCAACAUUCAGAGCAUACAAGUCAAGCACAUGCGGAAGCUUAACAUGUCUGAGUACAGACAUCUACAAAUGAAAAAAAGGCCGAGAAGCCUGACUAUCUACAAGACCCUGCCGAGGGCACAAGAUCGUAGCUGAGGUAUCAAGCUAAACGUCGAAGUCCACGCGAAACUACUAGCGAGACUGAAGUCUCUCUGCAAAACAUAAAUUAAGCAAAUGUGAGUACAAAAGUACUCAGCAAGACUUACAUCACAACUAACUACAUAUGCAUCGGUAUCAACAAAGGGUAGUGGAGUUUAACUGCAGCAACCCAGCUUUGACUCAGUGGCUAACCUGAACUACGAUUGCAAGCAACUCUUUUGAGGUGGCGCACACGAGUCCACAUAUUCACCAUUCAAUACACCACUAUGGAUCCGCUCCCGUCUCCCUACGAGAAGGCCAUCCAUAGCACUCACACUUAUCUUGCGAGUUUUAGAGUAUCCACUUUCACUUGUCUAUGAACUGUUAUAGGCAACCCAGAAGUCCAUUACCGCGGACACGGCUAUUCGUAUAGAUGAUGUUAACCCUGCAGGGGUGUACUUCUUCACACACGCUCUCACCACUUACCGCCGUUUACACGACAUGUACUCGGCAACCUUAAAGCGGAAGCCCAACGGGGGUGUCGGCCACGGCCUACCUAAACACUCAAGUCUCUAGUCCAGGUUUAUCGCCUAUCCAGGUUCCAUCCACAGGGAGUCCGGCUGAGGUUUCCACAUACGGCCCCAGACGAUGUGUACAGGGUUCCGAGACACCAAACGGGCGCCCGGCAUGCCCGGCCACGGUGUAUCUAUCGCAUCAUAGCCCACCCCUAGGGUCAGCGCUACGCACGGCCGCCAACACAUAUCCUAUAAACACCAGAAGCUAGUUGCAACUCCUGGACAGAGGACAUGGGUGAUCAAGAAGCCGAGAGGGUCCAUUGGUUUCGGGCCCAAUGCGUGGUAGUAACUGUUUCAUGGAUCACAAACACAGAACUCAGUUCCUGAGAACAGCUUCAAUGAGACAACCCACCAUGUACUCCUACAUGGCCUCUCACAGCUACCAUUACCAAAUCGUGUUCACACACUUAGCUCACACACAGUAUGACAUGUUCAUCACCAUUCCAAUUCAUUCCCGAUGAAUCAGACCCGACUCAACUCUAAGCAGUAGCAGGCAUGACAAACAAGCAUGAAUGAGUAGGCACAUCAGGGCUCAAACAACUCCUACUCAUGCUAGUGGGUUUCAUCUAUUUACUGUGGCAAUGAGAGGUCAUGCAGAGGAAAAGGGGUUCAGCUACCACAGCAUGUAACAGUUGAAUCGUUGUUGUCCUAAUGCAGUAAAAGAGAGCAGGAGCAAGAGAGUGGGAUUGUAUCGGCAUGAACAAGGGAGUUUUGCUUGCCUGGCACUUCUGAAGAUAAUAUAGUUCUUCAUUGGUGUCAUCGAUCUCAUCGUCGAAACCACGUCUAUCGAGAGGGGACAAAUACCAACAACAGAGAAGGAAACACAAUCAAUGCAAUGCACAAUAUGACGCAUGAUCGUGACAUAUCAAUAUGCUAUGAUUUGAGUUAAUGCAACUAGCAACAGGUUAAAUGGAGUUGGUUUGAACCCUAGGUUCAAAUUCAAACUCCAAAUGUGAGAGUUUAAAUUCCAUUUAUAUGAAUUGGCCUAAACAGCAUCCAUAAGUUGUUCUAACAUGCAUGAAAAUGGUACAUAUGGAUAGAUUAGAUUUUCCUGAUCAUUUUUCAUAUAUAAUUUAUUUCAUUUGGAGUUACGGUUGAUUUUCUGUGAUUUUUAGAAGUUUAGGCAAUUUUUCUGGAAUUUCCUGAAUUAUUUAAAAUCCAGAAAAUCAUUUACUGCGUCAGCAUUGCGUCAUGCUGACCUCAGUAGGUCAACAGGCACCGUCCAGGUCAAAUAUGACGAGUGGGGUCCACACCUUAGUGACACAGUGUCAUUUGUGUCGCUGACAGGUGGGCCCAGUCAACGGCCACAUCAGCACGGUCAAAACUGACGCGUGGGGCCACUGUGGUUAGUUAAUCCUAAGAAGUAACUAAACCAAGUUUAAUUAGGCCGCGGGGCCCGGCUAUCAGUGUCACUAAGUACUAACUAACUACGUCAUUAACCCUAACUAAUCUACCACGUCACCGGAUUAACUCCGGCGAUAACCGGAGCACGGCGGCGGCACUCGUCCCGGUGAUUUUUGCGACGGGAGGAGGCGGGGCUGGGCUCGUUGGAACGCCCGCAAAGCAGCGCGUCCAACGGUGGUGGUGGCAGGUGCUGGGGCGUCCGGAGACGACCGCGGCGAGCUCAAAGGCGGCGGCCGGAGUUCGGGUGACGACUGAUUCGUAGCUGCGGUGUGCAAAUCGACUGGUUCUUGAUGCCUACGAUACAUACGCGGGCCCACAAACCCUUUGGACACGCUGGCACGACCAAAAAGUCGUCGGAGCAACUCCGGCAAUGAGCCCGGGCGGCGGCGGGAUUUGGCCACGGUGGGAGUCGCAGCUAGAGGGCGAGAGGAGCAGCGGGGAUAGGGGGAAAGAGAGAGGAGCUCACGGCGGUUGCUACGGUGGCCUCGGCGAGCUCGAGGAGGGGAUGAUGAGGUCGUGUAGCCGCUGGCGAUCUCGGGGCAGAGACGACAAAGAUGGUGGGGCACAGGGCGAGGCAGGGCGUCCGGCGUCGUGCGAGCUGACGGAGAGACGCGGGAGAUGGAGGCGGAGCCCGUGGACUGCUCGGAGAGGCGAGGGGAGCUCGGUGGCCACGGGGACAGCGGGCGGCAGCGACGGUGGUGCUCGGGUGCGAGAGGGAGAGAGGCCCAGAGGAGGGGAGAGGCACAGGAGAGAGCUCGAGGGGGUCGGGGAGGUUGUGUGGCGUCGCGGGGAGGGUCCAGAGCGACGAGGGGGCAACCAAGCAGGGUGGAGGUGGCCGCACUGUGGUGCGCGCGCGUCAGGCACGUGCCCGUCCUUCUGGCAGAGGAGGAAGACGACAGGGAAGGAGGCGGUGGUGGGCUGGGCCGGCCACUUGGGCCGCCAGGUGGGCUACAGAGGUAAGUCCAGGUAACUCUCUCUCUCUCGCUCUCUCUGUUUCUGUUUUUUUUGUUCUGUUUGUUUUUAUUUUAUCUUUGCCACUGCUUUUAAAAUUCAAAACAGUUUCAAAAACAGUGUCAAUUAUCCUCUAAUAAUUUCAUGUUGCAAAAUGGACUUUUCCAAAUGCACAUAAAAUAUAUCAGAGGUAUUUGGAGAUAUAUCCUAUAUAUAUUUGGGUAUAUUUCCAAAUUCAAAUAGGAUAGUGAUUUAAAUUCAGUGCCCAAAAUAUUCCACAAAAAUGUUCCCUAUUUUUGGUUUGGUCUCAAAGCCUUGCCAAAAUUAACAAACAUUUAUGAAGGCAUUUUGGAAACAAUGAAUGCAAUUUAAAGGGUUCUUGCCCUUAUUUUAAAUUGAUUUCUAAGGCUUUCACUUUCCUCAUUUCAAGUUUCUUGAAAUUAACAGGAUGCAUGAUGCUCACUGAUGCAACUAUCUCCAAACAAUUAUAGGGAUGUGACACGGGUGCUAGAUUAAGGAUCCACAUCACACUUCAAAAUUUGCACCGAAAGCACAUGAAGGUUUUAUGCUUGGAUAUGGAAAGGAUUCACACUCCUACAGAGUUUUCAACCUCUUUCACUAUAAAGUGGUUGAAACUGUGGAUGUGCGAUUCGAUGAGACUAACGGCUCGCAAAGAGAGCACCUGCCAAAUGUGCUAGAUGAAGUUCCAUCUAGUGAAACCAUCAAGCUCAUGGGAACUGGAGAAAUCAUACCGUCUGAAGCUCAGCCUGAAGAGGAACUCAUCAUCUCUGCACCUGAUCAACCUGAAGACAAUGCUCAGCCUGGAGACAAUCCUUCUAACGAUGACAAUGAUCAGCAAGAGCAAAAUCUUCGUCCUGUCCAUCCUUGUGCUGCAAAUGAAGUACAGAUUAAGAGAAUAAUUGAUAGCAUCAAUGCACUAGGUCCACUCACUCGUUCAAGGGCAACACAGCUAGCAAAUUUCUGUUGGCACUUCGCAUUCGUCUCAAUAUCUGAACCUAAGAAAGUUGAUGAAGCCUUCAUGGAACUUGAAUGGAUUCAAGCUAUGCAAGAAGAGCUUCAACAGUUUGAGUUGAAUAAUGUAUGGGAACUGGUCAAGCGUCCUGAUCCUCGUAAGCACAAUAUCAUAGGCACUAAAUGGAUAUAUCGCAACGAGUAAGAUGAGCAUGGUCAAGUUGUCAGAAACAAAGCUUGUCUAGUUGCUCAAGGAUACACUCAAGUUGAAGGAAUUGACUUCGAUGAAACAUUUGCUCCUGUGGCUAGGCUUGAAGCUAUACGCAUACUGCUGGCCUAUGCAAAUCAUCCUAACAUUCUUCUGUAUCAAAUGGAUGUGAAGAGCGCCUUUAUCAAUGGCAAGAUUGAACAAGAAGUGUAUGUUGCACAAUCGCCUGGCUUUGAAGAUCCAAAACAUCCUGACAUGGUUUACAAGCUCAACAAGGCACUGUAUGGCCUUAAACAAGCCCCUUGAGCUUGGUAUGACACACUCAAAGACUUCCUGAAGAGCAAAGGCUUCAAACCUGGUUCACUGGAUCCCACUCUCUUCACUAAGACAUAUGAUGGUGAACUGUUUGUGUGCCAAAUAUAUGUGGAUGACAUUAUCUUUGGCUGCACUAACCAAAAAUAUAGUGAAGAGUUUGGAUAUAUGAUGCAAGAGCAAUAUCAGAUGUCCAUGAUGGGUGAGCUGAAGUUCUUCCUUGGUCUUCAAAUAUGACAGCAACGCAACGGCAUCUUCAUAUCUCAAGAGAAAUACCUCAAAGAUUGCCUGAAGAAGUUUGGAAUGCAAGACUGCAAAGGCUACACGACGCCAAUGCCAGCUAAACACCAUCUGGGUCCCGACGACAAUGGUAAAGAGUUCGAUCAAAAGGUAUACCGCUCCAUGAUUGGUUCUUUGCUUUAUUUAUGUGCAUCUAGGCCAGAUAUCAUGCUUAGUGUUUGCAUGUGUGCCCGGUUCCAAGCGGCACCAAAGGAAUCACAUCACUUAGCUGUGAAGCGAAUUCUUCGAUAUUUGGCUCACACCCCAACACUAGGACUAUGGUAUCCAAAGGGCUCAGAGUUUGAUCUAGUUGGAUUCUCGGAUGCUGAUUAUGCUGGUGACAAGGUGGAUCGCAAGUCUACAUUAGGCACAUGUCACUUUCUGGGAUGAUCACUUGUAUGUUGGUCUUCAAAGAAAUAGAACUGUGUAUCUCUCUCCACUACUGAAUCUGGAUACAUUGUUGCUGGAUCUUGCUGCGCUCAGCUUCUAUGGAUGAAGCAAGCACUCAAGGACUAUGGCAUUCAUCUGAAGCAAGUGCCACUCUACUGCGUCAAUGAAAGCGCCAUCAAGAUUGCUAACAACCCAGUUCAGCACUCGAAGACAAAGCACAUUGAAAUUCGUCAUCACUUUCUCAGAGAUCAUGUCAUGAAGGAAUAUAUUGAUAUCAUACACGUCAACACUGAAGAGAAAAUGGCAGAUAUCUUCACAAAGCCCUUGGAUGAUAAAAGGUUUUGCAAGUUACGGUGUGAGCUAAAUAUCUUGGAAUCCUCAAAUGUCCUGUGAUCAAGCACACUUCCUAACAUUUGUGCAUGUUGAUGACUUAGAUGUGCAACACAGAAGUAACGUAUGUCUUCAAUCAAUGAAGACUUACAUUCUGAGUGUGAAUACAUUAAUGUGGAAUUUGACUUCAGAGCACCACGAUAAUUGUGCGCCAUGUCUGGGUCUAAUACUUCCUAUACGGUGGGUAACGCCAUCACCAAAUUCUUCCCUAAGAAGUGUUUUUCACAUGGUGUUACAUUUGCAAAGUCUUCGUUUUCUGUUUGUCUUCAAUGUUAACAUGGCUUCAUGUUUAUCUUCAACGCACUGAUUUGGUUUCUGUCCUCUACAGCAUUCACUUAUAGCUAUGGCUUCUUGCUGAAUCUUUUGAACUAAGUGAAUGUGAUCGGACCCUAACCCCUUUAUGCUUCUUUCCUAAGUCUAUCUAUCCAAAUCAUAUGCAUUCGAUUGACACUGUCAAAAUGUCUUCUCUGUGUCCUUGUCAGCAAAAGACACAGAGACAAACAUUAAUCCAUUUUCAAUGCUAAAUCCUUCCACCUGAAACCCGGAGAAGUGGGAACGACCAGCCGACAAUCCAGGCGUGCGUGGGAACGUGGAACAACCUCUGAUGUGUUGCAUGAUAGCCACGUGUCCUUCAGAUGUGAACCGCCAGGGAACCUAUGUAAUAACACCAUGCCAUCCAUGUCCCUAUAAAUACACGCCUCACCACAGUCAUUAUCUCUUCUUCCACUCUCGCACAAACCCUAGCGCCACCUCUAGCCCUCAACGACGCCGACGACGAAGAGCUUAGCUGCCGCGACCUCACCGACGUCGUCCUCACGCCGGCCGCAGACAUCGUCUUCUCUGCCGUCGCCAUAGGUGUCCUCCGUCGCCAAGUUAGGGCACGGACGAUCGAACUGCUCGGCCUCCUCUCCCACUUUGUCUAGCAGUUCCUCGUGUGGUAAAUAAAACCUCCUUUUUACGGUCCUUUUGAUCUGAUAGAUUCAUCCUUUUCAACCACAAGUAGUUUCUGUUCACACAAGUUGGAUCUAUCUCAUACUGCAUCUCAUAACAUGCCUAGUAUAUUCACUUAUGCUUCACAAAGUAGUUAGAUUCCUCACUUGUACUUAUUCGUGGAUUCGUACAAAUCUGGAACCAACUCUCUACCUAUGAGUGAAUGUCUUCGCAUUAUGAGGUCAAUGUCUUCUAAACUGAUUUAUCUUCAAAAAUCUUCUGAGAAUGCAUAUGACCUCUUCCCCUUCCCUUGCACCUUUAAUGCUGUCACAUGUACAUGUCCAUGGGAGAAUCCCUUGGUUCUCAUAGUCUGCAUUCAUUUGCAGAGUUCUUACAGCAUCAUAUAAAUUCUCCUGAAGCCAGUUCUUGUCUGACCAGUAGACAGAAGACUUUGACAGUUUUGAAGCCUUUCAGUCUAAACUUCAUGGCACCAGAAAAUUCUGCAAGGAAGGGUGGCAGACAACGCCAUGGUAACACCUCAAGAGAUCUGCCUCCUGACCUCUAUGAGCUGUACAAAACAGAUCCGUAGGAGGACUACAAUCAGCGGAAAACUCGAACCCAAUGGAUUCGAAGAUAUUGGGCAGAACAAUGGUUCAAGUACAGGUUCGUGACCCAGGAGUAUGCUGAGAAGAAUGCCAUCAAGCGACUGUGGCGAGACAUCCUAUACAGAAAUCUUCAACCCAGGUCCAGAGCUGAAGCCAUUGAACAAGGCUUCUAUCCCUGCAUGGUCCGUGGACCACAGCUUGUAGAUGUAGACCCAUUGUCAUUGCUAUGGUGUCGUGACGACAAUCUGUUCAAGCGCAACCUUCAGUUUUCCAGGAACUCAGCCAAAGAAAACAAGAAGUCGCGGGGAUUAGACUUCAAUCCAGGUCCCUCUGCUCCUCAUGCCGAUGGCUCAUGCAAAGCUGAACCCAAUCUUGUUGGGCCCUUCUACAACCUAGAAGGUCUCGUUACUCACAUGCAGGUUCAAGGGGCAGUCAUGGACCAACCUGCAGACGACGCUGAAUCUGAUGAAGCGCCUGCACCACCGAAGCCAAAGAAGCUGAAGAAACCUAAGGCUUCGAAGCCUGCCCCUGCACCAAAGGUUUCACGGGCAAAGCCUCUGGCGACUGCACCUCCUGAACACAGUGUGCAGUCUGAAGAUCUGUCACACAUCUCCAAGCCCUCCAAAGUGAAGAUGCCCAUGCAACCCACCAGCCAAGCACUGACCCCUGCUGCUGUUCUGUGCAAUGAGAAUGACGCCAUUGAUCUGUCCAAUGACGACGACCUUGGCGAUGACACUCUUGAGCAGUUGAUCAAGAGCAAGCAAGAGGCAGAAAUCUUCAAUGACCUUCCUCUCUUUGAUGUUGAAAUCAUCAACACGUUCAUUGAUGAGUGGUUUGACAGCCCAAAUGUUAGCUUUGAUGAUCUUCAGCUUCCCAUUGGCCUCAGCGUCGCCUUCCAUGGAGCCAUUGCUGCUGAGCUGGCUCUAGCUCAGAAAAUUGUCGAGCUGAAGCAUAAGAUAGAUUAUGAAAAAGCUUAGUUCAAGAAGCAUAUGGCCAAGCUCAAUGUUGAAGACAUUCAGAACUUCCAGACCAUGAUGCAUGAGCUCAAGGAAGCAUUCCAAACCAAACGCGAAGAAGCCAAAGGUUCUCGUGAGCGCAUGAAGGAUCUUGCUGCUAAAUGUGUUCAGGGAUACAAUGAAGCUGAAAAGCGCAAGGCCUUGGGGCGACCAGGCAUCGACCCCAGAAUGGCGGCUAAGAAGAAGAAGAAGCCAGCUGUGGCAGAACCCGAAGCACUAAGGCAGGAAGUACAUCCAAUUGUCUUCCCAGCCAGUAUGACAGGCUCGAAGCCUAAGGUCCCUGUAGUGGCUUCAGAACUGAAGGAAACAAGGGCAGCUGAAGCUAAAGCCAGAAAGCGCAAAACCAAGGCCACCACUGAUGAUGCUCCUCCAGCUAAGAAACACAAAACCAAGAAGAGAGCUCGGGCUGCUCCCACAGAGCCCCUUGAGGUCGAGCCAAUCUUAGUGGCUCGUCCUGGGUCUGAAAAUCAAGAACGCCAAGUGGUAGUUCAUGAGCCUGCUUCCAUAGAGGCUCCUGAAGCUGAAGACAAUCCAGCUGUUGACCCCACCGCAGCUGAAGACAUUGGUCCUCAUGACAAUGUUGAAGAUGACGAAGUCCUUCCUCAGAUCGAGCACCAGUUGGUAUCAUCGCAUGUGCUCAUGCACAGCGAACUCAUCAGCAUUGGUUGUCCUCUGACGCCAACUGCUCAGGAUGCAUCGUGGGCUGAUCACCCACAAUGACAAGACACCCCAAGUUCUCCCCAACCACAAGUCACCUCACCCGUGCAAGAUGACGAUGACUUUGAGGCCCAGCAAACUCCAUCUCCGCAACCGUCGCCAGCAUUACGCAGGCUUCGCAAAGGACCGAGGCCCCAAGUCACUCCCGCUGUGCGCGUGUCAUAGUCUGAAGCCAAAACCGUUGAAGACAUUCCGGCUGCAUCAGCCGAUGAAAGGGAAGAACCAAGAGUUGAAGUUGAAAGAGUUGCUACACCCCCGUCCCACCAAGAUGUUGUUCUUGAGGAGAACGUGUCCGAUCCUCCAGCUUCUGAAGUGGAGGUUAACAAUCCUGAGGCGGCCAUCAACAUCAACACUGAAGCCAAUGACGUUGUCAUGGCUGAAGCUAAUGUGGCGCCUGAAGCUACUGCGGUGCCAGAAGUACAAGCACCUGAAGCCACUGCAGCGCCCGAAGCCACUGCUGAAGCACCUGAGGUGCAAGCACCUGAAGCCAAUGUGGCCCCUGAAGCCCAUGUCAACGACAAUGCCAAUGCUACCGUUCUCCCUCCAAGACCUCACACCAUUGAGCUGGCAUUUGAUCGUGGUCAGCCCGUUAUGGUCCGAUGGACCAUUCUGACUCCACCUGCGGCGGGUCCACAAUUUGACUAUCAUGUCGAGCACAGACCUCCCGUCCAGAAGCCCAAGCCAAGACUUCCAUGAUUCCCAGGCACUGCAACUUCACUUGGGGUCUUCAAUGUGAAUGGCUUUGUGGCACAUAACACCUUCUUCAACAGCGCCAAGAACCCUUACACCAAACCUCGUAUUGCAUCAGAUCGGUUAUGGAGCUAUCAGCAGCGCAACUACUAUUCCUGCGUCUUAUACAAUCAAGGGCGCAUAUUUCCACAUAUGCGUCUCGACACUGAAGCUAUAGCUGGCUUGCCCUGCCUUGAAGAAGCGUUGGAUUGCUUCAGAGAUGCUGAACUGCCGCAGUUUGUCACAGAUAAGGAACACUGGAAUGAAGAUCUUCUGCUACAGUUCUAUGCAACUCUUCACAUUCAAGGCUACAACAGGGAUCCAAAGACUUGGGUCCUUGAGUGGAUGAUAGGCAAUGUCCAUCAUGAAGCCAAAGCUCUUGAUAUCAUUGAGCUUACAGGCCUGCCCACUCCUGGUGAAUACUAUGAACCAGGUUGUUAACAACACCAGAAUGCUUUGGAGAGCAUCUUUCAGAAGCCAGAACCUAACAUGAGCCAAAUGCAGAGCAUGAUGAAGCCUUUGCCUCACGAUGCUGAAUACUCGUCUGAAUUCUUUGUUGAAGAUCUAGAGUAUCUGCCUCGCACCAUUUACCAUAUCAUCAGAAAGACCCUAUGGCCUGUCAAAGGACAUUCAUCUGCAGUGAAGCUUGAAGGAGCAAUGAAGGCUUUGGUUUUCUAUAUCUUCAAUGGCAUCAACUUCAAUGCUCAAGGCUUCUUCAUCAGGCAGUUGGCUGCAUCAGGCUCUGACAUUUUUGGUCUGAAGUUCUAUGCUCCAUGGGUAAUGCGCCUUAUCAAGCUUCACUCUGCAAUCAACUAUCAGCCGUCUGCGUGCAAUCAUCUUGUCUUCUUGCCAGAGGUUGAUCUGUCUGUUGAAGCUAUUUACCCAGAGCCUGCUAAGGAUCCCAUUUAUCUUCACAAUGUUGAUCACCAAAGCCUCACCCAGCCUAUUGAAGGAGUUCAAGCAGUUUCUCGUGUUUAUCCCCUGGCUGGCAACACAUGUGCCCCUCACGCUCAAACUGACUCCACUUGUAGCACCAUUGCACAAAGGCCUCGAAGGAGAUCUCGUGUUCUAAAUGAUUGAGAGCUUCUCAUCGCACUACACCAGAAACAGGACAAACAUCACAACUGGCUUAAGCGUCAGAUGCAAAGCCUCUUGGUGGAUGUCAACCGCAUUCGCAAUCUUGCCACCAAGAAUGCCUUUGUCACUCAUGAAACCUGUCGGAGGUCGUGGAAGAGUUUGACAUUGCUUAGUGCUGAAGCUGAUCUGCAAGACAAUGGCUUCACUAAACGAUUCAAGUUUGACUCAACUCCUCCCAGGAAUGCUCACUUGCGUCGGACUCCCUCACUUGAAGACUCUGACUAUUCAUCCUCAGCUGCGACAGUGAAUGCCAGUCAUUGAUGGCCAAGAUGAUGCAACUUCACCUCCUCCAACUUCAGCGUGUGUCGACACUGCACCAAGUUCUUCUGCACCACCGGACCUCAACGACGACCCUGAUGCCUCGCCUGCACCUCAUGGAAACGAGUAGGUGCUCUAUGUCCUCAAACCUUUUUGGUCCUUACUGACAAAAGGGGGAGAAGCAUAUGAGUUGAUAGUCUUCAAGCGGGUCCAUAUGGGUGGUUGCUUUACCUUUUUGCUACUUUUGCCAAGUGCUUACAACUCUUGCUUGCUUUUCGAUACAUUUGGUUCUUUGAGUUGUAACACUUAAACUUGAUGGUCGUCUCCUACUUAUUUGCUAUUCUGUGAUGCGAUGAUAAAUUCCGCAUGUGCGAUGAUAAAUUCCGCACUUAGGUCAUUUUGCAGACGUCCAUUUUUCAUUAUGCGGGUCAUUAUCUUCGUUACAUCAUAUCAUGCAUGAUGAAUUGUCAUCAUAGGUUGAAAAGGAUCUCCACAUGUACAACCUGCCAUGUGCAUUUGCAUUCCAAUAGCAAAUUACUUAUAUGCACAUCUUCAGGGGGAGCCUUUGCAACUUAUGAAGACAAUACCCUAUCCUUUACAAUUUCACAUAUUUUAUUCCCCGUUGAAAACUUCAACCAGUUUGUCAUCAAUCACCAAAAAGGGGGGGUUGUAAGUUUAUCUAGUGCCACCCCUAGUUGGUUUUGGAGUAUUGAUGACAAACCUAGUUGAGGGACUAAUGUGUUUGUGAGAAUUGCAGGAUAACACAGGUAGAAGUCCCUCAUUGAUUCGGUUUUCCUACCAGAGAUGACCCCUAAAAAUGUAUGAAGACAUUGAAGUCAAAGGUGGGAUGUGAAGACAUUCACAUUGAAGACUAUGACAAGAGAAGACAUCGUGUGAAGACUAUGGAGCGCGAAGACUUAGUUGCUUCGUCGUUCUUUUUCUUCUUUGUUGAGUCAUAGGAACCACCGUACUGUUAAGUGGGGUCCGAGUGAACCAGUCAGAAUGACUGAAGUGAUGCUUAACCAAAAUCCUAUGUCUUCGAGCGAAGACUAUGAGAGCAAAUCUUAUCCAGAGUUGGAUAAGUCGGCUUGUAGCCCAAGUAAAGUUGCCGUGUGUGUUUGAAAUCUGACCGUUGGAACACGUGUCAGUUCCUUAGUGACCCAGGGUCAUUUCAGACAAAUCAGGUCGGGUUGCCUAGUGGCUAUAAAUAGCCCACACCCUACAACCAUAAAUGGUUGGCUGCUCAGAGUUAGUGUACGGCUUUUGUCGUUUGAGAGCAACCCACCUCGAAGCCUUUGAGAGAGGAUUCCUUGCGAGGAUAAAUCCCUAAACACCUAGAGCAAAAGAGUGUUAGGCAUCACUUAAGUCUUCCUGUCUGUGUGAUCUGAAGACCUAUUACACUUGAGGACUAUGCAUCCUCCAGCCGGUUAGGCGUCGCGUUCUGAGCAUCCAAGAGUCAUUGUGGAUUGCCAACGAACGAAGUCUGUGAAGGUUUGGAAGUCUGCCUUGAAGACUUACCCGAGUGAUUGGGCGAGGACUGGGUGUCCUUAGCUCAAGGGGAAUAAGGUGAAGACACGGUCUUCUAAGUUGAAUUUCAGCCUCCCUAACCAGACGUAUAGUUGUCACAGCAACUGGAACUGGUCCAACAAAUCAUUGUCUUCAACGAGUCACUGGUUCUAUCCUUCCCAUCUCUUUAUUUACAGUUGGUCCUUGUGAAGUCAUUGUCUGUUCGCAUUAUCUUUUGUCUUCACUGAGUGACUGCUUGUUCUGAUUGGCUUCAUACUAUCUUCCUACAUGAUCCAUACUGCCUAGCUGCCAUUAGUCAUUAUGCUUUCACUUCAUUGAAUACUUGACUAUGGUUUGCUUAGUGUAGUCUACCUUCCGCUGCAUGGUAAUAGGUUUAUUUCUAUCGUUUGUCUUCGAAACUCCCAUGUUUUGAAUACUUUCUUAAAAAUCGCCUAUUCACCCCCCCUCUAAUCGAUCACUAGCACUUUCAUUGGUGAAGUGGCAUCGUCUUCUUCAUCGACGACUCUCGCAACAACAGUUGGAGCCGAAGAAGAGUACUAAGAAUCUUCUAUUGAUGGAGUGCGGUGCCAGCUUGCAUUGCGUGGAGGCCUGGAAUCAAAUUUGAAGCCCUCAGCGAAGCCAUCUUCGCGAAGAUCUUCUUCAGGGCAGAGUAGCAUGAGACUCUUCCAAGACCGCGGACAGGCUUCAUGGGCAACAAAAGAGUUCUUGGUGGCCAAAUUUCUGAUGUGAUUGACGUCCACCAAUAUGCUCUGCAUCUGACGCUUGAGCCAGUCAUGAUGCUUGUUCUGCUUCUGAUGUAAGGCCACAAGAAGCUCUCGGUCAUUAAGAACACGAGAAUGAUUCCGAGGCCUUUGAGCUAUUGUACUAUCAGUGGCUUCGGUGUUUGCACGAUGAGGCACACGUAUAUUGCCAGCCAGAGGAUAAGAAGGAGUUCAGCAUUGGGGACAUGAAUGCCUUCUAUUGGCUGCGUGAAGCUUUGAUGAUCAACAUUAUGAAGAUAUAGCGGCUCCUUAGCAGGCUUUGGGUAGAUGGCUUUGACGGACAGAUCAACCUCAGGCAGAAAGACAAGAUGGUUGCGCGCUGAGGGCUGAUAGUCAACAGAAGAGUGGAGCUUGAUCAGGCGCAUCACCCAUGGAGCAUAAAACUUCAGACCAAACAGAUCAAUCCCAGAUGCAGCAAGUUGUCUGAUGAAGAAAUCCUGGGUGUUGAAUCUGAUGCCAUUGAUGAUGUAAAAUAGCAAAGUCUUCAUGGCUCCUUCAAGUUUGGCUUUAGCAGUAUAUCCCUUGAUUGGUCAUAGAGUAUGCCUCAAAAUAUGAUAGACUGUGUGUGGCAAUUACUUGAGGUCUUUGAUGAAGAAUUCUUUGGGGUAAUCAGCAUCUUGGGGCAGUGGCUUCAUCAUGCUAAGCAUCUUGCUCAUAUUGGCUUCAGGCCUCUGGAAGAUACUCUGCAGUUCAUCGCGAUGACGUUGACAACCAGGUUCAUAGAACUCGCCUGGAGUGGGCAGAGAAGUAAGCUCAAUGAUGUCUUGAGCUUUGGCUUCAUGAUGUACAUCUCCUGACAUCCACUUAAGGACCCAUGUCUUCGGAUCUCUGUUGUAGCCACGAAUGUGAAGAGUGGCAUAGAACUGCAGCAGAAGCUCUUCAUUCCAGUGUUCCUUGUCAGUAACGAAUGGCAGAAGACCAACCUCCCUGAAACAGUCAAGGGCUUCUUCAAGAAAGGGCAGCCCGACAAUGGCUUCACAAUCAAGGCGCAUGUGGGGAAAGAUUCGCCCCUGAUUGUACAGAAUGCGGGAGUAGUAGUUGCGCUGCUGAUAGCUCCAGAAUCGGUCAGAUGAGAUCUUUGGCUUCGAGUAGGGAUUCUUGCCACUGUCGAAGAAGGAAUUGUGUACCCUGAAGCUGUUCACGUUGAACGAUCCUGGGGACGUGGCAGCACCUGGAAGCCUUGGCAGCCUGGUCUUUGGCUUCUGAACAUGUGGCCUCUGCUCCACAUGAUAGUCAUAUUGCGGUCCGGGAGCAGUGGGAGGCAUCAUAACGGGCCAUCGAACUAUGAAAAGUUCACCAUGAUUAUUGGCUUGUUCAAUGGUGUGAGGCCUUGGAGGGGGAACUGGGGCUUCAGUGUCCACAGUGGCUUCAGGCGCCAUAUUGUCUUCGGGCGCCACACGAUCUUCAGCCAUGACAGUAUCAUUGGCUUCAACAUCAUUGUUUGUGGCUGCCUCAGUGGUUUCAACCUCCGCUUGUUCUGGAACAGGAGGGUCGGGCACAGACUCAUUCUCCCCGAGAAUGACUGGUUGAUACGUCUCCAACGUAUCUAUAAUUUAUGAAAUAUUCAUGCUAUUAUAUUAUCAACCUUGGAUGUUUUAUAUGCAUCUAUAUGCUAUUUUAUAUGAUUUUUGGGACUAGCCUAUUAACCUAGAGCCCAGUGCCAGCUUCUGUUUUUUCCUUGUUUUAGAGUAUCACAGAAAAGAAAAACCAAACGGAGUCCAAUUGACCUGAAACUUGACGGAGCUUAUUUUUGGACCAGAAGAAGGCCAUGGAGUAAAAGAGUUGGGCCAGAAGAGUCCCGGGCUGCCCACGAGGGUGGGAGGCGCCCCCCGGGCACGCCCCCUACCUCGUGGACAUCCCGGAGACCCCCCCUGACAUGUUCUCCAUGCCAAAACCCCCUAUAUAUACAAAAAUCUCUAGAAAUUAACUGAGAUAGGAAAUUCCGCCGCUGCAAGCCUCUGUAGCCAUGAGAAAUCAAUCUAGGCCCUCUCCGUCACCCUGCCGGAGGGGGCCAUCAUCACCGAAGGGCAUGAAGGAGGAUCCCGGAGGGGCCAUCAUCACCAUGAAGGCCAAGGACCAGAAGGAGAACCUCUCCCCAUCCAGGGGAGCCCACGGAGGAGGAAGCACAAGGGGGAGAACCUCUCCUCCCCUCUCUCGGUGGCACCGGAGUGCCAUCGGGAGGGGAAUCAUCACCGCGGUGAUCGUCUUCAUCAACAUCACCAUCAUCAUCACUAUCCUCACCACUUUUACGCGGUCCACUCUCCCGCACCCCGUUGUAAUCCCUACUUGAACAUGCUGAUUUAUGCCACAUAUUAUGAUCCAAUGAUGUGUUGCCAUCCUAUGAUGUUUUGAGUAGAUAUCCUUUGUCUUUGGGUUGAUUGAUGAUCUAGAUUGGCAUGAGUUGUAUGUUUUAUUUUGGUGCUGUCCUAUUGUGCCCUCUGUGUCACGCAAGCGUGAGGGAUUCCCGCUGUAGGGUGUUGCAAUACGUUCAUGAUUCGCUUAUAGUGGGUUGCUUGAGUGACAGAAGCAUAAUCCCGAGUAAGGGAAUUGUUGCGUAUGGGAUAAAGGGGAUUUGAUGCUUUAAUGCUAUGGUUGGGUUUUACCUUAAUGAUCUUUAGUAGUUGUGGAUGCUUGCUAGAGUUCCAAUCAUAAGUUCAUAUGAUCCAAGAUGAGAAAGUAUGUUAGCUUAUGCCUCUCCCUCAUAUGAAAUUGCAAUAGUGAUUACCGGUCUUAUUAACAAUUGCCUAGGACAAUUCCACACACCGACCCAUCAUUAUUCCACACUCGCUAUUCAUAAUAUUUAGUAAUAUAUUCUAACUUUAUGAUAACAUCACCUACUUCCAUAUUUUAGCUCUCCAAUAUCAUGCAAAGUUAUCCACUUCAUACCCACAACGUAGUUUUAUCUCGUUGCUAGUUGGAAGCAAACGUUCGGUGUACGUAGAGCCGUAUCAGUGGCAGAUAGGGCUUGAGAAAAUAUUGAUCUUACCUUUAGAUCCUUGUGGGUUCGACACUCCAUACUUAUCACUUCCACCAUUGGGAAUUGCUAUGAUGAUUCCCUACACUUGGGGAUUAUCAAGCUCUUUUCUGGUGCCGUUGUCGGGGAGAAUAGCGUGGGGUUGAUAUUCUCGUGUGUGCUUGUUUGCUUUCUUCACUAAGUAGAUUGUGUUUUUACUUUUUGUUUCUGUUUAUUUGUGGGUGAAACAUACAAUUUUUUUAAAUAAUUAAAAUACAAAAAGAAUUUACUUGCCUCUAAUGCCUAAUUUUUUUUCAAAAAGAGAAGUGAUUGGAAAGUUAUGCAUUGAAGAAGUGAGGGUCGACCUUGAGCACUUGUGUUCAUGCUCACGGAAACAAUGUAGAAUUUUUCAUGGAAGUUUCUCUGUAAAUAAUUAUCCCCUUAUAUAUAUCAUUUGUAUUAUAAAAAUAAUGUGCCAAGCUUUGGUUUUAGGAUGAUUAGAUUGCUUGUUUACUAUGUGCAGAACAAAAACAGAAACUUUGGCUGUAGCGCGUGAUUUUACAUUUUUUACUGAAAAGUCAAAUGGGUCUGAAACAUUUUGCACAUUACUUCUGUGCAAAAUUUUCAAAUUUUCAAAUUUAUUUCAUAAUUUGUAGAGUUACAGAAGUUUACUAAACCUCCAGAUUACUACAGACUGUCCUGUUUUAGACAGAUUCUGUUUUUCGUGUGUUGUUUGCUUAUUUUGAUGCAUCUAUGGAUAGUAUCGGAGGGUAUGAACCAUGGUGAAGUUGGAAUACAGUAGAUAUAGUUCUAAUAUGAAAUUGGAAUAAGUUUGCAACAGUACCUAAAGGUAGUGAUUUGCUUUAUUACACUAACGGAUCUCACAAAGUUUUUGUUAAAGUUUUGUGCGGAUGAAGUGUUCGAAGAUCGAGGAGCUAUCAAUAUGAGAAGAAUAAAGAGAGGAAAGAGCUCAAGCUUGGGGAUGCCCAAGGCACCCCAAGUAAAUAUUUCAAGGUUACUCAAGUAUCUAAGCUUGGGGAUGCCCUGGUUGGCAUCCCAUCCUUCUUCUUCAACAAUUAUCGGUAUACCUCGGUUUUUGUUUUGUUCACAUAAUUUGUGUCCUUUGUGUUUUUGUUUUUUCCUUUAAGAACCAUGCUAGUAUGAGAUAGUCGUUUAUUGAUUUAUAGAAUGCUUCGUGUGCUUCACUUAUAUAUUUUGAGCUUGGAUAUUGGUUAGUCUAUAUUAAUUGUAGAAUGCUCCAUGAACUUCACUUAUAUCUUUUGGAGUAUGAAUAAUACUAUAAUCUAAAGUGGAUCUGGAAGAGUGUCAACUUUUAGUUAGUAAUGAUUCCACUAUCCCGAAUGAGAAGAAUUUUGCUUAUGUGGAGAGUAGUAAAAUCUCUAUGCUUGUAGAUGAUGAAAAGAAUACUUUGUGUGAUGGUUAUAUUGUUGAAUUCAUUCAUGAUGCUACUAAAAAUUAUUAUGAGGGAGGAAUAUAUGCUUGUAGGAGUUACAAUAAUAUCAAGUUUCCUCUCUAUGUGCUUAAAGUUUUGAGGUUAUCCUUGUUUUUCCUUCCUAUGUUAGUUGAUCCUUAUUCUUAUAAAUUGUGUGCUCAAAAAAUCCCUAGGCAUAGGAAGUGGGUUAGGUUUAAAUGUGCUAGUCAUAUUCUUCAUGAUGCUCUCUUUAUGUUUCAAUUCUUAUCUUUUAUGUGAGCAUCAUUGAAAUCAUCAUGCAUAGCUAAAAGGUAUGAAAGAAAAGCGCUUGUUGGGAGACAACCCAAUAUUUACCCUUACUAUUUUUCUGUGUUCUCAUGAUUAAGCUACUACAUUCAUCAUGCAUUAUAGCUUUUGUUUCAAUAAAGUGCCAAGUAAGACCUUUGGGAAGACUUGGGUAAAAGUUAAUGUGAUCUUGCUGUAAAAAACAGAAACUUUACGCUCACGAGAUUAGCUGCCAUUUUUCUACAUAAGAGUGCGAUUGAGUUGGUUCUUUUUUCAAAAGAUCAAUAGACAAAUUUCUCACGUCCACCAAUUUAUUUCAGAAUUUUUGGAGUACCGGAAGUAUGGUUGGUGUUCAGAACAUUACAGACUGUUCUGUUUCUGACAGAUUCUGUUUUCAUUGCAUAGUUUGCUUGUUUUCUAGUUUCUGUGGCUUAUAUUCCUCAAUAUAAAUUGUCGAAAUGAUAUGGUACGGUAGGCAUUGUGUGAGAACAAUUAUGAUCCUUGUCUUUGACAGAACCAAAGUGAAUGGUUUACUCCUUAUCAUACUAACCUAUCUCACGAAGUUCCGUUAAGUUUUGUGUGAUUGAAGUUUUCAAGCUUUGGGUGGGAUAUUGAUAUGAGGAGAAUAAGGAGUGGAAAGACCCUAAACUUGGGGAUGCCCAAGGCACCCCAAGGUAAUAUUCAAGGAAGACUCAAGUACCUAAGCUUGGGGAUGCCCCGGAAGGCAUCCCCUCUUUCGUCUUCAAAAACUAUCGGAAUACCUUACUCGGAGCUAUAUUUUUAUUCGUCACAUGAUAUGUGUUUUGCUUGGAGCGUAUUUUCAAUUUUACUUGCUGUUUGAAUAAAAUCAUUGGAUCUGAAACAUUCAAUGAAAAAGAAUCCUCUCAUGGCUAGUUAAUUAUUUGACUACUCAGUGUCCUUCACUUAUAUCUUUUGGAGUAGUUUGUCAUUUACUCACGUGCUUCACGUAUAUCCUAUGAGUAAAUGGUUGAAUGAACUGAAUAUCAUAAAUCUGAAUUUAUAUAUGUUUCAUAUGCUUACAACAUGGGCAGUAAUGACUUCACACAUAAUAAGUAUAGGUAGUAAACUUAUUGGAAGUUAGCAACGUAGAAUUGGUCACUUGAACAAUUCAUGAAAGAAUAUUGAAGGAAGAGAGUUUCACAUAUAAAUAUACUAUCUUGGACAUCUUUUGCGAUGGUGAGCACUCAUUAAAAUAUGACAUGCUAAAAGGUUGAUGUUGGACAAGGAAGACAAUGUAAUGGGUUAUGUUUUCUUAUAUCCGAAAUAAAGUAUAUUGUCUUGGAUCAUCCAACAUGUUGAGCUUACUUUUCCCCCUCAUGCUAGCCAAAUUCUUUGCACCAAGUAGAGAUACUACUUGUGCUUCCAAACAUUCCUUAAACCAGUUUUGCCAUGAGAGUCCACCAUAUCUACCUAUGGAUUGAGUAAGAUACUUCAAGUAAGUUGUCAUCGGUGCAUGCAAUAAAAAUUGCCUUCUAAAUAUGUAUGAUCUAUUAAUGUGGAGAAAAUAAUCUUCAUACGAUCUUGUGAUGUGGAAGAAAUAAAAGCGACGGACUGCAUAAUAAAGGUCCAUAUCACAAGUGGCAAUAUAAAGUGACGUUCUUUUGCAUUAAGAUUUCGUGCAUCCAACCAUAAAAGCACAUGACAACCUCUGCUUCCCUCUGCAAAGGGCCUAUCUUUUACUUCUAUCUUCUACCCUUAUGCAAGAGUCAUGGUGAUCUUCACCUUUCCUUUUUACAUUUUAUCAUUUGGCAAGCACAUUGUGCUGGAAAGAUCCUGAUAUAUAUAUCCAAUUGGAUGUAAGUUAUCAUGAACUAUUAUUGUUGACAUUACCCUUGAGGUAAAAGGUUGGGAGGCGAAUCUAUAAGCCCCUAUCUUUCUCUGUGUCCGAUUAAAACUUUGAACCCAUAAAUAUCACGUGAGUGUUAGCAAUUGUGAAAGAUUAAAUGAUAGUUGAGUAUGUGUAGUUUGCUAAAUCAAAGCUCUGACAUAGACCCUUCCUGAAAACAAGAUGAAUUGCAGUUGUUUGAUGACUGAGAAUAUAGUUUGUUAGUUUCCAGAAAGUUUAUGAUUGAUACUUUAACAUGUGAAUAGCGUGUUACUUGAUCAUGAAAAGUUUUAUGAAGAUGAGCUACUGUUAUGAUAUAUAAUGAUGCUAGAAAAAGUGAUUGGAACUAUCAUUGAUGAAACUUAUGCAUUUGCUAGUAUUCACAUUUCAUAAAUUAUUUAUUUUCUCAUUUACCUACUCGAGGACGAGCAGGAAUUAAGCAUGGGAAUGCUGAUACGUCUCCAACGUAUCUAUAAUCUAUGAAGUAUUCAUGCUAUUAUAUUAUCAACCUUGGAUGUUUUAUAUGCAUUUAUGUGCUAUUUUAUAUGAUUUUUUGGACUAACCUAUUAACCUAGAGCCCAGUGUCAGGUCAAAAAAAACCUAGAGCCCAGUGCUAGUUUUUGUUUUUUCCUUGUUUUAGAGUAUCACAGAAAAGGAAAACCAAACGGAGUCCAAUUGACCUGAAACUUUAUGGAGCUUAUUUUUGGACCAGAAGAAGGCCAUGGAGUAAAAGAGUUGGGCCAGAAGAGUCCCGGGCUGCUCAUGAGGGUGGGAGGCGCGCACCCCCUGGGCGUGCCCCCUACCUCAUGGACAGCCCGGAGACCCCCCCUGACUUGUUCUCUACGCCAAAACCCCUUAUAUAUACAUAAACCUCCAGAAAUUAAUCGAGAUCGGAAGUUCCGCCGCCGCAAGCCUCUGUAGCCACGAGAAAUCAAUCUAGGCCCUCUCCGGCACCCUGCCGGAGGGGGCCAUCAUCACCGGAGGGCAUGGAGGAGGAUCCCGGAGGGGCCAUCAUCACCAUGAAGGCCAAGGACCAGAGGGAGAACCUCUCCCCAUCCAGGGGGGAGGCCAUGGAGGAGGAAGCACAAGGGGGAGAACCUCUCCUCCUCUCUCUCGGUGGCACCGGAGUGCCAUCGGGAGGGGAAUCAUCGCCGUGGUGAUCGUCUUCAUCAACAUCACCAUCAUCAUCACCACUCUCACCUCUUUUACGCGGUCCACUCUCCUGCACCCCGCUGUAAUCCCUACUUGUGUUGGGUAACGUAGUAAUUUCAAAAAUUUCCUAUGCACAUGCAAGAUCAUGGUGAUGCAUAGCAACGAGAGGGGAGAGUGUUGUCCACGUACCCUCGUAGACCGAAAGCGGAAGCGUUGGCACAACGCGGUUGAUGUAGUCGUACGUCUUCAUGGCCCGACCGGUCAAGCACCGAAACUACGACACCUCCGAAUUCUAGCACACGUUCAGCUUGAUGACAAUCCCCGGACUCCGAUCCAGCAGAAUGUCGGGGAAGAGUUCCGUCAGCACGACGGUGUGGUGACGAUCUUGAUGUUCUACUGUCGCAGGGCUUCGCCUAAGCACCACUACAAUAUUAUCGAGGACUAUGGUGGAGGGGGGCACCGCACACGGCUAAGAGAUCAAUGAUCAAUUGUUGUGUCUAUGGGGUGCCCCCUGCCCCCGUAUAUAAAGGAGCAAGGGAGGGAGGCGGCCGGCCUAGGAGGAGGGCGCGCCAAGGGGGGAGUCAUACUCCCACCGGGAGUAGGACUCCUCCUUCCCUUGUUGGAGUAGGAGAGAAGGAAAGAGGGGGAGGGGAACAAGGAAAAGUGGGCUGCACCCCUUGUCCAAUUCGGACCAGAGGGGGGGCGCGCACCUCCUUCCUUUUGGCCUCUCUCCUCUAUUCCCGUAUGGCCCAAUAAGGCCCAUAUACUCCCCGGCGAAUUCCCAUGACUCUCCGGUACUCCGAAAAAUACCCGAAUCACUCGGAACCUUUCUGAUGUCCGAAUAUAGUCGUUCAAUAUAUCGAUCUUUACGUCUCGACCAUUUCGAGACUCCUCGUCAUGUCCCCGAUCUCAUCCGGGACUCCGAACUCCUUUGGUACAUCAAAACUCAUAAACUCAUAAUAUAACUGUCAUCGAAACCUUAAACGUGCGGACCCUACGGGUUCGAGAACAAUGUAGACAUGACCAAGACACGUCUCCGGUCAAUAACCAAUAGCAGAACCUGGAUGCUCAUAUUGGCUCCCACAUAUUCUACGAAGAUCUUUAUCGGUCAGACCGCAUAACAACAUACGUUGCUCCCUUUGUCAUCGGUAUGUUACUUGCCCGAGAUUCGAUCGUCGGUAUCUCAAUACCAAGUUCAAUCUCAUUACUGGCAAGUCUCUUUACUCGUUCCAUAAUACAUCAUCCUGCAACUAACUCAUUAGUUGCAAUGCUUGCAAGGCUUAAGUGAUGUGCAUUACCGAGAGGGCCCAGAGAUACCUCUCCGACAAUCGGAGUGAAAAAACCUAAUCUCGAAAUAUGCCAACCCAACAAGUACCUUCGAAGACACCUGUAGAGCACCUUUAUAAUCACCCAGUUACGUUGUGGCGUUUGGUAGCACACAAAGUGUUCCUCCAGUAAACGGGAGUUGCAUAAUCUCAUAGUCAUAGGAACAUGUAUAAGUCAUGAAGAAAGAAAUAGCAACAAACUAAACGAUCAAGUGCUAUGCUAACGGAAUGGGUCAAGUCAAUCACAUCAUUCUCCUAAUGAUGUGAUCCCGUUAAUCAAAUGACAACUCAUGUCUAUGGUUAGGAAACAUAACCAUCUUUGAUCAACGAGCUAGUCAAGUAGAGGCAUACUAGUGACACUCUGUUUGUCUAUGUAUUCACACAUGUAUUAUGUUUCCGGUUAAUACAAUUCUAGCAUGAAUAAUAAACAUUUAUCAUGAUAUAAGGAAAUAAAUAAUAACUUUAUUAUUGCCUCUAGGGCAUAUUUCCUUCAGUCUCCCACUUGCACUAGAGUCAAUAAUCUAGUUCACAUCGCCAUGUGAUUUAAUACCAAUAGUUCACAUCACCAUGUGAUUAACACCCAUAGUUCACAUCGACAUGUGACCAACACCCAAAGGGUUUACUAGAGUCAAUAAUCUAGUUCACAUCGCUAUGUGAUUAACACCCAAAGAGUACUAAGGUGUGAUCAUGUUUUGCUUGUGAGAGAAGUUUAGUCAACGGGUCUGCCACAUUCAGAUCCAUACGUAUUUUGCAAAUUUCUAUGUCAACAAUGCUUUGCAUGGAGCUACUCUAGCUAAUUGCUCCCACUUUCAAUAUGUAUCCAGAUUGAGACUUAGAGUCAUCUGGAUCAGUGUCAAAACUUGCAUCAACGUAACCCUUUACGACAAACCUUUUGUCACCUCCAUAAUCGAGAAACAUAUCCUUAUUCCACUAAGGAUAAUUUUGACCAAUGUCCAGUGAUCUACUCCUAGAUCACUAUUGUACUCCCUUGCCAAACUCAGGGCAGGGUAUACAAUAGGUCUGGUACACAGCAUGGCAUACUUUAUAGAACCUAUGGCUAAGGCAUAGGGAAUGACUUUCAUUCUCUCUCUAUCUUCUGCCGUGGUCGGGUUUUGAGUCUUACUCAACUUCACACCUUGUAACACACGCAAGAACUCCUUUUUGACUGUUCCAUUUUGAACUACUUCAAAAUUUUGUCAAGGUAUGUACUCAUUGAAAAACUUAUCAAGCUUCUUGAUCUACCUCUAUAGAUCUUGAUGCUCAAUAUGUAAGCAACUUCACCGAGGUCUUUCUUUGAAAAACUCCUUUCAAACAUUCCCUUAUGCUUUGCAGAAUAAUUCUACAUUAUCUCCGAUCAACAAUAUGUCAUUCACAUAUACUUAUCAGAAAUGUUGUAAUGCUCCCACUCACUUUCUUGUCAAUACAGGCUUCACCGCAAGUCUGUAUAAAACUAUAUGCUUUGAUCAACUUAUCAAAGCGUAUAUUCCAACUCCGAGAUGCUUGCACCAGUCCAUAGAUGGAUCGCUGGAGCUUGCAUAUUUUGUUAGUACCUUUAGGAUUGACAAAACCUUCUGGUUGCAUCAUAUACAACUCUUCUUUAAUAAAUCCAUUAAGGAAUGUAGUUUUGUUUAUCCGUUUGCCAGAUUUCAUAAAAUGCGGCAAUUGCUAACAUGAUUCGGACAGACUUAAGCAUAGAUACGAGUGAGAAACUCUCAUCGUAGUCAACACCUUGAACUUGUCGAAAACCUUUUUGUGACAAUUCUAGCUUUGUAGAUAGUAACACUACUAUCAGCGUCCGUCUUCCUCUUGAAGAUCCAUUUAGUCUCAAUGGCUCGCCGAUCAAUGGGAAAGUCAAUCAAAGUCCAUACUUUGUUCUCAUACAUGGAUCUCAUCUCAAAUUUCAUGGCCUCAAGCCAUUUCGCGGAAUCUAAGCUCAUCAUCGCUUCCUCAUAGUUCGUAGGCUCAUCGUGGUCAAGUAACAUGACCACCAGAACAACAUUACUGUACCACUCUGGUGCGGAUCUCACUCUGGUUUACCUACGAGGUUCGGUAGUAACUUGAUCUGAAGUUACAUGAUCAUCAUCAUUAGCUUCCUCACUAAUUGGUGUAGUAGUCACAGGAACAGAUUUCUGUGAUGAACUACUUUCCCAUAAGGGAGCAGGUACAUUUACCUCAUCAAGUUCUACUUUUCUCCCACUCACUUAUUUCGAGAGAAACUCCUUCUCUAGAAAGAUCCAUUCUCAGCAAUGAAUAUCUUGCCUUCGGAUCUGUGAUAGAAGGUGUACCCAACAUUUUUCUUUUGGGUAUCCUAUGAAGAUGCACUUCUCUGAUUUGGGUUUGAGCUUAUCAGGUUGAAACUUUUUCACAUAAGCAUUGCAACCUUAAACUUUAAGAAAUGACAGCUUUGGUUUCUUGCCAAACCAUAGUUCAUACGGUGUCGUCUCAACGGAUUUAGAUGGUGCCCUAUUUAACGUGAAUGUAGCUGUCUCUAAUGCAUAACCCGAAAACGAUAGUGGUAAAUCGGUAAGAGACAUCAUAGAUCGCACCAUAUCUAAUAAAGUACGGUUACGACAUUCGGACACACCAUUACACUGUGGUGUUCUAGGUGGCGUGAGUAGUGAAACUAUUUCACAUUGUUUUAACUAAAGGCCAAACUCGUAACUCCAAUAUUUUACUUCUGCGAUCAUAUCGUAGAAACUUUUAUUUUUGUUAUGAUGAUUCUCCACUUCACUCUGAAAUUCUUUGAACUUCUCAAUUGUUUCAGACUUAUGUUUCAUCAAGUAGAUAUACCCAUAUCUGCUCAAAUCAUCUGUGAAGGUCAGAAAAUAACGAUACCCGCCACGAGCCUCGACACUCAUCGGACUGCAUACAUCAAUAUGUAUAUUUCCAAUAUGUCAGUUGCUCGCUCCAUUGUUCUGGAGAACGGAGUCUUAGUCAUCUUGCCCAUGAGUCAUGGUUCGCAAGCAUCAAAAUGAUUCAUAAUCAAGUGAUUCCAAAAGCCCAUCAGCAUGGAUUUUCUUCAUGCACUUUACACCAAUAUGACCUAAACGGCAGUGCCACAAAUAAGUUGCACUAUCAUUAUUAACUUUGCAUCUUUUGGCUUCAAUAUUAUGAGAAUGUGUAUCACCACAAUCGAGAUCCAACAAACCAUUUUCAUUGGGUGUAUGCCAUAGAAGGUUUUAUUCAUGUAAACAGAACAACAAUUUAUUCUCUUACUUAAAUGAAUAACUGUAUUGCAAUAAACAUGAUCAAAUCAUAUUCAUGCUCAACGCAAACACCAAAUAACACUUAUUUAGGUUCAACACUAAUCCCGAAAGUAUAGGGAGUGUGCGAUGAUGAUCAUAUCAAUCUUGGAACCACUUCCAACACACAUCGUCACUUCACCCUUAACUAGUCUCUGUUCAUUCUGCAACUCCCGUUUUGAGUUACUACUCUUAGCAACUGAACUAGUAUCAAAUACCGAGGGGUUGCUAUGAACACUAGUAAAAUACACAUCAAUAAUCUGUAUAUCAAAUAUACCUUUGUUCACUUUGCCAUCCUUCUUAUCCGCCAAAUACUUGGGGCAGUUCCGUUUCCAGUGACCAGUCCCUUUGCAGUAGAAGCACUUAGUCUCAGGCUUAGGACCAGACAUGGGCUUCUUCACUUGAGCAGCAACUUGCUUGCCGUUCUUCUUGAAGUUCCCUUUCUUUCCCUUUGCCCUUUUCUUGAAACUAGUGGUCUUGUUAAUCAUCAACACUUGAUGCUCUUUAUUGAUUUCUACCUUCAUUGAUUUCAUCAUCAUGAAAAGCUCGAGAAUCGUUUUCAUCAUCCCUUGCAUACUAUAGUUCAUCACAAAGUUCUACUAACUUGGUGAGGGUGACUAGAGAAUUCUGUCAAUCACUAUUUUAUCUGGAAGAUUAACUCCCACUUGAUUCAAGUGAUUGUAGUACCCAGAAAAUCUGAACACAUGCUCACUGCUUGAGCUAUUCUCCUCCAUCUUUUAGCUAUAGAACUUGUUGGAGACUUCAUAUCUCUCAACUCGGGUAUUUGCUUGAAAUAUUAACUUCAACUCCUGGAACAUCCAUAUGAUCCAUGACAUUCAAAACGUCUUUGAAGUCCCGAUUCUAAGCCGUUUAAGCAUGGUGCACUAAACUAUCAAGUAGUCAUCAUAUUGAGCUAGCCAAACGUUCAUAACGUCUGCAUCUGCUCCUACAAUAGGUCUGUCACCUAGCGGUCCAUUAAGGACAUAAUUCUUCUGUGCAGCAAUGAGGAUAAUCCUCAGAUCACGGAUCCAAUCCGCAUCAUUGCUACUAACAUCUUUCAACUUAAUUUUCUCUAGGAACAUAUCACCAAUAAAACAGGGGAGCUAAACGCGAGCUGUUGAUCUACAACAUAGAUAUGCUAAUACUAUCAGGACUAAGUUCAUGAUAAAUUAAAGUUCAAUUAAGCAUAUUACUUAAGAACUCCCACUUAGAAAUACAUCCCUCUAAUCUUCUAAGUGAUCAUGUGAUCCAAAUCAACUAAACCAUAACCAAUCAUCACGUGAAAUGGAGUAGCUUUCAAUGGUGAACAUCAAUAUGUUGAUCAUAUCUACUAUAUGAUUCACGCUUGACCUUUCGGUCUCAGUGUUCCGAGGCCAUAUCUGCAUAUGCUAGGCUCGUCAAGUUUAACCUGAGUAUUCUGCGUGUGCAAAAACUGUCUUGCACCUGUUGUAGAUGUUGGAAAUAUGCCCUAGAGGCAAUAAUAAAUUGAUUAUUAUUAUAUUUCCUUGUUCAUGAUAAUUGUUUAUUAUCCAUGCUAGAAUUGUAUUGAUAGGAAACCCAGAUACAUGUGUGGAUACAUAGACAACACCAUGUCCCUAGUAAGCCUCUAGUUGACUAGCUCGUUGAUCAAUAGAUGGUUACGGUUUCCUGACCAUGGACAUUGGAUGUCGUUGAUGACGGGAUCACAUCAUUAGGAGAAUGAUGUGAUGGACAAGACCCAAUCCUAAGCAUAGCUCAAGAUCGUGUAGUUCGCAUGCUAAAGCUUUUCUAAUGUCAAGUAUCAUUUCCUUAGACCAUGAGAUUGUGCAACUCCUGGAUACCGUAGGAAUACUUUGGGUGUGCCAAACGUCACAACGUAACUGGGUGACUAUAAAGGUGCACUACGGGUAUCUCCAAAAGUGUCUGUUGGGUUGGCACGAAUCGAGACUGGGAUUUGUCACUCCGUGUGACGGAGAGGUAUCUCUGGGCCCACUCGGUAGGAUAUCAUCAUAAUGUGCACAAUGUGAUCAAGGAGUUGAUCACGGGAUGAUGUGUUACGGAACGAGUAAAGAGACUUGCCAGUAACGAGAUUGAACAAGGUAUCGGGAUACCGACGAUCGAAUCUCGGGCAAGUAUCAUACUGAUAGACAAAGGGAAUUGUAUACGGGAUUGAUCGAAUCCUCGACAUCAUGGUUCAUCCGAUGAGAUCAUCGUGGAACAUGUAGGAACCAACAUGGGUAUCCAGAUCCCGCUGUUGGCUAUUGACCGGAGAACGUCUCGGUCAUGUCUACAUGGUUCCCGAACCCGUAGGGUCUACACACUUAAGGUUCGAUGAUGCUAGGGUUAUAAAGGAAGUUUGUAUGUGGUUACCGAAUGUUGUUCGGAGUCCCGGAUGAGAUCCCGGAUGUCAUGAGGAGUUCCGGAAUGGUCCGGAGGUAAAGAUUUUUAUAUGGGAAGUCCUGUUUUGGUCACCGGAAAAGUUUCGGGUUUUAUCAGUAACGUACCGGGACCACCGGGAGGGUCCCAGGGGUCCACCAAGUGGGGACACAAGCCCCGGAGGGCUGCAUGGGCCAAGUGUAGGAGGGGACCAGCCCCAGGUGGGCUGGUGCGCUUCCCCCCCCCCCACCAAGGCCCAAGGCGCAAGGGAAGAGGAAAGGGGGCAAACGCUAAGGGCAGAUGGGCCCUAAGGCCCAUGCUCCCUGCGCCUCCCUCUCCUCCCCCCUUGGCCGCCUCCCUCAGAUGGGAUCUGGGGCUGCCGCACCCCUUGGGGUGGGAACCCUAGAGGGGGCGCAGCCCCCUCCCCUUCCCCUAUAUAUACUUGAGGCCUAGGGGCUGCCCAACACGCGAUUCGAUCUCUCUUUCUUGGCGCAGCCCUAUCCCUCUCUUUCUCCUCAUAUCUCGCAAUGCUUGGCGAAGCCCUGCUGGAUCACCACGCUCCCCCAUCACCACCACGCAGUUGUGCUUCUGCUGGAUGGAGUCUUCCUCAACCUCUCCCUCUCUCCUUGCUGGAUCAAGGCAUGGGAGACGUCGCCGGGCUGUACGUGUGUUGAACGUGGAGGUGCCGUCCGUUCGGCACUAGGAUCUCCAGUGAUUCGGAUCACGACGAGUAGGACUCCUUCAACCCCGUUCUCUUGAAUGCUUCCGCAUAGCGAUCUACAAGGGUAUGUAGAUGCACUCUCCUUCCCUUCGUUGCUGGUCUCUCCAUAGAUAGAUCUUGGUGACACGUAGGAAAAUUUUGAAUUUCUGCUACGUUACCCAACAGUGGUAUCAGAGCUAGGUCUAUUGCGUAGAUUCUAUGCACGAGUAGAACACAAAGUAGUUGUGGGCAUUGAUUUUUGUUCAAUAUGCUUACCGUUACUAGUCCAAUCUUGAUUCGGCGGCAUUGUGGGAUGAAGCGGCCCGAACCAACCUUACAUGUACGCUUACGUGAGACCGGUUCCACCGACUAACAUGCACUAGUUGCAUAAGGUGGCUGGCGGGUGUCUGUCUCUCCCACUUUAGUCAGAUCGGAUUCGAUGAAAAGGGUCCUUAUGAAGGGUAAAUAGCAAUUGGCAUAUCACGUUGUGGUUUUUGUGUAGGUAAGAAACGUUCUUGCUAGAAACCCAUAGCAGCCACGUAAAACAUGCAAACAACAAUUAGAGGACGUCUAACUUGUUUUUGCAGGGUAUGCUAUGUGAUGUGAUAUGGCCAAGAAGAAUGUGAUGAAUGAUAUGUGAUGUAUGAGAUUGAUCAUGUUCUUGUAAUAGGAAUCACGACUUGCAUGUCGAUGAGUAUGACAACCGGCAGGAGCCAUAGGAGUUGUCUUUAUUUAUUGUAUGACCUGCGUGUCAUUGAACAACGCCAUGUAAUUACUUUACUUUAUUGCUAACCGGUAGCCAUAGUAGUAGAAGUAAUAAGUUGGCGAGACAACUUCAUGGAGACACGAUGAUGGAGAUCAUGAUGAUGGAGAUCAUGGUGUCAUGCCAGUGACAAGAUGAUCAUGGAGCCCCAAGAUGGAGAUCAAAGGAGCUAUAUGAUAUUGGCCAUAUCAUGUCACUAUUAUUUGAUUGCAUGUGAUGUUUAUCAUGUUUAUGCAUCUUAUUUGCUUAGAACAAUGGUAGUAAAUAAGAUGAUCCCUCAUUAAAAUUUCAAGAAAGUGUUCCCCUAACUGUGCACCGUUGUGAAAGUUCGUCGUUUCGAAGCACCACGUGAUGAUCGGGUGUAUAGAUUCUUACGUUCGAAUACAACGAGUGUUGACAAGCCUAGCAUGUACAGACAUGGCCUCGAAACACAUGCGAAACACUUAGGUUAACUUGACGAGCCUAGCAUGUACAGACAUGGCCUCGGAACACAAGAGACCGAAAGGUCGAGCAUGAGUCGUAUGGUAGAUACGAUCAACAUGAAGAUGUUCACCGAUGUUGACUAGUCCGUCUCACGUGAUGAUCGGACACGGCCUAGUUGACUCGGAUCAUGUAAUCACUUAGAUGACUAGAGGGAUGUCUAUCUGAGUGGGAGUUCAUAAGAUGAACUAAAUUAUCCUGAACAUAGUCAAAAGGUCUUCGCAAAUUAUGUGCUAGCUCGCGCUUUAGUUCUACUGUUUAGAUAUGUUCCUAGAGAAAAAUUAGUUGAAAGUUGAUAGUAGCAAUUAUCUAGACACUAGAAGGCUUAUGUCCUUAAUGCAUAGCUCAGUGUGCUGAACCUCGAACGUCGUCUGUGGAUGUUUCGAACAUCUGACAUACACGUUUUGAUGACUACAUGAUAGUUCAGUGUGUAAUGCUAAAUGGUUUAGAAUUGAGGCACCAAAGACGUUUUGAAACGUCGCGAAACAUAUGAGAUGUUUUGAGGGCUGAAAUUGGGAUUUCGGGCUCGUGCCCACGUCAAGAGGUAUAAGACCUCCAACGAUUUUCUUAGCCUACAAACUAAGGGAGAAAAGCUCAAUUGUUGAGCUUGUGCUCAGAUUGUCUGAGUACAACAAUCAUUUGAAUCGAGUGGGAGUUGAUCUUCCAGAUGAGAUAGUGAUGUUUCUCCGAAGUCAUUACCACCAAGCUGCUAGAGCUUCGUGAUGAACUAUAACAUAUCGAGGACAUAUAUGAUGAUCUUUGAGAUAUUUGCAAUGUUUGACACCACAAAAGUAGAAAUCAAGAAGGAGCAUCAAUUUUGAUGGUUGGUGAAACCACUAGUUUCAAGAAGGGCAAGGGAAAGAAGGGAUACUUCAUGAAACGGCAAUUCAGCUGCUGCUCUAGUGAAGAAACCCAAGGUUGAACCCAAACCCAAGACUAAGUGCUUUUGUAAUAAGGGGAACAACCACUGGAGCAGAAUUACCCUAGAUACUUGGUAGAUGAGAAGGCUGGCAAGGUCGAUAGAAGUAUAUUGGAUAUACAUUGUGUUGAUGUGUACUUUACUAGUACUCCUAGUAGCACCAGGGUAUUAGAUACCGGUUCGGUUGCCAAGUGUUAGUAACUCGAAAUAAAAGCUACGGAAUAAACGGAGACUAGCUAAAGGUGAGUUGACGAUAUGUGUUGGAAGUGUUUCCAAUGUUGAUAUGAUCAAGCAUCGCACGCUCCCUCUACCAUCGAGAUUGGUGUUAAACCUAAAUAAUUGUUAUUUGGUGUUUGCGUUGAGCAUAGACAUGAUUGGAUUAUGUCUAUCACAAUACGGUUAUUCAUUUAAGGAGAAUAAUGGUUACUCUGUUUAUUUGAAUAAUACCUUCAAUGGUCUUGCACCUAAAAUGAAUGGUUUAUUGAAUCUCGAUCGUAGUGAUACACAUGUUCAUGCCAAAAGAUAUAAGAUAGUAAUGAUAGUACCACCUACUUGUGGCGCGGCCACUUAAGUCAUAUCGGUAUAAAACGCAUGAAGAAGCUCCAUGUUGAUGGAUCUUUGGGCUCACUCGUUUUGAAAAGUUUGAGACAUGCGAACCAUGUCUAUUGGUGUAUAUGCAUGAAGAAACUCCAUGCAAAUGGACCAUUUGGACUCACUUGAUUUUGAAUCACUUGAGACAUGCAAAUCAUACCAAUUGGGCAAGAUUACUGAAAGCCUCGGUUUCAGUAAAAUGGAACUAGAAAGCAACUUGUUGGAAGUAAUACAUUUUGAUGUGUGCAGUCCAAUGAGUGCUGAGGCGUGUAGUGGAUAUCGUUAUGUUCUUACUUCACAGAUGAUUUGAGUAGAUGCUGAGUAUAUUUACUUGAUGAAUCACGAGUCUGAAUUAUUGAAAGGUUCAAGUAAUUUCAGGGUGAAGUUGAAAGAUCGUCAUGACAAGAAGAUAAAAGAUCUAUGAUAUGAUCAUAGAGAUGAAUAUCUGAAUUACGAGUUUGGCACAGAAUUAAGACAUUGUGGAAAUUGUUUCACAACUAAUACAGCCUGGAACACCAUAGUGUGAUGGUGUGUCCGAACAUCAUAACUGCACCCUAUUGGAUAUGAUGCAUACCAUGAUGUCUCUUAUCGAAUUACCACGAUAGUUUAUGGGUUAGGCAUUAGAGACAACCACAUUCACUUUAAAUAGGGCACCACGUAAUUCCGAUGAGAUGACACCAUAUGAACUAUGGUUUAGAGAAACCUAAGCUGUCAUUUCUUAAAAAGUUUGGGGCUGCGACGCUUAUGUGAAAAAGUUUCAGGCUGAUAAGCUCGAACCCGAAGCGGAUAAAUGCAUCUUCAUAGGACACCCAAAGCAGUUGGGUAUACCUCCUGUCUCAGAUCCGAAAGCAAUAAGGGAUUAUUUCUAGAAUCGGGUCCUUUCUUGAGGAAAAGUUCUCUCGAAAGAAUUGAGUGGGAGGAUGGUCGAGACUUGAUGAGGUUAUUAAACUGUCUCUUCAACUAGUGUGUGGCAGGGCACAGGAAGUUGUUCCUGUGGCACCUACACCAAUUGAAGUGGAAGCUUAUGAUAGUGAUCAUGAAACUUCAGAUCAAGUCACUACCAAACCUCGUGGGAUAACAAGGAUGCAUACUACUUCGGAGUGGUACGUAAUCCUGUCUUGGAAGUCAUGUUGCUAGACAAUAAUGAACCUACGAGCCAUGGAGAAGCGAUGGUGGGCCUAGAUUCCAAAAUGGCUCGAGGCCAUAUAAUCCGAGAGAGGAUCCAUGUAUGAAAACAAAGUGUAGACUUUGGAAGAGCUACUUGAUGGUCGUAAGGCUGUUAGGUACAUAUGGAUUUUAAAAGGAAGACAGACAAUGAUGGUAAGUGUCACCAUUGAGAAAGCUUGACUUGUCGUUAAGAUGUUUCCCGACAAGUUCAAGGAGUUGACUAUGAUGAGACUUUCUCACUCGUAGCGAUGCUAAGAGUCUGUUGGAAUUAUAUUAGCGAUUACUGCAUUAUUUAUUAAAUCUUGCAGAUAGGAUGUCAAAACAUUGUUUCCUCGACGAUUUUUCUUGAGGAAAGGUUGUAUGUAAUACAACUGGAAGGUUUUUUCAAUCCUGAAAAAUGCUAAUAAGUAUGCAAAGCUCCGGCAAUCCUUCUAAGGACUGGAGUGAGCAUCUCGGAGUUGGAAUGUAUGCUUUGAUGAUGAUCAAAGAAUUUUUGGGUUUAUACAAAGUUUAUGAGAAACUUGUAUUUCCAAAGAAGUGAGUGGGAGCACUAUAGAAUUUCUGAUGAGUAUAUGUUGUUAACAUAUUGUUGAUCAGAAAUGAUGUAGAAUUUCUGGAAAGCAUGCAGAGUUAUUUGAAAAGUGUUUUUCAAUGGAAAGCCUGGAUUAAGCUACUUGAACAUUGAGCAUCAAGAUCUAUAAGGAUAGAUCAAAACGCUUAAUGGUACUUUCAAAUGAGCACAUACCUUGACAUGAUCUUGAAGGUGUUCAAGAUGGAUCAGUCAAAGAAGGAGUUGUUGCCUGAGUUGUAAGGUAUGAAGUUAAGACUUAAAGAUCGACCACGGCAGAAUAGAGAGAAAGGACGAAGGUCGUCCCCUAUGCUUAAGACAUAGGCUCUACAGUAUGCUAUGCUGUGUACCGCACCUGAAAUGUGCCUUGCCAUGAGUCAGUCAAGGGGUACAAGAGUGAUCCAAGAAUGGAUCACAGGACAGCGGUCAAAGUUAUCCUUUGUAACUAGUGGACUAAGGAAUUUUCUCGAAUAUGGAGGUGGUAAAAGAGUUCGUCGUAAAGGGUUACGCCGAUGCAAACUUUGACACUAAUCAAGAUUAUUCUGAGUAGUAAAAUGGAUUCGUAUACUAGUAGAACAGUUAUUUGGAAUAGCUCCAAAUGUAGCGUAAUAGUUGCAUCUACAAGAUGACAUAGAAAUUUGCGAAGUACAUACGGAUCUGAAUGUUUCAGACCCGUUGACUAUAACAUCUCUCACAAGCAUAACAUGAUCAAACCCAGAACUCAUCGAGUGUUAAUCACAUGGUAAUGUGAACUAGAUUAUUGACUCUAGUAAACUCUUGGGUGUUAGUCACAUGGGGAUGUGACCUUGAGUGUUAGUCACAUAGCGAUGUGAACUGGAUUAUUGACUCUAGUGCAAGUGGGAGACCGUUGGAAAUAUGCGCUAGAGGCAAUAAUAAAUUGAUUAUUAUUAUAUUUCCUUGUUCAUGAUAAUCGUUUAUUAUCCAUGCUAGAAUUGUAUUGAUAGGAAACCCAGAUACAUGUGUGGAUACAUAGACAACACCAUGUCCCUAGUAAGCCUCUAGUUGACUAGCUCGUUGAUCAAUAGAUGGUUACGGUUUCCUGACCAUGGACAUUGGAUGUCGUUGAUGACGGGAUCACAUCAUUAGGAGAAUGAUGUGAUGGACAAGACCCAAUCCUAAGCAUAGGUCAAGAUCGUGUAGUUCGCAUGCUAAAGCUUUUCUAAUGUCAAGUAUCAUUUCCUUAGACCUUGAGAUUGUGCAACUCCCAGAUACCGUAGGAAUACUUUGGGUGUGCCAAACGUCACAACGUAACUGGGUGACUAUAAAGGUGCACUAUGGGUAUCUCCGAAAAUGUCUGUUGGGUUGGCACGAGUCGAGACUGGGAUUUGUCACUCCGUGUGACGGAGAGGUAUCUCUGGGCCCACUCGGUAGGACAUCAUCAUAAUGUGCACAAUGUGAUCAAGGAGUUGAUCACGAGAUGAUGUGUUACGGAAUGAGUAAAGAGACUUGCCGGUAACGAGAUUGAACAAGGUAUCGGGAUACCGACGAUCAAAUCUCGGGCAAGUAUCAUACCGAUAGACAAAGGGAAUUGUAUACGGGAUUGAUCGAAUCCUCGACAUCGUGGUUCAUCUGAUGAGAUCAUCGUGGAACAUGUAGGAACCAACAUGGGUAUCCAGAUCCCGCUGUUGGCUAUUGACUGGAGAACGUCUCGGUCAUGUCUGCAUGGUUCCCGAACCCGUAGGGUCUACACACUUAAGGUUCAAUGACGCUAGGGUUAUAAAGGAAGUUUGUAUGUGGUUAACGAAUGUUGUUCGGAGUCCCGGAUGAGAUCCCGGACGUCACGAGGAGUUCCGGAAUGGUCCGGAGGUAAAGAUUUAUAUAUGGGAAGUCCUGUUUUGGUCACCGGAAAAGUUUCGGGUUUUAUCGGUAACGUACCGGGACCACCGGGAGGGUCCCGGGGGUCCACCAAGUGGGGCCACAAGCCCCGGAGGGCUGCAUGGGCCAAGUGUGGGAGGGGACCAGCCCCAGGUGGGAUGGUGCGCCCCCCCACCAAGGCCCAAGGUGCAAGGGAAGGGGAAAGGGGGCAAACCCUAAGGGCAGAUGGGCCCUAAGGCCCAUGCUCCCUGCGCCUCCCUCUCCUUCCCCCUUGGCCGCCUCCCUCAGAUGGGAUCUAGGGCUGCCGCACCCCUUGGGGUGGGAACCCUAGAGGGGGCGCAGCCCCCUCCCCUUCCCCUAUAUAUACUUGAGGCCUAGGGGCUGCCCAACACGCGAUUCGAUCUCUCUUUCUUGGCGCAGCCCUAUCCCUCUCUUUCUCCUCAUAUCUCGCAAUGCUUGGCGAAGCCCUGCUGGAUCACCACGCUCCUCCAUCACCACCACGCCGUUGUGCUACUGCUGGAUGGAGUCUUCCUCAACCUCUCCCUCUCUCCUUGCUGGAUCAAGGCAUGGGAGACGUCGUCGGGCUGUACGUGUGUUGAACGCGGAGGUGCCGUCCGUUCGGCACUAGGAUCUCCGGUGAUUUGGAUCACGACGAGUACGACUCCUUCAACCCCGUUCUCUUGAACGCUUCCGCAUAGCGAUCUACAAGGGUAUGUAGAUGCACUCUCCUUCCCUUUGUUGCUGGUCUCUCCAUAGAUAGAUCUUGGUGACAUGUAGGAAAAUUUUGAAUUUCUGCUACAUUACCCAACAGUAGAUGGACGUAGAGCUUAUCACACCCGAUCAUCACGUGGUGUCUGGGCACGAUGAACUUUGGCAACGGUGCAUACUCAGGGAGAACACUUUUAUCUUGAAAUUUAGUGAGAGAUCGUCUUAUAAUGCUACCGUCAAUCAAAGCAAGAUAAGAUGCGUAAAAGAUAAACAUCACAUGCAAUCAAUAUAAGUGAUAUGAUAUGGCCAUCAUCAUCUUGUGCUUGUGAUCUCCAUCUCCGAAGCACCUUCAUGAUCACCAUCGUCACCGGCGUGACACCUUGAUCUCCAUCGUAGCAUCGUUGUCGUCUCGCCAAUCUUAUGCUUCCAUGACUAUCGCUACCGCUUAGUGAUAAAGUAAAGCAUUACAGCGCGAUUGCAUUGCAUACAAUAAAGCGACAACCAUAUGGCUCCUGCCAGUUGCCGAUAACUCGGUUACAAAACAUGAUCAUCUCAUACAAUAAAAUUUAGCAUCAUGUCUUGACCAUAUCACAUCACAACAUGCCCUGCAAAAACAAGUUAGACGUCCUCUACUUUGUUGUUGCAAGUUUUACGUGGCUGCUACGGGCUUAGCAAGAACCGUUCUUACCUACGCAUCAAAACCACAACGAUACUUUGUCAAGUUGGUGCUGUUUUAACCUUCGGAAGGACCGGGCGUAGCCACACUCGAUUCAACUAAAGUUGGAGGAACUGACACCCGCCAGCCACCUGUGUGCAAAGCACGUUGGUAGAACCAGUCUCGCGUAAGCGUACGCGUAAUGUCGGUCCAGGCCGCUUCAUCCAACAAUACCGCCGAACCAAAGUAUGACAUGCUGGUAAGCAGUAUGACUUAUAUCGCCCACAACUCACUUGUGUUCUACUCAUGCACAACAUCAAUGCAUAAAACCUAGGCUCAGAUGGCACUGUUGGGGAACGUAGUAAUUUCAAAAAUUUCCUACGCACAUGCAAGAUCAUGGUGAUGCAUAGCAACGAGAGGGGAGAGUGUUGUCCAUGUACCCUUGUAGACCGAAAGCGGAAGCGUUAGCACAACGCGGUUGAUGUAGUCGUACGUCUUCACGGCCCGACCGAUCAAGCACCAAAACUACGGCACCUCCGAGCUCUAGCACACGUUCAGCUCGAUGACGAUCCCCGGACUCUGAUCCAGCAGAAUGUCGGGGAAGAGUUCCGUCAGCACGACGGUGUGGUGACGAUCUUGAUGUUCUACUGUCGCAGGGCUUCGCCUAAGCACCACUACAAUAUUAUCGAGGACUAUGGUGGAGGGGGGCACCGCACACAGCUAAGAGAUCAAUGAUCAAUUGUUGUGUCUAUGGGGUGCCCCCUGCCCCCGUAUAUAAAGGAGCAAGGGAGGGAGGCGGACGGGAGUAGGACUCCUCCUUCCCUUGUUGGAGUAGGAGAGAAGGAAAGAGGGGGAGAGGAACAAGGAAAAGUGGGCUGCACCCCUUGUCCAAUUCGGACCAGAGGGGGGGGGGCGCCUCCUUCCUUUUGGCCUCUCUCCUCUAUUCCCGUAUUGCCCAAUAAGGCCCAUAUACUCCCCGGCGAAUUCCCGUAACUCUCCGGUACUCCGAAAAAUACUCGAAUCACUCAGAACCUUUCCAAUGUCCAAAUAUAGUCGUACAAUAUAUCAAUCUUUACGUCUCGACCAUUUUGAGACUCCUCGUCAUGUCCCCGAUCUUAUCCGGGACUCCGAACUCCUUCGGUACAUCAAAACUCAUAAACUCAAAAUAUAACUGUCAUCGAAACCUUAAGUGUGCGGACCCUACGGGUUCGAGAACAAUGUAGACAUGACCGAGACACGUCUCCGGUCAAUAACCAAUAGCGGAACCUGGAUGCUCAUAUUAGCUCCCACAUAUUCUAUGAAGAUCUUUAUCGGUCAGACCGCAUAAGAACAUAUGUUGUUCCCUUUGUCAUCGGUAUGUUACUUCCCCGAGAUUCGAUCGUCGGUAUCUCAAUACCUAGUUCAAUAUCGUUACCGGCAAGUCUCUUUACUCGUUCCGUAAUACAUCAUCCUGCAACUAACUCAUUAGUUGCAAUGCUUGCAAGGCUUAAGUGAUGUGCAUUACCGAGAGGGCCCAGAGAUACCUCUCCAACAAUCGGAGUGACAAAUCCUAAUCUUGAAAUACGCCAACCCAACAAGUACCUUCAGAGACACCUGUAGAGAAACUUUAUAAUCACCCAGUUACGUUGUGACGUUUGGUAGCACACAAAGUGUUCCUCCGGUAAACGGGAGUUGCAUAAUCUCAUAGUCAUAGGAACAUGUAUAAGUCAUGAAGAAAGCAAUAGCAACAAACUAAACGAUCAAGUGCUAUGCUAACGGAAUGGGUCAAGUCAAUCACAUCAUUCUCCUAAUGGUGUGAUCCCGUUAAUCAAAUGACAACUCAUGUCUAUGGUUAGGAAACAUAACCAUCUUUGAUCAACGAGCUAGUUAAGUAGAGGCAUACUAGUGACACUCUGUUUGUCUAUGUAUUCACACAUGUAUUAUGUUUCCGGUUAAUACAAUUCUAGCAUGAAUAAUAAACAUUUAUCAUGAUAUAAGGAAAUAAUAAUAACUUUAUUAUUGCCUCUAGGGUUAUAUUUCCUUCAACUUGAACAUGGUGCUUUAUGCUACAUAUUAUGAUCCAGUGAUGUGUUGCCAUCCUAUGAUGUUUUGAGUAGAUAUCCUUUAUCUUUGGGUUGAUUGAUGAUCUAGAUUGGCAUGAGUUGUAUGUUUUAUUUUGGUAUUGUCCUAUUGUGCCCUCUGUGUCGCGCAAGCGUGAGGGAUUCCCGUUGUGGGGUGUUGCAAUAUGUUCAUGAUUCGCUUAUAGUGGGUUGCUUGAGUGAGAGAAGCAUAAGCCCGAGUAAGGGAAUUGUUGCAUAUGGGAUAAAGCGGACUUGAUGCUUUAAUGCUAUGGUUGGGUUUUACCUUAAUGAUCUUUAGUAGUUGCGGAUGCUUGCUAGAGUUCCAACCAUAAGUGCAUAUGAUCCAAGAUGAGAAAGUAUGUUAGCUUAUGGCUCUCCCUCAUAUGAAAUUGCAAUAGUGAUUACCGGUCUUGUUAACAAUUGCCUAGGACAAUUCCGCACACCGACCCAUCAUUAUUCCACACUCGCUAUUUAUAAUAUUUAGUAAUAUAUUCUAAAUUUAUGAUAACAACACCUAGUUUAAUAUUUUAGCUCUCCGAUAUCAUGCAAAGUUAUCCACUUCAUACCCACAACGUAGUUUUAUUUCUCGUUGCUAAUUGGAAGCAAACGUUCGGUGUACGUAGAGUCGUAUCAGUGGCAGAUAGGGCUUGAGAGAAUAUUGAUCUUACCUUUAGCUCCUUGUGAGUUCGACACUCCAUACUUAUCACUUCCACCAUUGGGAAUUUUUAUGAUGAUUCCCUACACUGGGGAUUGUCACUGGUUCAGUAGGAGGGAUGUAGCAACUCUUUCUUCUUCUCUUGGUUCUUCUUUUUCUUCAUCGGCUGAUGCAGCCGGAAUGUCUUCAGCAGCUUUAGAUUUAGAGUCGGAGACAUUCACAGUUGGGGUGGCUUCAGGAAACACUUGACGUGCUACUAAGCUUUGUUUCACUUCCUCUUCUGGAAUGCUCGACAUGGUGACCUGUUUCCUGGGGCCUUUGCGAAGCCUGCGGCAAGCGGGCGAUGCCUGUGGAGACAGAGAGGUUUGUACCAUGUAGUUAUCAUCAUCAAGCACCGGAGUGGUGACUUGAUGUGUUGGAGUUCUGGGUGUGUCUUCAUGAAUGGGGGUGUCUUGUUGAGGGUGAUCAGCCCACGAAUCAUCCUGAGUGAUUGGCGUCAGGGGACGACCAGUACUGAUGAGUUCGAUGUUCGUAAGAACAGGCGAUGAUACCACUUGAUGCUCGAGUUGAGGAAGGACUUCAUCAUCUUCAACAUUGUCUUCACGAUCAAUGUCUUCAGCUGUGGUGGGGUCAACAGCUGGAACUUCUUCAUUUUCAGGAGCCUCUGUGAAAGCAGGCUCGUGAAUCACUAGGCGACGCUCUUGGUUGGUGGAGGCUGGUCGAGCAACAGAGAUGGGCUCAACCACAUGGGGCUCAGAGGCCGCAGCACGCUCUUUCUUUGAAGACUUUGUGUUCAGCUUCUUCUUGGAUGGCGCUUCAUCAGAGGUGUUCUUGUGCUUGCACUUCCUACCAUCAACUUCAGCUGCCCUAGUCUUCUUCGGUUCUGAAGCUGCUGAGGGGACCUUAGACUUCGAGCUUGUCAUGCUGGUAGGGAAGAUAAUUUGAGGUUCUUCCUGCCUUGGUGCUUCAGUUCGGACCGUAGCAGACUUCUUUGUUGGCUUGGCAGCCAUUCUUGGGUCGAUGUCAGGACGGCCAAGAGCCUUGUGCUUCUCAGCCUCAUUGUGUGCUUGAACACAUUUCUGCACAAAGUACUUCAUGUGCUCUCUUGAACCAUUAGCUUUUUCAUGCUUCUUGUGAAACUGCUCCAUGAGCUCAUGCAACAUCUUCUUGAAGGUCUGCACAUCUUCCACGCUGAGCUUGGCCAUGUUCUUCUUGAAGUGAGCCUUCUCAUAGUCAAUUUUGUUCUUCAGCUCAACAAUCUUCUAAGCUACGGCCAGCUCAUUUGCAAUAGCUUCGUGGAAGGUGACGCUGAUGUCCACAGGCAGCUGAAGAUCAUCGAUUUUUAUGCUCUGGUCGUCGAACCACUCAUCAAUGAAGUUGUUCAGAAUAUCCACAUCGAAGAGGGGAAGAUCGUUGAAGAUCUCGACCUCUUGUUUGCUCUUCAUGAGUUGUUUAAGGGCGUCAUCACCAAGAUCUUUGUCACUUGACAGAUCAAUGGUGUCCUCUUCGUUCCUGAGAACGGCAGCUGGAGUCAGUUCAUGCCCGAAAAUCUUCUUGGGCUUCUUGAUUUUCUUUGUCUUCUUGGCCUUCUUGGAGACACGAGAUAAGUCUUCGGAGUGCACACUGGCUUCAGGAGGUGUAGUGGCCAAUGGCUUCACACGCGAAGCUUUUGGUGAGGCAUGGGGCUUUCAAGCCUUUGAUUUCUUCUUCUUCUGCGGCUUUGGUGGUGCUCGCGCAUCUUCCGAGUCUACAUCAUCAGCAGAGUGCUCCACCACAGCCCCUGUACAGCUAUGUGAGUGAGAAGGCCAUCGAGGUUGUAGAAGGGGACGAUGGCAUUUGGAUUGGCAUCACGUGUGCCAUCAGCCCUUGGAGUAGAUGGACCGGGGUUGAAGUCGAGUCCCAGAUCCUUCUUGUUCUUGACAGCAGAUUCCUUGGCAAAUUGAUAAUUGCGCUUGAAGAGAUUGUCGUCGUGACACCAUAAUAGUGAUGAUGGGUCGGGAUCCUCUAGUUGUGGUCCUCGGAACAUGCAAGGGUAGAAGCCUUGAGCAAUGGAAUAUCUCCCCAGGGGCCCUUGAUGGCGUUCUUUUCAACAUAUUCAGCAGUCACAAAUCUGUGCAUGAACCAUUGCUGCCCAAUAUCUUCGAAUCCAUUGGAUUCGGGUCUUGCACUCGCCAUAACUCUCCUCAGGAUCUGACUUGUAUAGCUCAGAUAGACCUGGAGGCAAAUCCUUGGCUGUAUCUCCAUGGCGCUGCCUGCCGCCCUUUCUAGCUGAUUUCUGUGUUGUCAUUGUAUUCAGAUUAAAAGGCUUCAAGACAGUGAAUGGCUUCCUCUUGCUGGUCAGACAAGAACUGGCUUCAGGUGAGUGAAUAUGAAGCUGUAAGAACUCUGCAAAUGAAUGCAGACUAUGAGAACCAAGGGAUUCUCCCACGGACAUGUACAUGUGACAGCAUUAGAGAUGCGAGGGAAGGGGAAGGUCAUAUGCGUUCUUAGAAGAUUUUGAAGAUAAAUCAGCUUUGAAGACAUUGAGCUCAUAGCGUGAAGACAUUCACUUAUUUGAAGAGAGUCGGUUCCAGAGUUGUACGAAUCCAUGAAUAAGUACAAGUGAGGAAUCUAACUAGUUAUGAAGCAUAAGUGAAUAUACUUGGCAUGAUAUGAGAUGCAGGUAAGGAUGGAUCCAUAUUUGGAAGUGAAGAACCCACUUUGGGUUGAAGUGGAUGGAUCUGACGGAUCUAGAAGGCAGUAAAAAGUAAGAUUUAAUUACCGCUUGACGAACUGCUAGACGAGGUGGAGAGAGAGGCCGAGCAGUUCAAUCUUUCGUGCCCUAACUUGAAUCAUUAUCGGCAUUGACUUCAGGCUGAGCAUUGUCUUCAGGUUGAUUUGGUGCAGAGAUGAUGAGUUCUUCUUCAGCCUGAGCCUCUGAAAGUAUGAUUUCUCUAGUACCCAUAAGCUUAAUGGAUUCACUUGGUGAGACUUCAUCUAGCACAUUUGGCAGGUGCUCUCUUUGCGAGCCGUUAGUUUCAUCGAACCGCACAUCCAUAGUUUCAACCACUUUAUAGUGAAAGAGGUUGAAGACUCUGUAGGAGUGUGAAUCAUUUCCAUAACCAAGCAUAAAACCUUCAUGUGCUUUCGGUGCGAAUUUGGAAGUGUGAUGUGGAUCCUUGAUCCAGCACCUAGCACCAAAUACUCUGAAGUAACUGACGUUUGGCUUCUUACCAGUUAGUAGCUCAUAUGAUGGCUUCUUUAGAAGCUUGUGAAGAUAAACACGGUUGAUUACGUGGCAUGCAGUAUCAAUGGCUUCAGGCCAGAAUUUUCUUGGAGUCUUGUAAUCAUCAAGCAUCGUCCAAGCCAUCUCAAUGAGGGUUCUGUUCUUGCGCUCCAUGAUGCCAUUCUGCUGAGGUGUGUAUGGAACUGAGAACUAAUGAGUGAUGCCCAAUGUAUCAAGAUAAGUGUCGAGGCUGGUGUUCUUCAACUCUGUGCCGUUGUCACUUCUGAUGUGCUUGAUCUUGAUGACAUAGUUCGUCAUGGCACGAUUGGCGAAUCGUCUGAAUACAUCCUCCACUUCAUUCUUGUAGAGGAUUAUAUGCACCCAUGUAUAUCUCGAGUAAUCAUCAACAAUGACAAAACCAUAGAGGCAAGCAGUGGUAGUAAGAGUAGACUAGUGAGUAGGGCCGAAUAAGUCCAUGUGAAGCAGCUCCAAGGGAUGUCAUGUAGUCAUGAUUGUCUUCGCGGGAUGCUUGGCCCUAGUCAUCUUUCCAGCUUCACAAGCACCACACAGAUGAUCUUUCUUGAACUUGAAGCCCUCGAUGCCUAUGACAUGCUUCUUCUUCACGAGAGUGUACAAGUUCCUCAUGCCAGCAUGCCCUAGCCUCCGAUGCCAGAGCCAGCACUCUGAAGCUUUUGCUAGAAGACAUACGGCCAACUGUGGUCCUGUUGAGAAAUCUACCAUGUAUAGAUCAUCUUUUCAGUACACUUCAAAGACUAGAGAUUUAUCAGAUUCCAUAAGCACAAGGCAACGAUAUUUCCCAAAUAUCAUUACCAUAUUCAGAUCACAAAGCAUUGAGACAGACAUUAAGUUGAAACCAAGGGAUUCAACAAGCAUCACUUUAUCCAUGUGCUGAUCCUUUGAGAUUGCAACUCUACCUAGACCCAAUACCUUGCUUUUACCAGUGUCAGCAAAUGUGAUGUGACUCUUGUCAGAUGGACGUAAGGUUGAGUCCAUGAGAAGACUUCGAUUGCCAGUCAUGUGGUUAGUGCAUCCACUAUCCAUAAUCCACUCAGAAGCCUUUGGUAUCGUACCCUACAGUGUAGUUAUGGGGAUAGGCUUCACCAAGGGAAAUGUGAAGCAUAAACAUUUGACAAACAAGCAUAUAUCAAAGUUCAGAUCCUGGUUGGGGCAGAUGGGAUGAUUGUCAAGGAAUCCAAGAAUAAAAUACAUAGUAAGACCAUUUGGGCAUUUUAUCUUGCGCCCCACAAGAUGUUUUAGGUCCCCAGCAUUAGCAUCAGAGGCCUUUGAUUUUUGGCUGGAGACAUUUCCCUGCAAAAGAGAGUUAAUUCUUCUUAACCACCCACAUCUUCAGGGGUGGCUUAGAAGUAAUGAGUCUAAGUGCAGCUUCUGAGAACUUUGGCUUUGUAGCCGUAGCAAAUAGCCUUGCAGGAGGAGAAUAAUACUCAUAAGAAUACGCAGAAUAGUUCUUGGUCUUAUGAACAUAGCGGUUUGACGAAACACGCUUAUAUUCAUAAGUCUGAGUAUGGUUUCCCUGCAAAACAUUGGCGUUAGGGUGACUCUGGUGAGUCCUCUGUCUGUAUGAAGCCUUUGGACCAUAUGAAGCCUUUGGUCUGGGGUUUGUCUUCUUCCUAGGUGGUGUCAUGAUGACAUUCACCUAAAGAUUUUCAAGACAACUCUUGGGCACCCAGAUCUUCUUCAAAGGGGGUCCAUUCCUGCAGUUAGUACCAAUAUACCUAGCAAACACUUCACCAUUCUGAUUCUUAAACAGUAUAUAGUUUGCAUCAAAGGAUUCAUCAAUGAUAAUAGGGUUAGCACAAGUGAAGCCAGAUAAGGUAGAUGGAUCCACUGAAGGUCCCUUUGCAGCAACUCAUGUGGUUUUGAGGUACUGCUCAGGCUUCUAGUAGGAACCAUCAACAUUCAUUUUCCUCUCGAACCCAGCACUCUCUUUCUUAGGGUUUCGGUUUAGAAUCUGUUUCUUGAGUACAUCGCAUAGUGUCUGAUGCCCUUUGAGGCUUUUGUACAUCCAUGUUUCAAGCAAUGUCUUCAAGCUGGCAUUCUCAUCAAAAAUAGUAGUGGUAUCCUCAGAAGAGGGGUUAGUCUCCACAUUAGCAGUUGAAGACAUAGCAAUAGUAGUAGCAGUAGAACAUGCAGCAACAGAAGCAGCAUUAUCACGCUCAAGACAUUUUUAACAUGGUGGCUCAAAGUCUUCCUGAGCGGAACUGAUCUAUUGAGCGCGGAGUGACUCGUUCUCCUUUUGAAGAUCUUCAUGAGACGAUCUCAAGUUCUCAAGCUCUUCCUCCCUUUGAAGAUAAUCAUAGGAGAGAUUUUCAUGAGUAGUUGAGAGCGUUUCAUGACGACUUUCAAGUUCCUCAUACUUAACAUGAAGAGUUUUAAUGUCUUUAAUUAAGGACUGAGUUCGAGUCAUUUCCGCGUCCAACAGGUCAUCGCUUUUGUCUAGCAACUUCUGAAUAUGUUCCAUAGCAUUUUGUUGUUCGGUUGCAAUUUUAGCAAGUGUUUUGUAGCUAGGUUUAGAUUCACAUUCAGAGUCAUCUUCACUUGAAGUUUGAAAGUAAGCAUCGCGUGAGUUUACCUUGGCACCAUGUGCCAUGAAGCAGUAGGUAGGAGCAGAGUCAUCCUCAUCAUUAGCAUCAGUGUUGGUGACGAAGCCAUUGUCUUCAGUGUCAAAGAUGGACUUGGCAACAUACGCUGAAGCUAGAGCCAGGCUUGCCACGCCUGAAUCAGAUUCCUCUUCAGACUCCACCUCUGCCUCCUCAGAUGCAGACUCCUCCUCUGAAUCCAUCUCCUUGCCGACAAAUGCACGAGCCUUGCUGGAUGAGCUCUUCCUGUGUGAUGAAGACCUCGACGAAGACUUUGAGGAUUUCUUCUUCUUCUUGUCAUCAGAAUCAUAUUCCUUGCUCUUCUUCUUCUUCUUGGCCUCAGUAUCCCACUGAGGACACUCAGAGAUGUAGUGACUAGGUUUCUUGCACUUGUGGCAUGUUCUCUUCUUGUAGUCACGUGAGGAAGCUUCAUCGUUUCUUGAGUUGUAUCUUGAUGACUUUCUGAAGUCUUUAUUCUUGGUGAACAUCUGGAACUUCUUCACAAGCAUAGCAAGCUCCUUACCAAUGUCUUCAGGGUCCUCAGAACUGCAGUCAGAUUCUUCUUCAGAUGAGGGAACAACUUUUGCCUUCAAAGCGCAAGUUCGGCCAUAGUUGGGAGCACAAAUGUCUCUUUUCUCAACUUGCUGGAACUCAUGUGUGUUGAGCAUCUCAAGUAUGUCAGAUGGAUCGAGAGUCUUGAAGUCAGGGCGUUCUUGAAUCAUCAGGGCCAAGGUGUCGAAUGACCUAUCAAGUGAUCUCAGUAGUGUCUUGACGAUUUUGUGCUUGGUGAUCUCAGUGGCGCCGAGUGCAUGAAGCUCAUUUAUGAUAUCAGUGAGGCGAUCAAAUGUGAGCUGGACAUUCUCAUUGUCAUUUCUCUUGAAGCGGUUGAAAAGGUUGUGAAGAACACUGAUCCUUGAGUCUCUUUGGGUUGAGACGCCUUCAUUGACUGUCGUGGAUUUGUCACGGCAGAUGUCCUUAGUGUCAGGACUUAGUCGCGAGGCCAACGCAUCUAUGUGGUAGCUUGAGAGGGGUUGAGUGGGACAAAAGACGCGAGGUUUUUACCCAGGUUCGGCCCCUCACGGUGGAGGUAAAAGCCUACAUCCUGCUUCAUUGAUAUUGAUGAUGAUGAACAUUACAAGGGUGCUCUAUCUCGAGAGCUGUUGACUUGUCUGUCUAAACCUAACUUGUGAAACUUAUCCCUCUUGGGGUGCCCUGCCCCUCCUUAUAUAAGUUAGAGGGGCGGGUUACAUGACUAGGCCUAGUAGGAUUAGGAUUACUCUAUUACAAGUGGAGUCCUAGUCAUGCUUCCUUUGUAGGAGAAUAUUCCUUUCAUCUUAAGCCGGCCCACCGUCACAUAAGUCGGCCUUCCCAUUGAGCUGCCUUAUGGGCCGUUCAGUCUUGUCAUCCAUCUAACUCGCCAGCCGGGUUACCAAUGAGUCGCCAGGAUCGGCCGGGUCAUCAGUGAGUGGAGAGAUCCGGGCGGGUCACUUAGUGAGUCGCCAAGUCAGGGCGGGUCACUAGUGAAUCGCCAAGCCCGGUCGGGUCAUACAUCCGGUUGGGUCAUACCGCGGGGUAUAUCCCUGACAUUGACCUCGGAGAGCCAGUCCCAGACUAGCUUCGCAGUUUCCAGAGCACUCACACCACCAUACUAUCCUUUGGUCAGAUGACCACAGAUGAUGUUCUUGGCAGUUGAGUCCAGUUGAAUGAACCUCUUGGCAUCGGCAGCAGUGACACCUUCACCGACCUUGGGAACGUCAUUCUUGACGACAUACCAGAGGUCGAUGUCAAUGGCUUCAAGAUGCAUGUGCAUCUUAUUCUUCCAGUAGGGGUAAUCAGUGUCAUCAAAGACAGAGCACGCAACGGAGACUUUGAUAAUCCCUGCAGUCGACAUAGCUAAAACUCCAAGUGGUUAAACCGAAUCACACAAAACAAGGGAGCACGUCGCUCUGAUACCAAUUGAAAGUGCUAGUUGUCGACUAGAGGGGGUGAAUAGGCGAUUUUUAUGAAAGUCUUCAAAACACGGGGGCUUUGAAGACAAAUGAUAGAAAUGAACCUAUUGAUAUGCAGUGGAAGAUAGACUACACUAGACAAGCCAUAGUCAAGUAAGCAAUGAAGUGAAAACAUGAAGACUAUCAGCAGCUAGGUAGUAUGGAUUAGGAUGGAAGAUAGUAUGAAACCAAACAGUAAAGAGUCAAUCAGAUCAUACAGGCAUGCAAUGACUUCAGGAAGACAAACUGUAAAGUAAAGGGAAGUGAAGGAUAGAACCAGUAGCUUGAUGAAGACAAGGAUUUGGUACACCAGAUCCAGUUGUUAUGACAACUGUACGUCUGGUUAGGGAGGCUAAGAUUCAACUCAGAGGACCACGUCUUCACCUUAUUCCCCUUGAGCUAAGGACACACAGUCCUCGCCCGAUCACUCUGGUAAGUCUUUAAGGUAGACUUCCAAACCUUCACAGACUUCGUUCACCAGCGGUCCACAAUGACUCUUGGACGCUCAGAACGCGACGCCUAACCGGCUGGAGGAUUCACAGUCCUCAGGUGUAACAAGUCUUCAGGUCACGCAGACAGAAAGACUUCAGUGAUGCCUAACACUCUUUGGCUCUGGGUGUUUUGGGCUUUGUCCUCGCAAGAAUCUCUCUCUUUCAAAAGAUUCGGAGGUGGGUUGCUCUCAAACGACAAAAGCCGUGCACUAACUCUGAGCAGCCACCAAUUUAUGGUGUAGGGGGUGUGUCUAUUUAUAGCCAGGAGGCAACCCGACCUGAUUUAUCCAAAAUGACCCUGGGUCAGUAAGGAACUGACACAUGUCCAACGGUCAGAUUUCAAACACACGCAGCAGCUUGACUUGGGCUACAAGUUAAGCUGACUUAUCCCAGCUUUGGAUAAGAUUUUCUCUCAUUGUCUUCGCUCGAAGACAUAGGAUUUUGUUGAGCAUCACAUCAGUCACUCUGACUUUGUUCACUUGAACCCCACUUAACAGUGCGGUGGUUCCUAUGACUCAACAAACAAGAAAAGGAAACUAUGAAACAACUAUGUCUUCACACUCCAUAGUCUUCAUGCAAUGUCUUCUCAUGUCAUAGUCUUCAAUGUGAAUAUCUUCACAGACCACCAUUAUCUUCAAUGUCUUCACACAUUCUUAGGGGUCAUCUCUAAUAGGUAAACCGAAUCAGUAUGGGACUACUACAUGUGUUAUCCCGCAAUUCUCACAAACACAUUAGUCCCUCAACCAAGUUUAUCGUCAAUACUCCAAAACUAAUUAGGGGUGGCACUAGAUGCACUUACAGUAAUAUAUUUUUAGUGCUAUAUAUAUAUAUAUAUAUAUACCAAAACUAGAUUGUUUUUCUACUUUGUAUCCGUUGCAAACGCACGGGCACAUUGCUAGUUUCCUUAAAAAAAGCCAGAACUCCUUCUACUACUCUCUUGUAGACUGCAGUAGAAGGAAGAUGCGUCCUCUUGCUAGGGUUUGGUUCCUCUUGCCGUCGUCGAUGGUGUUGAGAUUUCUUCCCUGCAAGUCACCGGCUGCCCUUGCUGGAAUUUCCUUGGGUCGAUUAAGGGGCAGACCAGUCCUGCUAAUAUCGUAAAAAGAGUGUUCUAGGUUUUGGGUGAGUCUCAAUGCAGAAGAUCGAAAGGAGAAGGGGUUUAUUUAUCACUUAACAAAAUAGAAAAAUCAAAUACCUAAAGUAAUUAUUUAAUUAAUACAAUAUGAUGAUGCAAUGUUUAUGAGAUGCACAUGAUGCACAAACAAUAUAAUAGGCUAAUAUAUCUAUCCUAUUACUCCUGACUUGUUACAAUCAUGGCCACUAGCGUGUCACUAUAGCAGAUUGCCAACCAGGCUAGAUAAUUCGUCGAUGCUGCACAUCCAAGUCCUAUGCCUCAAGUCGUCGUUUAUAGAUCUCACUCCGGAGUCCAGAGCAAUGCCACCGAGCACGAGAUCAGGCCCAAUCCAUGCAGCCGCAACGAAGGCGCAACAUCGCUAGAUUUGGGCCACAAGCUAUGCCAUCCCCGACACAGCCCGCCGUCGGCAGCUGUCGUCGCGUAACUGGCUGAGAUGGAGCAAAUCAAUCGGCUUAGCCCCUCUGGUGCAGCCUCCUGCCACCACGCCACUGCCCGCGCCACUCCUGUUUGGAGUUAGUCGAUUUUCUUAUUGGACUUGAAAUUCUCCUGUUUUUAGGCGGUUUCUCUUUUUGUUCUUUACGGGUAUUUUCUUGAUGUUGGGUGAGUGUAAAUGUAUACACGUAAGUACUACACAAUAUGUGUGCAAAUUAUACUAGAUUUUGAAAAUUGCACUAUUAUAUGUUUACUCCUUGCAUAUUACAAAAGGUGCAAUUUAAGUGCAAAGUUGUGUGCGAGUUUUUUAAAAAAAUCUUAAAGGUUAAUACCGGUGCCACUACUUCAUUCUUUCUGAGAAAACUUUUGACAUAAACGGGGGUAAACCAGCUUUUACCCACUGCAUCGCCAGCUAGGAAAAACUUGGAGAGCUAUACCGCAGUGAGGAGGGAGUUCAGGUUCUGAAAUCCGGCCCACUAUCCUUCCCGACUCUAAUGAUUUCCGAAGCAAUCUGCUUCGCGCUCUGGAGGAGACGGGUGACCAACAACAUUGGCGAAGAACUGGAUAGUCCGGUACCCAAGGAGCACAGUGAGCUGUUCAACCAGUGGGAUGUCAUUUCAGGUUCCGUGGCGCAAAACAAACCUUGGCACGGGAUUAAGGUAACUGAUCUGAUGAUGAAGCCCGCAGUUGUGAAGAGAACUGUCCAUAUCAAACCUGAAAAAGUGAAGUGGGCGUCUUCAGCAAGUUCUUCGAAAAGAAGAAGUGGUGCCGAGGUUAGCGUUGCCAGAUAUAUGACGGAAUGAAUCUUCACUCAUUAUGCUUAAUUAUACCUCUUUGCUAUAACUGAGUACAAUAUGACUUGAGACUUUUUAUUAGCCUCCUUAUAGUCAAGUAUAAUAAUACUAUGACUUGAGACUUUUGAUGGCCUCCCCUUUUUGUUACCUUUCAAUGAUCUUAGCAUAUGAAGCAAACAACAAAUUAGUAUGUGCAUCAAUUUACAGCAAAUAAAGGAAUUCUCCUCCAAGAAGAACGAUACUCAUGACUAUUAAAUAUACCUCCUGGUUCCAUUAUCACUAAUACCAAACAUCCAGCAAGCACAACUCUAAUACCAAACAUUCAGCAAGCACAACUCUUACAACUUGGUAAGAUGAGAGGAAGAGGCUGCUAGCUGGCAACUGGGCCAUGUCCUCCCACAUCACACACAGGGGCAACAAUCACCACUAUCAACCACUGUAAUUCAGCGAACCAUAACACUCGGUCCAUGAGAGGCCCCUCAUUGGGUGAUAUUUGGCACCGCUCGGUAUUGUGAGGAUGGCAGUCCAUGUAACCUUCACUUGUAGCUCAUAGGAACCGUGAGUGCAAACAUGCACUUCAUCAGGGUGUUGUAGAGUAACAUGAGUGCCUUCAUCCUCAUCAUUAUCAAAAAUACAAACAUGGACCAAAAACUUUUCAUCAUCGUCCCAUGUAGGUAUAGGGAUAACUACCAAAUUACGACUCAAGAGAAUAUGGAGCCAUCAUCUCCGACUAAUAUCCCGCUGCAAUUCAUUGCUCUACCAUUAUAUAGAAUAAUAUGGGUCUCGGCAUUUCUAGUCCCAGCUGAUACUUCGCCAACGAAAGGGGCAUAGGGCGGACCGUUCAGAAUGUUGAUUUGGAGGUUAGCCGCCACUGGAUGUUUAACAGGUGCAAAUACUAAUUCCACUGUACUGAGCCAACUAGGUAGCAUCAUAGUUAUGGGUCCAGUGUCAAAGGUGCGGGACUCGAUUACGCCUUUGCUAAAGUCUUCAUCGUCAGGAUCACCCUUCACCUUCAGGUUGAACUCAAAAUGUAUAUUAUCAAAUGCAACUAAUCCUCGACGUGGACCUGUCAAUGCUAACAUAUCCUCCUGCAAGUAAUUUAUAGAAAAGGUCACAACAGGCCUACGUAGUUGAACAAACUAUGUAGCUAGCUGGACAUGAAAAUCAAAGCACACUUGACAAGUCAGACAGAUUCAAACAGUUUGAAGAUAUGCUGUUUAAAUAGCUUGGCGAGCAUCGAUAACUUAUGUAAUUCUGUUGCCGCACUGCUUUAGUGCCUUUAAAUUGCUACCAGCAGCCAGAUAUUUGUGGCUUGCAUAUCUUAUAUUAUGGGACUGAGGGAGUAGUAUACAGAUGGACAAACUAUGUACUCCUACAUAGUUUCUUUUAUUUCCAGUAUAGAAGCCAUAUUUUACAGCAUGACGCCAUGACAAAAUUUAAACAAGCGUAGGUUUGGCAAUAACACCCAUUAUUACAGCACUUACAUCGACAGAUCAAUCCACAACUAUUUAUUUCUACAAGAAAUUGAAGUGUACCAAUGUGAAAUCAAUCAUGGUAUUUGCAACUAGAAACCAAAAGAACUACUAUGAAGCUUAAUUAGGCUUAAGUAAGCAGCUGUCAAUCUAAAUAGUUUGGCAGGAGAAAAAGGGGCGAACUACCUUGGAGCUGAUGAUCUGGGGAUCGUCUCGCUCGCGUCUGAACAAAUAGACGCAUCUGUAGUCGAUGCUAUCUCUCGCAACAACGGUACCGAACACACUGACCGGGUAACCCAGAUCGGAUUCGAUUAUCUUACGGAAACGACAUUGUACGACGUCUCCGCCCAGAACUCCCACAGCUGCGGCGUUACAUCCUCAAGCAGCGGCCCGAGGCCAACCUUGGCUGCAAGCAAAGCAAAAUCAGGGACAGGAGAUAUACACCCCAGAUCAGGAAAACCAUUUCAGGAGAAAUUUAAACUAAAAUGGUUGUAAAUUGGUAAGUAGUGGAGAUACUGACACUCUCUGUCGAGGUCGAAGCCGGCGAGGUUGACGCCGCUGAAGCGGGUGAGGACGCGGGCUCUCUUCUUGGGGUCGUACUCGGUGAUGCGGUCGCGGCACGCCGUGUGGAGGGCUACGAUCUCCGACGGCAACUUCAGAUCGAUCUCCUCGUCGUCGUCGCUGUAACAGAUUGUCAUGGGAACCUGGCAGCUUCGAUCUCAUCGGCGCGGGGAAUCCGGCGGUGGUGCCUGACGUCGCCGUCGCCAUCGCCGCGCCGCAUCGAUCGACCGAUCCAACCCUUUUUUUCUAGAAGAAGAAGAGGAUGGCCAGCCCUACAAGAGCCUGCACUGAGCCACUGACGCACCGCGAGUUAGUGGGCCUUAAAACCUACUCCCUCCAUACGAAAAUACUUGUCUGGAAAUUGAAUAAAAAUGAACGGAUACAUAUAAAUACAUCUAUUUCUUCGAUAAGUAUACCUAGACGAGAAAGUAUUUAUUCCAGUCAUGCCAGAAUGCCUUAUUUCCUUGAAAAAAAGCCAGAACGCCUUUACUACUCUCCUGUAUAGACUGUAGUAGAAGGAAGAUGCACUAGGGUUUGGUUCCUCUCGCCACCAUCGACGGCGGUGAGGUUCUUCCGUGCAAGUUCGACGGCGGUGAGGUUCUUCCGUGCAAGUCACCGGCUGCCAUCACUGGUCUUUUUCUUGGGAUGAUUAAGGGGCUGGACAGUCCUGCUAAUCUCUACUUACGUAAAAAGAACAUAAGAUAUCCAUUUCACCUUUCUUUCGUCCAACCUUAUAUAUACAAUUUUAUGUACUAAUAUGUACGUAUUUCACAAAUAUAACAAAAAUUAUGGACUCAUAUACAAUUUUUUCAUGUAACUUGUUUUGAAAUAUCAUAGAUAUAGUGUAUGAACAUAUUUAAAAUAAUAAAAUAGUAUAUAUAAUACCGCAUGGUAGUAUAUAUAUGUCUCAUUCUUUUUUUAUCCUCUUUGAUUUUUUCCUACCAAUAGUAAGCAUGCACGUGCAACGCAUGUCUCAAACGUAAAACAGGUGAAUUCACAUAAUAUAAAAAAAAUAAACGUUUUUAAAAAUAUAAAUCAAAUGGAUACACAAUGUUUGAUGUCGAUCAAAUUGUAUUUUCAAAAGCGAGACACAAUAGUGGUUACGUUGCUGCAUAGAGUAAUAGCAGGAAAAUAUUGUCAUUUAAAUAAAAUCAGCAAUUAUUUAUUAACGCGGUAAUAUAGGCAUGUAGUAUAGUCUUCUCUUCGAGUGUAGCCAGGAAAAAAAAGUAUAAACUGCCUUACGGUGCAAUUAUAUUGUCCAAGAUGCUUAAUUCUCGAAUCUUAUUUUAUUCUACUAAUCUGCAUAGCAAAAUAUAUAUUUGUACUAAUUUGGAUCAAAUUAUAUAUAUUUUUUGGUUGUGUGGACUGCCAAAAUUAUAUAGCUACCUACUAUGGAUAAUAGGAAAUAGAAGAUGAUAUGUGACUACAACGACUUUUAUAUCAAAUUAAGAUGAUUUACAAGAACUAAUUGAAAUGUAAAAGGGCUAAAAGAAAUCCAAUAAUUAUCAUGAUAAAAAAUAUUUAUCCGGUUUUGUAUGUGUUUAUGCGUUGGCAACCAUACUAACUUACAAUGAUGUAAGACGCUUAUAGAAACUGAAAUGAGUUAUGAAGAAAAAUAAAAAUGGAAGGAAAAGUAUUCUAGAGUACUCCCUCCGUUCAAAAUUACUUGUCUCGAAUAUGGAUGUAUCUAGAACUAAAAUAUGUCUAAAUACAUCCAUUUCCGCGACAAGUAAUUCCGAACGGAGGGAGUAUUUGUCAAGUUUAACCUUAUCAAGCUUUCAUGUCAGCUUCUAAAUUACAAAAAAAUGAUGAAUCCUCAAAUAAGAAAAAGCCAACAAUUUGGAACAUGCUACAAAACUGGUGAAGAUAGAAAGCAUUCAUCCUAUUUUCCAUGUCGUAAGGAGUAGCUUCAGCAUACAUUUGUAAUAGUGUAAUACCUGAUCCGGAAAAAGUUGUUCAUUAUUAUUAUUGGAGGAAAGAGGCACGUAGACAAAAAAGAGAAGCGGUGCAAAUAAGGCCUUAAACAGCAUGUCUUCAAGUUUGAUGACUGCAGAUAUGUUGGAUCAUUCGAAACUGCACAAGUAUAUAAGAAUAAAUAUAUGUGCCAAAAUAACGAAAGGUAUUUGGUUUCUCUGUCAUGAAAUAAAAUAAAUCCGACUGAGUACAGUUUAUAUGAUUUCUGUGUACCAAUGUACGGCAGUUGUAUUAGGACAGAUCCUUUGAAGGAUCUAUUUAUUAGAACUUAGCCGGAUUAGUUUCUUCAUUGGAUCCUUCUGUAUGGUAAAAUUCUCUUUACUGGAACGCAGUAGAGAUUGCAUACCUUUACAGAACAGCGAGAGAUAUUCUCUAACAACAGUUACGAAGUCAUGUGACCCGUUUUAGAUGUAUAGAGUCAUGUAACUGAAAUAGUAAUACAUCUUCAAUAUCUUGCCUCCUACUAAAUAUUACAUAAUUUACUGAAUUGCUGUGCAAUUAUGUUAAAGUGACGCGUGUAAAGUUUUCUCUAAGAAUGAAUCAUAUAUUCUGAUUUCCAACAUAUCCCUAGAGAUAGUGCCUAGGCAGGUGCAACCCACCUUAAUUCCAGGUAAAGCAACGUCAUACGUAAAAUACACACUAAUCAAAUAGCACAAAUAAGGCAAUUCUAAUCAAGGGGAUGGUGUUACCUCUUGAUACGGUCUAGUUUAAUGCAUAUGGUGGUACGAAGUAAAGCCCAAGGAAGCCGACAUGAACAUGAGAAGUAAUCAUGGUAAAUAGACUCUGCAUCUUGAGUUCUUCAGCAUCCCUCUAAAUCCUACUUUGUAAGACAAGAUUGUUGCAUUCUUAUGUACGUGCCAUAUAUAAGUACACAUUUUCAGUAUAGCAAUUGACAACCUUAGAUAAUCCCAAAUCUAUAAUUCUAGAUUGCUUGAAGCCCCAUGAUUCUUAUUUAAUAUGUAAUGCACGUGCACCCACUGAAUAGACACUUUGUCGGCGUGGAUGCUGUGAACGGAGCUGAAGUCAACGCGGAUGCCGAUGGUUGCCGGAGAGCAUGCCCUGGACGUGGAUGAAGUCGUCGCAGUAGCGGCAGAAGAGCGUCUGGCCUCCAGGCAGAAGACGAUGGCAGCGAUAGCACAUGUGUUCCCGGAGGAAGACGAAGCUCCUCGCGCUUCCCCCAUCGUGGCUAGCAUGCAUGAUGGCGGCAGGCGGCUCGCGAUUAGCUUCCUAAUAGGAUGGAUGCGUCCGAGAUAAGUUUUUUAAUAGGAUGGAUUUGUCUGAGAUUAGUUUCCUAAUAGGAUGGAUGCACUCUGAUUUAGUUUUUUAGAAUAGGAUGCAUCCGUGAUUAUUAGUUCCCUAAUUGCUCAGGCGUGGAGUUUCAUAUUUUCCUCCACGGUGGAGUACGGUCAGUCAAUGUAAAUUGCUAAGUGCACACAGAAAAUGGUUUAGGUUAAGGCUAACCGUUAGAUUGAUUUUAGUGGGCCUAAUCGUGCGGUGGUAUUGAAUCUGUGUAUGCUUUGUAGGGUGUGCUUAAAGAAGUUCUUGUUUGAUUGUUUAAUAGUAGUAUAGAUAUUUGAUUUUUCUCCCAUCCAUUCAAUUGUCCCAUGUUUAUUAACUUACCAAAAUAAACACAUAUUAUGUUGGCAAGUCAUUAAAUUCUUACCAAAUAAGUGCUUAACAAUAAAAUGGCAGAGAAAUCAUGGCGAUUGCAUACAAAGAUUUGGUAAGAUUUUAGUGUAUCAAUAUAAUAAUAUACGUGGAUUCUAAAGAAAAUACAAUAAUAGACGUGCAGUCAGGAAAGAAUGCUAUUAACACUCCUGAUCAUGUGAAGAAUGCUAUUAAGGCGACACUGAUUAUUCAAGUGGAGGCCUUCAGCGAGAAGUAUUUGGGCUUGCCCAUGGCUAUGGGGCGUAUCACAAGUGGGACUUUCGAUCAUAUGGGAGAAAGAGCUCGUGGGAAAAUCCAAGGGUUGUCGGAGAAGCUUUUAGCUUGUGCUGGACGGGACAGUCAUACAAGCUAUCCCUACUUACCCAAUGAGUACUUUUUUGUUGAACAAGAAGAUUUGCAAGAGUUUAACCUCUCCUAUGGCAAAAUAUUUUUGGACUAGUUCUCUUGACAAAAGGAGUAUGCAUUGGGUGUCUUGGAAAGAGUUAGCUACACCCAAGUGUAAUGGGGGUAUGGGCUUCAAAGAUCUGCAGCUAUUCAAUCUUGCAAUGUUGGGAAAACAUGGAUGGCAGUUCUUAACAAACCGAAAUUUCUUGUGUGCAAGAGUUCUCAACGGGCGAUACUUCCCACAUGCCGAUUUUAUGCAAUCAACGGCACCCAAGUCGGCCUCGACUACUUGGAAGGCCAUCAUUGUGGGAAGAGAUGCCCUUAAAGUUGGGUUGAUUUCACGCGUAGGAGAUGGCUCUACCAUCUCAGUGUGGACUGAUAAAUGGAUCCCAGCUACCAUCUCUAUGACUCUUACCUCCAGACCAUCAAACACAGGAGUCGAGAAGGUUUCGGAUUUGAUAAAUACAAUAACCUGGAGUUGGAGACAGGAUCUGGUCCAGGAUACUUUUGUUCCCUCCGAUGCGGCUGCCAUUUUGAAUAUACCUAUUCGACAAUGAGGGGGACAUGAUUUCCCUGCGUAGGCUUUUGAUAGAUCCGGCAACUACACUGUAAAAAGUGCAUACCGUGCUCUAGUGACUCAGAAAGAGCGAUUCGCUCUAGAAGAAGGGACGGCCACCGAGACCUCGGAGACUGGAAAACAGAUGUGGAAAGCCUUAUGAAAACUUAAUGUGAUUCCAAAAGUUAGAGUGUUCUGGUGGAGAGUUCUUAGGGGAAUUUUGCCUGAUGAAAGUACACUCAAAAAUCGUCAUAUUGCGGACAUCAAUAGCUACAGAGUGUGUUCGGCUGGUGAAGAAGACCUGCAUCAUGCUCUUAUCUCUUGCUUACAUGCUCGUCCAUUUUGGGAAGAGGCAUGUGCAUGGUUCAAUCUUCGACUACCAAACCUCUCUCAAGAUUCAUGGGCACGUGAUAUCACAUGUGACCCAAGCUUCUCUGCGGAUGACCGGGCAAAUAUCACAACUAUUAUGUGGUUGAUAUGGCAUUCCAGAAAUCAGAUUAACAUGGAGAGGUUGUUGGGGAACGUAGUAUUUCAAAAAAAACCUACGCAUGCGCAACAUCCAUCUAGGUGAUGCAUAGCAACAAGCGGGGAGAGUGUGCCCAAGUACCCUCGUAGACCGAAAGCGGAAGCGUUUAGUAACGCGGUUGAUGUAGUCAAACGUCUUCGUGAUCCAACCGAUCCAAGUACCGAAUGCAUGACACCUCCGCGAUCUGCACAUGUUCAGCUCGGUGACAUCCCUCGUACUCUUGAUCCACCUGAAGCCGAGGGAGAGUUUCGUCGGCACAACGGCGUGAUGAUGGUGAUGAUGUAGUUACCGAUGCAGGGCUUCACCUAAGCACUACAACGAUAUGACCGAGGUGAAAAUCUAUGGAGGGGGGCUGCUACCUCUUGAGCACUGCGUUUUUUGACAGUUUUCCCUUGAAGAGGAAAGGGUGAUGCAACAAAGUAGCAUAAGUAUUUCCCUCAGUUUUUGAGAACCAAGGUAUCAAUCCAGUAGGAGGCCACGCUCAAGUCCCACGCACCUACACAAACAAAUAAGAACCUUGCAACCAAUGCGAUAAAGGGGUUGUCAAUCCCUUCACAGUCACUUACGCGAGUGAGAUCUGAUAGAUAUGAUAAGAUAAUAUUUUUGGUAUUUUUAUAAUAAAGAUAAAAGUAAAGAUUGCAAAUAAACGGUAAUGGAAAUACGGUAGAUUAAUAUGAUAGAGAAUAGACCCGGGGGGCAUCGGUUUCACUAGUGGCUUCUCUCAAGAGCAUAAGUAUUACAGUUGGUGAACAAAUAACUGUCGAGCAAUUGAUAGAAAAGCGAAUAAUUAUGAGAAUAUCUAGGCAUGAUCAUGUAUAUAGGCAUCACGUCCGUGACAAGUAGACCGACUCCUGCCUGCAUCUACUACUAUUACUCCACACAUCGACCGCUAUCCAGCAUGCAUCUAGAGUAUUAAGUUCAUAAAAACAGAGUAACGCUUUAAGCAAGAUGACAUGAUGUAGAGGGAUAAACUCAUGCAAUAUGAUAUAAACCCCAUCUUUUUAUCCUCGAUGGAAACAAUACAAUAUGUGUCGUUUCCCUUUCUGUCACUGGGAUCGAGCACCGCAAGAUUGAACCCAAAGCCAAGCACUUCUCCCAUUGCAAGAAAGAUCAAUCUAGUAGGCCAAACCAAACUGAUAAUUCGAAGAGACUUGCAAAGAUAAUCAAUCAUACAUAAAAGAAUUCAGAGAAGAUUCAAAUAUUGUUCAUAGAUAAACUUGAUCAUAAACCCACAAUUCAUCGGAUCUCGACAAACACACCGCAAAAGAAGAUUACAUCGAAUAGAUCUCCAAGAGAAUCAAGGAGAACUUUGUAUUGAGAUCCAAAGAGAGAGAAGAAGCCAUCUACAUAAUAACUAUGGACCCGAAGGUCUGAAGUAACUACUCACACAUCACCGGAGAGGCCAUGGAGUUGAUGUAGAGGCCCUCCGUGAUCGAUGCCCCCUCCGGCGGAGCUCCGGAAAAGACCCCAAGAUGAGAUCUCUUGGGUACAGAAGGUUGCGGCGGUGGAAUUAGAUCGUGGUGCUCCUGGAUGGUUUCGGGGUACGCAGGUAUAUAUAGGAGGUAGAAGUAGGUCGGUGGAGCAACGAGGGGUCCACGAGGAUGGAGGGCGCACCCAGGGGGUAGGCGCGCCCCCUGCCUCAUUGCCUCCUCGUUGAUUGCUUGACGUCCAUUCCAAGUCCUCUGGAUCACGUUUGCUCAGAAAAUCACGUUCCCGAAGGUUUUAUUCCGUUUGGACUCCGUUUGAUAUUCCUUUUCUGCGAAACAUUGAAAUAGGCAAAAAAACAGCAAUUUGGGCUGGGCCUCCGGUUAAUAGGUUAGUCCCAAAAAUAAUAUAAAAGUGUAUAAAUAAGCCCAUUAAACAUCCAAAACAGAAUAUAUAAUAGCAUGGGACAAUCAAAAACUAUAGAUAUAUUGGAGACAUAUCAAGCAUCCCCAAGCUUAAUUCCUGCUCGUCCUCGAGUAGGUAAAUGAUAAAAACAGAAUUUUUGAUGUGGAAUGCUACCUAGCAUAUUCUUCAAUGUAAAUUUAUUUAUUGUGGCAUGAAUGUUCAGAUCCAAAAGAUUCAAGAUAAAAGUUUAAUAUUGACAUAAAAAUAGUAAUACUUCAAGCAUACUAACUAAGCAAUCAUGUCUUCUCAAAAUAACACGGCUAAAGGAAGUUAUCCCUACAAAAUCAUAUAGUCUGGCUAUGCUCUAUCUACACCACACAAAAUAUUUAAAUCAUGCACAACCCCGAUGACAAGCCAAGCAAUUGUUUCAUACUUUUGAUGUUCUCAAACUUUUCAAUCUUCACGCAAUAUAUGAGCGUGAGCCAUGGAUAUAGCACUAUAUGUGGAAUAGAAUGGUGGUUGUGGAGAAGACAAAAAAGGAGAAGAUAGUCUCACAUCAACUAGGCGUAUCAACGGGCUAUGGAGAUGCCCAUUAGUAGAUAUCGAUGUGAGUGAGUAGGGAUUGCCAUGCAACAGAUACACUAGAGCUAUAAGUGUAUGAAAUCUCAACAAAGGAAACUAAGUGGGUGUGCAUCCAACUUGCUUGCUCAUGAAUACCUAGGGCAUUUUGAGGAAGCCCAUCACUGGAAUAUACAAGUCAAGUUCUAUAAUGUAAAAUUCCCAUUGUAUAUGAAAGUGACAACAUAAGAGACUCUCUAUCAUGAAGAUCUUGGUGCUACUUCGAAGCACAAGUGUGGUAAAAGGAUAGUAACAUUGUCCCUUCUCUCUUUUUCUCUCUUUUUUUGUUGGCCCUUUUCUCUUUUUUUUUCUUUGGUCUCUUUUUUUUUAUUUAGUCCGGAAUCUCAUCCCGACUUGUGGGGGAAUCAUAAUCUCCAUCAUCCUUUCCUCACAUGGGACAAUGCUCUAAUAAUGAUGAUCAUCACACUUUUAUUUACUUACAACUCAAGAAUUACAACUCAAUACUUAGAACAAAAUAUGACUCUAUAUGAAUGCCUCCGGCGGUGUACCGGGAUGUGCAAUGAUUCAUGAGUGACAUGUAUGAAAGAAUUAUGAACGGUGGCUUUGCCACAAAUACGAUUUCAACUACAUGAUCAUGCAAAGCAAUAUGACAAUGAUGAAGCGUGUCAUAAUAACGGAACGGUGAAAAGUUGCAUGGCAAUAUAUCUCGGAAUGGCUAUGGAAAUGCCAUAAUAGGUAGGUAUGGUGGCUGUUUUGAGGAAGGUAUAUGGUGGUUUAUGAUACCGGGGAAAGUUGUGCGGUAUUAGAGAGGCUAGCAAUGGUGGAAGGGUGCGAGUGCUUAUAAUCCAUGGACUCAACAUUAGUCAUAAAGAACUCACAUACUUAUUGCAAAAAUCUAUUAGUUAUCGAAACAAAGUACUACGCGCAUGCUCCUAGGGGGAUAGAUUGGUAGGAAAAGACCAUCGCUCGUCCCCGACCGCCACUCAUAAGGAAGGCAAUCAAUAAAUAAAUCAUGGACCGACUUCAUCGCAUAACGGUUCACCAUACGUGCAUGCUACGGGAAUCACAAACUUUAACACAAGUAUUUCUCAAAUCCACAACUACUCAACUAGUAUUCAAUGCACUUUUUGUAUGAUAGUUUUUAUUAUACCGAUCUUGGAUGCCUAUUAUAUUAGGACUAAAUUUACAAUUAAAGCAAAUUGCCAUGCUGUUUAAGACUCUCAACAUAAUAUAAGUGAAGCAUGAGAGAUCAAUAAUUUCUACAAAAUAGAACCACCGCCAUGCUCUAAAAAGCUAUAAGUGAAGCAUUAGAGAAAAAACUAUAUAGCUCAAAAGAUAUAAGUGAAGCACACAGAGUAUUCUAACAAAUUCCGAAUAAUGUGUGUCUCUCUCAAAAGGUGUGUACAGAAAGUAUGAUUGUGGUAAACUAAGAAGCAAAGACUCAAAUCAUACAAGACGCUCCAAGCAAAACACAUAUCAUGUGGUGAAUAAAAAUACAGCUUCAAGUAAAGUUACCGGUAGACGAAGACGAAAUAGGGGAUGCCUUCCGGGGCAUCCCCGACCUUAGGCUUUUGGUUGUCCUUGGAUUUUACCUUGGGGUGCCCCAAGCUUAGGCUCUUGCCAAACCUUGUUCCAUAAUCCUUCAAAUCUUUACCCAAAACUUGAAAACUUCACAACACAAAACUCAAAUAGAAAAUCUCAUGAGCUCCGCUAGUAAAAUAAAACAAACUACCGCUUCAAGGUACUGUAAUGAACUCAUUCUUUAUUUAUAUUGGUGUUAAGGGCUUGUUUGGUAGUUGCCCAGCUUCGCAAAAUCUUCAGCUCCGGCUCCGCAUGCCAGCUUCCCACUUCUAUCGGCUGAAUCAUCGCUCAGAAAAUCGUUCGGUGCCCAUCGUCCAGCUUCUAUUUUCUUAUACGGGGCGCCAACCCAGGAAGGAGCGAAGUUGGCCCAUUAAUGAGGUAAGGUGGCCCGUUCAUGAGAGAUAACAUAUCGGGAGAGGGGAGAGAGCAUGUAGCGAACCGGUACGCGCCCCUGGAGUCACUUGGCAGUGGCAUUCGUUCAUAAAUAAGGCUAACUCCAGAUCUUGUUUUUCCUGGGAUCACCCAAUACGCCGCUCCAGUUUUUUACACGUAGAACCUUAUUAGAUCCAGGAAGCCAGCUUCCGGGAGCCGGACUGUUCGGCGCAGAUCCACUGCGGAUUUUUUGGAUCGAGAAGCUAGGUAGCUACCGAACAGGCCCUAAACCUACUGUAUUCCAACUUCUCUAUGGUUUAUAAACUCUUUUACUAGCCAUAGAUUCAUCAAAAUAAGCAAACAACACACGAAAAACAGAAUCUGUCAAAAACAGAAUAGUCUGUAGUAAUAUGUAGGUUUUGACUACUUCUGGAACCUCAAAAAUUAUAAAAUAAAUUGCUGUACGUAAGGAAUUUAUAUAUUAAUCAACUUUAAAAAGAAUUAACUAAAUAUCACUCUCCAAUAAAAAUGGUAGCAAUUCUCGUGAGCACUAAAGUUUCUGUUUUUACAGCAAGAUCGCAAAGACUUUCCCCAUGUCUUCCCAAAGGUUCUACUUGGCACAAACACUAAUUAAAAGAAUAAAACCACGUCUAAAUAGAGACUAGAUGAAUUAUAUAUUACUAAACAGAAUCAAAAAGCAAGAAACAAAAAUAAAAUUGGGUUGCCUCCCAACAAGCACUAUCGUUUAACGCCCCUAGCUAGGCAUAAAAGCAAGGAUAGAUCUAGGUAUUGCCAUGAUAAUGAUAAGAUAAAUCACAAAAACUCAUCUCAUACUCCCUACGUUCAGCAGCAAGUUUUAUUUGUGGCAAGCAAAAGUAAUCAAAAGGGCUAAAUUUAAUGGGACAAAAGUCCCCAAGAUCAAGCUCGGUAGGUAUUGGUUCCUCCUUUGGCCCCUCAUAUUGCACAACCAAUUCAUCAUUAUAAGCAUUCUUUUGGAAAAAAAAGUCAUGAGCUUAUGUUCAAGAGAAAAACCUAACCCAUUAUUCUGGAUAGCAAAAUUAUUAUUAAGUUCAGAAAUCCUAUCAAUUAGAACAUCGGUAGGAACCUUUUUUCUAAGGUUUUCAUAAAAAGCAACAUGAUCUAAAGAUCGCAAGCGCAUUAUGGCUUCAUGAUAAAAAAGGAUUGCUUCUAUGGGAGGACGGCCAGCGUCUACCCUAUAAUGCGCAAAAAUUUCAUUGGCUUCUCAUAUUAUAAAUCUGAACUCAUGAGCCAAAAAGAGAGUAGCUGCUCGCUUAACAGAAGAAUGCUCAAUAUUAGAAAAUUCUAGAAAAAUCCUUUGGAUGCAAGGGUGCAUAUGAAGAAAUUGUCUUUCAAGUUCGACUAUGAGCAAAGAUAUAGCAUCCGCAAAACUACUAGUUCUAUGAAGAAUAUGAAGGAAAUAUGCCCUAGAGGCAAUAAUAAAGUUAUUAUUUAUUUCCUUAUUUCAUGAUAAAUGUUUAUUAUUCAUGCUAGAAUUGUAUUAACCGGAAACAUAAUACAUGUGUGAAUAGAUAGACAAACAGAAUGUCACUAGUAUGCCUCUACUUGACUAGCUCAUUGAUCAAAGAUGGUUAAGUUUCCUAACCAUAGACAUGAGUUGUCAUUUGAUUAACGGGAUCACAUCAUUAGGAGAAUGAUGUGAUUGACUUGACCCAUUCCGUUAGCUUAGCACUUGAUCAUUUAGUUUGUUGCUAUUGCUUUCUUCAUGACUUAUACAUGUUCCUAUGACUAUGAGAUUAUGCAACUCCCGUUUACCGGAGGAACACUUUGUGUGCCACCAAACAUCACAACGUAACUGGGUGAUUAUAAAGGUGCUCUACAGGUGUCUCCAAAGGUACUUGUUGGGUUGGCGUAUUUCGAGAUUAGGAUUUGUCACUCCGAUUGUCGGAGAGGUAUCUCUGGGCCCACUCGGUAAUGCACAUCACUAUAAGCCUUGCAAGCAUUGAUUGCGGGAUAAUGUAUUACGGAACGAGUAAAGAGACUUGCCGGUAACGAGAUUGAACUACGUAUUGAGAUACCGAUGAUCGAAUCUCGGACAAGUAACAUACCAAUGACAAAGGGAACAACGUAUGUUGUUAUGCGGUCUGACCGAUAAAGAUCUUCGUAGAAUAUGUAGGAGCCAAUAUGGGCAUCCAGGUCUCACUAUUGGUUAUUGACCAGAGAGGUGUCUCGGUCAUGUCUACAUAGUUCUCGAACCCGUAGGGUCCGCACGCUUAACGUUCAUUGACGAUAUAGUACUAUAUGAGUUAUGUAUGUUGAUGACCGAAUGUUGUUCGGAGUCCGAGAUGAGAUCACGGACAUGAUGAGGAACUCCGGAAUGGUCCGGAGAUAAAGUUUGAUAUAUGGGAUAAUAGUUUUUGGUGACCGGAAGGGUUCCGGAAAUCAGCGGAAGGGGUUCUGGAUGUUCCCGAAAUGUUUGGGUAUGAGAACACUUUAUUUGGGCCAAAGGGGAAAGCCCACAAGGUUUUUGGAAAGCGCAAAAGGAAGUUUUGCGGAGUCCAGGGGCCAGACGCCAGGGUCCCUGGCGUCUGGGUCUAGACGCCGGGAACCCUGGCGUCUGGCCCCGGAGUCCGAGAAGGACUCUUGCCUUUCAGGUGAAACCGACUUUGUGGAGGCUUUUACUCCAAGUUUUGACCCCAAGGCUCAACAAAUAAAUAGAGGGGUAGGGCUAGCACCCAAGACACAUCAAGAAACACCAAGCCGUGUCCCGGCAACCCCGUCCCCUCUAGUUUAUCCCCCGUCCUAGUUUUCGUAGUGCUUAGGCGAAGCCCUGCGGAGAUUGUUCUUCACCAACACCGUCACCACGCCGUCAUGCUGCCGGAAUUCAUCUACUACUUCGGCCUUCUUGCUGGAUCGAGAAGGUGAGGACGUCGCCGAGCCGAACGUGUGCAGAACUCGGAGGUGCCGUGCUUUCGGUACUUGGAUCGGUCGGAUCGUGAAGACGUACGACUACAUCAACUGUGUUGAUAUAACGCUUCCGCGAACGGUCUAUGAGGGUACGUAGAUAACACUCUCCCCUCUCGUUGCUAUGCAUCACCAUGAUCUUGCGUGUGCGUAGGAAAAUUUUGAAAUUACUAUGUUCCCCAACAGUGAUAUCAGAGCCAGGUUUUAUGCGUAGAUGUCAUAUGCAUGAGUAGAACACAAGUGAGUUAUGUGCGAUAUAAGUCAUACUGCUUACCAGCAUGUCAUACUUUGGUUCGGCGGUGUUGUUGGAUGAAGCGGCCCGGACCGACAUUACACGUACGCUUAUGCGAGACUGGUUCUACCGACGUGCUUUGCACACAGGUGGCUGGCGGGUGUCAGUUUCUCCAACUUUAGUUGAACCGAGUGUGGCUACGCCCGGUCCUUGCGAAGGUUAAAACAACACCAACUUGACAAACUAUCGUUGUGGUUUUGAUGCGUAGGUAAGAUCGGUUCUUGCUAAGCCCGUAGCAGCCACGUAAAAUUUGCAACAACAAAGUAGAGGACGUCUAACUUUUUUUUGCAGGGCAUGUUGUGAUGUGAUAUGGUCAAGGCAUGAUGCCAAAUUUUAUUGUAUGAGAUGAUCAUGUUUUGUAACCAAGUUAUCGGCAACUGGAAGGAGCCAUAUGGUUGUCCCUUUAUUGUAUGCAAUGCAAUCGCCCUGUAAUGCUUUACUUUAUCACUAAGCGGUAGCGAUAGUCGUGGAAGCAUAAGAUUUGCGAGAUGACAACGAUGCUACGAUGGAGAUCAAGGUGUCGCGCCGGUGAUGAUGGUGAUCAAUGAUACGUCUCCAACGUAUGUAUAAUUUUUGAUUGCUCCAUGCUAUAUUAUCUACUGUUUUGAAUGUUUAUGGGCUUUAUUAUACACUUUUAUAUCAUUUUUGGGACUAACCUAUUAACCCAGAGCCCAGUGCCAGUUUCAGUCGAAGAAAAGGAAAAUCAAACGGAGUCCAAUUGACCUGAAACUUCACGGAACUCAUUUUUGGAAGGAAAGAAGCCCAAAAGACUUGGAGUGCAUGUCGGGGGAUCUGCGAGGAGGUCACGAGGCAGGGGGGCGCGCCCACCCCCCUGGGCGCGCCCUCCACCCUCGUGAGCCCCUUGUGGCCCCCCUGACGUACUUCUUCCACCUAUAUAUCUCUAUAUACCCUAAAAACAUCGGAGGGCACAAUAGAUCGGGAGUUCCGCCGCCAGAAGCCUCUGUAGCCACCAAAAACCAAUCUAGACCCGUUCGGGCACCCUGCCGGAGGGGGCAAUCCCUCUUCGGUGGCCAUCUUCAUCAUCUCGGUGCUCUCCAUGACAAGGAGGGAGUAGGUCUCCCUCGGGGCUGAGGGUAUGUACCAAUAGCUAUGUGUUUGAUAUCUCUCUCUCGUGUUCUUGAGGUGAUACAAUCUUGAUGUAUCGCGAGCUUUGCUAUUAUAGUUGGAUCUUAUGUUUCUCCUCCCCCUCUACUCUCUUGUAAUGAAUUGAGUUUCCCCUUUGGAGUUAUCUUAUCGGAUUGAGUCUUUAAAGAUUUUAGAACACUUGAUGUAUGUCUUGCCGUGGAUAUCUGUGGUGACAAUGGGAUAUCACGUGAUUCACUUGAUGUAUGUUUUGGUGAUCAACUUGCGGGUUCCGCCCAUGAACCUAUGCAUAGGGGUUGGCACAUUUUUUCGUCGUGAUUCUCGGGUAGGAACUUUGGGGCACUCUUUGAGGUUCUAUGUGUUGGUUGAAUAGAUGAAUCUAAGAUUGUGUGACGCAUAUCGUAUAAUCAUACCCACGGAUACUUGAGGUGACAUUGGAGUAUCUAGGUGACAUUAGGGUUUUGGUUGAUUUGUGUCUUAAGGUGUUAUUCUAGUACGAACUCUAGGGUUGUUUGUGACACUUAUAGGAAUAGCCCAACGGAUUGAUUGGAAAGAAUAACUUUGAGGUGGUUUCAUACCCUACCAUAAUCUCUUCGUUCGUUCUCCGCUAUUAGUGACUUUGGAGUGACUCUUUGUUGCAUGUUGAGGGAUAGUUAUGUGAUCCAAUUAUGUUAUUAUUGUUGAGAGGACUUGCACUAGUGAAAGUAUGAACCCUAGGCCUUGUUUCAACACAUUGCAAUGCCGUUUACGCUUACUUUUACCAUUAGUUACCUUGCUGUUUUUAUAUUUUUAGAUUACAAAAACUAUUAUCUACCAUCCAUAUACCACUUGUAUCACCAUCUCUUCGCCGAACUAGUGCACCUAUACAAUUUACCAUUGUAUUGGGUGUGUUGGGGACACAAGAGACUCUUUGUUAUUUGGUUGCAGGGUUGCUUGAGAGAGACCAUCUUCAUCCUAAGCCUCCCACGGAUUGAUAAACCUUAGGUCAUCCACUUGAGGGAAAUUUGCUACUGUCCUACAAACCUCUACACUUGGGGGCCCAACAACGUCUACAAGAAGAAGGUUGUGUAGUAGACAUCAAGCUCUUUUCUGGUGCCGUUGCCAGGGAGGUGAGUGCUUGAAGGUAUAUCUUUAGAUCUUGCAAUCGAGUCUUUUAGUUUCUUGUUUUAUCACUAGUUUAGUUUAUAAAAGAAAAUUAUAAAAAAUGGAAUUAAGUUUGUCUCAUACGCUUCAUCUUUUUAAUAUCUUUUGUGAGUAUGAUGGAAAGGAUAAUUGUGCUCAAGAGCUAGAAGAAGAAAUCUAUAAAAUGUUUGGCACUAAAUUUUUGAAUGAUGAGCAUGAUUGCAAUGUUGUUAGUACGAAUUCUUUGAAUAUCCAUAAUACUAAUGAUGAUUGCACUAGUUAUGAUGAAAAUGUCUCCUAUAAACAUGUCAAUUUUUGUGGAGUGCAUUGGGUUUGUAAGUACACACCAAAUAGGGAAGAUAGAUAUUGCAAGAGGCAUAAGUACUUAGAAACUAAAUUGUUGCAAGAAAGUCUUGAUGAUUGUGCUGAAAAAUUCAAUAUUUUUCGCGCCCCUUGUGAACUUUGCAAUGAACAUGGUCAUUUAAAUCUCCAAUGCAAAUUAUGUCAUGACCGAAUCAUAUCCAAAAAUUGUGAUAAUUUGAUUACCCUUGAGCAUCAUAAAGAGCUUAGUCUUCUUUUAGGGUAUGAGGAAAUGAAACGUAUAACUGAGGGUAUUCCAAAGUUUAAUCUUGUUAAACAUCUUGGAUUUGAUCUAGAGGAAAUUUAUAUGUAUUUUGCGGUGAAUUGUAUUGAAAAUCCUUAUAUUGCCAACUACAUAAAGAAAAGAAAACAAAUAGAAGAUGAAGAGAAUACUAAUGAAAGGGAAGAAACUUCCCAAUAUCCUCCUAUUAUUUCUUAUGAUGAAUCAGGUAACGAGGAGGAGCCUCCUAUUCAACCAAUCUCAUUAAUAAGGAUCUCCAAAAAGAGGAUUGAACCCACACAUGAUGUGGUGAAGAAGAAGAAAAGAAAAAGGAAGAGAGGUAAAAAGGUACCCCUCCCAAAUAAUGGUGCUCCCAUUACUAUUGUGCCUCAUGAAAAUAUAAUUGUGGAAGAUAAUGAUACUUCUUAUGAUCUUGAAAAUCUUUUUGGCACUUGCUUGGAAGAAUAUGAUAAUUGCUAUACUAUUGGUGCUAUCCAUACUAUUGAUGAUGAAAGUGAUUAUGCUUAUGAUAUAAAAAGGCCCAAGAUUGGGGAUGCUAUGUUUGAUGAAGAUGAUGUUUUUGAGAAUAUAUUUGCUGCAAUUAAUGUUUUCCCAAGCUUGGGGAAGCUAUGAUUAAUGAAGAUAAUAUUUUUAGUCUCCCAAGUUUUGAUAUGCAACUUUAUAAUGAUAAUAACAUGCCUCCUACUUAUGAUAAUUAUUGUGAUGAUACAUAUGCUAUAAAAAGUAGUGAGGAUUAUAUUUAUAAAACUUUUCAUGAUUAUGGUCACCCCUUUUCUGAACAUUACUCCUUUAAUAUGGAAAAAAUAUAUAAUAUUCAAGUCUCUUAUGAUACUCCCACUAUCCCUAAUGAGAAGAAUUUUGCUUAUGUGGAGAGUAGUAAAUUUUCUAUGCUUGUAGAUCAUGAAAAUAAUGCUUUAGGUGCUGGUUAUAUUGUUGAAUUCAUUCAUGAUGCUACUGAAAAUUAUUAUGAGGGAGGAAUAUAUGCUUGUAGGAAUUGCAAUAAUAUCAAGUUUCCUCUCUAUGUACUUAAAGUUUUGAAGUUAUGCUUGUUUUUCCUUCCUAUACUAGUUGAUUAUUGUUCCCAUAAGUUGUUUGAUCACAAAAUCCCUAUGCAUAGGAAGUGGGUUAGACUUAAAUGUGCUAGUCAUAUUGAUGCUCUCUUUAUGUUUCAAUUCUUAUCCUUUAUGUGAGCAUCAUUGAAAUCAUCGUGCCUAGCUAGCGGCGUUAAACAAUAGCGCUUGUUGGGAGGCAACCCAAUUUUAUUUUAGCUCCUUGCUUUUUGUUCCUGUUUAAUAAUAAAUAAUACAUCUAGCCUCUGUUUAUAUGUGGUUUUAUGUGUUUAAUUAGUGUUUGUGCCAAGUAGAACCGUUGGGAAGACUUGGGGAAAGUCUUUGCGAUCAUGCUGUAAAAAACAGAAACUCUAGCGCUCAUGAGAAUUGCUGCCAUUUUUAUUUGGAGAGUGAUAUUUAGUUAAUUAUUUUUGCAUAUGAUUAAUAGAUAAAUUACUCAGGUACAGCAAUUUAUUUUAUAAUUUUAUGAGUUCCAGAAGUAUACGUUUGAUUCAGAUUACUACAGACUGUUCUGUUUUUGACAGAUUCUGUUUUUCAUGUGUUGUUUACUUAUUUUGAUGAAUCUAUGGCUAGUAAAAUAGUUUAUAAACCAUAGAGAAGUUGGAAUACAGUAGGUUUAACAUCAAUAUAAAUGAAUAAUGAGUUCAUUACAGUACCUUGAAGUGGUGAUUUAUUUUCUUAUACUAACGGAGCUUACGAGUUUUCUGUUAAGUUUUGUGUUGUGAAGUUUUCAAGUUUUGGGUAAGGAUUCGAUGGACUAUGGAAUAAGGAGUGGCAAGAGCCUAAGCUUGGGGAUGCCCCGGAAGGCAUUCCCUCUUUCGUCCACUUCCAUCGGUAACUUUACUUGGAGCUAUAUUUUUAUUCACCACAUGAUAUGUGUUUUGCUUGGAGCGUCAAUUUAUUUUGUUUGCAUUUGCUUUAUGUUAUUUAUAACAAUGUUUUGCAUCUUUUAUUUCAAUAAAAGUGGCAUUGAUAGCCUUUACUAUGCCUAUGUUACAAGUAUACAUGUUGCUGUUUGAAAACAGAAAGUUUACCGCUGUUGCAAUAAUUCCCUAGAAAAGUAAGAAUGUGAUAAAAUGUUGAAACCUUUUGCAUAUUAAGCUCUUAUAAAUUUACUACAGUGGGAAUUUUCUUUCAUAAUUUUUGGAUCUAGGGAAGUAUGGAUGUUGCAGCAUUCUUUACAGACUAUCCUGUUUAGGCAGAUUGCUGUUAUGUUUGCAUUGUUUGCAUAUGUUUGCUUCUUUAAUGAUUCUAUUUAAGCAUAGGACUAUUAAAUAUGCAGAGGAAUUUAGUAUGCAAUGUUGAAUAAUAACUUUAGUGAUUUGCUAUAGUAGAGUAUGAUAAGGUUUUUGCAGUGGUUUAUACUAACUUAUCUCACGAGUCCUUGUUGAGUUUUGUGUGGAUGAAGCUUUUGAGAUUUAGGGAGACCAUGAUAUGAGAGGAAUUAAGGAGACACAAAAUCUCAAGCUUUGGUAUGCCCAAGGCACCCCAAGAUAAUAUUUCAAGAAGUCUCAAGCGUCUAAGCUUGGGGAUACCCCGGUUGGCAUCCCACCUUUCUUCUUCAACAAACUAUCGGUUAGUAUCAGUUGAUCCUAAGUUUUUGCUUCUUCACAUGAUGUUUGCCAUUCUUAGAAUGUCAUUUUAUUUUGCUUUGUUUGAUGUUUGAAUAAAAUACGAAGAUCUGAAAUUAUUAGAUGUUAGAGAGUCUUCACAUAGUUGCAUAAUUAUUCAACUACUCAUUGAUCUUCACUUAUAUCCUUCGGAGUAGUUUGUCAUUUGCUCUAGUGCUUCACUUAUAUCUUUAAGAGCAUGGUGGUAGUUUUAUUUUGAAUAAAUAGAUGAACUCUCAUGCUUCACUUAGAUUAUUUUGAGAGUCUUAAUAGCAUGGUAAUUUGCUUAAAAUCCUAAUAUGCUAGGUAUUCAAGAAUAAUAAAAUUCUCUUCUGAGUGUGUUGAAUACUAAGAGAAGUUUGAUACUUGAUGAUUGUUUUGAGAUAUGACGAUGGUAAUACUAGAGUCAUGCUAGUUGAGUAGUUGUGAAUUUGAGAAAUACUUGUGUUGAAGUUUGUGAUUCCCGUAGCAUGCACGUAUGGUGAACCGUUAUGUGAUGAAGUCGGAGCAUGAUUUAUUUAUUGAUUGCCUUCCUUAUGAGUGGCGGUCGGGGACGAGCGAUGGUCUUUUCCUACCAAUCUAUCCCCCUAGGAGCAUGCGCGUAGUACUUUGUUUCGAUAACUAAUAGAUUUUUGCAAUAAGUAUGCGAGUUCUUUAUGACUAAUGUUGAGUCCAUGGAUUAUACGCACUCUCACCCUUCCACCAUUGCUAGCCUCUCUAGUACCGCGCAACUUUCGCCGGUACCAUAAACCCACCAUACACCUUCCUCAAAACAGCCACCAUACCUACCUAUUAUAGCAUUUCCAUAGCCAUUCCGAGAUAUAUUGCCAUGCAACUUUCCACCAUUCCAUUAUUAUGACACGCUUCAUCAUUGUCAUAUUGCUUUGCAUGAUCAUGUAGUUGACAUCGUAUUUGUGGCAAGGCCACCGUUCAUAAUUCUUUCAUACAUGUCACUCAUGCAUCAUUGCACAUCCCGGUACACCACCGGAGGCAUUCAUCUAGAGUCAUAUCUUGUUCUAAGUAUCGAUUUGUAAUUCUUGAGUUGUAAGAAAAAUAAAAGUGUGAUGAUCAUCAUUAUUAGAGCAUUGUCCCAGUGAGGAAAGGAUGAUGGAGACUAUGAUUCCCCCACAAGUCGGGAUGAGACUCUGGACGAAAAUAAAUAAAUAAAAGAGGCCAAAGAAGCCCAAAUAAAAAAGAGAGAAAAGAGGCCAUAAAAAAGAGAAGGCCCAAAUAAAAAAUAAAAAAUGAGAGAAAAAGAGAGAAGGGGCAAUGCUACUAUCCUUUUACCACACUUGUGCUUCAAAGUAGCACCAUGAUCUUCAUGAUAGAGAGUCUCCUAUGUUGUCACUUUUAUAUACUAGUGGGAAUCUUUCAUUAUAGAACUCGGCUUGUAUAUUCCAAUGAUGGGCUUCCUCAAAAUGCCCUAGGUCUUCGUGAGCAAGCGAGUUGGAUGCACACCCACUUAGUUUCUUUUUGAGCUUUCAUAUACUUAUAGCUCUAGUGCAUCCGUUGCAUGGCAAUCCCUACUCACUCACAUUGAUAUCUAUUGAUGGGCAUCUCCAUAGCCCGUUGAUACGCCUAGUUGAUGUGAGACUAUCUUCUCCCUUUUUGUCUUCUCCACAACCACCAUUCUAUUCCACCAUAGUGCUAUGUCCAUGGCUCACGCUCAUGUAUUUGCGUGAAGAUUGAAAAAGUUUGAGAACAUUAAAAGUAUGAAACAAUUGCUUGGCUUGUCAUCGGGGUUGUGCAUGAUUUAAAUAUUUUGUGUGGUGAAGAUAGAGCAUAGUCGGACUAUAUGAUUUUGUAGGGAUAACUUUCUUUGGCCAUGUUAUUUUGAGAAGACAUGAUUCCUUAGUUAGUAUGCUUGAAGUAUUAUUAUUUUUAUGUCAAUAUGAACUUUUGUCUUGAAUCUUUCAGAUCUGAAUAUUCAUACCACAAUUAAGAAGAAUUACAUUUAAAUUAUGCCAAGUAGCACUCCACAUCAAAAAUUCUGUUUUUAUCAUUUACCUACUCGAGGACGAGCAGGAAUUAAGCUUGGGGAUGCUUGAUACGUCUCCAACGUAUCUAUAAUUUUUGAUUGAUCCAUGCUAUAUUAUCUAUUGUUUUGAAUGUUUAUGGGCUUAUUAUACACUUUUAUAUCAUUUUUGGUACUAACCUAUUAACCCAGAGCCCAGUGCCAGUUUCUGUUUUUACCCUGUUUUAGGGUUUCAAAGAAAAGGAAAAUCAAACAGAGUCCAAUUGACCUGAAACUUCACAGAACUCAUUUUUGGAAGGAAAGAAGCCCAGAAGACUUGGAGUGCAUGUCGGGGGAUCUGCGAGGAGGUCACGAGGCAGGGGGGCGCGCCCACCCCCCUGGGCACGCCCUCCACCCUCGUCAGCCCCUUGUGGCCCCCUGACGUACUUCUUCCACCUAUAUAUCUCUAUAUACCCUAAAAACAUCGGAGGGCACAAUAGAUCGGGAGUUCCGCCGCCAGAAGCCUCUGUAGCCACCAAAAACCAAUCUAGACCCGUUCUGGCACCCUGCCGGAGGGGGCAAUCCCUCUCCGGUGGCCAUCUUCAUCAUCCCGGUGCUCUCCAUGACAAGGAGGGAGUAGUUCUCCCUCGGGGCUGAGGGUAUGUACCAGUAGCUAUGUGUUUGAUAUCUCUCUCUCGUGUUCUUGAGAUGAUACAAUCUUGAUGUAUCGCGAGCUUUGCUAUUAUAGUUGGAUCUUAUGUUUCUCCUCCCCCUCUACUCUCUUGUAAUGAAUUGAGUUUCCCCUUUGGAGUUAUCUUAUCAGAUUGAGUCUUUAAAGAUUUGAGAACACUUGAUGUAUGUCUAGCCGUGGAUAUCUGUGGUGACAAUGGGAUAUCACGUGAUUCACUUGAUGUAUGUUUUGGUGAUCAACUUGCGGGUUCCUCCCAUGAACCUAUGCAUAGAGGUUGGCACAUGUUUUCGUCGUGAUUCUCCGGUAGGAACUUUUGGGCACUCUUUGAGGUUCUAUGUGUUGGUUGAAUAGAUGAAUAUGAGAUUGUGUGACGCAUAUCGUAUAAUCAUACCCACGGAUACUUGAGGUGACAUUGGAGUAUCUAGGUGACAUUAAGUUUUUGGUUGAUUUGUGUCUUAAGGUGUUAUUCUAGUACGAACUCUAGGGCUGUUUGUGACACUUAUAGGAAUAGCCCAACAGAUUGAUUGGAAAGAAUAACUUUGAGGUGGUUUCAUACCCUACCAUAAUCUCUUCAUUCGUUCUCCGCUAUUAGUAACUUUGGAGUGACUCUUUGUUGCAUGUUGAGGGAUAGUUAUGUGAUCCAAUUAUGUUAUUAUUGUUGAGAGGACUUGCACUAGUGAAAGUAUGAACCCUAGGCCUUGUUUCAACACAUUUCAAUACCGUUUACGCUUACUUUUAUUAUUAGUUACCUUGCCGUUUUUAUAUUUUCAGAUUACAAAAACUAUUAUCUACCAUCUGUAUACCACUUGUAUCACCAUCUCUUCGCCGAACUAGUGCACCUAUACAAUUUACCAUUGUAUUGGGUGUGUUGGGGACACAAGAGACUCUUUGUUAUUUGGUUGCAGGGUUGCUUGAGAGAGACCAUCUUCAUCCUACGCCUCCCACGGAUUGAUAAACCUUAGGCCAUCCACUUGAGGGAAAUUUGCUACUGUCCUACAAACCUCUGCACUUGGAGGCCCAACAACGUCUGCAAGAAGAAGGUUGUGUACUAGACAUCAAUCAUGAAGGUGCUUCGGAGAUGGAGAUCACAAGCACAAGAUGAUGACGACCAUAUCAAAUCACUUAUGUUGAUUGCAUGUGAUGUUUAUCUUUUAUGCAUCUUAUCUUGCUUUGAUUGAUGGUAGCAUUAUAAGAUGAUCUCUCACUAAAUUAUCAAAGUAUAAGUGUUCUCCCUGAGUAUGCACCGUUGCGAAAGUUCUUCGUGCUGAGACACCACGUGAUGAUCGGGUGUGAUAGGCUCUACGUUCAAAUACAACAGGUGCAAAACAGUUGCACACGCGGAAUACUCAGGUUAAACUUGACGAGCCUAGCAUAUACUCCCUCCAUUCUGAAUUACUUGUAUUAGAUUUGUCUAGAUACGAAGGUAUCUAGCACUAAAAUGAGUCUAGAUACAUCCGUAUCUAGAAAAAUUCAAGACAAGUAAUUUGGAACGGAGGGAGUAACAGAUAUGGCCUCGGAACACGGAGACCGAAAGGUCGAGCGUGAAUCAUAUAGUAGAUAUGGUGAACAUAAGUGAUGUUCACUGUUGAUACUACUCCAUCUCACGUGAUGAUCGGACAUGGUUUAGUUGAUAUGGAUCACGUGAUCAUGUGAUCACUUAGGGUAUUAGAGGGAUGUCUAUCUAAGUGGGAGUUCUUAAAUAAUAUGAUUAAAUUGAACUUAAAUUUAUCAUGAACUUAGUACCUGAUAGUAUCUUGCUUGUCUAUGUUGGUUGUAGAUAGAUGGCCCAUGUUGUUGUUCCGUUGAAUUUUAAUGUGUUCCUUGAGAAAGCAAAGUUGAAAGAUGAUGGUAGCAAUUACACGGACUGGGUCCGUAACUUGAGGAUUAUCCUCAUUGCUGCACAGAAGAAUUACGUCAUGGAAGCACCGCUAAGUGCCAAGCCUGCUGCAGGAGCAACACCAGAUGUUAUGAACGUCUGGCAGAGCAAAGCUGAUGACUACUCGAUAGUUCAGUGUCCCAUGCUUUACGGCUUAGAACCGGGUCUUCAACGACGUUUUGAACGCCAUGGAGCAUAUGAGAUGUUCCAGGAGUUGAAGUUAAUAUUUCAAGCAAAUGCUCGGAUUAAGAGAUAUGAAGUCUCCAAUAAGUUCUAUAGCUGCAAGAUGGAGGAGAAUAGUUCUGUCAGUGACCAUAUACUCAAAAUGUCUGGGUAUCAUAAUCACUUGACUCAACUGGGAGUUAAUCUUCCUGUUGAUAGUGUCAUUGACAGAGUUCUUCAAUCACUGCCACCAAGCUACAAAAGCUUCAUGAUGAACUAUAAUAUGCAAGGGAUGAAUAAGACUAUUCCCGAGCUCUUCGCAAUGCUAAAAGCCGCGGAGGUAGAAAUCAAGACGGAGCAUCAAGUGUUGAUGGUCAAUAAGACCACCACUUUCAAGAAAAAGGGCAAAGGGAAGAAGAAGGGGAACUUCAAGAAGAACAACAAACAAGUUGCUGCUCAGGAGAAGAAACCCAAGUCUGGACCUAAGCCGGAGACUGAGUGCUUCUACUGCAAGCAGACUGGUCACUGGAAGUGGAACUGCCCCAAGUAUUUGGCGGAUAAGAAGGAUGUCAAAGUGAACAAAGGUAUAUGUGAUAUACAUGUUAUUGAUGUGUACCUUACUAAUGCUCGCAGUAGCACCUGGGUAUUUGAUACUGGUUCUGUUGCUAACAUUUGCAACUCGAAACAGGGGCUACGGAUUAAGCGAAGAUUGGCUAAGGACGAGGUGACGAUGCGCGUGGGAAAUGGUUCCAAAGUCGAUGUGAUCGCGGUCGGCAUGCUACCUCUACAUCUACCUUCGGGAUUAGUAUUAGACCUAAAUAAUUGUUAUUUGGUGCCAGCAUUGAGCAUGAACAUUAUAUCUGGAUCUUGUUUGAUGCGAGAUGGUUAUUCAUUUAAAUCAGAGAAUAAUUGUUGUUCUAUUUAUAUGAGUAAUAUCUUUUAUGGUCAUGCACCCUUGAAGAGUGGUCUAUUUUUGCUAAAUCACGAUAGUGGUGAUACACAUAUUCAUAAUAUUGAAGCCAAAAGAUGCAGAGUUGAUAAUGAUAGUGCAACUUAUUUGUGGCACUGCCGUUUAGGUCAUAUCGGAGUAAAGCGCAUGAAGAAACUCCAUACUGAUGGACUUUUGGAACCACUUGAUUAUGAAUCACUUGGUACUUGCGAACCGUGCCUCAUGGGCAAGAUGACUAAAACGCCGUUCUCCGGAACUAUGGAGAGAGCAACAGAUUUGUUGGAGAUCAUACAUAUAGAUGUAUGUGGUCCAAUGAAUGUUGAGGCUCGUGGCGGAUAUCGUUAUUUUCUCACCUUCACAGAUGAUUUAAGUAGAUAUGGGUAUAUCUACUUAAUGAAACAUAAGUCUGAAACAUUUGAAAAGUUCGAAGAAUUUCAGAGUGAAGUUGAAAAUCAUCGUAAUAAGAAAAUAAAGUAUCUACGAUCUGAUCAUGGAGGAGAAUAUUUGAGUUAUGAGUUUGGUCUUCAUUUGAAACAAUGCGGAAUAGUUUCGCUACUCAUGCCACCCGGAACACGACAGCGUAAUGGUGUGUCUGAACGUCGUAAUCGUACUUUACUAGAUAUGGUGCGAUCUAUGAUGUCUCUUGCUGAUUUACCGCUAUCGUUUUGGGGAUAUGCUUUAGAGACGGCCACAUUCACCUUAAAUAGGGCACCAUCGAAAUCCGUUGAGACGAUGCCUUAUGAACUAUGGUUUGGUAAGAAACUAGAGUUGUCGUUUCUGAAAGUUUGGGGCUGUGAUGCUUAUGUGAAAAAGCUUCAACCUGAUAAGCUCGAACCCAAAUCUGAGAAAUGUGUCUUCAUAGGAUACCCAAAGGAAACUGUUGGGUACACCUUCUAUCAUAGAUCCGAAGGCAAGCUUUUUUGGCUAAAUUCAGAGUUUUUCUAGAGAAGGAGUUUCUCUCGAAAGAAGUGAGUGUGAGGAAAGUAGAACUUGAUGAGGUAAUUGUACCUGCUCCCUUAUUGGAAAGUGGUUCAUCACAGAAAACGGUUUCUGCAACACCUACACCAAUUAGUGAAUAAGUUAAUGAUGAUUAUCAUGAAACUUUAGAUCAAGUUGUUACUGAACCUCGUAGGUCAACCAGAGUAAGAUCCGCACCAGAGUGGUAUGGUAAUCCUGUUCUGGAAGUAGUGUUACUAGACCAUGACGAGCCUACGAACUAUGAAGAAACGAUGGUGAGCCCAGAUUCCGCAAAAUGGCUUGAGGCCAUGAAAUCUGAGAUGGGAUCCAUGUAUGAGAUCAAAGUGUGGACUUUGGUUGACUUGCCCGUUGAUCGGCAAGCAAUUGAGAAUAAAUGGAUCUUCAAGAAGAAGACUGACGCUGACAGUAAUGUUACUAUCUAUAAAGCUCGACUUGUUGCAAAAGGUUUUCGACAAGUUCAAGGGAUUGACUACGAUGAGACAUUCUCACCCGUAGCGAUGCUUAAGUCUGUCCGAAUCAUGUUAGCAAUUGCCACAUUUUAUGAUUAUGAAAUUUGGCAAAUGGAUGUCAAAACUACAUUCCUGAAUGGAUUUCUGGAAGAAGAGUUGUAUAUGAUGCAACCAGAAGGUUUUGUCGAUCCAAAGGGAGCUAACAAAGUGUGCAAGCUCCAGCGAUCCAUUUAUGGACUGGUGCAAGCCUCUUGGAGUUGGAAUAAACGCUUUGAUAGUGUGAUCAAAGCAUUUGGUUUUAUACAGACUUUUGGAGAAGCCUGUAUUUACAAGAAAGUGAGUGGGAGCUCUGUAGCAUUUCUGAUAUUAUAUGUGGAUGACAUAUUACUGAUUGGAAAUGAUAUAUAAUUUCUGGAUAGCAUAAAAGGAUACUUGAAUAAAACUUUUUCUAUGAAAGACCUCGGUGAAGCUGCUUACAUAUUGGGCAUCAAGAUCUAUAGAGAUAGAUCAAGACGCUUAAUUGGACUAUCACAAAGCACAUACCUUGACAAAGUUUCGAAAAAGUUCAAAAUGGAUCAAGAAAAGAAAGGGUUCUUGCCUGUGUUACAAGGUGUGAAGUUGAGUAAGACUCAAUGCCCGACCACUGUAGAAGAUAGAGAGAAGAUGAAAGAUGUUCCCUAUGCUUCAGCCAUAGGCUCUAUCAUGUAUGCAAUGUUGUGUACCAGACCUGAUGUGUGCCUUGCUAUAAGUCUAGCAGGGAGGUACCAAAGUAAUCCAGGAGUGGAUCACUAGACAGCGGUCAAGAACAUCCUGAAAUACCUAAAAAGGACUAAGGAUAUGUUUCUCGUUUAUGGAGGUGACAAAGAGCUCAUCAUAAAUGGUUACAUUGACGCAAGCUUUGACACUGAUCCAGACGAUUCUAAAUCACAAACUAGAUAUGUGUUUAUAUUAAACGGUGGAGCUGUCAGUUGGUGCAGUUCUAAACAAAGCGUUGUGGCGGGAUCUACGUGUGAAGCGGAGUACAUAGCUGCUUCAGAAGCAGCAAAUGAAGGAGUCUGGAUGAAGGAGUUCAUAUCCGAUCUAGGUGUCAUACCUAGUGCAUCGGGUCCAAUGAAAAUCUUUUGUGAUAAUAUUGGUGCAAUUGCCUUGGCAAAGGAAUCCAGAUUUCUCAAGAGAACCAAGCACAUCACGAGACGCUUCAAUUCCAUCCGGGAUUUAGUCCAGGUGGGAGACAUAGAAAUUUGCAAGAUACCUAUGGAUCUGAAUGUUGCAUACCCAUUGACUAAGCCUCUUCCACGAGCAAAACAUGAUCAGCACCAAGGCUCCAUGGGUGUUAGAAUCAUUACUGUGUAAUCUAGAUUAUUGACUCUAGUGCAAGUGGGAGACUGAAGGAAAUAUGCCCUAGAGGCAAUAAUAAAGUUAUUAUUUAUUUCCUUAUUUCAUGAUAAAUGUUUAUCAUUCAUGCUAGAAUUGUAUUAACCGGAAACAUAAUACAUGUGUGAAUACAUAGACAAACAGAAUGUCACUAGUAUGCCUCUACUUGACUAGCUCAUUGAUCAAAGAUGGUUAAGUUUCCUAACCAUAGACAUGAGUUGUCAUUUGAUUAACAGGAUCACAUCAUUAGGAGAAUGAUGUGAUUGACUUGACCCAUUCCGUUAGCUUAGCACUUGAUCAUUUAGUUUGUUGCUAUUGCUUUCUUCAUGACUUAUACAUGUUCCUAUGACUAUGAGAUUAUGCAACUCCCGUUUAGCGGAGGAACACUUUGUGUGCCACCAAACGUCACAAGUAACUGGGUAAUAAUAAAGGUGCUCUACAGGUGUCUCCAAAGGUACUUGUUGGGUUGGCGUAUUUCGAGAUUAGGAUUUGUCACUCCGAUUGUCGGAGAGGUAUCUCUGGGCCCACUCGGUAAUGCACAUCACUAUAAGCCUUGCAAGCAUUGCAACUAAUGAGUUAGUUGCGGGAUAAUGUAUUACGGAACGAGUAAAGAGACUUGUCGGUAACGAGAUUGAACUAGGUAUUGAGAUACCGACGAUCGAAUGUCGGGCAAGUAACAUACCGAUGACAAAGGUAACAACAUAUGUUUUUAUGCGGUCUGACCGAUAAAGAUCUUCGUAGAAUAUGUAGGAGCCAAUAUGGGCAUCUAGGUCCCGCUAUUGGUUAUUGACCAGAGAGGUGUCUCGGUCAUGUCUACAUAGUUCUCGAACCCGUAGGGUCCGCACGCUUAACGUUCGUUGACGAUAUAGUACUAUAUGAGUUAUGUAUGUUGAUGACCGAAUGUUGUUCGAAGUUCGAGAUGAGAUCACUGACAUGACGAGGAACUCUGGAAUGGUCUGGAGAUAAAGUUUGGUAUAUGGGAUAAUAGUGUUUGGUCACUGGAAGGGUUCCGGAAAUCAGUGGAAGGGGUUCCGGAUGUUUCCCGAAAUGUUUGGGUACGAGAACACUUUAUUUGGGCCAAAGGGGAAAGCCCACAAGGUUUUUGGAAAGCGCAAAAGGAAGUUUUGCGGAGUCCAGGGGCCAGACGCCAGGGUCCCUGGCGUCUGGGUCCAGAUGCCGGGAACCCUGGCAUCUGGCCCUGGAGUCCGAGAAGGACUCUUGCCUUUCGGGUGAAACCGACUUUGCGGAGGCUUUUACUCCAAGUUUUGACCCCAAGGCUCAACAUAUAAAUAGAGGGGUAGGGCUAGUACCCAAGACACAUCAAGAAACACCAAGCCAUGUGCCUGCAACCCCGUCCCCUCUAGUUUAUCCUCCGUCCUAGUUUUCGUAGUGCUUAGGCGAAGCCUUGCGGAGAUUGUUCUUCACCAACACCGUCACCGCGCCGUCGUGCUACCAGAACUCAUCUACUACUUCGCCCUUCUUGCUGGAUCGAGAAGGUGAGGACGUCACCGAGCCGAACGUGUGCAGAACUCGGAGGUGUCGUGCUUUCGGUACUUGGAUCGGUCGGAUCGUGAAGACGUACGACUACAUCAACCGCGUUGAUAUAACGCUUCCGCGAACGGUCUACGAGGGUACGUAGACAACACUCUCCCCUCUCAUUGCUAUGCAUCACCAUGUAAUUGCGUGUGCAUAGGAAAUUUUUGAAAUUACUACGUCCCCAACAGAAUAGACCCUCCCAAAGUGGGUAAAGCACCGACACAGGUAAAGAAAUCUUGAAUAACUCCUUUUCCAAUAAUAUUACCACUACCGAUUCGAAAGUUUUUAGUGUGUAAAAUAGUAGGUUCUUCAUGAGGAUAAUCAAAAGCAUCAAUGUUUUCCAUAUUAUUAUCCUUAUCAACAAUAACUUCCCCAAUUUUAGACAUGACGGCAACAAAUCGCACAAAGAAAGGGCACGCAAGAGGUAAGCGAAAAACGAACUAAGAAAAGAGAAGGGUACGGAAAAAGAGGGCGAAUAAAAUGGCAAGGGUGAAGUGGGGGAGAGGAAAACGAGAGGCAAAUGGCAAAUAAUGUAAUGCGAGGGAUAAGAGUUGUGAUGGGUACUUGGUAUGUCUUGACUUGUGCGUAGACUCCCCGGCAACGGCGCCAGAAAUCCUUCUUGCUACCUCUUGAGCACUGCGUUGGUUUUCCCUUGAAGAGUAAAGGGUGAUGCAGCAAAGUAGCGUAAGUAUUUCCCUCAGUUUUUGAGAACCAAGGUAUCAAUCCAGUGGGAGGCCAUGCUCAAGUCCCACGCACCUACACAAACAAAUAAGAACCUCGCAACCAACAUGAUAAAGGGGUUGUCAAUCCCUUCACGGACACUUACGGGAGUGAGAUCUGAUUGAUAUGAUAAGAUAAGAUUUUUUGGUAUUUUUAUAAUAAAGAUAAAAGUAAAGAUUUCAAAAAAAACGGUAAUAGAAAUACGAUAGAUUAAUAUGAUAGAGAAUAGACCUGGGGGCCGUAGGUUUCACUAGUGGCUUCUCUCGAGAGCAUAAGUAUUACGGUGGGUGAACAAAUUACUGUCGAGCAAUUGAUAGAAAAGCGAAUAAUUAUGAGAAUAUCUAGGCAUGAUCAUGUAUAUAGGCAUCACGUCCAUGACAAGUAGACCGACUCCUGCCUGCAUCUACUACUAUUACUCCACACAUCGACCGCUAUCCAGCAUGCAUCUAGAGUAUUAAGUUCAUAAGAACAGAGUAACGCUUUAAGCAAGAUGACAUGAUGUAGAGGGAUAAACUCAUGCAAUAUGAUAUAAACCCCAUCUUUUAUCCUCGAUGGCAACAAUACAAUACGUGUUGUUUCCCUUUCUAUCACUGGGAUCGAGCACUGCAAGAUUGAACCCAAAGCUAAGCACUUCUCCCAUUGCAAGAAAGAUCAAUCUAGUAGGCCAAAUCAAACUAAUAAUUCGAAGAGACUUUCAAAGAUAACCAAUCAUACAUAAAAGAAUUCAGAGAAGAGUCAAAUAUUGUUCUUAGAUAAACUUGAUCAUAAACCCACAAUUCAUCGGAUCUCGACAAACACACCGCAAAAGAAGAUUACAUCGAAUAGAUCUCUAAGAGAAUCGAGGAGAACUUUGUAUUGAGAUCCAAAGAGAGAGAAGAAGCCAUCUAGCUAAUAACUAUGGACCCGAAGGUCUGAAGUAAACUACUCACACAUCACCGGAGAGGCCAUGGGGUUGAUGUAGAGGCCCUCCAUGAUCGAUGCCCCCUUCGACGGAGCUCCGGAAAAGGCCCCAAGAUGGGAUCUCUUGUGUACAGAAGGUUGCGGUGGUGGAAUUAGGUUUUCCUAGUGCUCCUGGAUGGUUCCGGGGUACGUAGGUAUAUAUAGGAGGAAGAAGUAGGUCGGUGGAGCAACGAGGGGCCCACGGGGGUGGAGGGCGCGCCCCCUGCCUCAUGGCCUCCUCCUUGAUUGCUUGACGUCCACUCCAAGUCCUCUGGAUCACGUUUGUUCAGAAAAUCAUGUUCCCGAAGGUUUUAUUCCGUUUGGACUCCGUUUGAUAUUCCUUUUCUGCGAAACACUGAAAUAGAAAAAAAAAACAAUAAUUUGGGUUGGGCCUUCGGUUAAUAGGUUAGUCCCAAAAAUAAUAUAAAAGUGUAUAAAUAAGCCCAUUAAACAUCCAAAACAGAAUAUAUAAUAGCAUGGAACAACAAAAAAUUAUAGAUACGUUGGAGACGUAUCAGAGGCACCGCACAUGGCUAAGAGGUCAACUUGUGUGUUUACGGGGUGCCCCCCUCCCCCGUAUAUAAAGGAGGGGGAGGGGAGGGCUGGCUGUGACGCCCCAAGACUGGCACUCUAGAUGCCGUCCAUAGAUUACGAGAUUCGUCGUGUGAUUUGUUUUUGCUCGUUGCAUUCAUCUCUGCAUCAUGUGCAUUGCAUCAUGUCAUCAUGCACCCCUUUUAAAAACUCAACUAAAUAAACCGUAUGGAUCUUUGUUCCAUUUAAAUUGAGGGAACUCACAUGGUGGUUUCUCUUUAAAACAUAUCCUCCAAAUAUUUAGGGAGAUAUUAUAAAAUAUUCCAUUAUUGUGGAACUAACCAUAACACACUUGCAAAAUAUUCCAUGCCUUUGUUAUCUUAAUUCUUGGUCUCCAACUUUGCCCAUAAAUUCGUUCAUCACUUUCCAGAGCUCCACCAAAAAUCUCGACAUUUUGGCCACUCCUAAACCUUGUCCUAGUUCAAACCAUUUGAAUUAAAGUCAAAUGAGUUUGAAUUUAAAUCUUGCAUUCGUGCCAACUUCUAAUUUUCUCGGAUGAAGCAUAUUUUUGUGAGUCCAAGAAAAUAAUCCCCAUGCCCAAAUCCUUUCCCAAACCCUCUCUUUUCUUAUUCUCUCUAAUCCUUUUCUGUUAAAAAAAUGAGAGAGAGGGAGAAGAGAGAGCCAACCAGCCCACCACCAGGUGAAGGAGAUAUGCCCUAGAGGCAAUAAUAAAGUUGUUAUUUAUAUUUUCUUAUAUUAUGAUAAAUGUUUAUUAUUCAUGCUAGAAUUGUAUUAACCGGAAACUUAGUACAUGUGUGAAUACAUAGACAAACAGAGUGUCACUAGUAUGCCUCUACUUGACUAGCUCAUUAAUCAAAGAUGGUUAAAUUUCCUAGCCAUGGACAAAGAGUUGUCAUUUGAUAAGAGGGAUCACAUCAUUAGAGAAUGAUUUGAUUGACUUGACCCUUCUGUUAGCUUAGCACGAUGAUCGUUACAGUUUCAUUGCUACUGCUUUCUUCAUGAAUUAUACAUGUUCCUCGGACUAUGAGAUUAUGCAACUCCCGAAUACCGAAGGAACACCUUGUGUGCUAUCAAACUUCACAACGUAACUGGGUGAUUAUAAAGAUGCUCUACAGGUGCCUCCGAUGGUGUUUGUUGAGUUGGCAUAGAUCAAGAUUAGGAUUUGUCACUCCGUGUAUCGGAGAGAUAUCUUCGGGCCCUCUCGGUAAUGCACAUCACUGUAAGCCCUGUAAGCAUUGUGACUAAUGAGUUAGUUACGGAAUGAUGCAUUACGGAAUGAGUAAAGAGACUUGCUGGUAACGAGAUUGAACUAGGUAUUGAGAUACCGAUGAUCGAAUCUCGGGCAAGUAACAUACCGAUGACAAAGGGAACAACGUAUGUUGUUAUGCGGUUUGACCGAUAAAGAUCUUCGUAGAAUAUGUAGGAACCAAUAUGAGCAUCCAGGUUCCGCUAUUGGUUAUUGACUGGAGAUUAGUCUCCGUCAUGUCUACAUAGUUCUCGAACCCGUAGGGUCCGCACGCUUAACGUUCGGUGACGAUCAGUAUUAUGAGUUUAUGUGUUUGGAUGUACCGAAGGUAUUUCAGAGUCCCAGAUGUGAUCACGGACAUGACUAGGAGUCUCGAAAUGGUCGAGACAUAAAGAUUGAUAUAUUGGACGGCUAUAUUUGGACACCUGAAGUGUUCCGGAUGAUUUCGAAGAAAACCGGAGUGCCGGAGGGGUUACCGGAACCCCCCGGGAAGUAUUGGGACUUAGUGGGCCUUAGGGGAGUAAGAGGGCAGCAGCCCAGGAGGUGGCGCGCCCCCUCCCAUGGGGAGUCCGAAUUGGACUAGGGGAGGGGGCACGGCCCCUCUUUCCCUCUCCCUCUCCCUCUCUUUCCUUCUCCAUUCCCUCUUCCUAGUUGAUCUAGGAAAGGAUGAAUCCUCUUACUAGUAGGAAGAGGAUUCCUCCUCUCCUUGGGGCGCACCAAGGCUGGUCGGCCUCCCCCUUGCUCCUUUAUAUACAGGGGCAGGGGGGCACCCUAGGACACACAAGUUGGUUGUUCCAAGCCGUGUGCGGUGCCCCCCUCCACCAUAUUCCACCUCGGUCAUAUCAUAGCAGUGCUUAGGCGAAGCCCUGCGUCGGUAGCAUCAUCAUCACCAUCAUCAAGCUGUCAUGCUGACAGAACUCUCCCUUGAAGCUCUGCUGUAGUUCGUGGGACGUCACCGAGCUGAACGUGUGCUGAACUCGGAGGUGUCGUAUGUUCGGUACUUGGAUCGGUCGGAUCGUGAAGACGUACGACUACAUCAAUCGCGUUCUCAUAAUGCUUCCGCUUAUGGUCUACGAGGGUACGUGGACGACACUCUCCCCUCUCAUUGCUAUGCAUCACCACGAUCUUGCAUGUGUGUAGGAAUUUUUUUUAUGAAAUUACUGCGUUCCCCAACAGUGGCAUCCGAGCCAGGUUUAUGCGUAGAUGUUAUAUGCACAAGUAGAACACAGAGGAGUUGUGGGCGUGGGUAUAUACAUAUUGCUUGCCAUCACUAGUUGUUUCUUGAUUUGGCGGUAUUGUUGGAUGAAGCAGCCCAGACCGACAUUACGCGUACGCUUACGCGAGACUGGUUCUACCGACGUGCUUUGCACACAGGUGGCUGGUGGGUGUCAGUUUCUCCAACUUUAGUUGAAUCGGAUUUAAGGAACAAGGUUAUUUCUGAAGAUCAAAAAGCAAUCACUAUACCGCGUUUUGGUUUUUUUAAUGCGUAGGUAAGAACGGUUCUUGCUCAGCCCAUAGCAGCCACGUAAAACUUGCAACAACAAAGUAGAGGACGUCUAACUUGUUUUUGCAGGCAUGUUGUGAUGUGAUAUGGUCAAGACGCGAUGAGAUAUAAAUUGUUGUAUGAGAUGAUCAUGUUUUGUUAAAGUUAUCGGCAACUGGCAGGAGCCUUAUGGUUGUCUCUUUAUUGCAUAAGAUGCAAGCACCAUAUAAUUGCUUUACUUUAUUGCUAUGCGAUAGCAAUACUUGCAAAAGCAAUAGUUGGUGAAACGACCAUGUGAUGACACGUUGAUAGAGAUCAAGAUGAUGGAGAUCAUGGUGUCAUGCCGGUGACGAUAGAGAUCAUGAUGGUGUUUUGGAGAUGGAUAUCAAAGGCACAAGAUGAUGAUGGCCAUAUCAUGUCACAUAUUUUGAUUGCAUGUGAUGUUUAUCCUUUAUGUAUCUUAUUUUGCUUAGUUCGGCGGCAGCAUUAUAAGAUGAUCUCUCACUAAAUUUCAAGGUAUAAGUGUUCUCCCUGAGUAUGCACCGUUGCGAUAGUUCGUCGUGCCGAGACACCACGUGAUGAUCGGGUGUGAUAAGCUCUACGUUCACAUACAAUGGGUGCAAGCCAGUUUUGCACACGCAGAAUACUCGGGUUAAACUUGAUGAGCCUAGCAUAUGCAGAUAUGGCCUCGGAACACUAGAGACCGAAAGGUCGAGCGUGAAUCAUAUAGUAGAUAUGAUCAACAUAAUGAUGUUCACCAUUGAAAACUACUCCAUCUCACGUGAUGAUCGGACAUGGUUUAGUUGAUUUGGAUCGUGUGAUCAUUUAGAUGACUAGAGGGAUGUAUAUCUAAGUGGGAGUUCUUAAGUAAUAUGAUUAAUUGAACUUUAAUUUAUCAUGAACUUAGUCCUGAUAGUAUUUGCAUAACUAUGUUGUAGAUCAAUAGCUCGCGAUGUAGCUCCCCCUUUAUUUAUUAUAUGUUCCUAGAGAAAAACUAUGUUGAAAGAUGAUAGUAGUAAUGAUGUGGACUAGGUUCGUGAUCUGAGGAUUAUCCUCAUUGCUGCACAUAAGAAUUAUGUCCUUGAUGCACCGCUAGGUGACGGACCUAUUGCAGGAGCAGAUACAGACGUUAUGAAUGUUUGACAAAGCUCGGUAUGAUGACUCCUUAAUAGUUUAGUGCACCAUGCUUUAUGGCUUAGAACCGGGACGUCAAAAACAUUUUGAAAGCCACAGAGCAUAUAAGAUGUUCCAAGAGCUGAAAUUUAUAUUUCAGACUCAUGCCCAAGUCGAGAGGUAUGAGACCUCUGACAAGUACUUUGCCUACAAGAUGGAGGAGAAUAGCUCAACCAGUGAGCAUGUGCUCAGAUUGUCUGAGUACUACAAUCGCUUGAAUCAAGUGGGAGUUAAUCUUCCAGAUAAAAAGGUGAUUGACAGAAUUCUCUAGUCACUAUCACCAAGUUACUGGAACUUUGUGAUGAACUAUAAUAUGCAGGGGAUGACGAAAACGAUUCCCGAGCUCUUCGUGAUGCUGAAAUUGAUGAAGGUAGAAAUCAAGAAAAGCAUCAAAUGUUGAUGGUUGACAAAACCACUAGUUUGAAGUAAAAGGGCUAGGGAAAGAAAUGGAACAGCAAGAAGAAUGGGAAGUGAUGACCCACAAGUGUAGGGGAUCUAUCGUAGCCUUUUCGAUAAGUAAGAGUGUCGAACCCAACGAGGAGCAGAAGGAAAUGAUAAGCAGUUUUCAGCAAGGUAUUCUCUGCAAGCACUGAAAUUGUCGGUAACAGAUAGUUUGUGAUAAGGUAAUUUGUAACGGGUAACAAGUAAUAAAAGUAAAUAAAGUGCAGCAAGAUGGCCCAAUCCUUUUUUUAGCAAAGGACAAGCCUGGACAAACUCUUAUAUGAAGGAAAGCGCUCCCGAGGACACAUGGGAAUUAUCAUCAAGCUAGUUUUCAUCACGAUCAUAUGAUUCACGUUCGGUACUUUGAUAAUUUGAUAUGUGGGUGGACCGGUGCUUGGGUGUUGUCCUUACUUGGACAAGCGUCCCACUUAUGAUUAACCCCUAUUGCAAGCAUCCGCAACUACAACAGAAGUAUUAAGGUAAACCUAACCAUAGCAUGAAACAUAUGGAUCCAAAUCAGCCCCUUACGAAGCAACGCAUAAACUAGGGUUUAAGAUUCUGUCACUCUAGCAACCCAUCAUCUACUUAUUACUUCCCAAUGCCCUCCUCUAAUCCCAAACAAUGGUGAAGUGUCACGUAGUCGACGUUCACAUGACACCACUAGAGGAAAGACAACAUACAUCUCAUCCAAAUAUCGAACGAAUACCAAAUUCACAUGACUAAUAAUAGCAAGACUUCUCCCAUGUCCUCAAGAACAAACGUAACUACUCACAAAGCAUAUUCAUGUUCAUAAUCAGAGGGGUAUUAAUAUGCAUAAUGGAUCUGAACAUAUGAUCUUCCACCAAGUAAACCAACUAGCAUCAACUACAAGGAGUAAUCAACACUACUAGCAACCCACAGGUACCAAUCUGAGGUUUGGAUACAAAGAUUGGAUAAAAGAGAUGAACUAGGGUUUGAGAUGAGAUGGUGCUGAUGAAGAUGUUGAUGGAGAUUGACCCCCUCCCGAUGAGAGGAUCGUUGGUGAUGACGAUGGUGAUAAUUUCCCCCUCCCGGAGGGAAGUUUCCCCGGCAGAACAGCUCCACCGGAGCCCUAGAUUGGUUCCGCCAAGGUUCCGCCUCGUGGCGGCGGAGUUUCGUCCCGUAAGCUUGCUUAUGAUUUUUUUUCUCGGACGAAAGAUCUCAUAUAGUAGAAGAUGGGCAUCAGAGGACCACCAGGGGGCCCACGAGGCAGGGGGCGCGCCUAGGGGGGUAGGGCGCGCCCCCACCCUCGUGGCCAGGGUGUGGUCCCCCUCUGGUAUUUUCAUCGCUCAGUAUUUUUUAUAUAUUCUGGAAAUAACUCCCAUGGAGUUUCAGGACUUUUGGAGAUGUGCAGAAUAGGUCUCUAAUAUUUGCUCCCUUUCCAGCCCAGAAUUCCAGCUGCCGGCAUUCCCCCUCUUCAUGUAAACCUUGUAAAAUGAGAGAGAAUGGGCAUAAGUAUUGUGACAUAAUGUGUAAUAACAGCCCAUAAUGCAAUAAAUAUCGAUAUAAAAGCAUGAUGCAAAAUGGACGUAUCAACUCCCCCAAGCUUAGACCUCGCUUGUCCUCAAGCGAAAGCCGAAAACGAUAAAUAUGUCCACAUGUAUAGAGAUAGAGGUGUCGAUAAACUAAAAUACGGACAUGAGGGCAUCAUGAUCAUUCUUAUAACAGCAACAUAUAUAUAUAUAUAUGUAUAUAUAUAUAUAUAUAUAGUCAUACGAUCUCUUAUGCUAAAGUAACAAUUCAAUCACAAUUUCAAGUAUGAAUCAUAAACUUCAUUGAAAACUAACAAACUACAAUCUCAGUCACUGAAGCAAUUGCAAUUUAUCAUAACAUCAGAAAGAGUCAAUAAGAGCUUUUCAGCAAGUCCACAUACUCAACUAUCAUUUAGUCUUCCACAAUUGCCAACACUCACGCGAUAUUUGUGGUUAUGAAGUUCGCCGGACACAGAGAAAGAUAGGGGGUUAUGGUUUUGCCUCCCAACUUCUUACCUCAAGGGUAAUGUCAACAAUAAUAGUUCAUGCAAACUCACAUCCAAUUAGCCAUAUCUGGAUCUUUCCAACACAUUGUGCUUGCCAAAGGAUAAAAUGUAAAAAGGAAAGGUGAAGAUCACCAUGACUCUUAUAUGAGGUAGAAGAUAAAAGUAAAAGAUAGGCCCUUCGCAAAGGGAAGCAGAGGUUGUCAUGCACUUUUUUGUUUGACUGGGGACUGCAGGGCUUACACCCCACAGCAUUUUAUUAAAAUCAAGAACAGCAAGUACAUAGAAAUGUUCCUUAAGAAAAGGAACAAAACAGAAGAAGAUAAAAGAAAACUAUGUACAAUCUAACCUAAAAGAGAAGGAAAAUCUAACUAUACAUGUCACCUCUCAAGGAGGAAGGAAGUCAAUCCAUUUAAGCAGUGCCUCUCUAUGUUUUGACUUGAUUCUGUGAGCCAAAAGGGAAAUGUCAUGGACAAAACCAUUUCUCCACUGUCUGAAGGUAGGUCUGAUAUACCUGAAAGCUUUAUCAUUUCUGAAUUUCCAGAUAUUCCACCAAGUAAGAAACACCACUUUAGAAAAGAAAGGCUUGUUGAACUCCUUCCUAGCAUGCCAUACAAUCUGAACCAUAUCCUGAUUGUUGGGCCAUGAAAUCUGCAGGUAAUUCCAGACUCUCAUGCUGAAGUUACACUAAAAAAACAGAUGAUUCCUGUCUUCAAGAGCUCCUAUAGGACAAAGCACACAUUCAGGCCCAUCAUUGAUCUUCCACUUCCUGCGCUGAAUCAUAUCCUUGGUGUUUACUCUAUCCAUAAUGACAAGCCAGGCAAACAUUUUGAUUGUCAUAGUACAGCAUGACUUCCAUAUCCAACAUAGCAAGGGGUUAGUUGGAAUUGGCUCAUGGACCAGAUCAUAAUAUUUCUUGGCUGUGUAUCCAGAUUUCUUUCCAUGUUUCCAAUACCAGCAAUCCUUAGCAUUAGCAUCCAAGGAGAUAUCAGACAAUAUUCCAGAAAGUUGAUUUAGCUCCCUGUAGGCCAUUUCAGAUAAUGGCAGAGAGAACAUGCUAUGAAACUCACCAGUGGCCAUUACUUCCAGAACAGAAGAAUUUUUUUGUAUGCAAAAUGAGAACAGCCUGGGGAAUCUAUCCUGUAGUGGAAUGCAAGAAUUAUCCACUUCCCAGGAAUCUGACCAGAAUAGCAAGGAGUCACCUUUUCCAACGCAUACUAAAGACACAGCCCUGAAUGUAUCCAUUAGCUUACAUAUGUCCCUCCACCAAAAAGAGCCACACAUAGCAGUGUCAUGUGGGACUCUCUGAUAAUAAUAACUGUCCCAGAUCAAAUGAACCCAUGGAACAUCAACUUUGUUAUAGAAUUUAUUGAGGAACUUCAUUAACAAAGCUUCAUUUUGCAGCCCCAGGUUCAGGAUGCCAAGCCCACCCUUUAAUUUAGGUCUACAUACCAGAGGCCAGGCCGCCAAAGAGUUCCCCUUUUCCUGGCCAUAUUUUCUCCAAAGACACGGUCUUUGUAUUCUUUCCAGUUGCUUCAAAAUCCCUUGUGGAAUAGAUAAGCUACAGAGGAAGAAUAUUGGCAAUGAGGAAAUAACGGAAUUUACCAACUGCAGUCUGCUACCUUGUGGUAGAAACCAAGAGCUAGCAGUCAACCUUCUUUCCAUGCAGUCCACAAGUGGCAAAAGGUCCACAAUUUUGGGCCUAGUGGUUCCCACUGGCAACCCCAGGUAUGUGAAAGGCAUCACCCCCAGUUGACAUCCAAAUUGAGCAGCAAGAACAUUGGCAUAAUUGGUAUCCACAUUAAUUGGGUACAUUGAAGAUUUGUGGUAAUUAAUCUGCAAACCAGUUGCCAGAGAAAAGGAGUCUAGAAUAGCUUUUAGCACCUCUAACUGAGCAGACUCAGCAGCCACAAACAAUAAUGUGUCAUCAGCAUAUUGAACCACUGGAUAGUCAGGAUCAUGAGUUACUAGGGGUAAGGAAAGGAGUCCUUUGCUGAGUUGAUCAUUAAUCAUAGUCUGCAGAAGGUCAGCAGCAAGCACAAAGAGCAAAGGUGAGAUAGGAUCACCCUGCUUUACCCCACAUUUACACUUGAAAUGGCUACCUGGAACCCCAUUAAGCAGGAUUGAUGAGGUUGCAGAGGACAACAAUUGUUGUAUCCAAGAAAUCCAUCUAUUAUCAAAUCCCUUUGCCACCAUUAUUUUUAUAAUUGCCUCAUGCUGUAUGGAAUCAAAUGCUUUUUCAAAAUCCAACUUAAGCAACAUGAUUGGCCUUUUUGAUUGAUUGCACUGAUGAAUAUACUCAAAAGUCCAUGCAAUACAAUCCUGAAUGGAUCUAGAUUUGAUAAAACCAUACUGAUUGUUGUGAACACAUUUAGUUAUUUCAUCUUGAAAUCUGUUUGCAGUAAGUUUAGUAAGGAACUUCAACCCCACACUUGUCAAUGUUAUUGGCCUAAAAUCACUGGCAGUCUCAGGUGACAGCUUUUUGGGGAUCAGAGUGAUAUAUGCCUCACUGAGAUUCUCUAGUUUAACAGUUCCUGCAUGAAACUCAUUAACUAGGGAGAUAAAGUCACCAAAAAUGAUUGGCCAACAUUUUUUCAUAAAAAGUCCAUUAAAACCAUCAGGCCCUGGGGCCUUGUCAAUUGGCAACUCCUUGAUAACCUGUUCAAUCUCCUUGACCUCAAAAGGCUUGGUGAGAACAUCCAGUCCCUGUACCCUAGGGAUUAGAGAAAGAAUGUCAUUUCCCAUGAAAAUUGGUUUCACAGUACCCAUUCUUCCUUUGAAAAUCUCCAGAAAUUCCUUGGCAAUAGUGUUAUGAUCAGAAGACACUGAUCCAUCUGACAACUGCAGAGUGACAAUUGAAUUUUUCCUAUAUCUUUCAGUUGCCAUUGCCUGGAAGAAUUUUGAGUUUUCCUCACCCACCUUAAUAUAUCUAAUAGUGCAUCUCUUCUUCCAAUAUAAGAACUGUAGGUGUAGCAGAUGAUCAUGAUGUGAUUUCACCAAUUUUCUGAAAUUGGAUUCAGGCAAAAAUAAAGGCCUGGAGUCUUCCAAAUCAUCCAGCCACAAAAUCACCCAGUUACAUUUCUCAAUAAGACCUUUAAUAUGAGAUAAACCCUUCUGCCAUUUCUUGAGAGCAAAUCUCAAAGAUUUCAGUUUAUCCAUAAUAACUGCUGAUAUGUGAGACUUCUGAGACUGCCUUUGCCAGACUUGCUGAACACACUCCAUAAAACCAGGUUGAUGGAUCCAAUAAUUUUCAAAUCUGAAAAUAUGAGCUUUUGGGAUUCUGGUGCUUAUGGAAACCACACAAGGGACAUGAUCCGAUGCAGUUUUGGCUAGAGGAUUGACCUGCGUGUUUGGAUAUUGAUCAAUCCAACUGGCAGAGGUGAAAAACCAGUCCAACUGUUCAAGAAGUGGGAAAUCCUGCAUAUUAGACCAGGUGAAUCUUCUUCCUUUUAAAGGUAGCUCCAGCAGUCCCAAAUGCCCAAUGAUCUCAUUAAAAAGAAAAAUAUCAUUGAUAUCACCCCCAGGAAGAUUUCUAUUAUCCAGAGAUCUUAUGAAAUUGAAAUCUCCAAGCAGAAGCCAGUUUUUCUCAGGUUCCACAUUUAAAUUAUAAAGCCAGCUGACAAAUUCAUCUCUUAAGGUACCUUGACAGGGUCCAUAAACAUUAACCAGGUACCAAAAAUCACCAUUAUGCAUGGACUUAAAACUAAUGACAAUCCCAUAAGGUUUUGCUUCCACUAAAUCCCCUGAGAAAACAUCAGAGCGCCACACGACUAGAAUGCCACCGGAAGCUCCCCUAGAAGGGGAUUCAAUAAACUGGUCAAAACCCGCAGGACAAAUGCUCUUAAUUAAAGCACGUGGGCACUCCGAUAAUUUUGUUUCUUGCAGACAAACAACUGCACAAUGGCUCUCAAGAACUUUCUGCCGGACCGCACAUUGUCUUACAUCAGAAUUAAGUCCACGUACAUUCCAACAAUGUACCUUCCAGCUACGCAUGGGCAUUUGAUUCAUAUGAUAACACAGGAUAGCACAUUAAAAACAGUGGGACACCUAGUGCCGCACAACCCAUAACACAUAAUAGCAAAAGAGCCAAAUCAUAACCAGAGUGCCAAGUUUCAGAGAUAACAUAACAGUCAGCAAAUUUGACAGGCUCGCUACACCUAGGAAACACAUUAAACUUUAACAUUUAAAUGUUGCUGGAGGGGGUAUCAUCCUUAGGAUCAGCCAUAAGCUUCUCCCUAGAAAGCAAGUUGGGGUCCAUCUCCAGCUCAGCUCCAAUUGCCUGCAGCACAGCGAUCGGCGUCUGCGUGUGGACCUCCUCAGGCUUGUCAUGACAAACAUCGUCAGUAUUUUCCACUCCAGCAGCAUCAAGUAUCUAUAUGGGCUGGGCCUUCUCUUCCAUGGGCUUGGACCUUGGGCGUCGUUUAGCAGGCUGUAAAGAAAGCUGCUCAAAGACCAUCGAUUUGAAACCAUCAAGUUUUGCCGCGCUCCUCGUACAUCUUCUGACUGAGGUAUCAACCAAAGGAGCAGAAAUCUUGCGCCUACCGCACUGGGCUUUCUGUCGUGGCGUCGCUUCAGACGCAAAAACCACAGGCAAGGGCCCCUCUUCCUGACCAACAGGACCCACGGGCUCCAAAGAUAGCUGAUUAUUACUGAAUCCCACAGGCUCAGCAAUAUCAGUAGGUUCAUCGCUUGCAACUGAGCAACUAGGGGCUGCUAGAGAAGCAAACAAAGAGCGAGCAACAGGGCGCCGAUUGACGGACGCAGAGCUUGACAAACAAGAGACCAGCGAAGACACUCUGUUGGUAUCAUCAAAAGCAAUCGACCACUUGCUCUUGGAGAAAGUUACUGUCCCAAACUGCUUGAAGAAUAGUGACCUUGGCACUUCUUUCACAGAAAAUUCAGACAUCAAAUUCUCAAAAGACCGCUUCCAAAGCAGUUCAGGUGGAAGAGGGGGUCCAGCCACCACCCUAGCCAUCCCAAUGAUGAUCUGGUGGUGUUGAAUCACUGGAGGUUGAUAGGGGACAAUAGCCAAAGGAUUAUCUUCCACAAAAGCAGGUUGUUCCUGAACUUCAGCAACCAAAUCAACUAUCUGCUGGUGUUGAGGCCCUUCAUCAUGCAGAAGCUGUUCCACAGACUCUGAUAGUUCUGGUUGAUCAAUGACAAUUGAGACUUGAUCUUGUUCUGGCAUUUCUGGCGGAUGUGGGUGAUUGAUAUUGUCAUCAUCGCCCCACAGAGCAUUACCCCAAUCAGCAUCCACUAGAUUCUCUGGGGGAGGAGCAGGUGCAAGAGGCGCUUCAUUCCAGCCAAUCAUCGGGUAAGGCGGCAGAACAAACGGGAUGUUGUCAGGAACGAGAUGACCAGGCAUUGGAUGAGGGUUACCAUCCAGAGGCAUCGGGUCUUCAUCAUUAGGCAUCUGAUCAGCAAAAUCUGCCCCAAGAACAUAACAUGCAGCAGUCCAGGAAACUUGGGCACCACCCCACUCAGCAUAGUCCCCAAAAACCACAUCUCGUGGUACUAACGGUGUAUCAGGAAAGCUGGCUCAACAACAGCUCGUACCAGGUACAGGUCUUCACUAUCCCAGGAAUGAAAUUUUCCAAAAGUACCAACUGCCUGAGAAAUAUAUUCAGUCGUACGAUAAUCCAGGGGAAUCCCAACAAACAUUAACCAGCCCCUACGAAAACCAGUAUUCCCUUUGAAGUUGUCACCCUCAUCAUGCUUCAUAAAUCUAACAAAUCGAUCAUUACCCAGAGCAAACGGCGGGUGCUGAAUCAGGGUAUAUCUGACAGUGGGAUCUCGAACUUGGAGCAAACCAACCCCAUGAAACCAAGGCUGAGCAGAACGAACAAGAAUACCUCUGUUCUGAAGAAACUGCACCACUUCCUCUCUGACCGGCCCUAGAGGUCCAUCCGGCGCUGGCAUGACUUCAGCAACCAUAUAAUCUUCAUGGCGACGGGGAGGGCGGGCCGCCGGUGUGAAGAAAGUGCGAGGUAAACGCCGAUCACCACCAUCAAUGAUGUGAUGUCCCGGAGGCACUAGGCGAUGUGGAUCAAGCUCGAAGUUCGCCAUGUGUGGCAACGGCGACGAACUUAGGGUUUCUUUGGAAAGACAGGAGGUAUCCUUGGCAGGUGGAAGAGGAGAAUGGAGCAAUGCGGGCGGAGACGAUAUGACAGGACUAGAUAUCCCAAUAACUCCGGCUCCCUUCCCCUGAACAGCUGAUGUUCCCGAAAUACUCGUGUUUCGUUGCAGAGUGCUCUACCUCCAAACCAAUCCGUGCGAGCGUGCAAAAUCAUUACAGUCACGUCUAAAGUGACCCACCCUGGAGCAAGCCGAACAGACCACUCGCAUUCCACAAGAGACUUCCAUGUGGCCCUUCUGACCGCAAUCAGUACAUGUUAGAACUUGGUCCACCAUGUCAUCGACCAUAGCUUCAAAAAGUCGCGCUGCCUCUUGUGAAGAAGGAAUUUCCAUAGGUUCACUAGACGGGCUGAGUUGCACAGGCGAAUCCAAACCAACAUCAGAAGGUCCAGUAUAGGGGGUAUCCUCUAUUGGCCGAGUAAGUGGAUCAUCAUGGGCCACCAAGCCCACACCCUGCGGGUUCCCAAACUGAGCGGGCCCAGGGGCCAAAGCCUUAUUUUGAAUUAACGAAGUUCCCGCUUCCUGAAAUUGUGCUGCGAGAUUACCGGACCUCACGAUUUGCGGAUCCACUGAAACCGGUUCGUCCACCACCAGAAGCGCAUCCGGCCGCCGGAGUAACUCCAGUGAACUAUUAACCGUACCAAAAACUAUGGGUGGCUGCGUCACCAUCCAAUGCAAACCAGGAGCAGGAGGUUGCCGAAUGACAACUCGCUCAUGAGCAGAAAGAUCAUAACCCCCAUCAACUAUAGUAUCAAUGCAAGUCUGAGAUGCAGGGUAUCUAUAGCCCUUGCAAGCCGAAUACUUUUCAAAAGUGGCAAACGACAGUUUCUUAUUUGCAGAAGAUCUAGAUUUGAAAGCAGACUUAACAGGGGGUUUAUGCAUAGCCAAUAAACCAAGCGAAGAUCUAAGCUUAGUGGGGCUAAUCAAAAUCCAUUCAGCAUCACAUUCUUUACGCCAGAUCUUAAGUUCUCUGACCCAAUUUGGUCCUCCAUUCCCCCAUAGAUGAAAAUAGCACUUGAACAGAUCGCAAGCAAAAGAGCGAAGAUCCAGAAUAAUAAAGCCAACUUGCAUGCAUGAAACUUGGAAAGAAAAAACUUUGUCCUUGACAUGACUAACCUGAAGAUCAAUUGCAGAACCACCAAGCGCAGCUUCCAGCGCCGCUGCCACUGAAUCCUCAGAUAAACGGAAGGCAUGCCUACUGAAGGACACAAUCAAUAUGAAAGAUCUCCCUCUUCCCAGUGGAUGAAUUGUGCGACCAGUAGAUCUGAAUACUUCAUCCGAGAAAACCCUACCCUUGGAGAAAUCCAAGCCAAGGGUAGAUCCACCAGUAGAACCCAUUGGAGAUGGGUAUUGCCUUGAUCCAGAGAAGACGCCGAAGAGGAUGAUCGGAACCGAUCAGCAGACCAGUGGAGAGAAAGGGAGAUCGCCGGAGAAGAGACUAGCGCCGAGGUGGGAGGUGGGAGCGCCAUUAUUGUCAUGCACUUUUAUGGUUGGAUGCACAAAAUCUUAAUGCAAAAGAAGGUCACUUUAUAUUGCCACUUGUGAUAUGGACUUUCAUUAUGCAGUCUGUCGCUUUUAUUUCUUCCACAUCACAAGAUCAUAUAAAGCUUAUUUUCUGCACAUUAAUAAAUUAUACAUAUUUAGAAGGUAAUUUUUAUUGCAUGCACCGAUGACAACUUACUUGAAGGAUCUUGCUCAAUCCAUGGUAGGUAUGGUGGACUCUCAUGGCAAAACUGGGUUUAAGGAUAUUUGGAAGCACAAGUAGUAUUUCUACUUGUUGCAAAGAACUUGGCUAGAAUGAGAGGGAAAGGCAAGCUCAACAUGUUGGAUGAUCCAUGACAAUAUAAUUUAUCUCACACGUAAGAAAACAUAACCCAUUAUGUUGUCUUCCUUGUCCAACGUCAACUCUUUAGCAUGUCAUAUUUUAAUGAGUGCUCACAAUCGUAGAAGAUGUCCAAGAUAGUAUAUUUAUAUGUGAAAACCUCUCUUUCUUUAUUACUUCCUAUUAAUUGCAACGAUGACCAAAACUAUGUUUGUCAACUUUCAACAACUUUUAUUCAUCAUACUCUUAUAUGUGAAGCCAUUACUCUCCAUAAGAUCCAUAUGAUCUCUUUAUUUCUUUUUAUUAUUUUAUUCCCUCAAGAUCAUAGCAAGAUAAUCAAGCCCUUGACUCAACACUAAUCUUUAUUAUAUAGCUCACGAACUCGAUUACAUAAAAGGAUCAUAAAGCAAAACUCACAACUAGAUCAUACUAAAACUUUAUGCUACUAGAUCAAGAUAUUACCAAAAGGAUCGAACUAAGAAAAACGGUAAAGAUAAAAGUUGUGAUGGUGAUACGAUACCGGGGCACUCCCCCAAGCUUGGCAGUUGCCAAGGGGAGUGCCCAUACCCAUGUGUUUAUGUCUCCUUUGUUGGUGAAGAAGAUGAUGGUUUUGUUGAUGAUGUAGGCUUGUCGUCCAUCUUCCAAGGCAUAGGCUCACCAUCAUAGAAGGAUGAUCGAGUCUCCGGGAUCCUCAAAUCUGCAGCCAAACUCAUCCUCUUGAAUCUAUAUUCAUACUCACAGUUUUGGUUUUGCAGGUCAUAGAUCUGGGCUUGGAGGCACUCGAUUUUCUCGUGAAGCUUGAAGAUGGCCUCCCCAAUGUUCUUGGCUUCUAGCUUGGUGGUGUUGGUGUACUCUGUGAUCAUUAGGUGGUUGGUGUCGAGUCCACGUUCCACCAUCUCCCGGCACAUGAAAACUUGUUGCUCCAUUGCUUCGAGUCUUGCCUCCACGCUUUCGGUCUUCCUUGGUCCCUCAACACCGCGGAUGUGCAGCAACCCCUCACGCAUCUCAAUGGUUUGAGGGUGUUACAGCACCUCCGCGAGGUAAGGGUUGAUGACCUUCUCGAAGAACUUGUCCUUGGGGGCACUUGAAUACGCCAUGGUGAUCUGGAUCUGUCAGAAAAACAGCUCGAAACAAAGACAAGAUAUAUUUGCGUGAUACGGUGGUCAAAACCUCCGGGAGAUUAUAUAGUGAAUUUUUACUGACCAAAAGAAGUACCGUGCAACAAAACGGAGUCCGGAGAGUGCAUGAGGUGCCCACGAGGCAGGGGGGGCGCGCCUCCCACCCUCGUGGAAGCCUCGUGUCCUUCCCGGACUGCUUCUUAUUUUCCUUUUUUUAUAUAUUCCGAAAGGGAGAAAAAUUGCCAUUAGAACAGUUUUGGAGUCAGUUUACUUACCGUACCACGUACCUAUUCCUUUUUGGAGUCUGAAACGUUCCGGAAAGUGUCCCUUAUGUAUUACUCUGGGGUUACGGUUUCAAUAAUAUUAGUUUCAACAUUUAUGGGAUUACCUGAGAUCUAAUGUUUGAUUUUUUGAUCGUUUACUACCCUCGAAUUUGUGCCUUCGAAGUUGUUGAUUUUUAUGGCACCGGAACGAUAGACCUCCUCGAUGACAUAAGGACCUUCCCAUUUAGAGAGGAGUUUGCCUGCAAAAAAUCCUAAACGAGAGUUGUAUAGCAAUACAUAAUCACCUACGUUAAACUCAUGCUUUUGUAUCCUUUUAUCAUGCCAUCUUUUAACUUUUUCUUUAAACAACUUGGCAUUUUCAUAAGCCCGGGUUCUCCAUUCAUCAAGUGAGCUAAUGUCAAAUAACCUCUUCUCACCGACAAGUUUGAAAUCAUAAUUGAGCUCUUUAAUAGCCCAACAAGCCUUAUGUUCUAGUUCAGAGGUAAGUGACAUGCUUUACCAUAUACCAUUUUAUAUGGAGACAUACCCAUAGGAUUUUUAUAUGCAGUUCUAUAGGCCCAUAAUGCAUCAUCAAGUUUCUCGGACCAAUUCUUUCUAGAUCUAUUAACAGUCUUUUGCAAAAUUAAUUUAAGCUCUCUAUUACUCAAUUCUACUUGACCACUAGACUGUGGGUGAUAUGGAGAUGCAAUUCUAUGAUUAACAUCAUACUUAGCAAGCAUUUUACGAAAGGCACCAUGAAUAAAAUGUGAACCACCAUCAGUCAUUAAAUAUCUAGGGACUCCAAAUCUCAGAAAAAUAACUUCUUUAAGCAUCUUAAUAGAGGUGUUAUGAUCAGCACUACUAGUUGGAAUAGCUUCUACCCACUUAGUAACGUAAUCAACAGCGACUAAAAUAUGUGUAUACCCAUUAGAGGAAGGAAACGGUCCCAUAUAAUCAAAGCCCCAAACAUCAAAUGGUUCAAUAACAAGUGAAUAAUUCAUAGGCAUUUCUUGACGUCUACUAAUAUUACCAAUUCUUUGACAUUCAUCACAAGACAAGACAAACUUACGAGCAUCCUUGAAGAGAAUAGGCCAAUAAAAACCGGACUGCAAUACCUUGUGUGCAGUUCUAUCUCCAGCGUGGUGCCCUCCAUAACCCUCGGAGUGACACUUGCGUAGGAUCUAUUCCUGUUCAUGCUCAGGCACACAACGUCUAAUAACACCAUCUACUCCUUCUUUAUAAAGGUGUGGGUCAUCCCAGAAGUAAUGCCUUAAAUCAUAGAAGAACUUUUUCUUUUGUUGGUAUGUGAAACUAGGUGGUAUAAAUUUAGCAACAAUAUAAUUAGCAUAAUCAGCAUACCAUGGAGAAGUGCAGGAAGUAUUUAUGACAUUUAAUUGUUCAUCAGGAAUAUAUCAUCAAUAGGUAGUGGGUUAUCAAGAACAUUCUCUAACCUAGACAAGUUGUCUGCAAUGGGGUUCUCAGCUCCCUUUCUAUUAAUAAUAUGCAAAUCAAAUUCUUGUAGCAAUAGAACCAAUCUAAUAAGUCUAGGUUUAGCAUCUUUCUUUUCUAUAAGAUAUUUAAUAGCAGCAUGAUCAGUGUGAAUAGUUACUUUAGAAUUAAUAAUAUAAGGUCUGAACUUAUCACAAGCAAAAACAACUGCUAAGAAUUCUUUUUCAGUAGUAGCAUAAUUUCUCUGGGCACUGUCUAGAGUUUUACUAGCAUAUUGAAUAACAUUUAAUUUCUUAUCAACUCUUUGCCCUAGAACAACACCUAUAGCAUAAUCACUAGCAUCACACAUAAUUUCAAAAGGUAAAUUCCAAUCAGGUGGCUGAACUAUAGGUGCGGAGAUCAAAGCUUUCUUAAGUACUUCAAAUGCUUCUACACAAUCAUCAUCGAAGACAAAGGGAAUAUCUUUUUGUAAAAGAUUAGUCAGAGGCCAAGAAAUUUUUGAGAAGUCCUUAAUGAACCUCCUAUAAAAACCGGCAUGACCAAGGAAACUUCUUAUACCUUUGAUGUCCUUGGGACACGACAUCCUUUCAAUAGCAUCAACUUGGGCUUUAUCAACUUCAAUACCUCUUUCAGAAAUUUUACGUCCCAAGACAAUGCCUUCAUUAACCAUAAAGUGGCAUUUCUCCCAAUUCAAGACAAGAUUAGUUUCUUCACACCUCUGCAAAACUCGAUCAAGGUUGCUCAAGGAAUCAUCAAAAGAGGAUCCAUAAACUGAGAAAUCAUCCAUGAAAACCUCACAAAUCUUUUCACAGAAGUCAAAGAAUAUAGCCAUCAUGCAUCUUUGAAAGGUAGCAGGUGAAUUACAUAAACUAAAAGGCAUACGUCUAUAAGCAAAAGUACCGAAAGGGCAAGUAAAAGUGGUCUUUUCUUGAUCCUCAGCUGACACAGGUAUUUGAGAGAAACCAGAGUAGCCAUCUAGAAAUCAAAAAUGUGUAUGUUUGGAUAAUCUUUCUAGCAUUUGAUCAAUAAAAGGCAAAGGGUAAUGAUCUUUUUAGUAGCUUUAUUUAGUUUGCGGAAAUCAAUUACCAUCCUAUAACCUGCAAUAAUUCUCUGCGGGAUCAAUUCAUCUUUAUCAUUAAGAACGACAGUAAUACCUCCCUUCUUAGGGACACAAUGGACAUGACUUACCCACUGACUAUUAGCAACGGGAUAAAUUAUACCUGCCUCUAGGGGCUUUAAUAUUUCCUUUCUUACCACUUCUUUCAUCUUAGGAUUUAGCCAUCGUUGGUGAUCAAUAACUGGUUUGGCAUCUUUCUCCAAAUUUAUUUUGUGUUGACAAAGAGUGGGACUAAUGCCCUUAAGAUCAUCAAGCGUAUAUCCAAUAGCAGCACGGUGCUUCCUCAGAGUUUUCAAUAAUCUCUUUUCUUCAUGCUCUGAAAGGUUAGCACUAAUAAUAACAGGAUAUAUCUUCUUUUCAUCAAGAUAAGCAUAUUUAAGAGUAUCAGGUAAUGGUUUAAGCUCAAACACGGGAUCACCCUUGGGUGGAGGAGGAUCCCCUAGAAUUUCGACGGGCAAGUUGUGUUUUAGAAUAGGUCCCUAUUUAAAGAAUACUUCAUCUAUUUCCCUUCUUUCAUUCAUAAACAUUUCAUUUUCAUGGUCUAGAAAAUAUUGUUCUAAAGGAUCAGUAGGAGGCACGGCAAUAGAAGCAAGACCGAUAAUUUCAUCUUUACUAGGCAAUUCUUUAUCAUGGGGUUGUCUACGAAACUUAGAAAAAUUAAACUCAUGAGACAUAUCCCCUAAACCAACAGAAACAAUAUCCUUAUUGCAGUCUAUCUUAGCAUUAACAGUAUUCAAGAAGGGUCUACCGAAUAUAAUGGGACAAAAGUCAUCUUGUGGGGAACCAAGAACAAGAAAAUCAGCAAGAUAUUUAACUUUUCCACACAAGACUUCAACAUCUCUAACAAUCCCAAUCAGUGAAAUAGUAUCUCUAUUGGCAAGCUUAAUGGUAACCUCGAUAUCUUCUAUCGCAGCAGGUGCAAUAUCAUGCAUAAUUUCUUUGUAUAAGGAAUGAGGUAUUGCACUUGCACUAACACCCAUAUCACAUAAGCCAUGAUAACAAUGAUCUCCUAUCUUAACAGAUAUAACAUGCAUGCCUACAACAGGUCUAUGCUUAUUUUUAGUAUCAGGCCUAGCAAUUCUAGCAGAUUCUUUACAGAAGUAAAUAACAUGUCCGUCAAUACUAUCAGCCAAGAGAUCCUUAACCAUAGCAAUAUUAGGUUCAACUUUAAUUUGCUCAGGGGGUUUGUGUGUCCUAAUAUUACUUUUGUUGACUACAGUUGAAGCUUUAGCAUGAUCCUUAAUUCUAACAGGGAAAUGUGAUUUCUCAACAUAAGCAGUAGGAACAACAGGAUCAACAUAAGUGAUAGUCUUUUCUUCAACUGUAAUAGGUGCCACUACAAUGGUAGGAUUAUAUUUAAACCACUUCUCCUUAGGGAGAUCAACAUGAGUAGAAAAGGAUUCACAGAAAGAAGCUACUAUCUCAGAUUCAAGUCCAUAUUUAGUGCUAAAUUCACGAAAAGCAUCGGUAUCCAUUAAAGAUUUAACACAAUCAAACUUAGGUGUUAUACCUGACUCCUUACCUUCAUCGAGGUCCCAAUCUUCAGAGUUGUGUUUAAUUCUUUCCAAUAAAUCCCAUUUGAAUUCAAUAGUCUUCAUCAUAAAAGAACCAGUACAAGAAGUAUCGAGCAUGGAGAGAUUAUUGGGAGAAAGCCGAGCAUAAAAAUUUUGAAUAAUCAUUUCUCUUAAGAGCUCAUGAUUGGGGCAUGAAUAUAACAUUGACUUAAUCCUCCCUCAAGAUUGAGCGAUGCUUUAUCCUUCGCAAGGCCAAAAAUUAUAUAUAUAAUUAUGAUCACGAUGAACAAGAUGCAUAGGAUAAAACUUCUGAUGGAAUUCCAAUUUCAAUCGUUUGUAGUCCCGUGAUCCCAUAUCAUCACAUAGCCUAUACCAUGUCAACACAUCUCCCUUCACAGAUAAAUGGAAUACCUUCUUCUUGAUAACAUCCUCGGGCAUACCUGCAAGCUUAAAUAAUCCACAAACUUCAUCCACAUAGAUUAAUUGUAAAUCGGGAUGCAAUGUUCCAUCUCCUGCAAAAGGAUUAGCUAGCAAUUUCUCUAUUAUACCCGAAGUAAUUUCAGAGCAAACAUUUUCAGUAGGUUCGGUAGUUUGAGAGGUAACUUAUUGUGGUUCUGGAUGAGGUGAAGAUACCCUGAACAAACCCCUCAAAGGAUUAUGUUCCAUAGUAACAAGUGAUAGUAAAUUUCAGCACACUAUAUGUUGGGGAUAUCACUACUGGGCAUAAACCGGCCUAUCUGGGCCGGUUUAACUUCGUCAGUAGUUAAGUAUGUUAAAGCCCAAGAAGGCAAAUGAGGGCUCAAGGCCCAUGGUCGGUUCAAGGCCUGUAGCCGUAAACCGGCGUUGGUAUUUAACUUGUAUUGUAAGUUAGGAAUAAGUAGAGACCAAACCGGACACAUCUAUGAGCCAGUAUUGGGACUCUGUGAACCGACGGGUGUCACCCGUGUAUAUAAGGGGACGACCCGGCGGCGGUUCAAAGACAACAGACAACAGACAACAACUCGAGACAUAGGCGAAGCUUGUUUGCUCCCUAGUCAUUGAAACCCCAUCAAUUCCAUCACAACUAGACGUAGGCUUUUACCUUCAUCGAAGAGGCCGAACUAGUAUAAACUCUCUUGCAUCCCUGUGUCCGCUUUAACCCCUUCAAGCUAACCCAUCGCGAUGGCUCCACGACUAAGUCCUUUCUCUAGGACAUCUGCCGUGACAAAACCACGACAGUUGGCGCCCACCGUGGGGCUAUCGCACGAUGGUUUCAAGUUCUUGGAGGGCCGAUUUGAAGGACUCGAGGGCUACGCCAUAGGCCGGAUGACUAAGAGUCGUCGCGGCAAGCUUUACAUCGACGAUGCAGGCUGGGGCCCCGAGGCCGGCUUAGUUGAGUAUGGGUACCGGGUCCCCUUUGGUGGCAUACACGUUUUCAUCGGCAAGAUCAGAGAACCGGGCCCUGAGCCGGAUAUCUGCACCGACCUCGUCGAAACGGCUCAGCGUGCGCGAUCUGCCCGGGUUAAACCGGCCAUGAAGCGUGCCUUCGUGGGAGUCAUCCAUGGAGGAGGUCAUGAGGAUGGGUCGGGAUCUGGCGGCGAGACCGUCAUUUACUCCGGCGAUGAGUCAUCAACCGGAGAAACCGAAUCUCUUUAUCAGCUACAAGAUGGCCGAAUUGGGGGCUGUUCCGAUGGCGACAGUAUUCCGGACCCCUCUGAUCUGCCCAACCGAGUUGGAAUAUUCAUGGCCAGCACACAAGCAGCGCUUCAUUCUUCGACCGCUACGGCAACAACCUCCGGUUCAGCAGCGGCGACGGCUGCCGGGGCAGGAGGCCCUGUGCGCCCGCCGGCUCAAGUUCUAUCAGAGCUAUUUGAUGCAUUGGCUGUGCUUAUGGCGGAAGCUAAUCCGGCGGAUCAGGACGUCCACAACGCGGAGAUUGCAAAGGUAAGGGAACAGAUCACCCAGGACAAGGCGGACCUGGCAGCUGAGGAUACCAGGAUGGCCGCAGAGCGGGCCGCUCAAGACGCACAAGCCUACAGGCUCAUGUUGGACCAGAACGCGUCGCAUGAAGUCAUGAGGAGGAAGUACCGAUCCAGUUUGCCUUCGGUUUUCGAGGCUAGAGACCUUUUCAACACCCCAGGAGCAGGAACCAGUAAUCCGCUGGAGGGAAACCGGGCGGAAGCUCCUGGGACCGGUGCGCCGGUUCAGCCUCGUCGGAUGGACCCGCCUUGUCAAAACACCGUUAUACCUCAGGCUAUUCCGACACCUCCGGGUCACUACUCCAACCAAAUGGACAAUCUCGUUGUCGCUGCUGCACGGCUGGAGGCCAUUCCAAUUGAAGGUGACUCACCACAGGCGAUAGAGACGCGACGGGUCAAGGAGCUUCUUAGGACAGCUUUGGACCAAUAGGAAGCAUACUCGUACAGCCGCGACCGGAUCCACUCGACCCCUCGCCCAAGCCGGAGCUAUAGCAGGCGUAUGGAGGAACCGACAGUGUCAAGUAAUGAACGACGUGGAGCACCUCGCGGCAACAACCCGGCGGGUGGUGCUGAUAACGCUCAGGAAGUGGUGGACCGGGCUCAGCACGCAGGGAGGCCGAGUUAGCCGCACAAUAUCAGGCUCGGCAGCUUACGCCGGUUCGUCCAACUAUUUCGGUCGAACCCGGUGUUACUUCUAGCUCUUUGGGGGUGCCUUGCCUUGUCCCUGCUUUACGCAAUGUGCGCCUGCCCAAGGAUUUCAAGGGCCCGCGCAAGGUACCAAAUUACACGGCGGAUCAACCCCCAGAGACAUGGGUGGAGAGCUAUGAGAUGGCCAUGGAGAUGCUGGAUGUGGAUGAUGCGACAUGUGCAAAGUACUUCACCAUGAUGCUUGAAGGAACGACCCGCACUUGGUUAAAAAGCUUACCGGCCAAUUCUAUCAGUUCAUGGGCCCAAUUACGAGCCCGGUUUAUCAAUAAUUUCAAGGAUACAUGUAAGCAGCCCAUGUCGAUAGUAGACUUAGCUUCCUGUGUCCAGGAGGAAGGAGAAUCGACAACUCAUUGGGUGCGCCGGGUCUCACAAGUGUUGCAUUCAUCAGACCGCAUCAACGCUGACACCGCAGUCUUAACCCUAGAAGGCAACUGCCGGUUUGGGCCCCUAAAGCUGAAGUUGGGACGGAUGAAGCGCCAUUGCACUGACAUGGGGACCCUCAUGGCUGCUUUGGUAAAGUAUGUUGAUUCUGAUAGUACCAAGGAUCCUGAAUCUGAUGAUGACAAGGCAGGGAAGGGAAAGAGGAACAGCAACUCCAAAGGUCAGGAGCAUCACUGGGCAGGCAAUGGUGGUGGAGGAAAGCGUAAAGCGGAUGGUAACAUGGACUUUGUGGCUAAUACCAACGCGCAGGACAAUGGCCAGCGACGCAAGGGUAAACCGAAAAAUCGCAGUGGGGCACCCAACCCUAACCCAGACCGCCUAAAUUAUCUGCUAAGCCAGCCCUGUCCAAGACAUGGGACGAAGGAGGUGCCAGCAAACCACCUUUGGAAGGAUUGCUUCAUUAUGUAGGAGUUCAAGAAUUCUAAUGCUUUCCGGUAUGAUCACGGCUCCGGCGGUGGCUCAGGAUCCGGGCCGGGUUACGGCGGAGCAAAUUCCGGUUCAGGAUUUAAUGGUAAUCCAGGCGGACAUAACAGUCAAAAUAAUCAGAACAACCAAAGUGGUUACAACCAGCAGCAGCAACAGUUAGGUUACCAGAGCAACCCAAAGCAGUUGAAUAGUGGGUAGUACCAUGUCUUUACCACUAGCUUGGACAAGUGAGACCGGAAGGUUCAGAGGCGGGCAGUCAACUCUGUUGAACCGGCCGUGCCCUGUUAUCUACGCUGGUCUGAAUAGCCAAUCAUAUGGAGCAGGGAGGAUCAGCCUCCCCAGGUUGAUAAUCCAGGUCAGUUGGCUCUGGUGGUGGCGCCUCAGGUGGGAGGUUACAGUUUCACCAAAGUGCUCAUGGAUGGAGGGAGCAGCAUUAAUAUCUUGUACUAUGAGACCUUCCAUCGUAUGGGACUAACAGAUAAAAAUCUCAAACCAUCUAAUACGGUGUUCCGCGGUGUGGUACCUGGCAAGUCAGCAUACCCUAUUGGUAAGAUAGCUCUGGAAGUGGCCUUUGGAGAUGAUCAUGAUUCCAGGUCGGAAACAUUGACGUUUGAAGUAGUGAAAAUCCAAAGUCCAUAUCACGCCCUAUUUGGCGACCGGCCUACGCCAAGUUUAUGGCACAGUGUCACGCCCUCGAUGCGGCUAUAUCUCCCACGUGUCGAAGCACGACUUAGAGGCAUAACCGCAUUGAAAGCAAUGUCGCAAGUGAGGUAAUCUUCACAUAACCCAUGUAGUACAUAAGGGAAAGAGAUACAUAGUUGGCUUACAAUCGCCACUUCACAUAAUUACAUGAAUAAAGCAUUACAUCAUCCAAAUACACUCAAGGUCCGACUACGGAACCAAAAUAAAAGAAGAACCCCAAAUGCGACAAGGUCCCCGAUCGACCCCAACUGGGCUCCACUACUGAUCAACUAGAACAAAACAACACAAAGGACAAGAUCUUCAUCGAGCUCCUCCUGAGCUUGGUUGUGUCAUCUGCAUGGUUUCAUCGACACCUGCAAGCUGGUUUUGGAAGUAUCUGGGAGUCACGGGGACUCAGCAAUCUCGCACCCUUGCGAUCAAGACUAUUUAAGCUUAUGGGUAAGGUACAAGGAUGAGGUGGAGCUGCAGCAAGCGACUAGCAUAUAUGGUGGCUAACUUAUACGCAAAAGAGAGCGAGAAGAGAAGGCAAAAGCACGGUCGAACAACUAUGAUCAAGAAGUGAUCCUAGGACAACCUACGUCAAACAUAACUCCAACACCGUGUUCACUUCCCGGACUCCGCCGGAAAGAGACCAUCACGGUUACACACGCGGUUGAUGCAUUUUAGUUAAGGUCAACUUCAGGUUUUCUACAACCGGACAUUAACAAAUUCCCAUCUGCCCAUAACCGCGGGCGCAGCUUUCGAAAGUUCAAAACCCUGCAGGGGUGUCCCAACUUAGCCCAUCACAAGCUCUCACGGUCAACAAAGGAUAUUCCUUCUAGCGGGAAGACAUGAUCAGACUCGGAAUCCCGGUUACAAGACAUCCUCGACAAUGGUAAAACAAGUCCAGCAAGACCACCCGCUGUGCCGACAAAUCCCGAUAGGAGCUGCACAUAUCUCAUUCUCAGGGCACACCGGAUAAGCUAAGCUUACAGGAGCCUACGUAACCCAAGUUGCCAAGGGAUGGCCCUACACGAUGCUCUGGGUUGGACCAACACUCAGAGGAGCACUGGCCCGGGGGUUUAAAAUAAAGAUGACCCUUGGGCUGGCCUAACCCAAGGGAAAAAGAGGCUAGGUGGCGAAUGGUAAAACCAAUGUUGGGCCUUGCUGGAGGAGUUUUAUUCAAAGCGAACUGUCAAGGGGUUCCCAUAAUAACCCAACCGCGUAAGGAACGCAAAAUCCGGGAACAUAACACCGAUAUGACAGAAACUAGGGCGGCAAGAGUGGAACAAAACACCAGGCAUAAGGCCGAGCCUUCCACCCUUUACCAAGUAUAUAGGUGCAUUAAUUAAAUAAGAUAUAUUAUGAUAUCCCAACAAAAUAUCCAUGUUCCAAACAUGGAACAAGCUCCAAUCUUCACCUGCAACUAACAACGCUAUAAGAGGGGCUGAGCAAAGUGGUAACAUAGCCAAACAACGGUUUUCUAGGACAAGGUGGGUUAGAGGCUUGGUUCAACAAUAUGGGAGGCAUGAUAAGCAAGUGGUAGGUAUCGCAGCAUAGGCAUAGCAAAAGAGCGAGCAACUAUCAAGCAAAGAUAGAAGUGAUUUCGAGGGUAUGAUCAUCUUGCCUGAAAUCCCGCAAGGAAGAAGAACGAGUUCAUGAAGAAGAUAAACGGACGUAGUCGAACGGAUCCUCACAAAGCAACGUUACCAGAAACAACCCGAAGAAGCAACACCGGAAAGAAGCAAACAACAUAGUAAAAAACCACCACAUAACAUGGCAUGAUGCACAAUCAAGUAUGAUGCAUGUCCGGUUUAAUGAAGCAUGGCAUGGCAAAGUGCACAAGCAACCCUACAAAUUAAGUGGAGCACAAUAUGCAACGGAGUUGCAUAUUGCCAGAACACCACAUAGCGUAUUUAGUUCGAUCUUGUUUAUGUACCCAACAAUAUUAAAUGUUGUUAGCAUGGCAAGAGGUGAAGCAUGAUGAAACUAUCUAAUCUAGGCAAGUUUAAAUGAGGCCAGAACAACAAAACAACAAGUCCGGAAACUCCUCAUAUGCAUAUAUUAGGUUUGGUACUGUUCUGCCCUAAACAUAAUUUUAGAGUUAUUAAACAUGCAAAACAAGCACACCAUGUUAAACUAGGCAUUUUUCCACCCCAUUUACAUAUAAAGUUUAUUAAAAUCCGAGUUACGGUUAUUUAGUUAUGAAAUAAAGCAUUUUAACAUGGCAUAGGAGCAAAUUUACGCAAACAGCAUUUUAAGCAUUUGAAACAUGGAUGAAAAUGACAUAUUAUGAAACUAGACAGAAUUCUAAGCAACUUCCAUAUUAAGUUUGUUUUAAUCCGAUGCACGGUUUGUGAGUUAUUAUAUGCAUGUUGUCUAGGGACUUUUCUGUAAAACAACGGUUUUCUGGAAAAAAAACAGACAAAUUCGUAGAAUAGGAAAAACUAUACUAGGCUGAAUCUAAGGAGAGGCCCAGUAAGGCAAUAGGCGCAACAUAACUAUCAGACGCACAGGCACAGAAUAGCGGAGGGGCUGGGCUAUGCUCACAUUGGGCCAUGGGCCGAAAGUGGAGAAGCGGCCGGGCCGGAUCUGGUGACAAGAAGACGUUGCUGGGCCUUGGGCACCGCUGGGCCUCGCGCAGCGGUCAACGCAUGCAGGCGACGCGCGGGGUGUCGAGGCAGAGGCGCCAUCCUCGUCUGCCCGAACUGCUGCCGCAUCGAUGCAGCGAAAGAGACCCGCGGCUGGAGGGGCUUGGCGCGGCAGAACGUCGCAGGGACGACCGGAUCCAGGGCAGGGAGGCUCGACGGGAAGCAGGGGCAGCUGAAACUGGGCGAGGACGGCGUUCUCCGGUGAGGCGCCAGAUCCGGCGGCUGCGAGGGAGCUCCCGGGGCUGUCCAUGGUGACCUGCGAAUUUUAUGGAGAAGAGAGACCACAUGUGAGAGAGGAAACUAGAGGGAACGAGAGAAGAAGGGAAGGAGAAGCAGCGAGUGGGUGCGGGGUCCGGCCUGAUGGAGGUGGUCGCCGGCGGGGACGCGGGUGCAGCUCCGGCAAGGUUGCUGCAGGGCCGGACGAGCUGAGGUGGUCGGGGCCUCGCGAGCUGCUCGGGGUGAGGAGGUGGGCGCUGGGAGAUACGGUUGGAUGGAUGGAUCGAUGGAAUGCACUGGUUGCGCGAGGGGAUCGAGGAGGAUCGGGCGAGGCGAUCCCGAGGUGGGAUGCGACCCGAUGGCGGCAGUGGAGGGACAAAGUUCCUAAUUUUUAGGGUUGGACUAAUACAUAUAUAGCAUGUGGAUAUUUGGGUAGGGGCUAAUCCGUCCCUCCAAUAAAAUCGAGCGGCCGAGAGAAAAAAUAUGUUGGGAAGUCCAAUUAACAAAAUGGAGACGUUUUGUAUAUGUUUGGGGAUGAUCCGGACACCACGAUAACGACUGUCCGGGUCGGGUCCAGGACAGAUUUCGGAUGCGCACGUGAGGGGUUCGGUGCACUGUGCAGAGAGGGUUUCGGACCGUGUGGUCGCAUCGGACAACUCCGGAAGCGAAGAGGGGAAGGAGGAUGGACUAGGUGGGCUGUGGCGAGACUGCGAGGGGGAGAAGAGAGAGAGAGGGCCCGGCAUCUGUUUCCGGAGACCGAAAACGCCCGACGUUAGACCGGCUCCUAUUGCUGCUAUAUUUUAACGGUUGGGAUAUCAAACGAGCUCCGAAUGCGAUGAAACUUGACAGGCGGUCUAUCUACACUAAAAUAAGACCGCACGCCAACUUUCAACCCAUUCCGAGAACAUUUUCCGGCCACUUAUAAAAUAAUAUUUCGGACGUGCCGCGGGCGCGUGCAAGUGUGGUUGGGCUCAGAACGGACAACGGAGAGAACGGGGAGGCCGGGACAGAUGCAAGUUUUGAAAACAUGAUGAUGCAAUGCACAUGAUGACAUGAUGAAAUGGAACCACGCAAGCAAAUGACAUGGCAACGCCGGCGAACAACUGGAAGACACCUGGCGCAACGGUCUCGGGGCGUUACAACACUCCACCACUACGAGAGGAUCUCGUCCCGAGAUCUAGAAUGGCACCGGAGGGAAAAUGGAAGAGAAAGAGAAGAGGUAAAAACUAAGUUGCUUCUUUGACGAAUGAGUGAAACCAAAGAACCUUGAAAAGGUUAAGCCAUUUCGAGAAAAGAAUACAACGGAGAUGACAAAUUGAAAACACUCCGUUAUAAAAGAGGGACAAGGAAGAACAAAGUUGAAAGCACUCCGGUAGGGAAGAUUAAUAAGGAAGAACAAAUUUGGGCAGCACUCUGGUUGAAAAGGGCGGAUAAAGAAGAACUUUGAUCAUUUAUUAGCACCGUAAAUAGCAACAAUCCUUAGGGAAGGCUUUAUGUGAAACACGACACAAGAUAACUCCAACGAAGAGGUUGAUGGAUUUAAAAUACCUCAUUCUUAACAACAUGUGUAUCAUGAAACAUGAACUCAAGUUAUCAAGAAUGACAUAAUACCACCUCCAAUGAUACGGAAGAAAGAAUUGCACUCCGGAUAGCAAGAAGAAGAAUGCUAGAGCUCCUCUGAAAAGAAUCUUGAUGAACACUUCGAGAAGGAAUCAAAUCCUUGAUGAACCAUCAUGUAGAACCUUCGUGAGAACUCCGGUAAUAAAAGGAUGAUCAAAAGGAAGUGAAGGAUGAAAAGAAUAAGAUUGAAACCUUGCAAUGAUUAGAUGGAGCUUUGAAAUGAUAUAAUUGAAAUAACUUGGAGCUUCGUAAAAGAAAGAUUAACCAAAGCGAUCAAGAAACUAUUUGUCAUGAGCAAACUCCGGAAGAAAAGAUUAACAUACGGAUGGAAUAAGAAUAAGAAUUACAUUAUGCUUAACCUUCACCAAUUUAAUAGAUGACAAGCAAUGGAUUUGGCACACUACUUAUUCUCGUAGAAAGGAUUAAGAGAGAUAUGGCGCAAACUUGAGAAAGUCUUCAACGAUCCAUCGGUAGAAUUUGAAAAGCACGAAUGCAUAGAUAUGAUACACGAAGGAAGAAAACUCUUGAACGAACCACCGUAAGAAUUGAAAAGAACGAACAUGAAGACACACCGGGAAGAAUUAGCAAUUAAACGAAGAUGCUUGAGAGAAUUUAGAUACAAGAGGACGAAUAUGUCACGAGCUUAAUAGAGAAUAUUUGAAUGAUGUACCGGUAAGAUUUGGGGAACGAGAGCUGAAAGCUGAGAAUGAAUAACUCUGAGAUGAUGGACUCCGGAUAACAAACUAAGAAGACUCUUGAAUUGCUUCGGAUGGACGAAAAGAAUUCUCACGGUCAAAACAAUUACGAGAGGAUGGCAACAAGCUAGAAUCACGAAUCUUGAAGAGAAUGGAGCAAGAUUAAAGAGAAACUCUUCUUCGGUAUUCAAAAUCCGAGAAUGACAAUGAGAAGCACCGCCAUGAAUUAUUUAGACACUUCGAAAUGAAGAAAAGAGGAGAGGUUGAGCCAAAGAUGAAAAGAAUUUGAAAGAUCUUGGAGAAAAACACACCUGACUGAUGAAGAUUCAUUGUUAUGUCAAACUUUGAAAGAUUUGAGAAUAGCUCCGGUAAAAUAAGAAGAGUCAGGUAAGAUCCUGGGAAAAGACCUGUGGAUUAGGGCCCACUCAAAAGAAACACCGUUGAACAAUUUAAAAGAAAGAUUGCACCGGUUGAAUUAAAUGGCUUGAGUGAGAUAACAGACUCAAGAUAUCUUGAACACUUCGGAACAAAUGAAUAGUGAAGAGUGGAUGAUUAUGAGGUGCACCGGCAUGGGAAGGUAUUUGAAAUGAGGAAAAAGGAUAUGAUCAACACCAAAGCUUGAUUUGAAUACGCCAGAGAAGAAAACGAGUGAUGAGAGACGAACUUGAAUCUUCAUUAGCAUCUUCUGAGAAUCAACGGAUAAGAACAUUGACGGAAAAGAAUGGAGAGACUUCCCAUCAAUAAGAUGGAUACUCGAUUAAGAAAUCUGAGUCCUUGAAGAAAACAAGGGAGGGAGGGUGGGAAAAACAAAGACAAUUUGAAAUGGAUGAAACGAACACCGUUGAGAAAGCUGAGGUUGAAUCUUGCAAAUGUUGAAAAUGGACGGAUCCGCUUGAAGAGAAGCACACCGGUUGAAAAGGAUUGACAUGGCAAUCUCGAUUAUCAUGAAGGAUUAGUGUUUGCAUCGGAGUAUGAGAACACCAUUUGGGGAAGGUAUGGAAUCAAACACUUGACAUCGAAGCAACUCGAAUACCACAACUCAAAACAAAACAAAGGAUUGACUUGCAAAAUAAGCCGGCACAAACAUAUGAUAGAGAUUUCGUCCGAAGUUUUCAUGGUGGGGCCUACACGGGCUCGAUCGUACAGCACCAUCAUGUACAAGGCAGUGCACAUGACAUACGAAGCGUCCCCGAGUCGGCAUAGCCAAGGACUCUUUAAGACACAACGAGACCACUGUAAAACCGACCGUGGAUAGGCGGACCACUAGAUGUCGAACCCCAAUUUCAUAUCAUACAUCUAACGGAAAGAUAUCCUAAGAGCUACUUGAAUUCCCACUUAUAAACUCCCGAAAUUUUCCGGUUAUGCAAUCAGGUGUUGCGGAUACAGGGGAAGCAUAAUAUCUCACCCAAACUAGCAAAUCCUACAUCCAGCUGUAUCCAUCCUUCAACACAUAACUAAGAAACCUUCGGAAAUCGUCUACCUCAACCUUCGAAAAGCAUCUGUUAUACAAGUUAUGGCAAUACUCCCGAACUCCCGCCCCAGUACUGGGUGGCGUCGAGGUUAUCUCACCAACAACUGCAUAAAAGAGAUUUUUGAUGUCGGCGUACUAAACUCAGGUAUUCCAGAACUGCAACGAUAAAAUUGUGACGACAACACCUUGGAGCUCAACUCCCCGGGACACUGCCACAACCCCUAAAUGACAUGAGGCACCAAGAACAAUGUUCUCGUCACAAAUCCAUCGGAACGAUUCCAAGAUACCCGCGUGAUCCUAAAAAAAUUUAGUGAAAUUUGAGAAGAGAAGAGUCAAAACUCUAUGUCAGGAUGCCUUACCAGAGCGAUGAAGGGAUUGGGGAGUAAAAAGAAUUCCUAAACUCUCCGAUAUAUAAUUCCUAAAUGACUCAAAACAUUUUUCUAGACUCAACUCGUCCGCUAAUUCGAUCAAGCAGUGGGGGCUCCUAAGGUCGGGGAAGGCUCUGAUUACCAACUUGUCACGCCCUCGAUGCGGCUAUAUCUCCCACGUGUCGAAGCACGACUUAGAGGCAUAACCGCAUUGAAAGCAAUGUCGCAAGUGAGGUAAUCUUCACACAACCCAUGUAUUACAUAAGGGAAAGAGAUACAUAGUUGGCUUACAAUCGCCACUUCACAUAAUUACAUGAAUAAAGCAUUGCAUCAUCCAAAUACACUCAAGGUCCGACUAUGGAACCAAAAUAAAAGAAGAACCCCAAAUGCGACAAGGUCCCCGAUCGACCCCAACUGGGCUCCACUACUGAUCAACUAGAACGAAACAACACAAAGGACAAGAUCUUCAUCGAGCUCCUCCUGAGCUUGGUUGCGUCAUCUGCAUGGUCUCAUCGACACCUGCAAGCUGGUUUUGGAAGUAUCUGUGAGUCACGGGGACUCAGCAAUCUCGCACCCUCGCGAUCAAGACUAUUUAAGCUUAUGGGUAAGGUACAAGGAUGAGGUGGAGCUGCAGCAAGCGACUAGCAUAUAUGGUGGCUAACUUAUACGCAAAAGAGAGCGAGAAGAGAAGGCAAAAGCACGGUCGAACAACUAUGAUCAAGAAGUGAUCCUAGGACAACCUACGUCAAACAUAACUCCAACACCGUGUUCACUUCCCGGACUCCGCCGGAAAGAGACCAUCACGGUUACACACGCGGUUGAUGCAUUUUAGUUAAGGUCAACUUCAGGUUUUCUACAACCGGACAUUAACAAAUUCCCAUCUCCCCAUAACCGCGGGCACGGCUUUCGAAAGUUCAAAACCCUGCAGGGGUGUCCCAACUUAGCCCAUCACAAGCUCUCACGGUCAACGAAGGAUAUUCCUUCUAGCGGGAAGACAUGAUCAGACUCGGAAUCCCGGUUACAAGACAUCCUCGACAAUGGUAAAACAAGUUCAGCAAGACCACCCGCUGUGCCGACAAAUACCGAUAGGAGCUGCACAUAUCUUGUUCUCAGGGCACACCGGAUAAGCUAAGCGUACAGGAGCCGACGUAACCCAAGUUGCCAAGGGAUGGCCCUACACGGUGCUCUGGGUUGGACCAACACUCAGAGGAGCACUGGCCCGGGGGUUUAAAAUAAAGAUGACCCUUGGGCUGGCCUAACCCAAGGGAAAAAGAGGCUAGGUGGCGAAUGGUAAAACCAAUGUUGGGCCUUGCUGGAGGAGUUUUAUUCAAAGCGAACUGUCAAGGGGUUCCCAUUAUAACCCAAUCGCGUAAGGACCGCAAAAUCCGGGAACAUAACACCAAUAUGACAGAAACUAGGGCGGCAAGAGUGGAACAAAACACCAGGCAUAAGGCCGAGCCUUCCACCCUUUACCAAGUAUAUAGGUGCAUUAAUUAAAUAAGAUAUAUUGUGAUAUCCCAACAAAAUAUCCAUGUUCCAAACAUGGAACAAGCUCCAAUCUUCACCUGCAACUAACAACGCUAUAAGAGGGGCUGAGCAAAGCGGUAACAUAGCCAAACAACGGUUUGCUAGGACAAGGUGGGUUAGAGGCUUGGUUCAACAAUAUGGGAGGCAUGAUAAGAAAGUGGUAGGUAUCGCAGCAUAGGCAUAGCAAAAGAGCGAGCAACUAUCAAGCAAAGAUAGAAGUGAUUUCGAGGGUAUGAUCAUCUUGCCUGAAAUCCCGCAAGGAAGAAGAACGAGUCCAUGAAGAAGAUAAACGGACGUAGUCGAACGGAUCCUCACAAUGCAACGUUACCAGAAACAACCCGAAGAAGCAACACCGGAAAGAAGCAAACAACAUAGUAAACAACCACCACAUAACAUGGCAUGAUGCACAAUCAAGUAUGAUACAUGUCCGGUUUAAUGAAGCAUGGCAUGGCAAAGUGCACAAGCAACCAUACAAAUUAAGUGGAGCACAAUAUGCAACGGAGUUGCAUAUUGCCAAAACACCACAUAACGUAUUUAGUUCGAUCUUGUUUAUGUACCCAACAAUAUUAAAUGUUGUUAGCAUGGCAAGAGGUGAAGCAUGAUGAAACUAUCUAAUCUAGGCAAGUUUAAAUGAGGCCAGAACAACAAAACAACAAGUCCGGAAACUCCUCAUAUGCAUAUAUUAGGUUUGGUACUGUUCUGCCCUAAACAUAAUUUUAGAGUUAUUAAACAUUCAAAACAAGCACACCAUGUUAAACUAGGCAUUUUCCCACCCCAUUUACAUAUAAAGUUUAUUAAAAUCUGAGUUACGGUUAUUUAGUUAUGAAAUAAAGCAUUUUAACAUGGCAUAGGAGCAAAUUUACGCAAACAGCAUUUUAAGCAUUUUAAACAUGGAUGAAAAUGACAUAUUAUGAAACUAGACAGAAUUCUAAGCAACUUCCAUAUUAAGUUUGUUUUAAUCCGAUGCACGGUUUGUGAGUUAUUAUAUGCAUGUUGUCUAGGAACUUUUCUGUAAAACAGCAGUUUUCUGGAAAAAAAAAUAGACAAAUUCGUAGAACAGGAAAAAAAACUUCACUGGGCUGAAUCUAAGGAGAGGCCUAGUAAGGCAAUAGGCGCAACAUAACUAUCAGACGCACAGGCACAGAAUAGCGGAGGGGCUGGGCUAUGCUCACAUCGGGCCAUGGGCCGAAAGUGGAGAAGCGGCUGGGCUGGAUCUGGUGACAAGAAGACGUUGCUGGGCCUUGGGCACCGCUGGGCCUCGUGCAGCGGUCAACGCACGCAGGCGACGCGUGGGGUGUCGAGGCAGAGGCGCCAUCCUCCUCUGCCCGAACUGCUGCUGCAUCGAUGCAGCGAAAGAGACCCGCGGCUGGAGGGGCUUGGCGCUGCGGAACUUCGCAGGGAUGACCGAAUCCAGGGCGGGGAGGCUCGACGGGAAGCAGGGGCGGCUGAAACUGGGCAAGGACGGCGUUCUCUGGUGAGGCGCCAGAUCCGGCGGCUGCGAGGGAGCUCCUGGGGCUGUCCAUGGUGGCCUGCGAAUUUUAUGGAGAAGAGAGACCACAUGUGAGAGAGGAAACUAGAGGGAACGAGAGAAGAAGGGAAGGAGAAGCAGUGAGUGGGUGCGGGGUCCGGCCUGAUGGAGGUGGUCGCCGGCGGGGACGCGGGUGCAGCUCCGGCAAGGUUGCUGCAGGGCCGAACAAGUUGAGGUGGUCGGGGCCUCGCGAGCUGCUCGGGGUGAGGAGGUGGGCACUGGGAGAUACGGUUGGAUGGAUGGAUCGAUGGAAUGCACUAGUUGCGCGAGGGGAUCGAGGAGGAUCGGGCGAGGCGAUCCCAAGGUGGGAUGCGACCCGAUGGCGGCGGUGGAGGGACAAAGUUCCUAAUUUUUAGGGUUGGACUAAUACAUAUAUAGCAUGUGGAUACUUGGGUAGGGGCUAAUCCGUCCCUCCAAUAAAAUCGAGCGGUCGAGAAAAAAAAUAUGUUGGGAAGUCCAAUUAACAAAAUGGAGACGUUUUGUAGAUGUUUGGGGAUGAUCCGGACACCGCGGUAACGACUGUCCGGGUCGGGUCCGGGACAGAUUUCGGACGCGCACGUGAGGGGUUCGGUGCACUGUGCAGAGAGGGUUUCGGACCGUGUGGUCGCAUCGGACAACUCCAGAAGCGAAGAGGGGAAGGAGGAUGGACUAGGUGGGCUGUGGCGAGACUGCGAGGGGGAGAAGAGAGAGAGGGCCCGACAUCUGUUUCCGGAGACCGAAAACGUCCGACGUUAGACCGGCUACUAUUGCCGCUAUAUUUUAACGGUUGGGCUAUCAAACGAGCUCCGAAUGCGAUGAAACUUGACAGGCGGUCUAUCUACACUAAAAUAAGACCGCACGCCAACUUUCAACCCAUUCCGAGAACAUUUUCCGGCCACUUAUAAAAUAAUAUUUCGGACGUGCCGCGGGCGCGUGCAAGUGUGGUUGGGCUCAGAACGGACAACGGAGAGAACGGGGAGGCCGGGACAGAUGCAAGUUUUGAAAACAUGAUGAUGCAAUGCACAUGAUGACAUGAUGAAAUGCAAUCACGCAAGCAAAUGACAUGGCAACGCCGGCGAACAACUGGAAGACACCUGGCGCAACGGUCUCGGGGCGUUACACAUGGCCCUGUUAUGUGUAUUUGCAGCUCAAGAUGCCGGGUCACAAGGGGACAAUAACGUUUCACGGAAACCGUAAAAUUGCUUUGGAAUGCGUGGAAGGAGAUGCGGCUUACGCAGAGUCGGUUUGUGCCACCGAGGAGCUGAAGUAUUAUAAGGACAAUGUUGAUCCGGCGGACAUGACUCCAUUAAAGAAGCCAACAAUGGAGCAUGAUCCGGCCCUGAAGUUCAAAUCGGCAGCAGAAACUAAGCUUGUUGACUUCCUACCUGGCGAUUCAUCCAAGCAGUUCAGCAUCAGUGCCAACUUGGAUCCGAAAUAGGAAAGCGCGGUCAUCGAGUUCAUCCAUGAGAAUCGGGACAUUUUUGCAUGGAAGCCCUCUGACAUGCCAGGUGUACCGAGGCAACUCGCUGAGCACACCCUUAAUGUGGAUCCUAAAUACAAACCGGUGAAACGGUUCCUCCGCCGGUUUAAUGAAGAAAGACGCAAGGCGAUUGGAGAAGAGGUAGCCAGGCUCUUAGCAGCUGGCUUUAUUGUUGAAGUUUUUCACCCUGAAUGGCUUGCCAAUCCGGUGCUGGUCCUUAAGAAAUACGGCACCUGGCGCAUGUGUGUGGAUUACACAGAUCUUAAUAAGGCUUGUCCAGCAGAUCCUUUUGCCCUCCCCCGUAUUGAUCAAAUUAUUGAUGCUACGGCGGGUUGUGAGCGUUUAAGUUUUUUGGAUGCAUAUUCUGGCUAUCAUCAGAUCAAAAUGGCAGUUAAGGACCAGGAGAAGACGGCAUUCAUAACUCCCUUUGGAGCCUUCUGCUAUGUGUCUAUGCCCUUUGGGCUCAAGAGUGCCCAGGCAACUUAUCAACGGUGUGUACAAAAUUGUCUUCACAAGCAGAUUGGCAGUAAUGUACAUGCUUACGUGGAUGAUAUCGUGGUUAAGUCCAGGGAGAAGGAGACUCUGGUUGACGAUUUGAAGGAAACCUUUGUUAACCUGAGGACGUACAAGAUGAUUCUUAAUCCGGCCAAGUGUGUCUUUGGUGUACCGGUAGGCAAGUUAUUGGGUUUUCUGGUGUCCAACAGGGGAAUUGAGGCUAAUCCGGAGAAGAUCACAGCCAUCACCUCCCUGGCUAAACCGAAGUGUAUCAAUGAUGUUCAACACCUGGCAGGCCGGAUUGCUGCAUUAAGCCGGUUUAUCAGCCGCCUUGGUGAGAAGGCAAUCCCUUUGUAUCAGAUGUUGAAGAAGAUGGAUCAGUUCGUCUGGAGUUCCGCUGCUGAUGAAGCGUUUGAGGACUUAAAGCGGCAAUUGGUCAAUCCGCCUGUGCUCGCCGCUCCCGUUGACAUGGAGCCGUUAUUACUAUAUGUUGCUGAUAAUGCUCGUGCGGUCAGUGUGGCUAUUGUGGUGGAGCGAAAGGAGACAGGUAAGGAGCAUCCAGUUCAAUGUCCGGUCUAUUAUAUCAGCGAGGUACUCAUUGAGUCCAAGAAAAGGUAUCCGCAUUGGCAGAAGCUAGUAUACGGAGUUUUUAUGGCAAGCCGAAAGCUUAAGCAAUACUUUCAAGGGCACCCAAUUACGGUGGUCAGUUCUGCUCCUUUGGGGGAUAUCAUCCAGAACCGGGAAGCGACUGGCCGGAUUGCCAAGUGGGCUAUAGAGCUCAGGCCGCACGGAUUGAAGUAUGUGCCUCGGACGGUGGUUAAGUCUCAAGCACUUGUUGAUUUCAUCAAUGAUUGGACGGAACUGCAAGCACCUGAAGAAAAGCCGGAUCACACAUAUUGGACCAUCCAUUUUGACGGAUCCAGGCAAUUGGAAGGCUCGGGGGCUGGAGUCGUAUUAACUUCCCCACGAGGUGAUAAGUUUUGUUAUGUUCUCCGCUUAAUGUUCCCUUGUACUAACAAUGCAGCUGAGUAUGAAGCCUUGCUCCAUAGUCUCCGAAUGACUAAGGAGAUGAAUCUAAGUCGAGUUAAGUGCUUUGGUGACUCAGACCUCGUGGCUCAACAAGUAUCUGGCACUUGGGAUUCCAAGGACCCACUCAUGGCAGCGUAUCGUCGUGAGGUGGAUAUUAUUGCAGGUCACUUUAAAGGCUAUCAGGUGGACCACGUGGACCGGCGGAAGAAUGAAGCGGCAGACGCUCUAAGCCGGCUGGGCUCUCAGCGCAAACCGGUUCCGCCCAAUGUUUUUUUCCGAUGUGCUGCAUAACCCGUCGGUCAAGCUCCCUGGUGAAGCGGAUUUGGCUAUUCCUGAUCCGGAGGCUCAAUUGGUGGCAGCUCUUCAUGUCAUUCCGGAUUGGACGCUUCCUUAUCUGGCGUACAUGAACCGGGGCGAGCUACCAGAGGAUGAGACUCUAGCUCGACAGAUAAUCCGGCGGUCCAAGUCCAUGACUAUUGUCAAUGGUGAGUUGCAUCAUUGCAGUGUAUCAGGGGCGUUUCAACGUUGUGUGUCUCCUGAAGAAGGCUGUGAAAUUUUGCGUGAGAUCCACGAAGGAGAUUGUGGUCACCACGCUGGUUCAAAAUCUUUGGUAGCUAAAGCGUUUCGCCAUGGCUUCUAUUGGUUAACUACUCAUGCUGAUGCGGAGGAUCUGGUCAGAUGAUGUGACGGUUGCCAAAAAAUUUCAAGACGUGCUCAUGUGCCGGCUCAAGAAUUGAGAAUGAUUCCAAUUACUUGGUCGUUUGCAACUUGGGGGCUGGAUGUGGUUGGGCCUUUCAAAAGGUCCAAAGAUAAUAAGACUCACCUCUUGGUGGCGGUUGACAAGUUUACAAAGUGGGUGGAGGCAGAACCUGUUAGCAAGUGUGAUGCAGCCACGGCGGUUCAGUUCAUCAAAAAAGUGAUUUUCCGGUUUGGCUUUCCACACAGUAUCAUCACAGAUAAUGGUACCAAUUUGUCCAAGGGUGCCAUGAAGGAGUUCUGUGACCGGGAGCACAUCCGGCUUGACGUUUCAUCCGUAGCACACCCACAGUCCAAUGGUCAAGCAGAAAGGGCUAAUCAAGAGAUUUUGAGAGGCAUCAAGCCCCGGCUUAUGGUUCCUUUGUAGAGAACACCGGGUUGUUGGGUAGAAGAAUUACCAUCUGUGUUAUGGAGCAUCAAUACCACACCCAACAGAUCAACAGGAUACACACCAUUCUUCAUGGUCUAUGGAGCGGAGGCGGUUCUCCCCAGUGAUAUCCGUCAUGAUUCACCUCGUGUGACGGCUUAUGUUGAAGCAGACAACAAGACAGCACGGCAAGAUGCUUUGGACCGAUUGGAUGAAGAGCGUGACAUAGCAGUUGCUCGCUUAGCGAUUUACCAACAGGAUCUUCGUCGUUAUCACAGUCGCCGAGUUAAAACCAGAACCUUUCAAGAGGGAGAUUUGGUGCUUCGGCUCAUCCAAGACCAGACUAAUUUGCAUAAGCUAUCCCCACCUUGGGAGGGACCUUUUGUGGUCAGCAAGAAUCUGCACAAUGGGUCAUACUAUCUGAUCGAUAUUCGAGAGCAUAAAGACUCACGUACAUCAGAGGAAGAGACCAACAGGCCGUGGAAUAUAGCUCAUCUUCGGCCUUACUAUACCUGAGCCAUUGGCUCCACUUAUGUACAUAUUACGAUGAUGUAUAUAUUAUGAUUAAAUAUAAUAAACCGGAACCUCAGCUAAAGCGGGGUAUCUGUUCUUUUACAUCAUGUGUGGUUACACGGAGUUGUUCUAAAGCGGCCUCCGGUUUACCCCUUGAGUUAGCUUUUCAGAAGCAUCAUGUUAUAUCACCUGGGGGCUUGGUCGUGUCCGAACCAAUGCAAUACCUCUUGAUAGGCGAAAGCCACCAGAUUACUUGGGGACUUGGUCACGUCUGAACCAGUCAUGCCUCUUGAUCGGCCUAAGGCCACAGAAUCACUUGGGGGCUUGGUCGAACCCGAACCAUUGCCAUGCCACUUGAUCGGCAUAAAUGCCACGGUUUCAUUUGGGGACCUGGCUGACUUGAACCAUAGCUACACCUAUCGGGAGCUUGGUCGUGUCCGACCAUGGUAACGCCCUCUGAUCGGCUCAAAUAAGCCUCUUUUUGCAAACGGUUUUGUCAUUGCUUUUGCUUCACAUUUUUUCUUUGAAAGAUAUUUCUUUCUUUUAUUGCGUUUUUUAAACCGACAAAGUUUUAAGCCGGUUUAAACUGUCAAUUGACGGAACACGGUUCAUUUUUAAUCCGGAGACUAUUUGCCCGGUUUGAUUUUUUUUAUUGUUAACAUCCUAUUACGGAGUAACACGGUGUUUAUUAUAACCCGGCACGGUUUACAUGGUAAACCGGCAUCAUAUAUAUAUAGGAGCUGCUAUCUCCUCCAACAGUGUGGGUUUAUAAAACUCCGCUUCAAGAUUGGCCAAGCCAACUUCACGCCCAAUGAUGGCAGGUAUUAUGUAUCUCAAAAAUUUGGUCAUAUACUUAAAAAUUUCGGAUGUUUUGAUUUCAUGUAUGCAGACAUCAUACUCCGCCUGACGGUACAACCGCGGUGGCACUUUAAGAUUUUUUAUUGCAGAAAGUACUUUGGAAAGUUAAUGACCCAAAGGAAGAGCAAGUUGCAGUAAUUAUGCACGAAGGCAUAUCAACAUCAAAAGUAUCAGCUAGCCUAUUACAAGGCAACACGGUGCCCACAAUAAGAUCAUUGUUUUUCACAAGGGAGAAGCAGUUUUAAACCGGCUUCCGGUUCAAGCUUGGCCACCAGCCUGGCCUGAUGGUUGUGGAUCAUCCCGCACUGCUUCAGCUUCAGUUUCUCUACCAAGUGGAUGGAAAUCAACAUUUGUCUAGUCGAUUCCCAUUAAUGCUUGAAAGACAGCUUCAUCAUGGAUCAGCAACGACGGGUCAAUAUCGGGAGCGUAAGUAUGCUUACGGCUUGGAGGGAUAAGAUUUUCUGCUUCAUGAAUUGGUGCAGCUAUUCGCUUAUUUUGAUUGUCAUAUUGGGCUUGAUAAUGAGACAAGUCUGCUUCUUCAGCCAAUUGACAAGCUAGCGGACGCACCUCCCGGUUUAUUGCUCGCAGAUCCGCUUCACUAAAUUCUGACCCGUCUUCCUUCAAGCUGGGAUAGCCCUGAGCCGCUUCAAUAGGAUCAAAAUCCGGCACCCUAGCUUUUGCCCGGAUUAAGGCAUUGAUCGCACCGGUUCGAGCAGCAGAUUUCUUCAGCUCUUCAACCCGGGCAGGAAGCACCGACCGUUUCAUCAGAGUGUCCUGAAUCAAAGUGGGCGCCGACUUGUUGUGGGAUGCAGUAUAGAUGAUCUGUUGUGCACCAGUGUACAGUUGUUCGAUCAACAUGUAGGCGGCUUUCAAUUUUUUCCGCACAUCUGACCCCAAGUGACCAAUGCGUGUCCCUGAAAUAUCACCAAGGGUUAACAAACCAGUAGCUCUGUAAGACGGCAGAACCAAUUCAAAAAUCAAACCGGCUUACCAAAGAUAGCAGCGGUCAUGGCAUCCACGUGUCGCUUUAUGCUGGUCAGUUCAUCCACUACCGGUUUUAGUGCAGCCUCAGCGUCUUCUGCUCGUUUAGUUAAAGCGGAUUUUUCAGUAGCCCAAUCCGCCCGCUCCUUCUUGAAAUCCUUCUUAAGUUGUUCCAUGAUGCUUAAGGCGCUGGUCAAUUCCUCUUUUGCUUUUGAGGUUUCAGUCUAUUGGGACUUCAGAUUUUCUUAGAGAUCGGCGAUUUGGGUCUCUUUUGUCUUUAGCUCAGCCUGCAUACAGACAGUUAUAUGAUUUAGCAAGCAGUGCAAGAAUUGAAGCACCAACCACAUAACAAGUUAUGCACUUGGUGCUUGGGGGCUAAUGCCUAUUUGAUCGUCAUCUUUCAAUUGAUUACAAAGUCCCAAGCUCAAUACAAGUAUUCAACUUGGCACUUGGGGGCUAAUGGCUAUUUGUUCAAAAAAGUUCUGAUGCGGAGAUAUUAAUUACUUAAGUCCCGGUUUAACUACACUAAGUUAAACCGGCCCUUGGGGGCUAGGAGAGUCAGCAAGAAUUGAAGCAUACAAGCAGGAAAGAGCAUAUGGAAGUUACCUCAUAUUUAUCUUUCAUCAUGUUAACCAGACCGGCUUCAUAGUCAUGACUGGUAUACAAUCGGUUCAGAUAGCCGGAAUGGAUGUCUUGGGCAUUCAGAGCAGCGUAAGUCACCAGAUCAACAUUCCACUUGCCUUUGCCAAAGGCAGCAAAUUCUUCCUUGGCAGUAUGUUUAGACAAAGCGACAGGAUUGCCUGGCUCUGUGCGACCAAUGCCAGUAAUGACAACCUCAUCAUCCUUGGCAUCACCGGUUUGAACUGGGGCCGUGGGCUUAUCAGUAGGCUUUGUUGGAUUGGUGGAUUUCUCAAUCCGGAUGGGGCUUGUGGGAUGGUUGACAGGACUUGAGGUAUCAAUAGGCCUCUCUUCAGCAAUAAGAUCGUCAUCUCACUGCGGUGGAUCAUUGGGUAUGUCUUCAGGAAUAGCCGCUUCAAGAUCUGGUGUUUUGCCCGGUUCAGGGACGGCAUCCUCCUCGGCCGCUUUAUCCAAGUGAGCCUUCUUGCUCGGCCUAGGCUUGGCCCUGAAAGGAAUAACAAAGUCAAAUACAGCAUAUGUUCCAAGGUGAUGUACCGGAAAUAUUAAGAUAACUAUGGCUUACCCAAGCACCGUUUUGAGCGGUGGCAGCUAAGUGACCGAGGACUCACCAGAGGAUGAGUGGGAAGUAACCUGAUAAUCGGAGUCAGAUGGAUUAAGAGGUUGACGAAAACAGCCCGCUUUACGACAAGCACUAACAAGCAAAUUAGAGACCUCUGAACAGCGUUUCUGAACCGGACUGUUCGGUAAACCAGUGGAGGUAACUACCUGGCCGCUGUGCUGGGUUGUGCGGCGAGCUUCGUGCUGUUGGGUCUUCAUAAGAAAUUUGGGAUCCAAGUAAGCGAGAGGAUGAGAAAAUUUAACUUUCCGAUUUGCCUGACGGAUUUUUAGUGAAGGCAAAGGUUCUGAAUUGGAAGAGAGAAUAAUUACCUCUGCAGCAUCAGCAUGGCUGGCUUCAGCAUCAUCCUGACAAAUAUCACCAUCAAUAAGACGCAUGAAAAAUAAGCCAAGUGAGUCAAGCCCUACCUCAAGGUCCGGAUUAUCCACAUCAUCAUCAGGGGCCGGAUUAGAGGAUGCAGUGGUUCUUUUCCUGUGGGCAGUCUUAUUCACAGCUUUAGUCUUUUGCCGGGUUGAUCUUUCCGGUUUGUCUGGUUUUUCUGGUUUCACCUGCGGCAGUUUCUUGCUCCAAAACGGAUCAUUGCCCUGGUUACACAGGCACUGAUAUUAAACAAUGACCAGACAUAUCAAUAACAGGUUCAGCAAAAGGAAAAAUCAAACUCUUACAGCUGGCGGUUUGUUGGUGGCACAGAAGGGAAGCAGGCCGGUUUUAGCACAGAUGUGUUCCGAUUCAUUCAGCAUCUUAUUCACAGCUUUUGUGAUUUCUUCGUGGGUGAGCUGGGUGUUAGCAUGUCGCAGUGGGUCAUCAACACUGCCAGUAUACUCACACAUCAAACCGGAGCACUGACUAAGGGGUAGUAUGCUCCAUGAUAUCCAACAGCGAGCGAGAUCAACCCCUGUUAAACCGUUGGCCAUGAAGGCUCUGAGCUUGGACAGUUGAGGAGCGUAUUUGCUUCUCUCCUUGGUAGUCAACCUUUGCGGAAAGGGGUGUGUAUUGCUAAGCCAGGCAAAGGAUUUUCACCAGCAGGGGAGGUGUCUUUGCAAUAGAACCAUGUUUGAUUCCACUCUUUGGGGUGGCUAUGCAGCUUGGCAUGAGGGUAUGUGACCUCUUUCCUUUUCUGAAUCGCCACACCGCCCAAUUCCGUAUUGGAACCAUCAGAAAACUCAAUACGACAGUUUAGAUGGAAACAGUCUCUGAACAACUCCACUGUGGGCUCCUCUUGAAAGAAUCCCUCACAGAGCACUUGGAAGUGACACAUGUUUGUAACAGAGUUGGGACCAGUGUCUUGUGGGUGGAGUUGAAAAUCGGCUAAAACGUCCCGGUAAAAUUUAGAACCGGGCGGCUUAAAGCCCCGGGCUAAGUGAUCUACGAAAACAAUGACCUCUCCUUCUUGAGGUGUUCUUUGCCAGGAACCCUCCAAUGGAUGGUAUCUUUGCUGCCUAAGGCGUCGAUCAGGACUAAAUCGUCCAGUUGAGCCUUUGUGACGCGAGAAGGAACCCAGUUGCACUCAUAUACUUGCUUGGCCAUGAUGAAAUCUACAAGGUAGGUGAUCCCGAUUCAAAAAUGCAUUGAUUAAGGUACAUUGGUAUGUGCAAUGUUAAACCGGAGACAGAUCUAUCUAAACCGGAGUUUUAUGAAGCAACAACAUCUGGCGGUUCAACAAGGGGACUAAUGGUAUAUACCGGUUUGGCAAUUUUUUCUACAAAGUUAAACCGCCUGGUCUAAACAUUGAAGCAGAUGAGUAAGUUUACAGAAACAGAUUUCACAAGACUUCUCUACAGCGACGGAUCUGAAGCAAGUUCAGAAAAGAAGGAAAAUAUUCAAGGUUCAAAAAAGAACAGUACUGAAUCAAUGGGCAUAGAUACAUAUAGGUCUAUGGUCUUGAGGCAUGAAACUGAAGGCGGAUGCUAAAACCUACCGCUACACAGAGCAAGGAUUCAUAGAUGCAUCUAGGAGCUAUCGUAUGAACAUGAAACAGGCGAUGAACACUAGAAGAACAUGAAACCCUAGAGCAGAUCUGUGUUGAAAAGAACAGAAGACUUACUGGGGAUGAGAAAGACGCGGAAGGUUGCCGCAGUGCUCUGGUGCGCCCAGGUUGAUGCAGCGGCCAAGGUUGAUGCAGAGGUUGACUGUGGCGGCGGAGCUCCGAAGCUGGGCGACGCGAGGAAGACGAAGUAGAAGGGCACGGAGGGGGAAAAGAAAUGACCCUUCGGUCCUAUUUAUAAGGCAAGGGACAGGAGUCAGGCGCGAAAAUCAAGGGACCGUGGGUCUGGAAAUGAAGAUGUCGCCUUAAUUCUCGCAGACCUAUUAAGGUCCUUUAUAACAGGUGACGUCACGCCGGUUUACAACGACCAGAGAAGAUGACAUCAUGGCGGUUCAACAAACUACAAGAAGAUAUUGAAGAUGAAGAUUUUUUCUAAAGGAUUGACAUGAACAUGUUCAAAUCAAUCUGGGGCCUAAUGUUGGGGAUAUCACUACUGGGCGUGAACCGUCCUAUCUGGGCCGGUUUAACUUCGUCAGUAGUUAAGUAUGUUAAAGCCCAAGAAGGCAGAUGAGGGCUCAAGGCCCAUGGUCGGUGCAAGGCCUGUAGCCGUAAACCGGCGUUGGUAUUUAACUUGUAUUGUAAGUUAGGAAUAAGUAGAGACCAAACCGGACACAUCUAUGAGCCAGUAUUGGGACUCUGUGAACUGACGGGCGUCACCCGUGUAUAUAAGGGGACGACCCGGUGGCGGUUCAAAGACAACAGACAACAGACAACAACUCGAGACAUAGGCGAAGCUUGUUUGCUCCCUAGUCAUCAAAACCCCAUCAAUUCCAUCACAACUAGACGUAGGCUUUUACUUUCAUCGAAGGGGCCGAACUAGUAUAAACUCUCUUGCGUCCCUGUGUCCGCUUUAACCCCUUCAAGCUAACACAUCGCGAUGGCUCCACGACUAAGUCCUUUCUCUAGGACAUCUGCCGUGACAAAACCACGACACUAUAUAAAUUUUUCCUUACCAAAUUCCACCUACCAAAGGCGCUUCACUCCCCGGCAACGGCACCUGAAAGAGUCUUGAUGACCCACAAGUGUAGGGGAUCUAUCAUAGCCUUUUCAAUAAGUAAGAGUGUCGAACCCAACAAGGAGCAGAAGGAAAUGAUAAGCAGUUUUCAGCAAGGUAUUCUCUGCAAGCACUGAAAUUGUCGGUAACAGAUAGUUUUGUGAUAAGGUAAUUUGUAACGGGUAACAAGUAAUAAAAGUAAAUAAGGUGCAGCAAGAUGGCACAAUCCUUUUUGUAGCAAAGGACAAGCCUGGACAAACUCUUAUAUGAAGGAAAGCGCUCCCGAGGACACAUGGGAAUUAUCGUCAAGCUAGUUUUCAUCACCAUCAUAUGAUUCACAUUCGGUAAUUUGAUAAUUUGAUAUGUGGGUGGACCGGUGCUUGGGUGUUGUCCUUACUUGGACAAGCAUCCCACUUAUGAUUAACCCCUAUUGCAAGCAUCCGCGACUACAACAGAAGUAUUAAGGUAAAUCUAACCAUAGCAUGAAACAUAUGGAUCCAAAUCAGCCCCUUACGAAGCAACGCAUAAACUAGGGUUUAAGCUUCUGUCACUCUAGCAACCCAUCAUCUACUUAUUACUUACCAAUGCCUUCCUCUAGGCCCAAACAAUGGUGAAGUGUCAUGUAGUUGAUGUUCACAUGACACCACUAGAGGAAAGACAACAUACAUCUCAUCAAAAUAUCGAACGAAUACCAAAUUCACAUGACUACUAAUAGCAAGACUUCUCCCAUGUCCUCAGGAACAAACGUAACUACUCACAAAGCAUAUUCAUGUUCAUAAUCAGAGGGGUAUUAAUAUGCAUAAUGGAUCUGAACAUAUGAUCUUCCACCAAGUAAACCAACUAGCAUCAACUACAAGGAGUAAUCAACACUACUAGCAACCCACAGGUACCAAUCUGAGGUUUGGAUACAAAGAUUGGAUACAAGAGAUGAACUAGGGUAUGAGAUGAGAUGGUGCUGGUGAAUAUGUUGAUGGAGAUUGACCCCCUCCCGAUGAGAGGAUCGUUGGUGAUGACGAUGGUGAUGAUUUCCCCCUCCCGGAGGGAAGUUUCCCUGGCAGAACAGCUCCGCCAGAGCCCUAGAUUGGUUCCGCCUUGUGGCGGUGGAGUUUCGUCCCGUAAGCUUUCUUAUGAUUUUUUCUCGGACGAAAAACCUCAUAUAGCAGAAGAUGGGCGUCAGAGGACCACCAGGGGGCCCACGAGGCAGGGGGCGCGCCCCCCACCCUCGUGGCCAGGGUGUGGGCCCCCUCUAGUAUUUUCUUCGCUCAGUAUUUUUUAUAUAUUCUGGAAAUAACUCCCAUGGAGUUUCAGGACUUUUGGAGAUGUGCAGAAUAGGUCUCUAAUAUUUGCUCCCUUUCCAGCCCAGAAUUCCAGCUGUCGGCAUUCACCCUCUUCAUGCAAACCUUGUAAAAUGAGAGAGAAUAGGCAUAAGUAUUGUGACAUAAUGUGUAAUAAUAGCCCAUAAUGCAAUAAAUAUCGAUAUAAAAGCAUGAUGCAAAAUGGACGUAUCAGGAAGCAAAUUGCCACUCCCAUAAAGAAGCCCAAAGCUAGACCCAAGCCUGAAACUGAGUGCUUCUACUGCAAAGGAAAUGGUCACUGGAAGUGGAACUGCCCUAGAUUAUUGGCGGAUAAGAAGGAUGGCAUAGUGAACAAAUGUAUAUUUGAUAUACAUGUUAUUGAUCUGUACUUUACUAGUGUUUAUAGCAACCCCUCAGUAUUUGAUACUGAUUCAGUUUCUAAGAGUAGUAACUCGAAACAGGAGUUGCAAAAUAAACAGAGACUAGUUAAGGGCGAGGUGAUGAUGUGAGUUGGAAGUGAUUCCAAGGUUGAUAAGGUCACCAUCGCACACUCCCUUUACCUUCAGGAUUAGUGUUGAACCUCAAAUAAAUGUUAUUUGGUGUUUGCGUUGAGCAUAAUAUGAUUGGAUCAUGUUUAUUGCAAUACAAUUAUUCAUUUAAGACAAAGAAUAAUUGUUAUUCUGUUUACAUGAAUAAAACCUUUCGAGGUCAUACACCCAAGGUGAAUGGUUUAUUGAAUCCCGAUCGUAGUGAUACACAUAGUCAUAAUAUUGAAGCCAAAAGAUGCAAAGUUAAUAAUGAUAGUGCAACUUAUAUGUGGCACUGCCGUUUAGGUCAUAUUGGUGUAAAGCACAUGAAGAAACUCCAUGACGACGGGCUUUUGGAAUCACUUGAUUAUGAAUCGUUUGAUGCUUGCGAACCAUGCCUCAUGGGCAAGAUGACUAAAAAUCCGUUCUCUGGAACAAUGGAGCAAGCAACUGAAUUAUUGGAAAUAAUACAUGUUGGUGUAUGCAAUCCGAUGAGUAUUGAGGCUCGCGCUAGGUAUCAUUAUUUUCUCACCUUCACAGAUGAUUUGAGCAGAUAUGGGUAUAUCUUCUUGAUGAAAUAUUAGUCUGAAACAUUUGAAAAGUUCAAAGAAUUUCAGAGUGAAGUGGAAAAUCAUCGUAACAAGAAAAUAAAGUUUCUACGAUCUGAUCGCGGUGACAAAUAUUUGAGUUACGAGUUUGGUCUUCAACUAAAACAAUGUGGAAUAGUUUCACAAAUUCAUGCCACCUGGAACACCACAGCAUAAUGGUGUGCCCGAAUGUUGUAAUCGUACUUUAUUGGAUAUGGUGCGAUCUAUGAUGUCUCUUACCGAUUUACCACUAUCGUUUUGGGGUUAUGCAUUAGAGACAGCUGCAUUCACAUUAAAUAGGGCACCAUCUAAAUCCUUUGAGACGACAUCAUAUGAACUGUGGUUUGGCAAGAAACCAAAGUUAUCAUUUCUUAAAGUUUGGGGUUGUGAUGCUUAUGUGAAAAAGUUUAAUCUUGAUAAGCUCAAAUCCAAAUCGGAGAAAUGUGUCUUCAUAGGAUACCCAAAGGAGACAGUUGGGUACACCUUCUAUCACAGAUCCGAAGGCAAGACAUUCCUUGCUAAGAAUGGAUCCUUUCUUGAGAAGGAGUUUCUCUCGAAAGAAGUGAGUGGGAGGAAAGUAGAACUUGAUGAGGUAACUAUACCUGCUCCCUUAUUGGAAAGUAGUUCAUCACAGAAAUAUGUUCCUGUGACUCAUACACCAAUAAGUGAGGAAGCUAAUGAUGAUGAUCAUGUAACUUCAGAUCAAGUUACUACCGAACCUCGUAGGUCAACCAGAGUAUGGUCCACACCAGAGUGGUAUGGUAAUCCUGUUUUGGAAGUCAUGUUACUAGACCAUGACGAACCUACGAACUAUGAGGAAGCGAUGAUGAGCCUAGAUUCCGCGAAAUGGCUUGGAGCCAUGAAAUCUGAGAUGAGAUCCAUGUAUUAGAACAAAGUAUGGACUUUGAUUGACUUGCCCGUUGAUCGGUGAGCCAUUAAGAAUAAAUGGAUUUUCAAGAGGAAUACGGACACUGAUAGUAGUGUUACUAUCUACAAAGCUCGAAUUAUCGCAAAAAUGUUUCCGACAAGUUCAAGGUGUUGACUACGAUGAGAUUUUCUCACUCGUAUUGAUGCUUAAAAGUCUGUCCGAAUCAUGUUAGCAGUUGCCGCAUUUUAUGAAAUCUGGCAAAUGGAUGUCAAAACUACAUUCCUUAAUGGAUUCCUUAAAGAAGAGUUGUAUAUGAUGCAACCAGAAGGUUUUGUCGAUCCUAAAGGUGCUAACAAAGUGAGCAAGCUCCAACGAUCCAUCUAUGGACUGGUGCAAGCAUCUCGGAGUUGGAAUAUAUGCUUUGAUAAAGUGAUCAAAGCAUAUGGUUUUAUACAGACUUGUGAUGAAUCCUGUAUUUACAAGAAAGUGAGUGGGAGCAGUACAACAUUUCUAAUAAGUAUACGUAAAUGACAUAUUGUUGAUCGGAAAUAAUGUAGAAUUUUCUGGAAAGCAUAAAGGAGUAUUUGAAAGGAGUUUUUCAAAGAAAGACCAUGGUGAAGCUGCUUACAUAUUGAGCAUCAAGAUCUAUAGAGAUAGAUCAAGACGCUUGAUAAGUUUUUUUUCAAUGAGUACAUACCUUGACAAGAUUUUGAAGUAGUUCAAAAUGGAACAGUCAAAGAAAGAGUUCUUGCCUGUGUUACAAGGUGUGAAAUUGAGUAAGACUCAAAGCCCGACCACGGCAGAAAAUAGAAAGAGAAUGAAAAGUCAUUCCCUAUGCCACAGUCAUACGUUCUAUAAAAUAUGCUAUGUUGUGUACCAGACCUAUUGUGUACCUCACCAUAAGUUUGGCAAGAGGGUACAAUAGUGAUCCAGGAGUGGAUCACUGAACAGCGGUCAAAGAUAUCCUUAGUGGAAUAAGGAAAUGUUUCUCGGUUAUGGAGGUGACAAAGAGUUCAUCGUAAAGAGUUAUGUCGAUGCAAGCUUUUGACACCGAUCUAGAUGACUCUAAGUCUCGAUCUAGAUACAUAUUGAAAGUGAGAGCAAUUAGCUAGAGUAGCUCCGUGCAGAGUAUUGUAGACAUAGAAAAUUUGAAAAAUACAUACAGCUCUGAAUGUGGCAGAUCAGUUGACUAAAUUUCUCUCACAAGCAAAACAUGAUCACUCUUUGGGUGUUAAUCACAUAGCUAUGUGAACUAGAUUAUCGACUCUAGUAAACCCUUUGGGUGUUAGUCACAUGGAGAUGUGAACUAAUCACAUAAAGAUGUAAACUAUUGGUGUUAAAUCACAUGACAAUGUGAACUAGAUUAUUGACUCUAGUGCAAGUGGGAGACUGAAGGAAAUAUUCCCUAGAGGCAAUAAUAAAUUUGUUAUUUAUAUUUUCUUAUAUCAUGAUAAAUGUUUAUUAUUCAUGCUAGAAUUGUAUUAACCAGAAACUUAGUACAUGUGUGAAUACAUAGACAAACAGAGUGUCACUAGUAUGCCUCUACUUGACUAGCUCGUUAAUCAAAGAUGGUUAAGUUUCCUAGCCAUGGACAAAGAGUUGUCAUUUGAUAAGCGGGAUCACAUCAUUAGAGAAUGAUUUGAUUGACUUGACCCAUCCGUUAGCUUAGCACGAUGAUCGUUACAGUUUCAUUGCUACUACUUUCUUCAUGACUUAUACAUGUUCCUAAGACUAUGAGAUUAUGCAACUCCCGAAUACCGGAGGAACACCUUGCGUGCUAUCAAAAGUCACAACAUAACUGGGUGAUUAUAAAGAUGAUCUAAACGUGUCUCCGAUGGUGUUUGUUGAGUUGGCAUAGAUCAAGAUUAGGAUUUGUCACUCCGUGUAUCAGAGAGGUAUCUCUAGGCCCUCUCGGUAAUGCACAUCACUAUAAGCUUUGCAAGCAUUGUGACUAAUGAGUUAGUUACAGAAUGAUGCAUUACGGAAUGAGUAAAGAGACUUGCCGGUAAUGAGAUUGAACUAGGUAUUGAGAUACCGACGAUUGAAUCUCGGGCAAGUAACAUGCCGAUGACAAAGGGAACAACGUAUGUUGUUAUGCGGUUUGACUGAUAAAGAUCUUCAUAGAAUAUGUAGGAACAAAUAUGAGCAUCCAGGUACCGUUAUUGGUUAUUGACCGGAGAUGAGUCUCGGUCAUGUCUACAUAGUUCUCGAACCCAUAGCGUCCGCACGCUUAACAUUCGGUGACGAUCGGUAUUAUGAGUUUAUGUGUUUUGAUGUACCGAAGUUAGUUCGGAGUCUCGGAUGUGAUCACGGACAUGACAAGGAGUCUCAAAAUGGUCGAGACAUAAAUAUUGAUAUAUUGGACGGCUAUAUUCGGACACCGGAAGUGUUUCGGAUGAUUUCAGAGAAAAUCGGAGUGUCGGAGGGGUUACCGGACCCCCCCCCCGGGAAGUAUUGGGCCUUAGUGGGCCUUAGAGGAGUGAGAGGGCAGCAGCCCAGGAAGUGGCGCGCCCCCUCCAAUGGGGAGUCCAAAUUGGACUAGGGAAGGGGGGGGGCGGCCCCUCUUACCCUCUCCCUCUCCCUCUCUUUCAUUCCCCCUUCCCUCUUCCUAGUUGGACUAGGAAAGGAUGAAUCCUCUUCCUAGUAGGAAGAGGAUUCCUCCUCUCCUUGGGGCGCACCAAGGAUGGACGGCCUCCCCCCUUGCUCCUUUAUAUACGGGGGCAGGGGGCACACUAGGACACACAAGUUGAUUGUUCCAAGUCGUGUGCGGUGCCCCCCUCCACCAUAUUCCACCUCGGUCAUAUCGUAGCGGUGCUUAGGCGAAGCCCUGCGUCGGUAGCAUCAUCAUCACCGUCAUCACGCCGUCGUGCUGACGGAACUCUCCCUCGAAGCUCUGCUGGAUCGGAGUUCGUGGGACAUCACCAAGUUGAACGUGUGCUGAACUCGGAGAUGUCGUACGUUCGGUACUUGGAUCGGUCGGGUCGUGAAGACGUACGACUAAAUCAACCGCGUUCUCAUAACGCUUCCGCUUACAGUCUACGAGGGUACAUGGACGACACUCUUCCCUCUUAUUGCUAUGCAUCACCAUGAUCUUGCGUGUGCGUAGGAUUUUUUUUUGAAAUUACUGUGUUCCCAACACCAGGUGGCCACCUAGUCCCAGCUAUUGGCCUAGGCCCAGCCCAGCUACACGUCCCAGCAGCGCAGCUGACCUCUUGGGCCCAUUUGCACCCAGGCCAACCGCACCUAACCCUAACCUCCCCCGCUCGAAUCCCAGGCUCUCCCCUCGAUCCCUUCCUCCUCCGCCGCCUCUCCCCUUCGUCCCUCCUAGCGCUUGCGCAGCCACCCUCUGCUCGAUCCCCUCGUUCUCUCCCUCUCACUCGCUCACCUACACCACCAGAUCAGGCCGCCUCCGCCGCCCUUGGCCAGUCCCGGCCGGACCCCGUCGUCAGGGCCCCGUCCCCACCUCCGGCGCGCCAAGCUCGUCGCCUUGCAGCCGCCACGGGCCAGCGCCACCUCCGGCCUCCCCUUCGUCUGCGUCAUCUCCUGCUCCUCGCCUCGAGCACCGGUGCUCCAAGGCCGGCCUCCUGCAGCUCGUCAUUGCCGGAGCUCCCCAUCACCAGCAAGCAGCAGCGCCAUGGCCCACCCCGCGUGCCAUCUCCACCUUCUGGUCCAUCCGCGUCGCCCGACUGGACUUUCUCCGCCUUCGCCUCCUGCUACCGGCGCGCCGUCGUACCUCCGCCGCCCGCCGACCUCCUCUGCUCUGCCCCGAGCAAGCUGCCCCUGUUGCCCCUUGUUCAUGGCCGCGGAGACCCGUCGUCGACCCGCGUACCUUGUCGUGGCGCCGAUGGGCUACCUUGCUCCUUUGGUCGCCAAGAUCUCAAGGCGGCCACCAACCGAAGGAUCCCACGGCCACCACAUCAACCUGCCCCUCUUGUCGUUGCCAAGACCACCAGACCAUGAUAUGCCAAGACCAAACGUUUUGGUUUCGCCAAGUUCCAUCAAGCCGACCGUGCACGUCUGGUUUUUUUUCAUCAAGUUCGACUACAGCACAAAGCUAUGUACAACUACGCGGAUUCGCCGAGUACGACUACACACGAGACCCGUCAAGUUCAUCUACGUGCGUGUAUGACUACACAUCCGAGAUGCGUCUAGUACCAGACCCGAACGUCUACGAACCGUGUACGGCGACCGUUGCCAAAGACAAUCGAGUGAACAACUACCCUCAUCGUGGAUUCGACAAGACAAUGUGUACAACUACUUCCACGACGAACGUGUACCACUAUCGUUGAGGACCGAUAAUACCACUACUUCUACUACCGUCGCGGGAACGACUACUUCCACUAUGACACGAACCGCCCUAAAGAUGCACCCUUGGAAGGUAUAACCGCCGGAACAACGCCGUGGACCGUAUGCAUGUGAUGUGUUAUAUGAGAUGCCCGUGUUUGCACCAUGUCCGUACUGUCGCUUGCACACUCCUCCUCGUUUGCCAUGCCGUCUACCCGUGGGAACCCGGUUACCGGGAUCACUCCCCGUCACUCUUGCAUGUUUCGCACAUCCACACUUUCUUUUGCACCGACAUCUCGAUGAGUUGUCGGAUCAUCGGAAUGUUGUCGUGGCAUCAUUUCCGUUGACGCUGCAAUGGCACCCCUUUCUUUCCGCCAUGGUGAUAAAAUGCUCCACAUCUUAUAACAUGCCAACAUCUUCGUAAAAAUUGCAUAUAACUUGCAUAUGUCAUCCGCAUCAUGAUAACAACAUUUAAAAUGUUUAAAUUGCUGUUUGCUUAAAAAUUGCUAAAUAUGCAUAUGGGGAUUUUCCGGAAUGGUUGUUGUUAUUUCCGGCCUCAUUUAAACUUGCCUGAAUAGUUAGUUUACUUAUGCCUCACCUAUUGCCAUGUUAACCAACAUUUAAUAUUGUUGAGUACCUAACCGGGAGUGAACUAAAUAAUCGAAUGUGGUGUUUCGUCAACAUGCAUCUUAUUACAUGUUGAGCUCCACUUAACUUGUAGUUUUGUUUGUGCACUUUGCCAUGCCAUGCAUAUUUAAACUGGACAUGCAUCAUCCUUGGUUGUGCAUCAUGCCAUGUUUAUGAUUGUGUGUUUACCAUGUUGCUUGCCUCUUUCCAGUUUGCUUCUCUCGUUAGCUUUGGUUUCGUUCGACUACGUCCGUUUGUCUUCUUCAUGGACUCGUUCUUCUUCCUUGCGGGAUCUCAGGCAAGAUGAUCAUUACCCUCGAUAUCACUUCUAUCUUUGCUUGCUAGUUAUUCGUUCUAUCCCUAUGUCGCGCUACCUACCACUUGUUUAUCAUGCCUCCCAUAUUUCCAUGUCUAGCCUCUAACCCACCUUCUUAGCAAACUGUUGUUUGGCUAUGUUACCGCUUUUGCGCAGCCCCUCUUAUAGAGUUGUUAGUUGCAAGUGAAGUUGAAGAUUGCUCCAUUUUGGAACAUGAUUAUGUUGGGAUAUCACAAUAUCUCUUAUUUAAUUAAUGCAUCUAUAUACUUGGUAAUGGGUGGAAGGCUCGGCCUUACGCCUGGUGUUUUGUUCCACUCUUGCCGCCUUAGUUUCCGUCAUACCGGUGUUAUGAUCCUUGAUUUUGUGUUCCUUACGCGGUUGGGGUUAUGGGACCCCCUUGACAGUUCGCUUUGAAUAAAACUCCUCCAGCAAGGCCCAACCUUGGUUUUACCAUUUGCCUAACAACCUAAACCUUUCCCUUGGGAGUAAUUAACCCGAGGGUCAUCUUUAUUUUUAACCCCCCCCCGGGCCAGUGCUCCUCUGAGUUGUUGUCCAACCUAGGCGAUGUCUGGCGCCCCCUGGGCAACCAGGGUCUAUGCCAACUCGACGCCUUGCAAUCCGGUGUGCCCUGAGAACGAGAUAUGUGCAGCUUCUAUCAGGAUUUGUCAGGACAUUCGGGCGGUCUUGCCGGUCUUGUUUUACCAUUGUCGAAAUAUCUUGUAGCCGGGAUUCCGAGUCUGAUCGGGUUGUUCCGGGAGAAGGAAUAUCCUUCGUUGAUCGUGAGAGCUUGUGAUGGGCUAAGUUGGGACACCCCUGCAGGGUAUAAACUUUCGAGAGUCGUGCCCGCGGUUAUGUGGAAGAUGGGAAUUUGUUAAUAUCCGGUUGUAGAGAACUUGACACUUGACUUAAUUAAAAUGCAUCAACCACGUGUGUAGCCGUGAUGGUCUCUUUUCGGCGGAUUCUGGGAAGUGAACACGGUUUGGGUUAUGUAUGAACGUAAGUAGUUCAGGAUCACUUCUUGAUCACUUAUAGCUUCACGACCAUUGCAUAGCUUAUCAUCUUACUCUUAUUUCGUAUGUUAGCCACCAUAUUUGCUUAGUGCUUGCUGCAGCUCCACCUCAUUACCUUAUCCUACCCAUAAGCUUAAAUAGUCUUGAUCUCGCAGGUUUUGAGAUUGCUGAGUCCUCGUGACUCACAGAUACUAUCAAAACAGUUGCAGGUGCCGAUGAUACUAGUGCAGGCGAUGCUACCGAACUCAAGUGGGAGUUCGACGAGGACCUUGGCCGUUACUACGUGUCUUUUCCGUAUGAUUAGUAGUGGAGCCCAGUUGAGACGAUCGGGGAUCUAGCAUUUGGGGUUAUCUUCUUUUCUUUUGGUUUGUCCGUAGUCGGACUAUGUGUGUAUUUUGGAUGAUGUAUGAUUUAUUAAUUGUUAUUGUGUGAUGUGGCGAGUGUAAGCCAACUCUAUUUAUCCCUUUCUUGUUCAUUACAUGGGAUGUUGUGAAGAUGACCCUUCUUGCGACUAAAUCACAAUGCGGUUAUGCCUCUAAGUCGUGCCUAGACACGGAGAUAUAGCCGCAUCAUGGGCGUUACACCGGCCCUCUCUAUGGUGCGCCCAAGGGGGAGUCCUACUCCCAGUAGGAGUAGGUUUUCCCCCCUUCCCUAGUUGGAGUAGGAGAACAAAGAAGAGGGAGAGAGAGGGAAGGAAAGGGGGGCCAGCCCCCCACCCAAUUCGGAUUGGGCUUGGGGGCGCACCCUCCACCUGGACGCCUCCUCCUCUCUCCCACUAAGGCCUAAUAAGGCACAUUGACUCCCCGGGGGGUUCUGGUAACCCCCCGGUACUCCGGUAAAUGCCCGAACACAUUUGGAAACAUUCUGAUGUCCAAACAUAGCCUUCCAAUAUAUCGAUGUUUAUGUCUCAACCAUUUUGAGACUCCUCGUCAUGUCCGUGAUCACACCCGGGACUCCGAACUACCUUCGGUAUAUCAAAACACAUAAACUCAUAAUACCGAUCGUCAUCGAACGUUAAGCGUGCGGACCCUACGGGUUCGAGAACUAUGUAGACAUGACCGAGACACGUCUCCGGUCAAUAACCAAUAGCGGAACCUGGAUGUUCAUAUUGGCUCCUACAUAUUCUAUGAAGAUCUUUAUCGGUCAAACCGCAUAACAACAUACGUUGUUCCCUUUGUCAUCGUUAUGUUAUUGCCUAAGGUUCGAUCGUCGGUAUCUCAAUACCUAGUUCAAUCUCGUUACCGGCAAGUCUCUUUACUCGUUCCAUAAUGCAUCAUCCCACAACUAACUCAUUAGUCAUAGUGCUUGCAAGGCUUAUAGUGAUGUGCAUUACCGAGAGGGCUCAAAGAUUCCUCUCUGACAAUCGGAGUGACAAUCUAUGCCAACUCAACAAACACCAUCGGAGACACCUAUAGAGCAUCUUUAUAAUCACCUAGAUAUAUUGUGAUGUUUGAUAGCACACUAAGUGUUCCUCCGGUAUUUGGGAGUUGCAUAAUCUCAUAGUCAUAGGAACAUGUAUAAGUUAUGAAGAAAGCAAUAGCAAUAAACUAAACGAUCAUAGUGCUAAGCUAACGGAUGGGUCAAGUCAAUCACAUCAUUCUCUAAUGAUGUGAUCCUGUUCAUCAAAUGACAACUCUUGUCCAUGGCUAGGAAACUUAACCAUCUUUGAUUAACGAGCUAGUCAAGUAGAGGCAUACUGGUGACACCCUGUUUGUCUAUGUAUUCACACAUGUACUAAGUUUCCGGUUUAAUACAAUUCUAGCAUGAAUAAGAAACAUUUAUCAUGAUAUAAAUAACAACUUUAUUAUUGCCUCUAGGGCAUAUUUCCUUCAGUCUCCCACUUGCACUAGAGUCAAUAAUCUAGAUUAUAUUGUAAUGAUUCUAACACCCAUGGAGUCUUGGUGUUGAUCAUGUUUUGCUCGUGAGAGAGGCUUGGUUAACGGGUCUGCAACAUUCAGAUCUGUAUGUAUCUUGCAAAUUUCUAUGUCUCCCUCCUUGACUUGAUCGCGGAUGGAAUCGAAGCGUCUCUUGAUGUGCUUGGUUCUCUUGUGAAAUCUGGAUUCCUUUGCCAAGGCAAUUGCACCAGUAUUGUCAGAAAAGAUUUUCAUUGGACCCAAUGCACUAGGUAUGACACCUAGAUCGGAUAUGAACUCAUUCAUCCAGACUCCUUCAUUUGCUGCUUCCGAAGUAGCUAUGUACUCCGCUUCACACGUAGAUCCUGCUACAAUGCUCUGCUUGGGACUGCACCAACUGACAGCUCCACCAUUCAAUAAAAACACGUAUCCGGUUUGUGACUUAGAGUCAUCCGGAUUAGUGUCAAAGCUUGCAUUGAUGUAACCGUUUACGAAGAGCUCUUUGUCACAUCCAUAAACGAGAAACAUAUCCUUAGUCCUUUUCAGGUAUUUUAGGAUGUUCUUGACCGCUGUCCAAUGAUCCACUCCUGGAUUACUUUGGUACCUCCCUGCUAAACUAAUAGCAAGGCACACAUCAGGUCUGGUACACAGCAUUGCAUACAUGAUAGAACCUAUGGCUGAAGCAUAGGGAAUGACUUCCAUUUUCUCUCUAUCUUCUGCAAUGGUCGGGCAUUGAGUCUGACUCAACUUCACACCUUGUAAAACAGGCAAGAACCCUUUCUUUGCUUGAUCCAUUUUGAACUUCUUCAAAACUUUAUCAAGGUAUGUGCUUUGUGGAAGUACAAUUAAGCGUCUUGAUCUAUCUCUAUAGAUCUUGAUGCCUAAUAUAUAAGCAGCUUCACCGAGGUCUUUCAUUGAAAAAUUCUUAUUCAAGUAUCCUUUUAUGCUAUUCAGAAAUUCAGUAUCAUUUCCGAUCAACAAUAUGGCAUCCACAUAUAAUAUCAGAAAUGCAACAGAGCUCCCACUCACUUUCUUGUAAAUAUAGGCUUCUCCAAAAGUCUGUAUAAAACCAUAUGCUUUGAUCACACUAUCAAAGUGAAUAUUCCAACUCCGAGAGGCUUGCACCAGUCCAUAAAUGGAUCGCUAGAGUUUGCACACUUUGUUAACACCUUUUGGAUCGACAAAACCUUCCGGUUGCAUCAUAUACAACUCUUCUUUAAGAUAUCCAUGAAGGAAUGCAGUUUUAACAUCCAUUUGCCAAAUUUCAUAAUUAUAAAAUGUGGCAAUUGCUAACAUGAUUUGCACGGAAUUAAGCAUCGCUACGGGUAAGAAGGUCUCAUCGUAGUCAACUCCUUGAACUUGUCAAAAACAUUUUGCAACAAGUCGAGCUUUGUAGACAGUAAUAUUACCGUCAGCGUCGGUCUUCUUCUUGAAGAUCCAUUUAUUCUCUAUGGCUUGCCAAUCAUCGGGCAAGUCAACCAAAGUCCACACUUUUUUGUCAUACAUGGAUCUCAUCUCAGAUUUCAUGGCCUCAAGCCAUUUUGCGGAAUCUGGGCUCAUCAUCACUUCCUCAUAGUUCGUAGGUUCAUCAUGGUCAAGUAUCAUGACUUCUAGAACAGGAUUACCAUACCACUCUGGUGCGGAUCUUACUCUGGUUGACCUACGAGGUUCGGUGGUAACUUGAUCAGAAGUUUCGUGAUCAUCAUCAUUAGCUUCCUCACUUACUGGUGUAGGAAUCACUGGAACUGAUUUCCGUAAUAAACUACUUUCCACUAAGGGAGCAGGUACAGUUACCUCAUCAAGUUCUACUUUCUUCCCACUCACUUCUUUCGAGAGAAACUCCUUCUCUAGAAAGGAUCCAUUCUUAGCAACGAAUAUCUUGCCUUCGGAUCUGUGAUAGAAGGUGUACCCAACAGUCUCUCUUGGGCAUCCUAUGAAGACACAUUUCUCCGAUUUGGGUUCGAGCUUAUCAGGUUGAAGCUUUUUCACAUAAGCAUCGCAGCCCCAAACUUUAAGAAACAACAACUUGGGUUUCUUGCCAAACCACAGUUCAUAAAGUGUCGUCUCAACGGAUUUCGAUGGUGCCCUAUUUAACGUGAAUGCAGCCGUCUCUAAAGCAUAACCCCAAAAUGAUAGCGGUAAAUCAGUAAGAGAUAUCAUAGAUCGCACCAUAUCUAAUAAAGUGCGGUUACGACAUUCGGACACACCAUUAUACUGUGGUGUUCCAGGUGGCGUGAGUUGCGAAAUUAUUCCGCAUUGUUUCAAAUGAAGAUCAAACUCAUAACUCAAAUAUUCUCCUCCACGAUCAGAUCGUAGAAACUUUAUUUUCUUGUUACGAUGAUUUUCCACUUCACUCUGAAAUUCUUUGAACUUUUCAAAUAUUUCAGACUUAUGUUUCAUCAAGUAGAUAUACCCAUAUCUGCUCAAAUCAUCUGCGAAGGUUAGAAAAUAACGAUACCCGCCGCGAGCCUCAACACUUAUCGGACCGCAUACAUUGGUUUGUAUUAUUUCCAAUAAGUCAGUGGCUCGCUCCAUUGUUUCAGAGAACGGAGUCUUAGUCAUCUUGCCCAUGAGGCAUGGUUCGCAAGCAUCAAAUGAUUCAUAAUCAAGUGAUUCCAAAAGUCCAUCUGCAUGGAGUUUCUUCAUGCACUUUACACCAAUAUGACCUAAACGGCAGUGCCACAAGUAUGUUGCACUAUCAUUAUCAACUUUGCAUCUUUUGGCAUCAAUAUUAUGAAUAUGUGUAUCACUACGAUCGAGAUUCAAUAAACCAUUCAUAUUAAGUGUAUGACCAUAGAAGGUUUUAUUCUUGUAAACAGAAUAACCAUUAUUCUUUGACUUAAAUGAAUAACUGUAUUGCAAUAAACAUGAUCCAAUCAUAUUCAUGCUCAACGCAAACACCAAAUAACAUUUAUUUUAGGUUCAACACUAAUCCCGAAGGUAAAAGGAGUGUGCGAUGGUGAUCUUAUCAACCUUGGAAUCAUUUCCAACACACAUCGUCACCUUGCCCUUAACUAGUCUUUGUUCAUUUUGCAACUCCUGUUUCGAGUUACUAAUCAUAGCAACUGAACCGGUAUCAAAUACCCUGGGGUUACUAUGAACACUAGUAAAGUACACAUCAAUAACAUGUAUAUCAAAUAUACUUUUGUUCACUUUGCCAUCCUUCUUAUCCGCCAAGUAUUUGGGGUAGUUCUGCUUCCAGUGACCAUUCCCUUUGCAGUAGAAGCACUCAGUUUCAGGCUUAGGUCUAGCUUUGGGCUUUGAUACGUCUCCGUCGUAUCUACUUUUCCAAACACUUUUGCCCUUGUUUUGGACUCUAACUUGUAUGAUUUGAAUGGAACUAACCCAGACUAACGCUGUUUUCAGCAGAAUUGCCAUGGUGUUGUUUUAUGUCCAGAAAACAAAUAUUCUCGAAAUGACCUGAAACUCCACGGAACAUCUUAGAAAAAAUAAUAAAAAAUCCUCGCCAAAGAUGAAGACCAGGGGGCCCACACCCUUCUCACGAGGGUGGGGGGCGCCCCCCCUAGGGCGCGCCCCCUACCUCGUGGGCCCCCUAGAUGCCCUCCGAUGCCAACUCCAACUCUAUAUAUUUGCUUUCGGAGAGAAAAAAAUCAGAGAGAAGAAAUCAUCGCGUUUUACGAUACGGAGCCACCGCCAAGCCCUAAAGCCUCUUGGGAGGGCUGAUCUGGAGUCCGUUCGGGGCUCCAGAGAGGGGGAUUCGUCGCCGUCGUCAUCAUCAACCAUCCUCCAUCACCAAUUUCAUGAUGCUCACCGCCGUGCAUGAGUAAUUCCAUCGUAGGCUUGCUGGACGGUGAUGGGUUCGAUGAGAUUUAUCAUGUAAUCGAGUUAGUUUUGUUAGGGUUGGAUCCCUAGUAUCCAUUAUGUUCUGAGAUUGAUGUUGCUAUGACUUUGCUAUGCUUAAUGCUUGUCACUAGGGCCCGAGUGCCAUGAUUUUAGAUCUGAACCUAUUAUGUUUUCAUGAAUAUAUGUGAGUUCUUGAUCCUAUCUUGCAAGUCUAUAGUCACCUACUAUGUGUUAUGAUCCGGCAACCCCAAAGUGACAAUAAUCGGGACCACUCCUGGUGAUGACCAUAGUUUGAGGAGUUCAUGUAUUCACUAUGUGCUAAUGCUUUGUUCUGGUUCUCUAUUAAAAGGAGGCCUUAAUAUCCCUUAGUUUCCAAUAGGAUCCCGCUGCCACGGGAGGGUAGGACAAAAGAUGUCAUGCAAGUUCUUUUCCAUAAGCACGUAUGACUAUAUACAGAAUACAUGCCUACAUUACAUUGAUGAAUUGGAGCUAGUUCUGUGUCACCGUAUGUUAUGACUGUUACAUGAUGAACCGCAUCCGGCAUAAUUAUCCAUCACUGAUACGGUGCCUACGAGUUUUCCAUAUACUGGUUUACGCUUAUUUACUUUCCCGCUGCUACUGUUACAAUCACUACAAAAUACCAAAAACAUUACUUUUGUUGUCUUUACUUUUGUUGCCGCUACCGCCACUAUCAUAUUACUUUGCUACUAAACACUUUGUUGCAGAUACUAAGUUUCCAGGUGUGGUCGAAUUGACAACUCAGCUACUAAUACUUGAGAAUAUUCUUUGGCUCCCCUUGUGUCGAAUCAAUAAAUUUGGGUUGAAUACUCUACCCUCGAAAGCUGUUGUGAUCCCCUAUACUUGUGGGUUAUCAAGACUAAUUUCUGGCACCAUUGCCGAGGAGCAUAGCUCUAUUCUUUGAGUCACUUGGGAUUUAUAUCUGCUGGACACUAUGAAGAACUUGAGAGAUCCAAAAACCAAGAUCUAUCCCUCGACUACGAGGGAAGGUAAGGAACUGCCAUCUAGCUCUGCACUUGAUUCACCUUCUGUUAUGAGUAAGUUAGCGACACCUACACCUGCUUCUGCUAUUCGUUCUGAUAUGUCGCAUGUUAUUGAUGAUGCCACUUCUGUUAUGCAUGAUACUUAUGAUGAAACUGCUUCUAUACCUGAUACUACUGUGCCCCUUGGUGAAUUUCUUGAUGAACAAAUUGCUAGGGCUAGAGAAAAAGAAAUUAUUGAAUCUGAAUACGAUGAUGAUAGUGAUGAUGAAAAUAUGCUUGUUAUUCCUAAGGGCUAUCUUUUUGAUAUGGAAUCUUCUGCCGCUAUUUUAGCUUGCAAAGAUAUAUAUGAGCUUAAGAGGUUAUUAAUUAAAUGGAACAAAGAAUCACUUAGAGAUAAAAUGAAACCUGACCCUGCUUUUGCUACUUCACACCUAUGUGUUCCUGAUAAGGAUUAUGAAUUCUCUGUUGAUCCUGAUAUAAUUACUUUGGUUGAAUCUGAUCCGUUUUAUGGCUAUGAAUCUGAAAUUGUUGUGGCAGAUCUUACUAAGUUAAAUGGUAUAGCUGCCCUGUUCACUAAUGACGAGAGAUCGCGUUACCUUUAUAUACUCAAAAUAUUUCCGUUCUCAUUAAAGGGUGAUGCUAAGAUAUGGUUCAAUUCUCUUGAUCCUGGUUGUGUGCGUAGUCCCCAGGAUAUGAUUUAUUACUUCUCUGCUAAAUAUUUCCCUGCUCAUAAGAAACAAGCUGCUUUGAGGGAAAUAUACAACUUCGUGCAAAUUAAAGAAGAGAGUCUCCCACAAGCUUGGGGGAGGCUUCUCAAGUUACUUAAUGCUUUGCCUGAUCAUCCUCUUAAGAAACCUGAAAUACUUGAUAUCUUUUAUAAUGGACUAACUGAUGCUUCCAGAGAUUACCUGGAUAGUUGUGUUGGUUCUCUUUUCAGGGAAAGAACACUGGAUGAAGCUGAAAUUCUAUUGAAUAAUAUGUUGACAAAUGAAAAUAAUUGGGCACCUCCUGAGACAGCUCCUGAGCCAACUCCUGCUCCAAUUACUGAACCUAUUCCUAAACCAACUCCGAACAAGAGAGGUGUUCUAUUUCUCAGUCCCGAAGAUAUGCAAGAGGCAAAGAAAUCUAUGAAAGAAAAAGGUAUUAAAGCUGAAGACGUUAAGAAUUUACCUCCUAUUGAAGAAAUACAUGGUCUUAAUUCACCGCCUGUUGAAGAAACAUAUAAUCUUAAUUCUUUAUUUACUGAAGAACCUCCUGAUCCUGAUAUCCCGACAUAGGUAGUAAAGGUAAAUUCUCUCUAUAGAUAUGAUAAAGCUGAAGUCCCUCCUACUAAAAUUGCUAGUCAGUGCUUGCAUGAGUUUGAUAACUUUAUGUUUAAGCAAGACGACUUCAACGCUUAUUUUGGUAGACAAUUAAAAGAAAAUGCUUAUAUGAUUAGACGCUUGGGUGAUUAUAUGGCUAAUAUUAAAGGUGAACUUAAACUUGUUAGCAAACAUGCUUCUAUGGUUACCACUCAAGUAGAACAAGUACUUAAGGCUCAAAAAGAAGUGCUUGAUGAAAUGAAUAGUAAGAAAAACGAUUAUGCUGUUAGAAUGGCUACUAGAACUGGUAGAAUGACUCAGGAACCUUUGUAUCCUGAAGGCCACCCUAAGAGAAUCGAGCAAGAUUCUCAAAUAAAUAAUAUUGAUGUUCCUAGUUCUUCUAAAAAGAAGAAGAAGAAAAACGAUAGAACUGUGCAAACUUGUAGCGAACCUAUUGCUGAACCACCUGAUAAUCCAAAUGAUAUAUCUAUGUCUGAUGCUGAAACACAAUCUGGUAAUGAACAUGAACCUAGUAAAAAUAUUAAUGAUGAUGUUCAUGAUGAUGCUCAACCUAGUAAUGACAAUGAUGUAGAAAUUGAACCUGCUGUUGAUCUUGAUAACCCACAAUCACAGAAUCAACGUUAUGAUAAAAGAGACUUUGUUGCUAGGAAACAUGGUAAAGAAAGGGAACCUUGGGUUCAGAAACCCAUGCCUUUUCCUCCGAAACCAUCCAAGAAAAAGGAUGAUGAGGAUUUUGAGCGCUUUGCUCAAAUGAUUAGGCCUAUCUUUUUGCGUAUGCGAUUAACUGAUGUGCUCAAAACAAAUCCUUAUGCUAAAUAUAUGAAGGAUAUCAUUACUAAUAAAAGAAAGAUACCGGAAGCUGAAAUUUCCACCAUGCUUGCUAAUUAUACUUUUAAGGGUGGAAUACCAAAGAAACUUGGAGACUCCGGAGUACCUACUAUACCUUGCUCCAUUAAAAGAAAUUAUAUUAAAACUGCUUUAUGUGAUCUUGGAGCCAGUGUUAGUGUUAUGCCUCUCUCUUUAUAUCGUAGACUUGACUUGAAUAAGCUGACACCUACUGAAAUAUCUUUGCAAAUGGCUGAUAAAUCAACUGCUAUACCUGUCGGUAUUUGUGAGGAUGUGCCUGUUGUGGUUGCAAACGUUACUAUUUUAACGGACUUUGUUAUACUUGAUAUUCCCCAGGAUGAUAGUAUGUCUAUUAUUAUUGGAAGACCUUUUCUUAAUACUGCAGGGGUUGUUAUUGAUUGCAACAAAGGCAAUGUCACUUUUCAUGUUAAUGGUAAUGAGCAUACGGUACACUUUCCGAGGAAACAACCACAAGUUCACAGUAUCAACUCUAUUGGAAAAAUUCCAUCGAUUAUAUUUGGAGGUUUUGAAUUUCCUCUUCCUACUGCCAAGAAGAAAUAUGAUAUACUUAUUAUUGGGGAUGUGCAUAUCCCCGUUGAGGCAACUUAGUGUUAUUCGAAACUUCUUCGAUUUUAUGAUUAUCGGAAUGAGUUUGUUAACAAGACUUGAUCAACCUUGUUAGUGGAUUCUUUUUUAUGAGCAUGAGAUGGAUGAAACUAGAAGCACAACCUUCUGUACCCUCUCUAUAUUUUCUGUUAAUUAGUAGAAAUAAAGUAAAAAUAGUAUUUUCAGUGUGUUUCCUGGCUUAUCCGUGCAAUAUAAAAAUAUCUCGAAAAUAAAAGUCCUUAGAAUGACAUGCCAAUUUAAUAUGAUUUUUUCGAGAAUAUUUGAGGAUUUACUGUGCAAAAAUUACCGCGGGAGGAGCUGCCACCUGGCCACGAGGGUGGUGGGCGCGCCCCCCUCUAGGGCGCGCCCCCCUGCCUCAUGUGCCAACGGUGGCCCCCCUCCACUUAUCCCAGCACCCAUCUUCUUCCUCUAUCUCACACAAAUCUGAAAAACCAACUCAAGCACGAGUUCCAACCACUUUUGCUGUGAUUUUCGAUCUCCUUGCUCAAAGCACCUCUCACAAGACUGCUUGGGGAGAUUGUUCCUUGGUAUGUGACUCCUCCAUUGGUCCAAUUAGUUUUUGUUCUAGUGCUUUAUUCUUUGCAAAUUUGUGCUGCAUAGGUGACCAUGUUCUUGGGCUUGCAUGUCAAAUUUAUAUGGUUCCAAGUAGUUCUAAUGUUUGAUAUAGGCUCUAGGCAUUUGUAGGAGUAGUUGCUAUCAGUUUUAUUGAAGUUGGUUCACUUUUGUUUGAAGUUACUAAAAAUUUCAGAUUAUUUCAGAAAAAUAAUGAGGAGAUUUUUGAGGGGCUCAUCAAGCCAAAGCUCAAAGGAAAAGGCACUGAAGCCUAAGUAUAAUUUGUCGUGCACCGCGGAGAUUCAGGCGUGUGAAUGGCCUUCUGAUGAUUUCUUGAGAGCAGCCGGUAUCUAUGAAGAUUUUCAUGAAUUGGCUCACAAUGCAGGUCUCACCGCUUUCCUCCACGACCAAUGCGAUCAGUAUCUCUUACUCACAAAUACUUUUGUGCAUAACUUUCAUUUUCAUUCUAGGAACUCACCACCUACGGUGGAGUUUCAUUUAUAUGAUGAGCAUAAAGAGAUGCCACUUAAAGAUUUCUGUCGAAUUUGUUUAGUCCCUUUUGAGGGCAAGACAGAAGAACCACAUCAUGAUGAUGUGGCUGGUUUUAUUGAUACUAUCACUGUAGGAGAAACUAGGCAGGUUUCCGAUGCACGAAUCACUAGCAUACAUUUUCCCGUUUUACGUUACUUUGCAUUAUUUGCUAGUCAUUGUUUAAUUGGACGCGGAAACUGUGGAAACCUUAGCAUCCCUGAUAUAAUUAUUCUGCACCAUGGUUUAUACAGUGAUAACACUUUUAGUAUGGGCGGUAUUAUUGCUAGACGGUUAAGUAUGAAUCAUACUAAGGGUCCCAUCUUUGGAGGCGUCUAUGCCACACGCCUAGAUGCACAUUUUAACAUACCUAUUAGGCAUGCUGAGAAGGAAGAAAAGGUGCUGCCCCGUGUUUAUCUAGAUCAUAAAAGUAUGGUGGCACACGAUUUUAUUGUUAAGAAUAGGGCAGGAGAGCUUAAAUAUCAAUUAUUCUUUAACAAACAUCAUCCUGAGACUAUUAUCCUGCCUGCUCCUUCUUUUUUUAAUUUUGUAGGACCCUACCUCGUUACAUGGGCUGCCAUCCAAGCUUACAAGAAUCUUGCACCAGCCCCGGAACAGGAACCACAAGAUGAACCUCCACGACAAUCUGUUUAUUCUUGGGAUCCAGAGAUGACUGUCAGCCAGUGGCAGUCAGAGUCUUCUUCUUCAUCACAAUAUGAUCCCAACUAUUCCUCCUCAUCACAGUACGACCCCAACAACUAUUAUUAUGGAUAUCCGCCAAGCCAGCCAUGGCCAUAGACCAACUUAGGCCAAAAGCCUAAGCUUGGGGGAGUACGUAUUUCUCAUCGACAUUACAUUUAUGUUCACACACACUCAUUACUAGAUGUCGGUGCUCAUACUUUUUCACUGUAAUAUCCAUGCUAGUUUAUUUUCUUUUACCUGCUUUCUUCUUGUGUGUUUGCUAAACCUUAAGAAAACCCAAAAAAAUUAUUAGUAGUUUAUUUUUCUGCUGUAGUAGUAAUAAUUAAAAAGAAAACCCAAAAAUAUUUCUCGUUCUUCUUUUGCUUGUUGGGAGCUUUCCCGUGUAAAUAGUUUUAUUUCUUUUCUUUUAUUUGGGGGUCAGUAGGAGAAGACCAUAAUUAAAUUGUUGAAGUGGCUCUUAUAAGCAUUGUUGUUGAUUUAACCAAGAGCCCAUAUUGCCUUGUCUUCUCCUGUUUAUUGAAUGCUCGCAGAUUCCAGCUUAGUCCAAUGCAUGUACACUCUUAUUAUUAUUCACACUGUUCGGUCGUGCAAGUGAAAGGCAAUUAUGAUGAUAUAUGAUGGACUGACUGAGAUGAGAAAAGCUAGUAUGAACUCGGCCUCUUUUGUUUUUGUAAAUAUGAUGAGUCCCUCGUUCCUGAUUCAGCUUAUUAUGAAUAAACAUGUUUGCAAUGACAAUUAGAGAUCAUAGUUGCUUGUGUCAUGCUUGAUUAGCUAUGAGUUAUAAUGAUUUACCUCGUGUGCCAACAUGCUAUUGAGAUGGUUAUGAUGUGGUAUGAUGGGGUGGUAUCCUCCUUUGAAUGAUUUAAGUGACUUGACUUGGCACAUGUUCACGCAUGUAGUUGAAACAAAUCAACAUAGCCUUCACGAUAUUUAUGUUCAUGGUGGAUUAUAUCCUACUCAUGCUUGCAUCCAAUGUUUAUUAAUUUUAAUGCAUGUACAUGGCUGUUGUCGCUCUCUAGUUGGUCGCUUCCCAGUCUUUUGCUAGCCUUCACAUGUACUAAGCGGGAAUAUUGCUUGUGCAUCCAAUCCCUUAAACCCCAAAGUUAUUCCAGAUGAUUCCACCAUACCUUCCUAUAUGCGGUAUCUACCUGCCAUUCCAAGUAAAUUUGUAUGUGCCAAACUCUAAACCUUCAAAUAAUCAUUCUGUUUUGUAUGCUCGAAUAGCUCAUGUAUCAACCAAGGUUGUCCUUAUCUUCCGUGUUAGGCGGGUUAUUCUCAAGAGGAGUGGACUCCGCUCCUCACUCACGAGAAAAUGGCUGGUCACCGGGAUGCCUAGUCCCAUGCUUUAUGCAAACUAAAUCAAAAUUAAUUGCAAACAAAACUCCCCCUGGGACCUGAUGUAUGUUGGAGGCACUCGUUGUUUCGAGCAAACCAUGGAUUGAUGCUUGUUGGUGCAGGGGGAGUAUAAACUUUACCAUUCUGUUUGGGAACCGCCUAUAAUGUGUUUAGCAUGGAAGAUAUCGCCAUCUCUUAGUUGUUAUGUUGACAAUGAAAGUAUACCGCUCAAAAUACAAUUUAUCUCUAUUGCAAAACUGAGCUCUGGCACCUCUACAAAUCCCUACUUCCCUCUGCGAAGGGCCUAUCCAUUUACUUUUAUGUUGAGUCAUCACCCUCUUAUUAAAAAGCACUAGCUGGAGAGCACAGCCGUCAUUUGCAUUCAUCACUAUUAAUUUAUAUUGGGUAUGACUAUGAUUGGAUCUCUUUUACCAUGAAUUACAAUGUCUAGUCAGUCCUUGAUCUUUAAAGGUGCUCUACAUUUAUGUUUUGCGGUCUCAGAAAGGGCUAGCGAGAUACCAUCUUGUUAUAUCAUAUUAUGAUUGUUUUGAGAAAGUGUCAUCAUUUGAGAUUUAUUAUUAUGACUUGCUAGUUGAUUAUGCUAUUGAUAUGAGUAAUUAUGAGACCUGAGAAUUAUUGCAAAUGUGGUUAGUUAUGAUCUAUGCUGAAAACUUGAAUGCUGGCUUGACAUAGUUACAACAACAAGAGCAAACAGAGUUUGUAAAAGUUUUUCUUUCAUUCAGUUUGUCAACUGAAUUUCUUGAGGACAAGCAAGGGUUUAAGCUUGGGGGAGUUGAUACGUCUCCGUCGUAUCUACUUUUCCAAACACUUUUGCCCUUGUUUUGGGCUCUAACUUGUAUGAUUUGAAUGGAACUAACCCGGACUAACGUUGUUUUCAGCAGAAUUGCCAUGGUGUUGUUUUAUGUGCAGAAAAUAAAUAUUCUCGGAAUGACCUGAAACCCCACGGAACAUCUUGGAAAAAAUAAUAAUAAAUCCUCGCCAAAGAUGAAGACCAGAGGGUCCCACACCCUUCUCAUGAGGGUGGGGGGCGCCCCCCCUAGGGCGCGCCCCCCUACCUCGUGGGCCCCCUAGAUGCCCUCCGAUGCCAACUCCAACUCUAUAUAUUUGCUUUCAGAGAGAAAAAAAUCAGAGAGAAGAAAUCAUCGCGUUUUACGAUACGGAGCCGCCGCCAAGCCCUAAAACCUCUCGGGAGGACUGAUCUGGAGUCCGUUCGGGGCUCCGGAGAGGGGGAUUCGUCGCCUCAUCAUCAUCAACCAUCCUCCACCACCAAUUUCAUGAUGCUCACCGCCGUGCGUGAGUAAUUCUAUCGUAGGCUUGCUGGACGGUGAUGGGUUGGAUGAGAUUUAUCAUGUAAUCGAGUUAGUUUUGUUAGGGUUUGAUCCCUAGUAUCCAUUAUGUUCUGAGAUUGAUGUUGCUAUGACUUUGCUAUGCUUAAUGCUUGUCACUAGGGCCCGAGUGCCAUGAUUUCAGAUCUGAACCUAUUAUGUUUUCAUGAAUAUAUGUGAGUUCUUGAUCCUAUCUUGCAAGUCUAUAGUCACCUACUAUGUGUUAUGAUCCAGCAACCCCGAAGUGACAAUAAUCGGGACCACUCCCGGUGAUGACCAUAGUUUGAGGAGUUCAUGUAUUCACUAUAUGCUAAUGCUUUGUUCCGGUUCUCUAUUAAAAGGAGGCCUUAAUAUCCCUUAGUUUCCAAUAGGACCCCGCUGCCACGGGAGGGUAGGACAAAAGAUGUCAUGCAAGUUCUUUUCCAUAAGCACGUAUGACUAUAUACGGAAUACAUGCCUACAUUACAUUGAUGAAUUGGAGCUAGUUCUGUGUCACCCUAUGUUAUGACUGUUACAUGAUGAACCGCAUCCGGCAUAAUUAUCCAUCACUGAUCCGGUGCCUACGAGUUUUCCAUAUACUGGUUUACGCUUAUUUACUUUCCCGCUGCUACUGUUACAAUCACUAUAAAAUACCAAAAACAUUACUUUUGAUGUCUUUACUUUUGUUGCCGCUACCGCCACUAUCAUAUUACUUUGCUACUAAACACUUUGCUGCAGAUACUAAGUUUCCAGAUGUGGUUGAAUUGACAACUCAGCUGCUAAUACUUGAGAAUAUUCUUUGGCUCCCCUUGUGUCGAAUCAAUAAAUUUGGGUUGAAUACUCUACCCUCGAAAGCUGUUGUGAUCCCCUAUACUUGUGGGUUAUCAGGCUUCUUCACGGGAGUGGCAACUUGCUUGCCAUUCUUCUUGAAGUUCCCUUUCUUUCCCUUGCCCUUUUACUUGAAACUAGUGGUCUUGUCAACCAUCAACACUUGAUGCUUUUUCUUGAUUUCUACCUUCGCCAAUUUCAGCAUCGCGAAGAGUUUGGGAAUCGUUUCCGUUAUCCCUUGUAUAUUAUAGUUCAUCACGAAGUUCUAGUAACUUGGUUAUAGUGACUAGAGAACUCUGUCAAUCAAUAUCUUAUCUAGGAGAUUAACUCCCACUUGAUUCAAGUGAUUGUAGUACUCAGACAUUCUGAGCACAUGCUCACUAGCUGAGCUAUUCUCCUCCAUCUUGUAGGCAAAGUACUUGUCAAAGGUCUCAUACCUCUUAACACGGGUAUGAGUCCAAAAUACCAAUUUCAGCUCUGGGAACAUCUGAUAUGCUCCGUGGCAUUCAAAACGUUUUUGAAGUCCCGGUUCUAAGCCAUAAAGUAUGGCGCACUAAACUAUCAAGUAGUCAUCAUGCCAAGCUUGUCAAACGUUCAUAACGUCUGCAUCUGCUCCUGUAAAAGGUCCAUCACCUAGCGGUGCAUCAAGGACAUAAUUCUCCUCUGCAACAAUGAGGAUAAUCCUCAGAUCAUGGAGCUACUCCGCAUCAUUGCUACUAACAUCUUUCAACAUAGUUUUCUCUAGGAACGCGUUAAAAUUCAAUGGAACAACGGGUCAUUUAUCUACAACAACACAGACAUGCAAAAUACUAUCAGGUACUAAGUUCAUUAUAAAUUAAAGUUCAAUUAAUCAUAUUAUUUAAGAACUCCCACUUAUAUAGACAUCCCUCUAAUCGUCUAAGUGAUCACGUGAUCCAUAUCAACUAAACCAUGUCCGAUCAUCACGUGAGAUGGAGUAGUUUUCAAGGGUGAACAUCACUAUGUUGAUCAUAUCUACUAUAUGAUUCACGCUCGACCUUUCGGUCUCAGCGUUCCGAGGCCAUAUCUGCAUAUGCUAGGCUCGUCAAGUUUAACCCGAGUAUUCUGCGUGUGCAAAACUGGCUUGCACCCGUUGUAUGUGAACGUAGAGCUUAUCACACCCGAUCAUCACAUGGUGUCUCGGCACGACGAACUGUAGCAACGGUGCAUACUCAAGGAGAACACUUGUACCUUGAAAUUUAGUGAGAGAUCAUCUUAUAAUGCUACCGCCGAACUAAGCAAAAUAAGAUGCAUAAAGGAUAAACAUCACAUGCAAUCAAAUAAGUAAUAUGAUAUGGCCAUCAUCAUCUUGUACCUUUUGAUUUCCAUCUCCAAAGUACUGUCAUGAUUACCAUCGUCACCGGCUUGACACCUUGAUCUCCAUCGAAGCAUCAUUGUCGUCUAGCCAACUAUUGCUUCCACGACUAUCGCCACCGCUUAGUGAUAAAGUAAAGCAAUUGCAUGGCGAUUGCAUUUCAUACAAUAAAGCGACAACCAUAUGGCUCCUACCAGUUGCCGAUAACUAUGUUACAAAACAUGAUCAUCUCAUACAACAAUUUAUAUAAUCACGUCUUGACCAUACCACAUCACAACAUGCCCUGCAAAAACAAGUUAGACGUCCUCUACUUUGUUGUUGCAAGUUUUACGUGGCUGCUACGGGCUUCUAGCAAGAACCGUUCUUACCUACGCAUCAAAACCACAACGUAGAAUAGUGAUUGUUUUUUGAUCUUCAAAAAGAACCCUGUUCAUUGGAACCGAUUUAACUAAAGUUGGAGAAACAGACACCCACUAGCCAGUUGUGUGCGAAGCACGUCGGUAGAACCAGUCUCACAUAAGCAUAGGCAUAAUGUCGGUAUGAGCCGCUUCAUCCAACAAUACCGCUGAAUCAAGAAUCAACUAGUGACGGCAAGCAAUAUGUAUAUACUCACGCCCACAACUCCUUUAUGUUCUACUCGUGCAUAUAACAUCUACGCAUAGACCUGGCUCAGAUGCCACGGUUGGGGAACGUAGUAUUUCAAAAAAAAUCUACGCACACGCAAGAUCCAUCUAGAUGAUGCAUAGCAACGAGCGGGGAGAGUGUGUCCACGUACCCUCGUAGACCGAAAGCGGAAGCAUUUAGUAACGCGGUUGAUGUAGUCGAACGUCUUCGGAUCCAACCGAUCCAAGUACCGAACGCACGGAACCUCCGCGAUCUGCACACGUUCAGCUCGAUGACGUCCCUCGUACUCUUGAUCCAGCUGAGGCCGAGAGAGAGUUUCGUUAGCAUGAUGGCGUGAUGACGGUGAUGAUGUAGUUACCGACGCAGGGCUUCGCCUAAGCACUACAACGAUAUGACCGAGGUGGAAAUCUGUGGAGGGGGGCACCGCACAUGGCUAAAAGAUCAACUUGUGUGUCUAUGGGGUGCCCCCUCCCCCGUAUAUAAAGGAGGGGAGGAGGGGAGGGCCGGCCCUCUCUAUGGCGCGCCCAAGGGGGAGUCCUACUCCCAGUAGGAGUAGGUUUCCCCCCUCCCUAGUUGGAGUAGGAGAAGAAGGAAGAGGGAGAGAGAGGGAAGGAAAGGGGGGGCCGGCCCCCCACCCAAUUUGGAUUGGGCUUGGGUGGGGGCGCCCUCCACCUGGCCUCCUCCUCCUCCCACUAAGGCCCAAUAAGGCCCAUUGACUCCCCGAGGGUUCCGGUAACCCCCUGGUACUCCGGUAAAUGCCCGAACUCGUCUGGAACCAUUCCGAUGUCCAAACAUAGCCUUCCAAUAUAUCGAUAUUUAUGUCUCGACCAUUUCGAGACUCCUCGUCAUGUCCGUGAUCACAUCCGGGACUCCGAACUACCUUCGGUACAUCAAAACACAUAAACUCGUAAUAUCGAUCGUCAUUGAACAUUAAGCGUGCGGAUCCUAUGGGUUCGAGAACUAUGUAGACAUGACCGAGACUCACUUCUGGUCAAUAACUAAUAGCGGAACCCAGAUGCUCAUAUUGGUUCUUACAUAUUCUAUGAAGAUCUUUAUCGGUCAAACCGCAUAACAACAUACGUUGUUCCCUUUGUCAUUAGUAUGUUACUUGCUCGAGAUUCGAUCGUCGGUAUCUCAAUACCUAGUUCAAUCUCGUUACCGGCAAGUCUCUUUACUCGUUCCUUAAUGCAUCAUCCCGCAACUAACUCAUUAGUCACAUUGCUUGCAAGGCUUAUAGUGAUGUGCAUUACCGAGAGGGCCCAAAGAUACCUCUCCGACAAUCGGAGUGACAAAUCCUAAUCUCGAUCUAUGCCAACUCAACAAACACCAUCGGAGACACCUGCAGAGCAUUUUUAUAAUCACCCAGUUACGUUGUGACGUUUGAUAGCACACUAAGUUUUCCUCCGGUAUUCGGGAGUUGCAUAAUCUCAUAAUCAUAGGAACAUGUAUAAGUUAUGAAGAAAGCAAUAGCAAUAAACUAAAUGAUCAUAGUGCUAAGCUAACGGAUGGGUCAAGUCAAUCACAUCAUUCUCUAAUGAUGUGAUCCCGUUCAUCAAAUGACAACUCUUGUCCAUGGCUAGGAAACUUAACCAUCUUUGAUUAACGAGCUAGUCAAGUAGAGGCAUACUGGUGACACUCUGUUUGUCUAUGUAUUCACACAUGUACUAAGUUUCUGGUUUAAUACAAUUCUAGCAUGAAUAAUAAACAUUUAUUAUGAUAUAAGGAAAUAUAAAUAAUAACUUUAUUAUUGCCUCUAGGGCAUAUUUCCUUCAGUAGCAGGACGAGAUCCUGUUGCAAUCAUUCGGGCAACAAAAGAAGCAAUAGCUUUGCUACAACUUCCUAGGAAGGCGGCUAUGGUUCUGCCAGGUUUUGGAUGGCGACCACCCGAUGCGGGUGUUGUUAAAAUCAGCACGGGCGGAGCUCUGAACUUGGCUGAUGGACGAGGGGAUGCAGGUGGUGUCACUCGUUCGAAUACAGCGUUCCUAGGAGCAUGGAGUAAACCAUACUUAGGGGUGUCUGAUCCCCUGAUUAUUGAGGCUUUUGCGCUGCAAGGAGUUCGCUUGGCCACACUUCAAGGCUUCCUGCACGUCAUAAAUGGAGGUAGGCUGCCUGGAGCUGGUGACGCUCUGGAGAACUCGCUACAAUUCCCGUUCUAUUGUGGCUCCAAUCUUAUUAGAAAUAGGAGAGCUUAUUAGUUUUUUCGCUUCCUUUGAUCUACAACAUGUAAACAGGGCAGCUAACGUGCCGACUCAUCUUUGUGCAAAACAUGCAUGCACCUUGAAUGUGACUGAAACUUGGUUGGCUGAGACCCCUAGCUUCCUUGUGACCAACCUUCUGGCUGAUUGUCCGGGGAAUGCUCUUAUCUGAAUAAAGCUCUCUGAUUUGCCUGCAAAAAAAAGACGUGCAGUCAGGAGCUAACCUACUAGAAUGUUUAUACUCCCGUUGCAACGCACGGGCAAUUGUCUAGUAUCAUAAAAAGGGUGUGUUAUAGGUUUUGGGUGAGUCUUGAUGCAGAAGAUUGAAAAGACAAGGGGUUUAUUUAUCUAUUUAUCAUUUAACAAAAUAGUGAAAUCUGAUAUCUAAAUUAAUUAUUUAGGUAAUACAAUAUGAUGAUGGAAUGUUUAUAAUAUGCACAUGAUGCACAAACAAUAUAAUAGGCUAAUAUAUAUAUGGUAUUACUCGAGGGUUGUUACAAUCGUGACCACUAGUGUCACUAUAGGGGAUUCCCAACCAGGCUAGAAAUUUUGUCGACGAUGCUGCACAUCCAUGUCCUCUGCCUCAAGCCGUCGUUUGUAGAUCUCACUCGGGAGCAACGCCACCAAGCACGGGAUCAGGCCCGAUCUGUGUGGUCGCAACGACGGCACAACAUAGCUAGAUUUGGGCCACAAGCCUUGCCACCCCCAACACAGCCCGCCGCCGGCAGCUGUCGUCGGCUAAGCCCCUCCAGCACAACCUCCCGCCACCACGCCGCCUAGAGCCACUGCCCGCGCCACUCCUGUUUGGGGUUAGUCGGUUUCCCUAUUGGACUUGCAAUUCUCCUCUUUUUAGGUGAUUUCUCCUUUUAGUCUUUAUGGGCAUUUUCUUGAUGUUGGGUGAGUGUAAAUGUAUACACAUAAGUACUAUACGGUAUGUGUGCAAAUUAUACUAGAUUUUGAAAAUUGCACUAUUAUAUGUUUAUUCUUUGCAUAUUAAAAGGUGCAAUUUAAGUGCAAAGUUCUGUGCGCAUUUUUUUAAAUAAAUCUUAAAGGGUAAUACCAAUGCUACUAUUUCAUUCUUUCUGACAUAAACAUGGGUAAAUCAGCUUUUACCCACUGCAUCGCCAGCUUGGGAAAACUUGGAGAGCUAUACCGCAGUGAGAAGGGACUCAAGGUUCUGAAAUCCGACCUCCUGUCUGUCCCGACUGUAACGAUUUCCGAAGCAACCCGCUUCGCGCUCUGGACGAAAUGGGUGACCAGCAUCGAUGAAGAACUGGAUAGUCCGGUACCCAAGGAGCACAGUGAGCUGUUCAACCAGUGGGAUGUCAUUUCAGGCUCCGUGGCACAAAACAAACCUUGGCGCGGGAUUAAGGUAACUGAUCUGAUGACGAAGCUCGCAGUUCUGAAGAGAACUGUCCAUAUCAAACCUGAAAAAGUGAAGUGGGCGUCUUCUGCAAGUUCUUCGGAAAAGAAGUGAUGCUGAGGUUAGCAUUGUCAGAUAUAUGACGGAAUGAAUCUUCACUCAUUAUGUUUAAUUAUGCCUCUUUUCUAUAAUUAAGUACAAUAUAACUUGAGACUUUUUAUUAGCCUCCUUAUAGUCAAGUAUAAUGCUAGUAUGACUUGAGACUUUUGAUGGCCUCCCCUUUUUGUUACCUUUGAAUGAUCUUAGCAUAUGAAGCAAACAAGUGCAUCAAAUUACAGCAAACAACGGGAUUUUCCUCCAAGAAGAAAGAUACUCAUGUCACUAAUACCAAACAUCCAGCAAGCACAAUUCUAAUACUCCCUCUGUUCACUUUUUUAAGUCGUUUCAGACAAGUGAAAUUGAGCUGUUUUGCAUAAUGUCUGAAACAUCUACAAAGCCUUAUAAAAAUGAACGGAGGGAGUACCAAACAUUCAGUGAGCACAACUCUUACAACUUGGUAAGAUGAGAGGAAGAGGCUGCUACCUGGCUACAGGGACACGUCCUCCCACGUCACACAGACAAGGGGCAACAAUCACCAUCAUCAACCACUGUAAUUCAGCGAACCGUAACGCUCGGUCCAAGAGAGGUUCCUCUUUGGGUUAUAUUUGGCACCCAUCGGUCUUGUGAGGAUGGCAGUCCAUGUAACCUUCACUUUUAGCUCAUAGGAACCGUGAGUGCAAACAUGCUCUUCAUCAGGGUGCUGUAGAGUAACAUGAGUGCCUUCAUCCUCAUCAUUAUCAAAAAUACAAACAUGGACCAAAAACUCUUCAUCGUCGUCCCAUGUAGGUAUAGGGAUAACUACCAAAUUACGACUCAAGGGAAUGGAGGCAUCAUCUCCGACUAAUAUCCCGCUGCAACUCAUUGCUCUACCAUCAUAUAGAAUAAUAUGGGUCUCGGCAUUUCUAGUCCCAGCAGAUACUUUGCCAACGAAAGGGGCAUAGGGCGGACCAUUAAGAAUGUUGAUUUGGAGGCUAGCCGCCACCGGAUGUUUAACAGGUGCAAAUACUAAUUCCACUCUAUUGAGCCAACUAGGUAGCAUCAUAGUUAUGGGUCCAGUGUCAAAGGUGCGGGACUCGAUUACGCCUUUGCUAAAGUCUUCAUCGUCAGGAUCACCCUUCACCUUCAGGUUGAACUCAAAAUGUAUAUUAUCAAAUGCUACUAAUCCUCGACGUGGACCUGUCAAUGCUAACAUAUCCUC